AUUUUUUGGGGAAUCUGACAGGUCUGGUGCAGAAAACCAAGGAUAUGACAUUUUGGACACUCUUGUUCGUGCAUGUUUAUUAGAAGAGGUGGAAGAUGAUAAAGUAAAAAUGCAUGACGUUAUUCGUGAUAUGGCUAUAUGGAUAACCUGUGAAAUUGAGAAGGAGAAGAGAAACUUUUUGGUUCGUGCAGGUGCUGGAUUAAAAGAGGCACCGGAUGUUAAAAGAUGGGAAAAUGUGAGAAGAUUGUCAUUGAUGCAAAACCAAAUUGAAACUCUGUCAGAGGUUCCUACAUGCCCUCAUCUCCUCACUUUAUUUCUUAACUUUAAUAAGGUGGAGAUGAUCGCGGAUGGCUUCUUCCAAUUUAUGCCUUCUCUCAAAGUUUUGAAGAUGUCAGACUGCGGGAAUUUAAUUUUGGAAUUACCUUUUGGGAUGUCAAAGUUGGGUUCACUGGAACUUCUCGAUAUUUCACAUACCCACAUAAAAGAGUUACCAGAAGAGUUAAAGUUGUUGGUAAAUCUGAAAUGUUUGAAUUUGAGGUGGACAGUUUGGUUAAAUAAAAUUCCACGGCAACUAAUAUCAAAUUCUUCAAGGUUACGUGUGUUGAGAAUGUUCGCUAUUGGCUGGUUCAAUUUUCAUGAAGCAUCAGAAGAAAGCGUUUUAUUUGGUGGGGGUGAAGUUUUAGUACAGGAAUUGCUCGGUUUGAAAUAUUUAGAGGUAUUGGAGUUGACCUUGGGAAGUUAUCAGGCUCUCCAAAUUCUUUUGAGCUCAAAUAAGUUAAAAAGUUGUAUUCGAUCUCUUCAACUCCGGUUGGUCAGAGAUACACCGUCAAUUAUUGAUGCUACGGCUUUCGCAGAUCUAAACCACCUCAAUGAAUUGUAUAUUUUUAAAGGUAUUGAGUUGGAAGAAUUGAAGAUUGAUUAUACGGAGAUAGUACGAAAAAGGCGGGAACCUUUUGUUUUCCGGAGCCUUCACCGUGUUAUUAUUGGGGAGUGCCAUAAAUUGAAAGAUGUGACAUUCCUCGUUUUUGCUCCAAACCUCAAGUCUCUUCGGCUAUUCGAUUGCGGUGCUAUGGAAGAAAUAAUCAGCGUCGGAAAAAUUGCUGAGACUCCUGAGAUGAUGGGACAUAUAAGCCCUUUUGAAAAUCUCCAAAGUCUUGAUUUAGACGAUUUGCCACAUUUGAAGAGCAUUUUCUGGAAGCCAUUGCCUUUCACUCAUCUGAAAAAAAUGGCGGUACUUAUGUGCGAUCAGCUUAGAAAGCCUCCACUCGAUUCCAACAGUGCAAAGGAGCGUAAAUUUGUUAUUCGUGGAUACACAGGGUGGUGGAACCGACUUCAAUGGGAGGCUGAAGCCACUCAAAUUGCUUUUCGUUCCUGUUUCCAACCUUAUUCCUGAGCCGUGGUCGCAAAAUUUGAUUUCUGGUGAGUGCGUUUGUCUUUUAAAAGAAGAAUUUAAAAGAAAUUUAUUCUUGUCGUUUGUUUUCUUCUCUUUUUAUUUCAGUUUCUUUAUCUCUCUCUCUCUCUUUGUCUUCUGCAAAUCACAAUUAAAUGUUGAAUUAAUGGAAUUAAUGCUUCAUAAAUUUGCCGGCACUGCCAUUACUUUUUUUUUUUAAUACAAAUUGAUACUUUAUUUAUAUCUUCUUAGCGAUUUAAUUUCCUGUCAAUAGACGAACGAGAAGAACAUACGACUUAAACCAAUUGAUACUUUAUUUAUGUGCGUUGUAUGUAAUAAAUAUUAAGUAUACUUUAUUUUGCCCUGUUCUCCGUUUUUAUUUCAGCCUCUCUCUCUUUCCUGUCUUCUGCAAGUCAUAAUUAAAUGUUGAAUUAUAUGGAAUUAAUGCUUUAUAAAUCUGCCUGCGCUGGCUUUUUUUUUUUUGUGGGGUCGAAUUGAUGCUCUGGUUUUCGACUAGUUUUUGUUGUCAAAAUUUUCUCUGUUUUUUUCAAAUUGAUGCUUUAUUUAUAUCUUCUUCGUGAAAAGUGAUUUAAUUUCCUGCCAAAAGACGAACGAGAAGAACAUUAGAGUCAAACUAAUGCUCACAUAAAUUUCCCGUAAGAAUAUAUAUAUAAUUAGACUGGAAUGCACACCUCUAGAUUGAACAGAAUUGAAGCUGAGAAAAUAUUGAGUAUAGUAGCCCUCUUUAAAGUUAAUUUAGAAAAAGAUAUAUUCUUGAUUAAUCCAUUUUCUGAAGUUUUUUAUUUUGUAUGGUCAAUUAUACCUUCAUACUCAAAAUUUCUGAAGUUAUAAAUUAGUGCAAAUUGACAAUUUUUACUGAUGAUAUCUUCUAUUUUUCCUUUCUUUUUUUUUACUCUCAUAGAAUGUUACUGUCAUUUUACUUACAAAUAGGUUUGACUUUGAGCCCAUGAAACGAUACUUUGAUUGCCAAACCACCGUCCAAUUUUUUUAAAAAAAGAAAAAAAAUAUGUAAUCCAUGAAUCUGGUUAAUUUUGUUUGUUUGUUUUUUUUAAUCUGUUAUACAUUUGAAACAUUCCAUUAAUUGCCAAUUAUGUAAGCGAGAUAGUAAUUAAUUUUUUUAUUUAAAAAAAAGUGAAAAUUAAUCCUAUGCAAUGUGAAUAAAUUUCUUUCCUUUUUCCUUCACUCUUUUUAUUUGAUAAUUAAGUUUCAAUCUAUGUACGCAAAAUUUCUGCAACAACUGCAAAACAUAAAAAUAUAUGAUUGUUAAGGGAAACACGCAGAAGUUCAUCACUUCAAUGUUCAGUAUUUCCAAUUUUGGCAUUAAGCUCUUACGAAUAUAUUCCACUUAGAAAGCAAAAUAUUAGAAUUGUGAUUUUAAUUCAUUCAUCAUAUCUCAUUUCAAUCCCAAAAUAUUCAAGUGGAUCCAAGUUACCAUAAGACUUCAGAGGCUCGAGCCUUAGCCAGAGAUGGUUAAUUGAUAGACUAUGUGCCUGGGUCGAGCACUGGAAGCCUGCAAUGCAGACUGAUUGAUUUAUCAGUUUGACGUGUUCCAGGAAUGAAGAACUGGAAUAUCACCCUCAAGCAAACACCCUGUGGAGCAAUACCAUAGAAUGCACAAUCCGGCUUUGCAAGGUGACACUGGAGGCUUUUUGAAAAGUGCUUCACGCUCACUUGCACUGAUUGAGCAUCCCCUCUGGAUAUUGCCCUCUCUGAUCGAGUCUGAGCACUCAAAUUUCGGUCCUCAGAUGGAGCUACAGCUUUCUCUCCAAUAACCAACAAUUUUCUAAACUCAGCACCUAGUGUGAUCAGAGUUGUUGAUAUUUGCAAAUGGAGAUCCCCAUAUUUGCAAAUGGAGACAUUUAACAAAUCACCAACAUGCUUCAUCCGGUGUACAAAAUUCUGCAGCUGAUUCAAAUCUGGAACCUGAACCAGAGUCGGAGGUAAAUCUUGAGCCAUAUCUAAAGCAGUUUGAAGUUCAAGUACUUGAGCCCUUGACAAUGGUUUUGAAAUUGGAACAUCUUGGAUUACUGCAGACUUGUACCCCUUGGUUUCAAAGGUAAGGAAAGGCAUUGCUUGAGUACAAUUUGGAGGCAGCGGAUCCAGCUGCACCAACUUCAGAGCAAAUACUGACACUACUUCGAACAGCACACUGAAGAAGUGAUAUGUCUACGGCAAAGGCAAUGCAGUCCUCAUUUUGGCUUGAGAUGCAGUAAUCAUCGAAGAGAGUUUCCUUGUGAAACUGGGCAACACAUUGAAUCCCUUUGCCACUGAGAAGGUUGUGGAGGAAGUAAGCUUUCUCUCUAGUGAGGAAGAGGUGGCAUACCUUCCCCAUUUUGUCUAGGGCAGGUAGGAAUCUUUUUUCUAAGAGAUUUACUUCAUUCUCGGUGAGAAAUGCUUUGAACUUCAUCCCUCUGUCUCUAUCCUCACUUAUCAGAAAAUAAGUUGAAAGCACUACGGAGAGAGAGAGAGAGAGAAUUAAGAUAUAUAGACAAGAAAAAUAUUAGACGGUGAUCUUACAAACUAAUACUUCAAGCAGUAUCCUAGAAAGCUAAAAACUGCAAGAUGGCUUGAAAUUUGAAAAGAGCACGUGCUUUUCCUCCUUAACUUGAGAAAAUGUUUAAUAUAGUGCACCUUACAGAAGCAUUUAAGCAAUUAGAACUAUGCACAAAAACAUCACGAAGACUAAACAAAUCAGAUGCAGUGUCUUUGUCCAAGCACAAAUUGCAUUUUGUCCUCAACUUUAAUAUUUAUUGAUGAGAAUCAAUACAGGUCCCUCAUUUGUUAUAGAAAGCUUUCUUGUAGUCUCACCAGUUAAUUCACAGGUCUAUAAUCAUCUUGCAAAGUUAAGGGCAUUUCUUUCGAUCUAAAGUCUUUGCAUCACCACCUCAUCACACGCCAAGCCAAUAUUCCAUUUACCUCUACAACAAAAAGUUUUAAGUAAACAAUCCUAAUGCACGCAGCCAAAUAAAAUGCAGUAAGAAUAUUCAACUUAAAAAUCUGAAAGCCAACUUGGUGAAUUGCCUCCUUAGGUGAAGUUCCAUGCUUUACUAUAGUUGACAGAACUCAGCAAAAGCUUCCAUACAACAGAUUUUGAAAAUGAUGAUGCCAAUAGAUACUCAUUCAAUCCAUUGAAAAUCCAAAGGUUCAUUGUUAAUAGAAGUUUACAGAGUUUUGGUCAUCAAAUAGCUCAGACCUAAUCCCAAACAAAAAACGAGUGAAAAUUAGAUCACGAGCAGCUAAUUGUAAAUUCUAACUUAACUCUUCAUCUCCUUUGUAAACAAGAAACAAAAUGAAGACACGCAAAAUGAAUAUGGAGAAAAUUUGAACUCAAAUGAAAUGAGGGCACGAAAGCAAACAAAUGGCAUGCACAAAAAAACCAAGCCUCAAUCAAAAACUAAUUAACCAUUAAGAAAAAAAUUGGUCUGAGAAUGAACUCCAAAUUCAGGAGUGAAGCAAGAAGCUUUCAUUAUUUCAGAAGCUCCUGUACAAAUUAAUAAGUUAUGCUCUUUGGAAGCAAACCUAAAUUCCAAGAGAAACAGAACCCAAAAAAUUUGCAAUUUUACGCAAAGGAAGUGAAGCACAGGAUUCUGUCACACAUAGGAAUUGUAAAACAAGAGAUCGAUAUAUCGAAUUAGAAAACUCAAUUCGAAUUUAUGUCAAAAAUCAAAAUUAGAAGAUUUCACAUUUUGAGAGGAACAAGCAACAGAUGAAGUUCAAAAUUUCAGCCAUAACAUGCUAAAAAUGCUACACUUAACGGUUCAUUUUCAUGGAUUUUCUCGGGAAACAAACAGAAAAUUACGGUUCAGAGAGUUGACUGACCUUUUGGCUUUUGAAAUUGAGAAGAUCGCGCGCCAAAUUGGAAGAGGGAAAGUGAAAGUGCGAGUUUUAAUAUGGGUAUUAGAUAAGGAAAUUUAAUUAGGUUGCGAGGGUAAAAAAGGAAAGAGAUAUCAUUAUUUUAUUAUCGAUAAUUAUUAAAUUUUUUUCCAAAAAAAAGAACAAGCAAGGAUAUUUUAUUUUCAUUACUAAGUUAAAAAAAAUUGUUUCAAAAUUACUCGAGUCAUAUCCAAUGGACCAACAAAGUAAUCGUUUUUAUUUUUAUUGAUUUUUGCAGGAAAUUAAUAACUUCUUAUUUCAUAAUCCAACUCCAGUACUAAGUUAAAAAAAAUUGUUUCAAAAUUACUUGAAUCAUAUCCAAUGGACCAACAAUGUAAUCGUUUUUAUUUUUAUUGAUUUUUGCAGGAAAUUAAUAACUUAAAAAUACUGAAAGCUAUUGUAAAAAUUUUUAUUAUCAACCUCAUAGUUUUUUUUUUUUUGGGAAGAGAAUUCAAACUUUUUUUUUUUUAAUUUCCAAGAAUUCUUGACACCCGUCUUAAUUAAAAGCUAUAUUUUAAUUCAAAAGUCAUGCUAUUCAUUCACUCACAGACCAAAGGCUUUCCGCAGCAAUAUUAUUAUUUAAAUUACAACAAAGGGGAAAUCAAAUACGUCAUACAGAAGCUUAAAGCUGAAUCUACAAAAUCUAGAGCUCGCAACUACAAAAAUUACACUUGAUGAUCCUCUACAAGAUGAAGCUUGUUCAAUAUCUCAUCCAAAGCUUGUAAAGUAACCUUGUAACGAUCUUGAGAUUGCCUGCCUUCCUCGACGACCUGCACGAUGCGUUUGUACCAAUCAUCAUACCUGUGCACCGGAUUUUUAAUAUCAACGCCACUGCAGCUGUGAUCAAGAACAUAAGAGCGUUUAACAUCUUUUCUCCAUCGAGAAAGAAUGUAGUGAGAUGGGAUCUCCUCCAUACCACUCUGGUUUAGAACACAAAGAAUGUGUCUGCAUAAAUAUCCUCUGAAAUUGAACAACCCACAAACACAAAGCACCUCCAAGUCGGAGGCAUUGUACAAAACAUCGAAAGCCCUUGAAUCUUUCUCGUUGCUACCAACCUCAAAUUCUUCCUUCACUAUGUAUGUUAUAGGUCCAUCAGCACUGACAUGUUUUGUGCUAUAGCAAAGAGUACAUAGCCUCCACCUCCGUCUGAAACUUCCUUAACAUUUCAUUUGUGUACAGUUUUGAGAGUUGAAAUUCAUAGUAACAUCUUGGUUUCUGGAUACAACUUGAAUUUCUUGAAUCCAUAUCUGCCAAGGCUUCCAGUUGAUAAUUCGCCUGCAGUGCUUGAUCAGACUUGUCUAAGAAUUCUUUCAAAGGAGUAUUCUUAUCAAGAUAUCCUUCAAAGUAUGAAGUAGAAACCUCAUUCUGCAGGAACGAAAACACUCCUGAUAAAAAAGCUUCCUUCAAAUAAAUAGGAGCCCACCUUUUACGAUCUUCAUAUAAAGUUUGAAUCCAUCCGUGAUCCUUUAUUCCAUGACGUUGAUGUUGAAAAGUCAAAAGAGUUUUGGUUGAAAAAGAAAAGUGAGUAUUAAAAAAGGCGGGAACCUUUUGUUUUCCGCAGCCUUCACCAUGUUACUAUACAAAGCUGCCAGAAGUUGAAAGAUUCGACAUUCCUUGUUUUUGCUCCAAACCUCAAGUCUCUUUCGAUGGUCAAAUGCAAUGCUAUGGAAGAAAUAAUCAGCGUCGGAAAAUUUGCUGAGACUCCUGAGAUGAUGGGACAUAUAAGCCCUUUUGAAAAUCUCCAAAUGCUUGAUUUAAUAGGUUUGCCACAUUUGAAGAGCAUCUUCUGGAAGCCAUUGCCUUUCACUCAUCUCAAAGAAAUAUAUGUGGGUUAUUGCCCUAAUCUUAAAAAGAUUCCACUCGAUUCCAACAGUGCAAAGGAGCGUAAAUUUGUUAUUCGUGGAGAAGAAGACUGGUGGAACCGACUUCAAUGGGAGGAUGAAGCCACUCAAAUUGCUUUUCGUUCCUGUUUCCAACCUCGUUCCUGAGCGGUGGUCGCAAAAUUUGAUUUCUGGUGAGCGCGUUUGUCUUUUAAAAGAAGAAUUUAAAAGAAAUUUAUUCUUAUCGUUUUCUUCUCUGUUUUUAUUUCAGUUUCUCUCUCUCUCUUUGUCUUCUGCAAAUCACAAUUAAAUGUUGAAUUAAUGGAAUUAAUGCUUCAUAAAUUUGCCGGCACUGCCAUUACUUUUUUUUUUUAAUACGAAUUGAAACUUUAUUUAUUUCUUCUUAGCGAUUUAAUUUCCUGUCAAAAGACGAGCGAGAAGAACAUAUAUAUGACUUAAAUUUUUUGUUCAAGGAUUUUUAUUUCGGGUAUUAAUAAUAGUCCACCAAAAGAGGGAACACUUGGAUGCUGCUCUAAGGGUCUCUCUAAUCAAUAGCUGGAAGCAAUUGAGAAGGCGGUCGCUACUGUGUACAAAUCCAUGCAGUAUUUGCUAUUCAUCUUAAUAAUUAUGAAGCUUUGGUAAAAUUUUCAGACAAAGUUGACAUGUUAUUUUGAGAUUUGGUUCGUGAUUUUGUAUGAAUAUCGUUGUUCCGUUUGAGUUGGAUAUGAAUUCGAGUCUAAAUAUUCUUUGGUUUUCAAUUUUGAACUCAAUUUUUUUUUUCUCAAGCAUGUUAUGCAGAAAUGAUUUUUACUAAAUCAUUUUUGAUGAAUUAUUUAAAUUAAACAAUUGGAAUCAGAAUUGUAACGAUUUAUCACAAGCAUGCUAAUAUGAUAAUUCUGAAACUAUCAUUUUUUUUUUCAAUUUGCUGCAGGGAAAGCCAAAUUUUGUAUUUUUCAGUUUUAUCUGAUAUGGAAUUUAUUUCCUCUACACUAGCUACCUAAAGAUUUAUCAAAUUGCUUCUCUUCCCUGCUUCAAAUAUCUUCAUGGCAUCAUAGGAAAAGAGAGUUUGGGUUGUAUUUAUUAUAGUUUUUAUUUUUUUUUCGUUAUAAGCAAAUUUAUUUUAAAUACUUUAGUAGUAACAGUUUUUAUUGAAUAAUAAUGGGGGAUGAUUAUUAUAUGUUCAAAUAGUUGUUAGAACAUUAUAAAAAGUCUAUUUGCUAUCAAAUGUUUUAAAUUGAUGCAACAUGAUAAUUGUCUCAUAUAAUUUUUUUAUACUAUAUAUGUCCCAUAAUCUUAACAUGAAUAAAUGAUUUUCAAUGGUUAAAUUUGACACGAUUAUUAAAUAGAUCAUAUCUAUAUUAAUUCGAUUUAAAAUCUGGUCACAUUUGGAUUUAGAGUUUCUAACAUGGUAUCUUGUUUUAUGACAUAAUUUACUAAUCAAUUAAUAGAAAAUCAAAUGUUAGUCAAUUAAAUAUGUGGUACAUUUGUCAUAUUUUAAAAAUUAUUUAUUUAUAUUUGAAAUAAAUUUGACUAGACUUUGUGCAGGUAAUACUGCAUAAUUUCUAAAAAAAUGUAAUAAAAACAUGUUAAAAUGUUAUUUUUAUGAAGAAAAAUUGGAAUUUUAUUAAAUAGGAGACACAAUAAUAAAUGGAUAAAAAUUGAGAUUAUUGAUAUAAUGAUUAAAUAGAUUGAAUUGAAGUGAGUUUCAAUUUUGAGAAGAUAAUAAGACGACGCGACACAAAUACAACCAACCAGUCAACCCAAAUUGCCACCUUUUACUAUCUUCUUUGUGUUAUUUCUCUAAAAAUUUGUGCCUUCUCUUACACUUUUAAAUCUUAAGUGUUUGAACUGGAGUACACAAAUUAUCUCUCUACAAUUCCAAAACAACCAAUUUGUAACUUGGUAAAUCUUAAUCAAUGGCAGGAAGCAAUUGAGAAGGCGGUCGCUACUGUGUACAAAGCCAUGCAGUAUUUGCUAUUCAUCUUAACAAUUGUUGAGCUUCGGUAAAUUUUCAAAUAUAGUUGACUUUUUAUUUUGAGAUUUGGUUCAUGAUUUUGUAUGAAUAUCGUUGUUCCGUUUGAGUUGGAUGUGAAUUCAAACCUAAAUAUUCUUUGGUUUUCCAUUUUGAAUUCAAUUUUUUUCCUCAAGCAUGUUAUGCAGAAAUGAUUUUUACGAAAUGAUUUUUGAUCGAUUAUUUAAAUUAAACAAUUGGAAUAAGAAUUGUAACGGUUUAUCGUAAGCAUGCUAAUAUGAUAACUUGUUUUACGAACGAUUAGUUAAUCAAUUAAUAUUAAAUUGUAUAUUAGUCAAUUAGAUAUGUGUUAUAUUUGUCAUAUUCUAAAAAUUAUUUAUUUAUAUUUCAAAUAAAUUUGACCAGAGGUUACGUAGGUAAUACUACAUAAUUUCGAAAGGAUGUAAAAAUUUAAAAUUUCAUUAAAUAGGUGACUCAACAAUAAAUGGAUUUCUGCAAGAAUUGAGAUUCUUGAGAUAAUUAUUGCAUAGGGGGAAUUUUGGUUAGUUCAAUUUUGACAUGAUAAGAAGACAACACAGCGCAGAAAACCCAAAUUGCCACUUCUACUAGUAAUAAAAGAUGAGCGAAUUGCGUGGGAUAUACUUGUUUUCCCUCAAAAUACCCAAAAUAUACCUCCACAUAUUAAAAUUGCUAGCUUUACACAUAUAUACUUAAAAAGAUCAGAGAAAAUACAAAAAUAACCUUAAUAAAAAUACUCGACUUAUUUAAUAUGCUUACUCGACUCAUUUAAUAUUCUUACUCGAUUUCUUACCGGACCAUAUACUCGACUUAGUUAAUAUGCUUACUCGACUUAUUUAAUAUUUUUAUUCGACUUAUUUAAUAUUCUUACUCGACUUCUUACCCGACCAUAUACUCGAUUUAUUUAAUAUGUUUACUCGACUCAUUUAAUAUUCUUACUCGACUUCUUACCGGACCAUAUACUCGAUUUAGUUAAUAUGCUUACUCGACUUAUUUAAUAUUCUUACUCGACUUCUUACCGGACCAUAUACUCGACUUAUUUAAUAUGCUUACUCGACUCAUGUAAUAUUCUUAUUCGACUUCUUACCCGACCAUAUACUCGACUUAUUUAAUAUGCUUACUCGACUCAUUUAAUAUUCUUACUCGACUUAUUUAAUAUUCUUACUCGACUUCUUACCCGACCAUAUACUCGACUUAUUUAAUAUGCUUACUCGACUCAUGUAAUAUUCUUACUCGACUUCUUACCCGACCAUAUACUCGACUUAUUUAAUAUGCUUACUCGACUCAUUUAAUAUUCUUACUCGACUUCUUACCCGACCAUAUACUCGACUUAGUUAAUAUUCUUACUCGACUCAUUUAAUAUUCUUAUUCGACUUCUUACCUGACCAUAUACUCGACUUCUUUAAUAUGCUUACUCGACUCAUUUAAUUUUCUUACUCGACUUCUUACCCGACCAUAUACUCGACUUAUUUAAUAUGCUUACUCGAUUCAUUUAAUAUUCUUACUCGACUUCUUACCCGACCAUAUACUCGACUUAUUUAAUAUGCUUACUCGACUCAUUUAAUAUUCUUACUCGACUUCUUACCCGACCAUAUACUCGACUUACUUAUCUCUAAUUCUUACUCGACUAAAUUCUCGAUUUACCCGACUUUGUACCCGACUUCGUACCCGACUUCUUCCUGCACUGAUUCUUCAAUCAUUCAUAACUUAAAUGUAGUCUUAAAUCCCUACAUUGAAAUAGUGUGUGUGUGCAAGCACAAAAAAUGAAUAAUGUACUACUAAAAUUCAUAAAUCAUUAGGAAGUACACUUAUAAGAAAAAUAGAGAAUGGUGAGAGAAGCCCAAAAAAGAGAAGCAAUGGGAGAAGAGAGAUGUGAAUUCUUAGUUUUUUUAAGGUUAUUUUUGACUUUUUCUAUCUUCAUAAGGUAUAUGUAUGUAAUAGGAUAUAAAUUUGGCAUUUAAGGGUAAAUUAAGGAUAUUUAAAUAAAAAACCCAUAAAAGAUACCUGUUUCAAAAGUAAUUAUAAACUAUCUUCUUUGUGUUAUUUCUCAAAACUGUUAUUUCCCUGGAGAAAAGUACGAAAUACCCACUUUCACGUUGGCAGAAGCAAAGCAAAGCUAUGAGCUAUCUCUGUAUACUUGAAACGCCAUUGCUAAACGAUUCUCGAUGAUGGGUGCCACUGGGCCAGUGUUGUCGCUGAUUUGCAUGAUUUAUUAGUUGUCCAGAUGCCAGAGAAACCAUGGUGGCAUUGAAGUUACCCAGAUGGUUAGUUUUCUGAUCAUUUUUUUAUUCAAUUAUUUAUUUUUUUUAGAAAAAUGUAAGAAAUAUGUAGAAAUGUUGACAGCUAUGAUUUUGAAACUUUGCCUAAAAUUGUUAUCAUCACUUAUUUAAAGAGAAAUCCUAGAAACAUGACAUGAUUAGUAGCCUAAUUCAAAAUUAGACAUGAUUACAACAAGAGAAAAGUGGAGAGAACUUGAUAGUCGAGUGCAUUUAGAAUUUAAUUUUUCUUUUAGCUGCCAAUCAUUAAAUUUUCGAUUUCAGAAAAUUAUACCUAGAAUAUUUCAAGGAUAUACUAUGAAGAUUAUGAAGGUUUGAUUACAUGUCACUAUCAAUUGCCCCAAUCAUUUGUAGUAAAUUAAUUGAUCAUUUUGAUGCAAAUGAUUCCCUACUAAAAAAUUCAAGUCAAGGCUGAAUUGCACAGUAGUUAGUCGCGCUUGCACUUCAAAUUAAGUAUUGUAUUUUCUGCCUGGUUUGGUUGAUUAAAGUAUGUGCAUUUGCUUAUGAAAGUUGUAGUAUAGAAAUCGAAACAUUUGUUUUUCGCUAAGCCCAGAAGCAAAGUUCUUUGUACUGUACUCAUCACUUCUCUUCGUUCUCUUCAUUGAAAUUUUAUCCAAACAGCGGUUUCUUCGAAUUUGUGCCUUCUCUUACACUUUUAAAUCUAGCAAAGAACCGUUACCUGAGAAGAUUGCCAUCAGGAAUUUCUAAAUUGAUUUCACUAUAAUACCUUAAUCUUUCAAAUACUCCUCUCACUGGGUUGCCAAUAGUACUAAAAGCCUUGGUGAAUCCUACGUGUUUGAACUGGAGUACAAAAGUUAUCUCUCCACAAUUCCAAAACAACUGAUUUGUUACUUUUCAAUGCUACACGUUCUGCGAACGUUCAGUUGUGGUUAUCUUGCUGAAAUACCAGAAAAUAGGGUUCUAUUUGGUGGUAGUGGAUUCUUGGUUGGGGAGUUGCUUAGUUUAAAACGUUUAGAUGUAUUAAGCAUCACCUUAAAAGGUUUUUCUUCUGUCCAAAAACUUAUGAGCUCCCAACAGUUUCAAAGCCGUACAAAAAUGUUUGGAGCUUAUAGACUGUGAUGAUUCAAAGUCGUUUGCCUUGGCAGAGUUGAAGCAUCUUGUAAAACUAGGUUUGUCAAAUUGUGGAAAUUUGGAAGAUAAAUUACAUUUAUAAACUGUGGAUCGCCCUUUAUAAGUAUUAGGCUUAUUCCAUACUCGAGCAAUGUGGAAUACCUUUAUAAGCAUUAAGCCUCUCCCAUACAAUUUCUGUACAUGACUCUUCUUUUUUUUUUUUUUUUGAAGACCGUUCAAAGUGGUUGAUGAUCCGUUUUGUAAUAUCAUAGAGGGAUCAUGAAUUCCUUUUCUUUUCUGUGGCUAGGCAACACUUUUGGGCCAAAGUAAGGGAAUCUAUUUUAGGUCAUGUAAAAACCAGUUGUGGGAUGUAAUAGUUUAUUAUGCACUGACAAUAACUUUUUGUAUAAUUGUCAGUUUAAUGAAUACGAGAGGAACUCUGUUGGCAAAUUCAUCCAUGAUAGAUGCUAAAAUUAUACCAGUUGCCUUAACUUAUUUUUCUCAACACUGGUAUUGAACAGGAAAAUGAAUAUGCAAUUUGUAUUUGUGCCAUUGUGGAGAAUUUGGAUAUUCUUAUUUUUAGUAACAAGGAGAGUAUUGGCCUCAUCUUUAAAAAAUGAAUCUUUGAGAAAUGAGGAGUGGGUGAUUGGCAGUGUCAGAGUGUCUUCCUGUAAAUGUUCAUUUAUUUGUAUUUUGAACUAUUAGUAGAAUCUUUAUAUGCCAAAUUAGUAAUACAAAUAUUCAGAUGAUUUUUCCUGUUGAUCAUUUCAUUCUUGAGAGCCAUGUACAAUACUAGUAUACCAGAGAAACCAAGGUAGCAUUGAAGUUGCCCCAGUGGCUAGUUUUCCGAUCAUUUUUUAUUCAAAUUUUUAUGUUUUAGAAAAAUGUAAGAAAUAUGUAGAAAUGUUGAUAGCUAUGAUUUUGAAACUUUGCCUAAAAUUGUUAUCAUCACUUAUUGUUUCUUAUUUAAAGAGAAAUCCUGGAAACGUGACAUGAUUAUUCCAUACUUGUUUUUAUAUUAUUUAUUAGCAGCCUAAUUCAAAAUUACACGUGAUUAUUUGUUACUUUUAAUGCUACAUAUUCUGGGAAUAUUCAGUUGUGGUUAUCUUGUUGAAAUACCAGAAAAUAGCGUUCUAUUUGGUGGUAGUGGAUUCUUGGUUGGUUUAAAUGUAUUAAGCAUCACCUUAGAAGGUGUUUCUGCUGUCCAAAAACUUACGAGCUCCCAAAAGUUUCAAAGCUGUGCACAACCUUUGGAGCUUAUAGACUGUAGUGAUUCAAAGUUGUUUGCCUUCACAGAGUUGAAGCAUCUUGAAAAACUAGGUUUUUCAAAUUGUGGAAAUUGGAAGAGUUUAAGUUCUGCUGUGUCGAGGAUGGAAAGGCUCGAGAAUGUUUUCGUGUGAACAGCCUCCAACGAGUUAAGAUAAAGGCUUGUCAUAAAUUGAGGGAAGUGACAUGGCUUGUAUUUGCUCUGUAUCUUGAGGUUAUUCAAAUAGACAAAUGUAUGGGGAUGGAAGUAAUAAUCAGUGCAAGGAAAUUGGGUGAAGUUCCAGAGAUGAUGGCAGAUCUAAACCCUUUGGUAAAACUCCAAUAUCUUGGCCCACGAGUUCUACCAAAAUUAAAAUGCAUCUAUUGGAAUCAAUUGCCCUCUCUACAUGUCAGGCAAAUUUUGUAUCUGAAUGUCCAAUUCUCAAGAAGCUUCCACUUGGUUUUAACAAUGCAAAGGAAUCUAAAACUAUCAUUAGGGGAGAAGAACACUGGUCGAAUGAGCUGCAAUGGGAGGACAAAGUGACCCUUAAUGUUCUUCUUCCUUGUUUCGGAUCCAUUUGAGGGCAUCAACAUGGAUUGAUACUUUGCAGUGGAGAAAUUCGAAUAAAACCUGGUAAGUGCUUUUCCAUUUAUUGCAUAUUUAUAUCUAACUUUUGUUUUCCUUUGUGGUUAAACUUUGCUCUAUAUACGUUGUUGUACGGUGACAUUCUCAUAUCAAUUAUUAGCUUUUUAAUUCUCUUCUCACAUUAACUGCCCUUUUGAUCAUGUAGGAUAUGCUGAUGUCAAAGAGUCGUAAUUUGGACUGCAAAUGUAAGAAUUAGACAGAUGACCAGUUGUUUUGAAGCGCUCGAAGAAGGAUUAAUUACGUCAUUGAAAGCCUCCAAUUUUAUGACUUUUUUUUUAAUUUGUUGUUUUUCUAUUUUUAGAUAGCUUGAUUGUUAGUUGUCGUGACGUAAUGCUUUAGUGUAGAAAAAUGAUAUUCGGCCAAGACAACAUUAGGAGGGCACCUUGUGCAUGCAUACUAGUGGAUAAUUUUGGCAUGCUAAAUCCAGUUAGGGUGGAUGACCUUUUAUAAGCAUUAGGCUUCUCUCAUACCCGAAAACAAUGUAGAAUAUGCUUAUAAGCUGUGGAUCACCCAUUAUAAGUUUUAGGCUUCUCCUAUACUCGAGCGAUGUGGAAUACCUUUAUAAGCAUUAAGCUUCUCCCGGUAUCUUUAUGUUAAAAAUAAUAAUAAUAAAAGAAAUCCAUUUUAAAAUAGACUCUUUUUGCUUUUUCUAUAUAAACAAAUGCAUUCUUCAAAUCAAUUGUGGGCAGAAGAAGUUAGUAGAAAAGAACUAGUCCCCUUUCAUUCCCCCUUAAACCUCACCAAAGCCUCUUUUGUAAGCUUUUCGGAUUUUCUUUCUAUAUUGCUUACGAUCUCAUUUUUGAUUGAAUCACUUCUUUUGCAUGCUGCAUUUUUUGUUUGUUGUAUUUGGAUAUUAUCGUAUUUGGAAUGCUGUUAUGAUUGAUGGAACAAGUAAUCGAUUUUUAGUCUGAUGGAAGUUGACUUAUUUAUUUAUUGUUAUUUUUAUUGAAAUUAUGUACAAUUGCAUUUCAUUCAUUUCUUCCCCCCUAACAUAUUUGUUAUGUAUAAUUGCGUUUCAUUUGAUAUUGAUCAUGCUGUAGAUAACCAUGUGAUUGUAGGAUGGGGAUUUCAAGUUUGUUGAAUAUUCAAGUAAGUGAAGUAACUGUCAAAAUACUAGUGAAAUUGGGAGCUUUAUUCAUGAGCUUGUGGUUUUGAAAAGUACCACAGUUCAACCGAUGAAGGUUCCUUUUUGGGGUUUGUUGAUGCGAGAUUCUGGUUAUGCUCGUCCUACGACCAGGAUAUCUGCUCGAUCAACCUCACCUCGAUCAGGAUCUCUCCUCGUAUGCUUUCUUCUCCAAGUAUCCCUGCGUUCACAGAAACGAGUCAGAGCACGCCGGUUGUUUUCUCGGCGUAAACCCUCCGACGCUCAAGUCAGAUGUGAAGGUUCUGGGAACGCUUGCCACAGAUCUUAUGGCUUUUCUAUAAUCUCAGUUCUUAGAGUUCUCUUUUCUUAGUUCCAAAAUCAAAAAUUCUAAACCUUUUACCUUCGUUGGCUACCUUUUUAUAGGCUUCCUCUGAAUCCAGAUCUUCCGCAGUCCACGCCCGCCAUUCUCCCCACUUUCGGGUGUGGACGCCCCAUUACCGCCAUUGUCGGCGAAUAGAGAUGGACCUCGUGUCUUAAUUCUCGGAUAGGAAUGCACGUCCUGCCAACUGUCGUUGACUGGGUCUCCUCGCCUCGAUGCCUAGCAGGAAUGACCUUAUGCCUCUAAUAGGAGUUCGGCCUCACGAAUGGCAUAUUCGUGGACGAGCAGAAUACUCCUGCUCGUAUUCCCCUGCUACUUGGCUCUUGCAGGAUACCCCUGCUCGCAGAACCCUGCCACCAACCACCUGCUCAUCAUGUUUGGUCGCCUCGAUAUAUUUCCCUCAAACACCGGUCCCCCAGUUUCUGGUGUUGGGUAAUGUAAUGGACCAGCAGUAGAAACUCAACGGUUCUUGCUCGCGUGGGACUGGAGAAGGCUGCCAAGAGUCGUGUCGCAUUUAAUUGCGGACGAGGUGAUGUGGCAGAAAUCUGCCCCUCUAUUUGAAUUUCAAACCAACGGUUACGAGGCCCUUGGGGUUUGGUUCCGUUAAAUGCUGGCAACCUAAGAGUCCGUCCCCUUUAUGAAACCCACCUCCUUUCGUACAACAAAUUCAUCAUCCACUCCGUCUCCGUCUCCGUCUCUCCGGCAAAGAAGUUCCGGCAUAAAGGCCUCCAUCUCUGUCUUUCACCGACUGAAAAAUUACUUCAGGUACUUCUUCUAUCUCCUUGGUCUCGAAUAGUUGUAGAUAAUUUCUCUUCUCUUUUGUUCGGGUAAUAGUUGGUGGUGGCGUUGUGGUUAGCGCUUAGGGAAUGUCGAAAGGUAAAGAGAAGGUCGUUGAGGUUGACGACGAUGAGUUGGACUUCCUGCCUGGUCUGCUCACCGAUCCUGCUUUUGACCCCGGGAUCCCCUUAGAGCCCAUCAGAUCCAGUGUUGGUACUAGCGCUAGGAGGAUGUCUCCCCAAACAACCUCCUCGAGCGGAAAUAACGAUGAAGAGGGGUCUUCUGGAUCGGAGAACACCCCGAGUGAGGGUCGAGGAGAUGAUUCUGGUGAGGUGUCCCCAUCAGGAGCGUCGCGACCAGAAGAGAGGAGUACAAUAGGAGGUAGAGCCCUAUCGCGGGAUUACGCUAUUGAUUAUAUGACGUGCACGACCACGUUUGAUGAGCUCGAUGACCUCCGGCUUAGGUAUAGUAUUCCUGGUGAAAUACCUCUUAAGGUCCCAGGAAAGAAGGAUGCUCCUAGCCGGCCUCCUAGGGGAUAUGUUACCCUAUAUCUGGAUAGCUUUAAGUAUGGGCUGAGGUGUCCCUUGCAACCUUACUUUGCCCGGAUACUUGACGGGCUGAAUCUAUCUCCUGGUCAGUUGAACCCAAACGGUUGGAGAGUGCUCUCUGGUCUGUUCAUAUUGUGGGACAGAUGUUGCCAAAGCGAGCCCACAAUUGAUGAGGUGAAGCACCUGUACCAGCUAAAGAGCAGCCCCAAAGAUGCCGGCUGGUACUACUUCCAAUCUAGCACCAAGACCAGGAAACCUAUAACCGACCUCCCUUCUGGUGGUGGUGGGAAUUGGAAGAGAAAGUUCUUUUUUGCUGGGGGUCCUUGGGGUCAGGUUGCACAAAUGGACGGGAAGGAUUAUCGGGUCCCACCCCGUUUCACAGUCCCAGGUUGCCUGCUCGCUUGAGAUGUCCUGUAUCCAUAAUUGUUCUUGCUUUAUUGGCUUGUCUCUAACCAAGUGUCUGUUUGUGUUGUAGUUUCUUGGGGUGUUCAUUUCCCGCUCCAACCUGGCCAGCUCAAACAGGUUGAGGCUGUGCUAGUCAAUUCCUGCCCGAGCCGAGAGCUGUUAACUACUUACAACUUGCUCGAGUCUCGUUUGAUACUACCUGGUCAUAAGAUGGAGGACGUUGUGAUUGGGGCUCUGAACAGGAAACGUUCUCGACCUCAAACCACGAAGAGGGACCAGAAUAAGGACGCCCUUACUGCAAAGCGGGCCAACAUCGUGCAGCAGGUCUUUCCCUUGAAGACUUUACCUCCUGCUCCUGCCAAAGUCGGGGAAACUAGUGGAGCAGCCACCGAUCCUGCUUCUUCUUCUCCUCCUGUCGGGCCGCGAUCUCGCUUACCUGAUAGCCGAGCAGAACACUUGGUCCUCUAUCUCAAUGAGUUAUCUAAGCUCGUGAGCAAGAAGGACCUGGAGGACUUUGAUGGCUGCACUCUGGGCGAGCUGGUGGGAGCCAUGCAGUAUAGUGCUUUCCAUCUCAGUUGCAUGACCACCUACUAUAAGGCCAAGGUUGGCCGUUAUGACAGGAAGAUGAAGGAGGACAUUCAGUCGGCGACGACCAGAGCUGACGUUGCUGAGAAGAAAGCAGGGGACUUAAACCUCGAGAAUCUCAAGUUGAUUGAGCGAGAAUCUCUUGCUCAAGCCAAGGCUAUUACUCUCGAGGAAGAGCUGGCCAAGGUCAAGGAAGAUCUGCAGAGGCAGAAAGCUAUGUACGAGGCUCAGCUCGAAUCUCUCCGUGAUUCCCACCGGGUUCAGGUCGAGAACUUAGAGAAGGAGGCUGACAACCAGUACGACCAGGGACUUCGGCAUUCCUAUCGUUGCAUCAUGGCCGUCCUCGGGAAGCAACACCCUGAUCUAAAGAUGGAUGACCUUGCAGUUGGUGUUGCUCAACAUAUGGAUGAGGAGGCGGCCGAGGAAGAUGCUGAAGGGGUAGAGCCGAUCGUGAUUGAGGAGGAAACCUCUCCUCCUCGUGCAGUCCCUGCUGCUGUUGGCGAGGCGAGCACCCCCCCGGACGCAACUGGUGAUACCCCCCCUGCACCUGAGGAGGUCCAGACAACCGAUGCUGCUCGGCUUACUGAUCCACCAUCUUCUUAAUAUAUUUCUUGUACUGUAAUGAACAAUUUUUGUGACGAUUAUCUCUUCUGUUAAUUACUAACAAUUAAUAAAGAUGUUUUUUAUUACUUUCUUAUGUUGUAAUCACGGCUUAUUUUCCGUUUGAGAAUCUGCUCGUCCUUGUCCGGUCGAGCAAGUUCUGGCUUGGCAUAUGGUUUUGCCACAUGCCUUAGAAAAUUCUUCGAUGUUCGAGAUUCUGCUCGCCUUCGCGCGAUCGAGCAGACCCUUCCACGCUUGACUUCAUUCUCGCCAUAAACAGGCUUUGAGACUUGACGAGCCUUUGCAUGCCUUAGAAAUUUUUUCGAUGCUUGGGGAUUCUACUCGCCUUCGCGUGGUCGAGCAGAUCCUGGCACGCUUGGCUUCUGUCUCGCCAUAAACAGGCUUUGAGACUUGACGAGCCUUUGCAUGCCUUAGAAAUUUUUUCGAUGCUUGGGGAUUCUGCUCGCCUUCGCGUGGUCGAGCAGAUCCUGGCACGCUUGGCUUCUGUCUCGCCAUAAACAGGCUUUGAGACUUGAUGAGCCUUUACAUGCCUUUGAUUCUUCAAGGACUGGGAUUCUGCUCGCCUUCUCGUGGUCGAGCAGAUCCUGGCACGCUUGGCUUCUGUCUCGCCAUAAAUAGGCUUUGAGACUUGAUGAGCCUUUGCAUGCCUUUGAUUCUUCAAGGACUGGGAUUCUGCUCGCCUUCUCGUGGUCAAGCAGAUCCUGGCACGCUUGGCUUCUGUCUCGCCAUAAAACAGGCUUUGAGACUUGAUGAGCCUUUGCAUGCCUUUGAUUCUUCAAGGACUGGGAUUCUGCUCGCCUUCUCGUGGUCAAGCAGAUCCUGGCACGCUUGGCUUCUGUCUCGCCAUAAAACAGGUUUGAGACUUGAUGAGCCUUUGCAUGCCUUUGAUUCUUCAAGGACUGGGAUUCUGCUCGCCUUCUCGUGGUCAAGCAGAUCCUGGCACGCUUGGCUUCUGUCUCGCCAUAAAACAGGCUUUGAGACUUGAUGAGCCUUUGCAUGUCUUUGAUUCUUCAAGGACUGGGAUUCUGCUCGCCUUCUCGUGGUCGAGCAGAUCCUGGCACGCUUGGCUUCUGUCUCGCCAUAAACAGGCUUUGAGACUUGAUGAGCCUUUGCAUGCCUUUGAUUCUUCAAGGACUGGGAUUCUGCUCGCCUUCUCGUAGUUGAGCAGAUCCUGGCACGCUUGGCUUCUGUCUCGCCAUAAAACAGGCUUUGAGACUUGAUGAGCCUUUGCAUGCCUUAGAAAAUUUUCACAGUUUCAAGCGAAUGAAAUUCCUCAUUGAUUUAUUAUUGAGUUCGGCUUACAUGAGGUUGCUUUGAAAUAAGAAAUCAAAAAUAGAAAACAACGGACACGAACAGAAAAAAAAAACUUUAAAACAUGAAUAAGUCUUACUAGAAAUAUUUCCUGAGGUGUGCCGCGCUCCAGGGGCGUUUCACCUCGUGGCCCUCCGUGCGAACCAACUUGUAAACUCCGGGUCCAACUAGCUGCCAUUCCCGGCUUCCACUCGGGUAUCAAGGUAUGUUAUCUGCAUUGCUUCCCUUGCUGCCGAGGAGUAACAGCUUCGUGCGAUUCUCUGGUCUCCUCGUACCACUCCAACUACCCCAUUCACCCGGUACUUGAGAGCCAGAUAAUGGUUGGACAGCACCGCUUUGCUGAUCCUCAGAAAUGGCCGGCCUAGGAUCAUCUGAUAAGGACCUUCCUCAUCCACUACCACAAAGUCCAGUAUCAUUGUCCUUUCUGUCGGGGAGCUCCCAAUCGUGAUAGGCAGCUCGACCACGCCCAGAGGGACCAGCUUUCCUCCUCCAAACCCCUUCAAGGAGGUAUUGGUGUACUCCAACUUCCGGUCUGCUAUUCCCAUCUCUUCCAAGGUUGACUUAAAUAACACAUCAACUGAACUCCCUGUAUCAACCAGUAUCCGGUCACACUUCUUGCUAGCGACAGUAGCCUUGAUGACUAAAGCAUCCUCGUGGGGGUAUAGAAUUCCUUCCUCAUCUUCAUCCGUCCACAUGAUUGGCACUUGCCUGACCCUUGCUCGUUUGGCUGCUGGGGUGUUGAAGAAUACCUCUUUACUAGUCAUGGCGUAUCUAGCAUAGUUCUUCCUAGAUCUGUUGGAAUCUCCAGCCAAUGUCGGGCCCCCAGCAAUCACCCUUACUGUAGGCUGCUCGUGCCUCAAAUUUCUGCCACUCUGGUCCCCUUCACAUGUCGAGGCCACCAUCGGGAAAGUCCCAUCUACAAACUCGUCCAGGUACCGAUUUCUCACCAAAUCUUCAACUUGGGUCUUGAGAUCUUUGCAUUCUGCGGUGGUAUGGCCAUGAGUGCCAUGGAACUUACAAUGACGUCCCCUAUCCCUCCUGCCGGGUAGCUUUGUUAUUGGGGCAGGGAGGUACAUCGAUCCUUGGUCCUUUAUGGCCUCGUAUACUUCGUCCAGGGACAUCUUCAAGGAAGUGUAUCGCCCAUACUCCUGGUUCUGGUCAAUCAGGUGCACUGCUCUUUCUCUGUUUGCUCCGUUCUGAGUUGGGUGCGGUGGCAGUACCUCUGGUCUGCUCCCUCUGCUACCGUGGGAGUGUUGAUGACCACCAUAUGAUGAAUCGUGCCUUCUCCAAGGCUCCCUAGCUGGGGAGCGAGGAGGCUGCGCCCUGCUGCGCUGAUACUGUGGUGGCCUCUGAUGAGGCUGGUAAGCAAUUACCCGACCUCCUGCUCCACUAUCCGAGGCCUGGUGGUCCCUCCUCCUGAUCGGCCCAUUCCCCGGUAAUGCUUUCUUCUCUUUCCUCCCCAACCCUUCUAACUGGUCUAUCUUAAUGCGUGCUGCCUUCUCCUCUUCGAUCUCAAUAUCUCUCUUAGCCUGCUCGUAUGCGGCCGCAUACGUCUGGAUAGCUGGGCUUCUCAAGUUGUACCACAGCCUUCCUAUCUUCACUCCUUCUUUCAAUCCCCUUAACGCCUGAGGGUGGUUGAAGGCUCCCAAGUCGAGGACAGCACGAUGAAACCUCUUGAUGAAUUCCCGAAGGGUUUCUUGCUCCCCUUGUUUCAUGCUUUUCAGCUCCAUCAUGUCAUCUUCUGGUGCCAUUGCCCCACUAAAUUGCUCUGCGAAUUCCUGGCACAUCUGCUCGAAGGUUUUAAUGCUGCCCCGAGGAAGUUUCCUGUACCACUCGCGUGCACAUCCCUCCAGGGAUAGUGGGAACACCCUGCACCUUUGAGGCUGAGAUAAUCCUUGUACCCCCGUUAUGUCAUUGAAGCGUUCUAUGUGCACCAGCGGAUCAGUUCGUCCCGAAUAUCUAAGGUCCGGGAGACGGAAAUCUCUCGGAAUAACUGCCCUCAUGAUAUCUGCUGCGAGCGGUGACUCUCCGUCCAGCAUUAUCCUCCAACCAGGAGCUCUGCUCCUUCCUUGCAUAUCGUCAAUUAUCUGCGCUAGUCUGCGCACUUCCUCCUCCAGCUGCACCGCACGACCAGGGUCACGUGCUGUAACUUGAUCCCUCUCUUGCUCUACAUCAUGCAAGUGUUGCCUCAACUCUGUUUCUUUUGCAUUCGCCACCCCAUCGUCCUCGUAAAAAAUCUGUCUUGCCGGGGAUUGCUCUUCGUCUCUAUGGAAUUCUCCCCGCAGAGGUAUGUUACCUCUCUCACCACCAAGUCUCCCGGUGGUUUGACUUCUCCUUGUACCAUCGGGACCUGGUGCCACUCCACCACCUCUCACCAUUUCCUCCUGAGUUACCCUUCGUUCACUCCGCAACUCAUGCAUGAUGGUUGUCAAGGUCUCCAUCUGCUUUUCCAUCCGUUCCAUUCGGUCGAACAUGGCUUUUUCCCUGGCUUCGCUGGCUAUCUCCCUCAGCAUCACGGAAUCGUUCAGCCUCAUAUCACCCCCUUGUGCACUACUUCCUCCUGUCUCCAUUACUUUUCACUUGCUUCACUCCUCUUCUUGCUAUCAACAUAAGCUUUUUGCUCAGUUCCCCACAGACGGCGCCAAAAUAUUGAUGCGAGAUUCUGGUUAUGCUCGUCCUACGACCAGGAUAUCUGCUCGAUCAACCUCACCUCGAUCAGGAUCUCUCCUCGUAUGCUUUCUUCUCCAAGUAUCCCUGCGUUCACAGAAACGAGUCAGAGCACGCCGGUUGUUUUCCCGGCGUAAACCCUCCGACGCUCAAGUCAGAUGUGAAGGUUCUGGGAAUGCUUGCCACAGAUCUUAUGGCUUUUCUAUAAUCUCAGUUCUUAGAGUUCUCUUUUCUUAGUUCCAAAAUCAAAAAUUCUAAACCUUUUACCUUCGUUGGCUACCUUUUUAUAGGCUUCCUCUGAAUCCAGAUCUUCCACAGUCCACGCCCGCCAUUCUCCCCACUCUCGGGUGUGGACGCCCCAUUACCGCCAUUGUCGGCGAAUAGAGAUGGACCUCGUGUCUUAAUUCUCGGAUAGGAAUGCACGUCCUGCCAACUGUCGUUGACUGGGUCUCCUCGCCUCGAUGCCUAGCAGGAAUGACUUUAUGCCUCUAAUAGGAGUUCGGCCUCAUGAAUGGCAUAUUCGUGGACGAGCAAAAUACUCCUGCUCGUAUUCCCCUGCUACUUGGCUCUUGUAGGAUACCCCUGCUCGCAGAACCCUGCCACCAACCACCUGCUCAUCAUGUUUGGUCGCCUCGAUAUAUUUCCCUCAAACAGGGUUCUUCUUUUUCUAGGCUGCAAUUAGGAUAUGUACAUGUUAGACAAUCUUUUGUGGGUUUAGCAUAUCUUCUCUGAUUUUGUCUUUUAUUCCCCAAUCUUGUAAUUACACACCAUGAAUGUUGAGUGAUUGUAUAGAUAAUUUAUGUUAGAACCAAAGCAUUGUGAAGGAGUUAAGUUAGUGGCUUCUGUUUUUUUGGCAUUGAUUGGGUAGAUUAUGUGUUACAGUGAUUCAAUUUGUGAUCCAAACUUUGCUUUAAUUUCUGUUUUCCCUAAUUAUUUAUGUCAAAUUUAAAUCCAGAAGCAUGUGCUGAUUUUUUCUUUUUGUAUUAAUCUGUGAAGUUUAUUUGGAAUGGAAGUAUCUGGGUUGGGUCUAACGGAUUAAAUUAUGACAUUGGGGGGAAGGCAGUAAAGGGUUUGCUUGACACAUUUGGUUCUGUGUUUACUUUGCAAGAAAUAGCUUUUGGUUCUCGCAAUGCUGGGGGAAAUCCCGAUUUGGCCAGUGAAUUUCUUUGUGACAAAUAGGCGAACACAUCAACCUCUUCUAUCCAUCCUUCUACUCGUAAGGCAAGGGGUAAAGAGUCUUCAAAAUCAUCAAAUAGUAACAUCUCUGAGAAUUCAUUUUAUGCAAAUGGAAAAUCUUGACCUUCUAAGACAAAAUGGCGUCCUGUAUCAGGAGGUACCGUUUCAAGUUUUCUUGGUAAAAAUUAUGUUAAACCUGCACAGCCAGCUAAUGGCACAUUUCUAGUAUCAAAGCCAUUGAAGUUGGAUCCAAAGGGGUUUCCCAUGUCUCCACUUUUGUGGAGAAGAUACUAAACUGAAACAAUCAAAGGAUGACCAUUUGCAGAAGGAUAUUGAAGAUUUUCUGUUUAAAUUGCUAGGAGAAGUGUUCCAAUUUAAUACAUAUUGUCCUUUUCAAUGUUCUUUCUUUCUUUCUCUUCUUUUCUUCUUCUUCUUCUUUUUUCUUUUUGUGUGCGUGUGAUCACUAAUUUGGUAUUGUAGUUAAGUUGCAGAUAGUUGUGGAUAUGAUAUGCAAAAGGCAAGGACUAUAUCUUCCUGAUGGAGGCCUCUGCUUUUUCCUUUAUGUGUAAUUUAAUAAAUUGCAUCUUCCUUUCCGAUUGUUAGAUCAUAUCAAAGACAAGUCUUAAAUACUGCUGUCAUAUGUUAAGGUUCAACUUGCAGUUUGAUUAACAUUCAUGGCUCAAAGGCCUGCAAAAACUUGCCAGUAAUUGUAAAAUGACAUUCUUUGCUUUUAAUGCAAUAGAGGGAACAGGGAAGUAUAGCUUUGGAAGCCUGGAUUGGUAACUAUAGAGAGACUUAGUAUUUAAUUGAUAAAAAUUCCCAUAACCCAAGGGUCAAGAAAAUUUUAGAUCGUUAAAGACUUCAUUUUGUUUCGGCCAGAAAUGUUUGUUUCGAUCGAAGACUUGAACCAUUUUCAUUGAACCUGAUUAUGAUGCUUUACGUUAUGCAUGUUCCUCUUAAUCAAGAAAAGUUGAGGUGAUGAUUUUAUAUUUCUAUAUUGUAAGUUGAAAUAAUAAUUGGUCUGCUUGUUUCUGUAGCUUGAUAACAUGAAUUUUCCUUCUCAAGUUAAUUUAAUCAAUAAAGUAAUUCUUCAAAGAAAAUAUGCCCAUUCUAUAAUCAUUUUCUUAACUAACAUGUUUUUUUCUUCACUCUUCAGAGCAUGUUGAAACUAAUUGUUUCGGCAGAGACUUUGGGUGAGAAGACAAAAUUUCUCGGUAAAUCCUCUGAAAAGGUAUGCAUAAUUCCGGAGUAUUAAAUAACCAAUGGUCAUAAUUUUUGUACAGGACUCUUUUCUUGUGGAGAUGAUUAAAAGUGGCUGAUGAUCCAGUUUGUAUAUCAUAGAGAGCAUCAAUUCCUUUUCUUUUCAGUGGCUAGGCAACACUUUCAGGGCAAAGUAAGGAAAUCUAUUUUAGGCAAUGUAAAAACCAAUGGUAGGAUGUAAUAGUUUAACAUGCACUGACAAUAACUUUUUGUAUAAUUGUCAGUUGAACGAAUACAAGAGGAACUCUGUUGACAAUUCAUCCAAGAUAGAUGCUAAAAUUAUUUAUGCAUGCCAGUUGCCUUAACUAAUUUUUCUUGACACUGGUAUUGAAGAGGAAAAUGGAUAUGCAAUUUGUAUAUUGUGCCAUGUGGAGAAUUUGGAUAUUCCUAUCUAAGUAACAAGGAGAGUAUUUGCCUCAUCUUUAGACAAUGAAUCUUUGAGAAAUUAGGAGUGGGUGAUUGGCAGUGUCUUCAUGUAAAUGUUCAUUUGUUUGUAUUUUGAACUAUUAUGAGAAUCUUUUAUAUGCCAAAUUAGUAAUGCAAAUGUUCAGAUUAUUUUUUCUGUUGAUCGUGCAUUUGUGUCUGCAAACAACCAUUGUAUAUCACUUCAUUCUGAUGUGCAAGUCUCUGUAGUUUAGAAGAAAAGAAAUAAUAAUGAUAUAUUAUUGCUUGAUUCAUGAUUAUUAAAUGAUUAUGGCUUUAAAAAGCCUACAAAUUCCUUCUGUUGAUAUAUGAAUGUACCAAGUUUGCUAUAUCUUAGAUUACCAUUUCCAAGAUUACAAGUUCAAAUUUUUUCUUUAUCCUUUUCCAUCACAGUUGCAUUUUAAGUGUAAGAUUUGUUAUUAAUACCUGGUUUCCCGUCAUUAUGAUUUCAUAAACAGUGUAUGGGUAUGUGCUCUACUUUUGGAGGGCCUCCACGUGAAAGAAAAAUUGCAACAAUUGAAUUCUUCCAGAUUGUAUGGUAUUUAAUUUAUUUUCUCAACCUCUUGUAAGACUAAUAUAUUUUCCUUCAGUAGACACGGCAUGGUGGGAAGGGUUUUUUAUUGAAAGAAUUCUGAUAUUUCUUAGACUUUGUUUUGGAAGGGGGUGCAGGGGUUUCUCAUCCAUAUAUGGUUACUUGAUUAGCUUUUGACUGUAUUGCCUUAAUCAUGCAAAGGAAGAUCCAAAUACAAACGAAGGAGAAUUGUUUAGACACCCAGAAGAUGGAAAUGAACUACAGAAGGAAGUUUUUGCUGCUUUAUUUAGUGCUCCUGAGAAAUCUGAUGAAUUUCCUGAAAUUACGGUGAAGACCAAGUGUGAGGUCCAAAGCAUUAGGAAAGGUGGUGAGUGAACUGCCGGAGGAAUUGGUACAGAAUACAAGGCUAAUGUGGUGGACUUGCAGCAAGAUAACCGAAACAGUCCGUGCUCUUAUAUUAACUAUAUUGACUGGAUUUGCUAGUGUGUAUAUUUUUGUGUGUAUACUCACUUUUGUAUUUAUGCAUAUUAACGUGUGUAGGAUUCUUGAUUUCUGCCACUUACUGGAGAACUAGUGGAAAGCUUUAUACUGAUAUAUGUGCUAUAACUAAUGGAAACUAUGAUAUUAAUAUUUUCUCUCGCUUGGAGAACUGCAUAACAUAUAUACUUUGUGGCUCUGGAAUACUAAAGAUUCUGCAAUAACUAAUGGAAACUAUGAUAUGAAUAUUUUCUCUCACCUGGAGAACUUUGUAACAGUUACACUUUGGGGCUUGGAAUGUCUAAAGAAUUUUGUCUGCUUCAGUUAGAUCAAAUAUCUUUUAGUUGCAUACAUUAUAGAAAAGAUAAAGUUCUCUGAAUCUGAACGACUUAAAAUUUUGCGCAUUUCUUGAAAGGGAAAUAUCUGUAGAUACUAGUUCAUGCAUUGUGGUAGCAUCAGUGUUAAAGAAAAACAGCAGUAAGUUAUUAUAUAGAAUUAGGUUGACUUGCUUUAAAUCCUGGUCUGGUCAACCAUAUGAACCUGUAAGUGGUUCUGUAGAAAUAUAUAUAUAUACGGGGAGAAAGUAGCUAAAUUUUCCUUUCAUUUAUGGGUUUGGUCAUUUUUUCCCCUUAUUUAUGUUUUCUCACACAUUUUUUAAAUGCCCCAGACAUGCAAUUUUGUAUGUGUCAAUUGCCUUUUAAGUUUUAAAAACCAUAAAGUAAGAAUACAGUUUCUUGUCAGGCUAUUGAUGCAUUUGCUCGGGGGGAUCAUGCUCGAGCAGGAAAACUUCUAGAACAGGUAAGGUUUCCAUCUACAGCCAUUUAUUGACAACAUAUAUAUUUUCAUUCAGCAAGCACUGUUAGCAUUCAAGAUGCUGGCAGAUUCACUUGAUUCUUAUUAGUUUGUUUAGUAGCAAAGCAUAUAACCUGUAUUUCAAAGCUAAGUUGUGCUAUUGAUUAUGUUAACUUUAUUGUUCACAUAAAGUGAUAUAGAGGAAAUAAUCAAUGUAGGAAAAUUAGGUGAAGAGAUGAUGUCAAAUCUUGAACCUCUUACAAAACUCUAAGCUCUUUACUUGAAGAAGCUACCAAAUUCGAACAGCAUGUACUGGAAGGCCUUGCCAUUCCCUGAUGCAUGCAGAAUUUUUGUAUUUAAAUGCCCAGAGCUUAAGAAGCUGCCACUGGAUCUUGAAAGGGCAGGCCAAGGUAAAAUUCUUAUGAAGGGAAAGAAAGAUUGGUGGAAACAAACUUCAAUGGGAGGAUCAAGUAACUCAGAAUGCAUUGCUUCCAUUUUUAAAAUCAACCAACAAGUGAUUGAAGGGGGCAUCAUCAACAUGGAUGGAGAGAUUCUGGAGCAGAUCAGCGGGGUUUAGUACGACCUGUGGUGGUUGCUUUUUUGUGACUUUUUUCCCUUUCAUUUUUUCACUCCCUGUCAUAUUAUCAUUUCUUUGUCUCUGUUUCUAUUGCUGGUGUUGCUGCAUGCUUGCUGUCCUUGACAAAGUUAGCUAGUUUUUUUGUUUAUUAAAUUUUGUAUGUUCGGGACAGUCACAAAGUACUACUUGUUCUAUAAGGGGGUGAUGUGAAUCCACUUUUCAAUUAUAUAUUCUGUGGUAAUUGUGAAUUCAAUUCAUUUGUCUCCAGCAAAUUAUGAAGAAAGUGCAGAGUUACAAUAUGGAAAAGUUCACUGGCAAAUACUUUGUAAAAGCUUCGGAGUGAAACAGGGAAUGCACUGGCAACUAAGGACAAAUUGGUGGCCAGCUAAUGCAUUCAUUUUAUGUACAUUCCUCUUUUUAAUUAUUGAAGAUAAGUGGUUCGUUGCUUUUGUUGUAGAUAAAAUUCAGACGACCUCAAUUGUGAGAUGACAAUAUUUAAAAUAUCUCUUAAAUUAUUAUAAACUUUAAUUUAUCUUAAUUUUAUUUAAAAGAUAAAAGAAAAAUGUGGUAUAUGGAUAAAUUUUUUUUUAUCUUCUUAAUAAAAUGAAAUAAAUUAAAAUUUAUAAUAAUUUAUAAUAUUUUAAAAAUUAUUAUUUCAUAAGAGAUUAAUAUGAAAUUAAUCCUUUUUACUUUUUGAAUGUGAAAGGACAGGAAAAGAGAAAGCAAGUGUCACUGCUUUUUAUUUUAUUUGAAAUCGGAGUUAUCCCAUAUACUUUACUACUUUAGCUCUAACAUUACAAUGUUUUUAGGCUACACUUUUAUUUUUCUUUUUCCCCCUUUUUUUAUACAUGCAUGUGGAUUACUUUCCUCUAAGCGCCUUAAUAUUUAAGACAAAUCAUAAAAGCGAUUGAAGUAUAACCAGAUGAUCAAAACAUUUAACCCAAAAAAAAAAAGAAAUAAAACAUUGAAAAUGGAGAUGUUGAUUAAUUUAGAAGAGAUGCAAGUAAAAGAUAUUCCCAAAAAAAAGAAAAAAAGAAAAAAGCAACGUUAGUUCAUCCAUGUCUGUCAAUGCGUUUUUUAUGGUUUUUUUUCCAGUUGUUUGUUGUAAUAGAUUGAUUGUAAAUUGAUAUGAACUUGAUGUUGUAAUAUGUUCCCUUUUGUGGAAUUAAAUUUGAAUAUUCAAGAUUAUUCAAGUCUUAUUUAGUAUGUGUUUAGUUGUGUUGUCGAUAACUUUGCAUUCGAAUAAGUUUUCACCUAAAAUAUUAGCAUGAGUAGUAGUCCUUGAAACUUUGGUCAAAAUUAUUGUUAUUGUUUCUUUUAGAGGAAAUUUUUUUAUUAAAGCCUCGUUAACACUAUUUCUUAUUAAGAUUAUAAGUUAGUGUCGGUGUAGGAUUUGCAACGACAAAUCCUGUCUAGCCACGUGUCAAAAGUACAAAUAAAUCAAGGGAAAGCACAUGUCGCGGAUUAGGAUCCAAUAAAAUUUAAAUCCCAAGGAAAAGGACAACUGUAUCCUAAAGUUUCAAUAAGAGAUACUGAUAUAUCUUUUGACUAAUGUUAUUUUUUGGCUUCAUUAAUAAAAAGAUCCAAUAGUUUAUAACAAAUAAAAAUAUAGCAUUAAGCUAAAUGUGAUAAUAUAUACAUUUUACAUAAUUUCAAUAAAAAAACAUUUUAAUGUUUUACGAUCUAUCAGACAUAUUUUAUUAAAUUAAUAGGAAUUUUCUGAUAAAUAGCAACAUAAUAUUAAAAUAAAUUUAUAAAGAUUUAAAUGUAAAAUAAUUUUAGUAUAAUUAAUACAUGGGAUAUAUUUUGUAAAUUAUAAAAUUACUUAACCCAAUGAUUUUUAAAAAUCUUUAAAAUAAAUAAAAAUAAAUUAUUCACAUUUUGAUGUAAAUAUUUAAAACAUUUUUAUACAUUAGUCCACAAUUAUUUAUGUUAUAUUUGUAUUUAUUAGAAAUUUUGAAAGUGAAAUGUUUUUCACCUCUAUCUUAUUAGAAUUAUUGCACACAGAGAAAGAGCCAUAUAUGCUUUAUAGCUUUAAAAUCGGUUUGUUUUAUAGCUGGGAACAGAGAUGAUCAUUAUUAUAAGGAUUAAAAAAAGAUAAAGAAUAUUAAUGAUUAACGAAAUCUUUAUGGAAAUUGAAUUUAGUAAGAAAAAAUUGAGCUGAUUUUAGUGGUAUAGUCAUAUUUUAUAUAGAGAAAAGUAAAAGUUGCACCCCGAAAUGUUCAAAACUCUUUUUUAAUAAUAAUAUCCUUUUUUCUAGAUAACUUAAAAAUUUGACUCUAAUAUUUUAUAAUAAAUAAAAACAUAUAAUCCUAAAAUAAAUAAAAUAAUAUAUAUUUUAAAAUAAUCUCAAUAUUUAAAAUAUAUUUUAACAUUUUAUAGUCUAUCAUAUAUAUUUUAUUUUUUUAAAGUAAAUUUUAUAAUAAAUACCAACAUACUAUUAAAAAAGAUAUAUAAAAAAUUUAAAAUAUUUUGAAUAUUAUAUAAAAUAACUUUAAUAUUGUUAAUAUGUGAGAUAUAUUUUAUUAAUUAAAAAUUCUAUUUAACCCAAAGAUUUAUUUAAGAUAAAUUAAUAAUUAUAUUUUUGAAAUUAUUUCAAAUAUUAAAAAAUAUUUUAAUAUUACUAACUAUUAGAUAGACUAAACUAUUUAUAUUAUUUUAUAUUUAUUAUAAAAUUUCAAAGUUAAUCUUUUUAACUACUAUUCAAAAGAUAUUAUGAUAAAAACAGAAUUUUUGUGUUUUUAUUGACAAUUUGGAGUUUACAUCUAUUUUUUUCAAAUAUUCGGGGUGUAAAUGUUUUUUCCCUUUUAUAUAUACGAACGGUGGUGAGAAAGCUUGAUUUAACGUUAUUUAUUUAAAUAAAAUCUCAGUUAAAAAUGUACAGAGAAGAAAUUUCUGUUGGUAUUUUAGUCUUUUACCAAUUAUCACGAUUAGGCCUUGGCCUUGAAACAUUAAUUGUUUCACUUUUAGCGCUAGUGGCGUUGAAAGUUGUCAAGAAAAAAGCAAGACCAUAUUCCACAAAAGCAAAAGUAACGUUGGCUCUUUUAUUAAAGGCAAAGUAUAAAGUAGUCAAGAAUCGAAUAUCCUGUCGUCUACUCUUUUUUAAAUUCUUCUUUUAUUAUCUUUUAGAAUAGUUUUUGGUAAUUACAAUCAUUAUUCAGAGUUAUUGUUAUCUUCCGGGGCAGUCUCUGUUCAUCGAACUCGUUACCCUUUUUUAUAGAUUAGUUCCAGUGGUCAGCAGUAAUUUUCUUAGAACUCGGAUCUUUAAUUCGAGUUUCUGUGUGAAUUAAUAAUAAAAAAUUUCAUUACACGCAAUUUAAGCUACGAAUUACUUUUUGCAAAGUUGAAUAUGAAAUUGGAGAAAUUAAGUAAUUUAGAAUGUUGGUAAAAAUUGACGAACAUAUCUCCAAUUACAGUAAAACCUCUCUACAGUCAUAACAUUAUAAUAAAAUUAAUUUUAUUACUAUGUUGAGGUAAUAUAGGUUUAGUUACAAAAUUAUUGUUUUAAUAUGGUUAGUGUCAAGUGAUAUAAAGGUUAAGUAUGUAGUACAUUGAUAAUUAAAUAAUGAAGCGUGUCAAAUCUAAUGUAUAUAUAUAUAUAUAUAUAUAUAUAUUUUUUUUUUUUUGGUUUUGACCACGAGGUAUCCUGGGGAGGGCCCCAACUGUGGGAGACACCUUUAAGCCCGUACCACAACCCAGACUAGAAGUCCUCACUCGAAUCGAGAGGCACAGGUUCUCCCAACAAAGGCGACUUCCCUACGACUCGAACUGGGGAGCAAACCCAGUCAAGCCACUUAAGGGGACUCCAUUGCCAGUGGAGCCAACACUUUGUUGGUUAUAUAUAUUAAUGAUAUAGAUAGACAUAGUUUUAAAAAACUAAUUAAUGUAUAUUUAUGUAGUGUUAUGAAUAUGGAAAGUCAAGCCUACACUUUACAUUAUCCUUAAUUUUUUCUCUCAGUUAAAUUCUACAAAAAUUUUACAAUGAUUGGGCAAGAACUCUAAAUUAAGAAUAAAUUAUUGUCACAAAUAAUUUUAGAAAAUAUUUUAUUUCGUCUUAAACCUUUAAUGUAAGUAAACAUAUAUAUAUAUAUAUAUAUAUAUAUAUAUAUAUAUAUAUAUAUAUAUAUAUAUAUAUAUAUGUGCAUAUUUUGCAACGUAUAGAUAAUUGUUAGUAUAUGGAGACAAGUCUUUUAAGGUAGGACCUAGGAAAAUUUAUAACUUACUACACUGGGGAGUUUUUAUUCCUUUUUAUAAUUGGCUCAUAUUGAUACAUUCUUACACAAAAUAUUACCACUGACAUAUUUUAUUACAAUUAGUUUAGAACAUUUGUUAGGAAAAAAAAAGAAAAGAAAACAUCCCUUGGAUGUAGCUCUCCUGAUUAUUUAAAUCUUUUAAGGAAAAAAAGAAAAAAGAAAAACUAACACAUUCAAAUCUUGAAGCAAUUACAUUAAAACCUCUCCAUAAUGAUAGGAAUAAUCUCCAUUUAGUAAUAAAAAAUUUUGUUCGCAAUUUAGGCAUAGUUAUAAAUAAGAAUAAAAUCCUCAUUGUAAUAAGUUAUAUUUAUUAUGGAUCCCAUCCUAAGGAACUUGUCUCUAUAUAGUAAUAAUUAUUUGAAUAUUAUAAAUAUAUAUGUUGCAUUAGAUUAAAUGAACUUGUCUCCACAUACUACUUAGACAACGAGAGAAAGUUAUUAAAGAGAACACAAAUAUUUAAAGAUUUUUAAGAUUACUUUGUAUAUUUAUAACAAUAAUACAUUGAUAUAUGUAUUAGUUUUUUGAUAUAUUAGAUUUGACAUGCUCUAUUAAUAAAUUAUUAAUACGAUGCAUACUUCAUCUCUAUAUCCUUGCAAUAAAAGUAACUAAGUUAUAACGAUAAUUUUUGUAACUACAUGCUUAUUAGGUUUUAACUACUUCAUAAUAAUAAAUUAGUUUCGUCCUAAUAUUAUAAUUAUGUAGAGUUGUGGUGUAUAGACACACCCAAUUUAAAUAGUAUAUCAAAUAAAAUUGUCCCCACAAAAAAGAAAAAAGGGGUAAAGGAUUGUUAUUUCUUCAAACAUUAGGAUCACGUUUGUACAAGUGCGAUGCCUUUCUUUUGAAGGCAACGUCAGUGGGUACCCAAUAGGACGUGUGUAAAUCUUUCCAAAAUUUCUCCGGUAUAACGGACAGAGAUCAUUACUUUUCUCUUCCAUAGACCACAGCAGCUUCAGUUAAUCAGACUCAAUCAAUUUUCUUGGUUUCUUCGCUUAUCAAAAUUCCAAAGUAUGGGUAGCAUAUUUCAAAUCACAUGCGAUGGUGCUUUUUUCAAUCGUUGCUUGGAUUGCUUUCUUGGAAAAGUAGCAAACACAAGUAAGCUCCAUGAUAACCUUGUUGCCUUGGAGACUGAAUUGGGAAAACUAAUCGCAGCAAAGAACGAUGUGAUGAUGAGGGUUGUCAAUGCUGAACGGCAACAACUGAGAACGCUGGACCAAGUGCAUGUGUGGCUUUCGAGGGUGGAAGCUGUUGAAACUGAAGCUGAUGAAUUGAAAAGACACGGCUCUCAAGAAAUUGACAAAUUAUGUGUUGGAGGCUACUGUUCCAAGAACUGCGCGUCAAGCUACAAGUUCGGGAAACAAGUGGCUAAAAAGCUACGGGAUGUGCGGACUUUAAUCGACGAAGGAGUUUUUGCGGCGGUGGCUACCGAGGUGGUGCCUGAGAGAGCUCCAGAACCUGUAGCAGAUGAAAGACCCACUGAGCCAACAAUAGUAGGCUUGCAAUCACAACUUGAACAAGUUUGGAGAUGUCUUGUAGAAGAAUCAGUGGGAAUCAUUGGCCUAUAUGGUAUGGGCGGUGUUGGUAAAACUACACUAUUGACCCAUAUCAACAAUAAAUUUCUUGAGAGUCCAACCAGUUUUGAUUGUGUGAUUUGGGCCGUAGUUUCAAAGGACUUGCGACUCGAAAAAAUUCAAGAAGAUAUUGGGAAAAAGAUCGGUUUGGUUGAUGAUUCAUGGAAGAGUAAAAGUGUAGAGGAGAAAGCUCUCGACAUCUUCCGGAGUUUAAGAGAGAAGAGAAUUGUAUUGCUGUUAGAUGAUAUAUGGGAGCGGGUUGAUUUAACAAAAGUGGGCAUUCCACUUUCCGGACCAAAAAAUACUACCUCAAAAGUCGUAUUCACAACCCGUUUCGUCGAUGUUUGUGGUAGCAUGGAAGCUGACAAGAAGUUCCAAGUGGCAUGCUUAUCAGAAGAGCAUGCUUGGGAACUGUUUCGAAAAAAAGUUGGGGAAGAAACUCUUGAGAGUGAUCAUGAUAUCGUUGAGCUAGCCCAAACUGUGGCCAAAGAGUGUGGUGGUUUGCCACUCGCACUUAUUACUAUUGGUCGAGCUAUGGCCUUCAAAAAGACAGCCGAGGAGUGGAGUCAUGCAAUUGAUGUGCUAAGAACAUCAGCUUCUGAGUUUGCAGGUUUGGGAGAAAAGGUGUAUCGUCUUUUAAAGUUUAGCUAUGAUAGUUUGCAGAAUGAGACGAUUAGAUCUUGUUUCUUAUAUUGUUGUUUAUAUCCCGAGGAUUAUGGCAUUCUUAAAUGGGACUUGAUUGAUUGUUGGAUUGGUGAGGGAUUCUUAGAGGAAUCUGACAGGUUCAGUGCAGAAAACCAAGGAUACUACAUUGUGGGCACUCUUGUUCAUGCAUGUUUAUUAGAAGAGUUAGAAGGUGAUAAAGUAAAAAUGCAUGACGUUGUUCGUGAUAUGGCUCGAUGGAUAGCUUGUGAAAUUGAGAAGGAGAAGAGAAAAUUUUUGGUUUGUGCAGGUGCUGGAGUAGGAGCGGUACCAGAUGUUGAAGGAUGGGAAAAUGUGAGAAGAUUGUCAUUGAUGCAAAACCAAAUUGAAAUUCUGUCAGAGGUUCCCACAUGCCCUCAUCUCCUCACUUUAUUUCUUGACUUUAAUUAUAAAUUGGAGACGAUCACCGAUGGCUUCUUCCAAUGUAUGCCUUCUCUCAAAGUUUUGAAGAUGUCAAACUGUGGGCAUGUCAAAGUUUUGAAAUUACCUUUUGGGAUGUCAAAGUUGGGUUCACUACAACUUCUUGAUAUUUCACAUACCGGCAUAAGAGAGUUACCAGAAGAGUUAAAGUUGUUGGUAAAUCUGAAAUGUUUGAAUUUGAGGUGGACACAUAUGUUAAAUAAAAUUCCACGGCAGCUAAUAUCAAAUUCUUCAUGGUUACGUGUGUUGAGAAUGUUCGCUAUUGGCUUCGAAAAUUCUAAAGAACCAUCAGAAGACAGCGUUUUAAUUGGUGGGGGUGAAGUUUUAGUACAUGAAUUGCUCGGUUUGAAAUAUUUAGAGGUAUUGGAGUUGACCUUGCGAAGUUAUGAUGCUCUCCAAUUUUUUUUGAGCUCAAAUAAGUUAAAAAGUUGUAUUCGAUCUCUUUUCCUCAUUAAGCUGGGAGAUACAAAGUCGAUUCAUGCUACGGCAUUCGCAGAUCUAAAGCAUCUCAAUGAACUAUGCAUUCGUUCGGCAGUGGAGUUGGAAGAAUUGAAGGUUGAUUAUACAGAGAUUGCGCCAAAAAGGUCGGAACCUUUUGUUUUCCGCAGCCUUCACCGUGUUACUAUGGAGCGGUGCCAUAAAUUGAAAGAUUUGACAUUCCUCGUUUUUGCUCCAAGCCUCAAGUCUCUUUCGCUAUACGGUUGCAAUGCUAUGGAAGAAAUAAUCAGCGUUGGAAAAUUUGCUGAGACUCCUGAGGUGAUGGGACAUAUAAGCCCUUUUGGAAAUCUCCAAACGCUUUAUUUAACUGAUUUGCCAGAGUUGAAAAGCAUCUACUGGAAGCCGUUGCCUUUCACUCAUCUCAAAGAAAUGACGGUACAUGGGUGUAAUCAGCUUAAAAAGCUUCCACUCGAUUCCAACAGUGCAACAGAGCGUAAAUUUGUUAUUCGUGGAUACACACACUGGUGGAACCGUCUUCAAUGGGAGGAUGAAGCCACUCAAAUUGCUUUUCGUUCCUGUUUCCAAUCUCAUGAAAUAUAAAUUCCUGAGCGGUGGUUGCAAAAUUUGAUUUCUAGUGAGUGCUUUUUUCUGAAACUCUUACAUAUAUUCUCGUCGUUUGCUUCGUGCAACAGACUAGGUUUUUAUUUCAGAUUCGUUUUUUGUCUCCUGCAAAUCACAAUUAAAUGUUGAAUUAUAUGGAGUCAAUGCUUUAGAAAAUUUUCAAGGCACUGCCAUUUCCUUUUUCUUUUUUCUUUUUUUGGGGUCGAAUUGAUGCUCUGGCUUUUUUCUUCUUCUUGUCAAAUUUUGCUCUGUUUUUUCAAGUUGAUGAUUGAAUAGUUGAAUUCAAUUAAUGCUCACAUAAAUUUGUUUAGUUGCCGUAAAAGGAUAUAAUUAGACUGAAGUACACACUUCUAGAAUGAAUACAAAAUGUUAAGUAUACUAGCCCUCUUUACAGAAAAUCAAAUGAAAAUCAAUUUUUUGGGGCUUUGAUUUUCUAUGGUCUAUUAUAUACUCUUUUUAAUAUCUUCUGUUCUAACUAUAACCAAAUCCUUUGUUCAAGGAUUUUUAGUUGGGGUAUUGAUAACUGUCCACCAAAAGAGUGAACACUUGGAUGCUGCUCAAGGAUCUCUAAUCAAUAGGUGGAAGCAACUGAGAAGGCGGUCGCUACUGUUUACAAAGCGAUGCAGUAUUCGCCAUUCAUCUUAAUAAUUGUGAAGCUUUGGUAAAAUUUUCAAACAAAGUUGAACAUGCUGUUUUGAGAUUUGGUUCAUGAUUUUCGAUGAAUAUCGUUGUUCCGUUUGAGUUGGAUGUGAAUUCAAAAUCUAUAUAUUCUUUAGUUUUCAAUUCUGAACUCAAUUUCUUUUUCUCAAGCAUGUUAUGCAGAAAUGAUUUUUAUAAUUACUAAAUCAUUUUUGAUGAAUUGUUUAAAUUAAACAAGUGGAAUAAGAAUUGUAAAGGUUUAUCAUAAGCAUGCUAAUAUGAUAAGUUGUUUUAUGAACGAUUAAUUAAUUAAUCAAUUAAUAUUAAAUUAUAUAUUAGUCAAUUAGAUAUGCGUUACAUGUCAUGUUUAAAAACUAUUUAUUUAUAUUUCAAACAAAUUUGACUGGAUGUUGUGUAGGUAAUACUACAUAAUUUCAAAACAAAAAAAGUAACAAAAACAAGUUAAAUUUUGUUUUUAUGAAGAAAAAAUUUAAAAUUUUAUUAAGUAGGUGAAAAUAAUAAAUGGAUUCGUGUAUGGUUUGAGAUUCUUGACAUAAUUAUGAAAUAAGCCGGAUUCAACUUAGUUCAAUUUUGACGCGAUAAGAAGACGACACCACACAAACACACGAUAAGAACCGUUACCUGAGAAGAUUGCCAUCAGGAAUUUUGAAAUUGAUUUCACUACAAUACCUUAAUCUUUCAGAUACUCCCAUCACUGAGCUGCCGGAAGAGCUAAAAGCCUUGGUAAAUCUUAAGUGUUUGAACUGUACACAAAUUAUCUCUCUACAAUUCAAAAACAACUGAUUUGUUACUUUUUCAAUGCUACAUGUUCUGCGAAUAUUGAGUUGUGGUUAUCUUGUUGAAAAAUCAGAAAAUAGAGUUCUAUUUGGUGGUAGUGAAUUGUUGGUUGGGGAGUUGCUUAGUUUAAAACGUUUAAAUGUAUUAAGCAUCACCUUACAAGGUUUUUCUGCUGUCCAAAAACUUAUGAGCUCUCAAAAGUUUCAAAGCUGUACAAAAUGUUUGGAGCUUAUAGACUGUGAUGAUUCAAAGUCUUUUGCCUUGGCAGAGUUGAAGCAUCUCGAAAAACUAGUUUUUCGAAUUGUGGAAGAGUUUAAGUUCUGCUGUGUUGAAGUUGGAAAAGCUCAAGAAUGUUUUCGUUUGAACAGCUUUCACCGAGUUAAUAUAAAGGCUUGUCAUAAAUUGAGGGAUGUGACAUGGCUUGUAUUUGCUCCAAAUCUUAUGGUUAUUCAAAUAGAAAAAUGUAUGCAGAUGGAAGCAAUAAUCAGUGCAAGGAAAUUGGGUGAAAUUCCAGAGAUGAUGGCAGAUCUAAACCCUUUUGCAAAACUCCAAUAUCUUCGCUUCCGAGUUCUUCCAAAAUUAAAAAUCGUCUAUUGGAAUGAGUCACCCUUUCCACAUGUCAGGGAAAUUAUUGUAUCUGAAUGCCCAAUUCUCAAGAAGCUUUCACUCAAUUUUAACAAUGCAAAGGAAUCUAAAAUUGUCAUUAAGGGAGAGGAACACUGGUGGAACGAGCUGCAAAGGGAGGAUGAAGCGACCGUUAAUGCUUUUCUUCCUUAUUUUGGUUCCAUUUGACAGGCAUCAACAUGGAUUUAUAUUUUGCGGUGGACAACUUGUAGUAAGUGCUUUUCCAUUUAUUACAUGUUUAUAUCUAACUUUUGUUUUCCUUUAUGGUUAAAUUUUACUAUAUAUAUGUUGUUAUACGGUGACAUUCUCGCAUCAAUUAUUAGCUUUUUAAUUCUCUUCUCGCAUUAAUUGUCCUUCUGAUCAUGUAGGAUUUGCCGAUGUCAAAGAGUAGUAAAUUGGGAUACAAAUGUAAGAAAUUAGCCAGAUGACAUGUUGUUUUGAAGCUUUCGAAGAAGGACUAAUUAUGUCAUUCAAAGCAUCCAAUUUCGCUACUUUUUUUUUUCAUUUGUUGCUUUUUCUAUUUUUAGAUAGCUUGAUUGUCAGUUGUCGUAAUGUAAUGUUUUAGUGUAGAAAAAUGAUAUUCGGCCAAGACAUCGAUAGUAGGGCACAUUGUGCAUGCACACUAGUGGAUGAUUUCGGCAUGCCGAAUCCAAUUAGUGUGGACAACCCUUUAUAAGCAUCAGGCUUCUCUCAUACCAGAGCAAUGUAGAAUAUGUUUAUAAACUGUGGAUUACCCUUUAUAAGUAUUAGGCUUCUUCUAUACUCGCGCGAUGAAACAAAAUGCAUUCUUCAAAUCAAUAGUGGGUGGAAGAAGUGAGUAGAGAAGAACUAGGCCCCUUUCAUUCCCCUAAAACCUCACCGAAACCUCUCUUGUGAACUUCUCAGAUUCUCUCUCAAUAUUUCUUAUGAUCUCAUUUUUGAUAGAAUCAAUUCUUUUGCAUGCUGCAUUUUGUGUGUCUUUUUUGGGUAAUAUCUUAUCUGGAAUGCUGUUAUGAUCAAUAGAAAAAGUAAUCAAGUUUUGGUUUGACGGAAGUCGAUUUAUUUAUUUACUAUUAUUUUUAUUUGAAAUUUUGUACAAUUGUGUUUCAUUCAUUUCUUUCAUUUUUUUAAAUAUUUAUUAUGUAUUGUUGAUGCUGAAAUCUGCUCGCCCUUUGCCCAAUCAGAUCUUUCCACCAAUGUUUACGUGGCUAGAAGAGAAGGUGUCACUUUCUUCUUGUUUCGACUGUUUGCUCAAGCCGCUGGGGUUGGAAUCACCCUUCCUUCUUUUACUAAACAUGCGUUCACAAAAAUGGAUCAGAGACGCCGGUGGUUUUAUCGGCGUAAACUCUCCGAUGCCUAAGUCAGCACAAGGUGUUUAUGGGAAAACAGUGCAGUUUAGAUUUUGAGAUUGCUUAUAAUUUGCUCAAAGUUUGUAUAGAAGACGGCUUGGUUUCAAUUUGGCAGAGUUUUCCCCCCUCUCAGUUUUUCUGUCCCUUCUCCAUUGGUUUUUCCUUAUUUUUAUAGCCGUUGUCCCACGUUUCCGUUCACCCUUCAUGCCCCCCCUUUUCUCGGGUAGUGGCAACCCCUCAUGGGACUCCAACUGCUAUAUUGUGGGUAAACGUGGGACACUGUGUCUCCCUCUACGAUUUUGGGCACAGCGCAACUGGCGUGAUUUCGUGAGAUCGUGUUCCCGCUCUUUGGGGAAUGGGUAUCUGCUCGGUAUAUGUCUCUGGUCGGUGCAUUCCUCUGGCUGGUACUCGUCUCUGGUUGGCCCAUGUUUGUAGAAGGCUCAUUAUCAGUGUUCUGCUCGUACCAUUUGGCUGAGGUGAUCCCUGCCGAGGUGGGGAUGAUGGCAUGGCUGAGCUGAUGCUCUUAUUUACUUAACAUGUAUAAUUGUGUUUCAGUUGAUAUUGAUCAUACUCUAGAUAACUAUGUGAUUGUAGCUGGGGAUUUUAAGUUUUGUGAAUUCAAGAAACUGUCAAAAUGCUAGUGAAAUUGGGACCUUUAUUCAUAAGCUUGUAGUUUUGAAAAGUAGCCCAGUUCAACUGAUGAAGUUCCUUUUUGGGAUUCUUUUUUUCCUAGGCUGCAAUUCGGAUAUGUACCUGAUAGACAAUCUUUUGUGGGUUUAGCAUAUCUUCUCUGAUUUUGUCUUUUAUUCCUCAAUUUUAUAAUUACACACCAUGAAUGUUGAGUGAUUGUAUAGAAAAUUUGAGUUAUAACCAAAGCAUUGUGAAGGAGUUAAGUUAGUGGCUUCUGUUUUAUUGGCAUUGAUUGGGUAGAUUACGUGUUACAGUGAUUCAAUUUGUGAUCCAAACAUUUUUUUAAUUUCUGUUUUCCCAAAUUAUUUAUGUCAAAUUCAAAACCAGAAGCAUGUGCUGAUUUUUUCUUUUUGUAUUAAUCUGUGAAGUUUAUUUGGAAAGGAAGUAUCUGGGUCUAAUGGAUUAAAUUAUGUAAGUGGCAGAAAUUCCUACACACAUAAAUAUGCAUAAAUACAAGAGUAUACACAAAAAAAUGCACACACUCAUACAUCCAGUCAAUAUAGUUAAUGUAUGAUACCAAUUGUUGGGGAAAAAUUAGGUUUUUAAUUUUUUAUAAAACCUUUUGAAGAUCGCUCUCAUAUAAUAUAUAAGAAUUUGUAUUCUAGAAAUCGUACCUUGAAAAUCCGAGUUGGCUUUUUCCGCUGAAGUGUUUUAGGCUCCUAGAUCACGAUCCGCCACCACCGCUCCUGUUAGAUCACGAUCCGUCACCACCACGCUUGUUAGAUCACGAACAGUCUCCAAUGAUCUUCCAGGUUAUGACUCAGGUUCGAUCUGCACUUGACGUGUAGGCGCCUUUAUCACUACCAAAGCAACUAGCACGAGAAAAUUUUUCUCUCAACAAUAGAGAGAAAAAUCUUUUUCUCUGAUCUGUAUAAAGUGGCUUCUCACUUUUUCUUUAGGGAAAAAUAAGCCUUUUAUAUCACCCUUUAGUGAAAACCCUAGGCUCCAAAUAAAUGAAAAAUAAAACCCACGUUUAUUUGCUUUUUCAAUAGGGGACCCACCUUGUAAAAUAACAUAAGGCCCCUUAUACAAAAGCUAAUUAAAUGGAGCCUCCCACUAAAUGAUAUAUUUAGGCUUUUGACCCAAAUAGCUGGUUAUCUUACUUAUUAGUCCAGUAGUGGUGCAGUCAAUUAAAUGAGCUAACCCGGGGAUCAUUUGGGAACAUACAAUAGUGGCUACAAUAAUUAGGCCUGUAAUUAAACUAGCCCAAUUAUUUAAUUCCAAAUCUACUCCAUUAAAAGAUUGGAACUGACUUCCAUAAUUGUAUGCUCGAAUAAUAAUUCGUCCCAAGCCACAUUGAUUUCUUUACUGCACAAUCCUUUGUACCACAUCGUUAAUUAAAUUGAUAUCUCAACUGUCCAAUCAAUUUAAUAACAUCUUAUUCCUUGAUCCUUACUGGUUUUCUCUAAUGAUCAUUUUCAACAUACUAAAUAUGUUGACACACUCUGGCCAGAGAAUUCUAUGAUCAAGUGCCGAAAACCCAUGAAGAGAUGUGUUGUACAAAUUCUAUAUUGUUAAUCUAUAACUCCAAUACUCAUAAUUGCUCCCACCAAGAUACCGGGUAAUCUUGACCACAAGGAUGUGUCGUGCCCAUUGGUAACUCAAAUGGAAUAACAAUUACAAUCAUGAAAUCAUAAUUAACUCAAGAUUAAGAUUACAGUAAAAUCAACGCCUAUGAGAUUUAAUAAGUCUGACAGUUAUUACAAAGUUAAUUAAAUCUCAUAUGUGAUCCUGUUCAAUGUAGUCGUACUACAUCAAUAAAUUCAUACAUGAUUAAGACAAAUCAUUCAAUGAAUUUAUUACAGUCUAUACCUAAAUAAAGUGCCCAACUUUAUUUAUCAACUGCGAACUAAAUUUAUUUAAUCAUAAGAUAACAUGUAUUUAUGUCUUCUGUGAAUCCACAUGGUAAUCACAUAAAUACAUAUAAUAUGAUUAAAUGGACUUUAAUACAAGUAUUAAUGCAAUUAAGAUAUUUGAAUAAAAUACCUCAUUUAUUUUAUUAAUCAGAAAAAUAGUUUAUUACAAUUAAAUAAACAUAUAUGCUUUUAAAGAGCAUAUUUUCCCAACACAUACCGGUUUGGUUAUCUUGCUGCAAGUGCACCACAUUAGCCUUGCAUUCUGGUGCCAACUCCUCCGGCGGUUCACCCACUACCUUUCCCAAUGCUUUGGACCUCCAUUCGGUCUCCAUCAGAUUUCUCAGGAGCACUAAAUAAAGCAGCUAAAACUUGCUUCUGUAGUUCAUUUCUGUCUUUCGGGUGUCUAGGCAAUUUUCCUUCGUUGGUAUUUCGAUCUUCCUUUACAUGACUGAGGAAAUACAGUCAAAAGCUAAUCAAGUAACCAUACAUGGAUGAGAAAUCCCUCCACCCCCUUCCAAAACAAAGUCUAAGAAAUAUCAGAAUUCUUUCAGUAAAAACCCUUCCCCCCAUGCUGUGCCCACUGAAUGAAAUAUAUUAAUCUUAUGAGAAGUUGAGAAAAUAAAUUAAAGACCAUACCCUCCGGAAGAAUUCAAUUGUUGCAAUUUUCUUUCACGUGGAGGUCCUCCAAAGUUAGAGCACAUAUCCGUACACUGUUUAUGAAAUCAUAAUAACAGGGGACCAUUUAUUAAUAACAAAUCUUGACACCUAAAAGUCAACUGUGAUGAAAAAGAUUAAAAAGAAUAUGAACUUGUUAUCUUGGAAGUGAAAAAUAUUUGAGAUGCUUGAAUAUGGUGAAAAUAGUAAUUGUUUUUGUUACUUCUACAAUUCUUGAAUUUUACAAAUAUAUAAAGACAUUCAAGAUGCUGUACAAGGAAAGACAAUAUUUACAAUAAUUAUAAUAAUCAACUAGCCGUUGUGAUGAAUCCACCAUGACAUGUGCUACUAUAUUCUCCAUCAAUUAUGGCUUAGACGAGAUGUUGGAAAUCCUCUUGCCAUGGCGGUACAAGCUACCAUAUUUGUUGCUUGUGACUUGUCCUUAUCAGCCCCCUUUAAGCUAGGCAGUGACAUGCGAUGAACACCUAGCUUGGUUCGUAGCGUGAGAAAUUGAUGCUUCCCCAAAGGUUUUGUAAGAGUGUCUGCAAUCUGAAGAUGAGAAGGCACAUAUCGUGUAAAUAAUGACCCUUUAGCAACCUUUUCACGAACAAAAUGCACGUCAAGCUCAAUAUGUUUCAUUCUAGCAUGAAACACUGGGUUCUUAGUCAUAUGAAUUGCACUCAAAUUGUCACAGAGAAGCGUGGGUGCUUUCGGAAUACAGAACCCAAUGUCAUUAAGUAGAUAUGUGAGCCAUGUUAACUCGGCAGCGGCAGAGGCCGUGGACCUAUAUUCGGCUUUGGCACUUGAGCGAGAGACUGUGUGUUGUUUCUUGGAGCUCCAAGAGAUACAAUUGCUUCCAAGAUAAAUGCAAAAUCCUGUUGUACUUCGUCUUGUUAUUGGACAUCCAGCCCAAUCGGAAUCAGAAAAGGCAUAGAGCUUGAGAGAGCUUUGAGACAAAAAUCUAAGGCCAAAGUCAAGGGUACCGUUAAGGUAACGAAGGAUCAUUUUCACGUCCUUGAGGUUGGCUUUUGUUGGCGCUUGGAAGUGUUGAGAGACUCAAUUGACAACAAAUGUGAUAUCGGGCCUUGUGUAGGUGAGAUAUUGAAGGCGUCCAACAAGGCCUCUAUAUUCGGUUGCAUCCAUAGGUUCAUUAUCAUCCGAACAUGGUAUUGAUCGUAUAGCCAUCGGCGUGUUGAUAGGAGAACAAUCCUGCAUUCUUGCCUUGGAAAGAAGGUCUUUAGUGUACUUCGCUUGAGAUAGGAAGAUGCUAUGCGUGAAUUGUUGAACUUCAAUGCCUAGGAAGUAAUGUAGGUUGCCAAGAUCUUUUAAAGCAAACUUUGAGCUCAGAUUGUUGAUGAUUGAUUGAAUUUCCUUCUCAUUAUUUCCUGUAAUGAUCACAUCGUCAACAUAAAUUAAUAUAAGUAUAAGAAUGGAUUUGUUAUUAAAUAUAAAUAAAGAACUAUCAGCUUUGCUACUAGAAAAUCCAAGAGAAAUUAAGGCUUGAGAAAAACACUCGAACCACGCUCUAGGUGCCUGUUUCAGGCCAUAGAGCGAUUUUUGAAGCUUGCAAACAUAUGUUGGAUGACGUGAAUUGCGAAACCCGGGAGGCUGCUCCAUGUAGACAAUCUCCUUUAGUAGUCCAUGAAGAAAAGCAUUGCGAACAUCCAGUUGCUUGAUAAGCCAUUUUGAGCUCACAACAAUUGCAAGGAUAAGGCGAAUAGUUGUGGCCUUUAUAACGGGACUGAAGGUUUCAUCGAAGUCGACUCCUGGAACCUAUGUGAAUCCCUUGGCAACUAAUCGAGCUUUAUAGCGAUCAAUGGUUCCAUCUUCUCUGUAUUUGAUACGAUAUACCCACUUCGAUUUGAUGACAUUAACAUUGUUAGGCCGCGGCACAAGGACCCAUGUAUGAUUUUGAUGCAAUGCUUGAAGCUCUUCUUUCAUAGCUUGAGUCCAAAGUGGAUUCUUUAAGGCAAUUUUGAGUGUUUUGGGUUCAAUUUCUCUACUGUCGCUGGCUUGAAGGGCUAAUUUAGGAUUUUGUUUGAGUUUAUUGCGUGUCAUCAUGGGAUGAGUAUUUAUGCUUUGCAGUUCUGCAGCUGUGUUUGGUAUCUUAAGUUCCACAAAUAAGCGAUUGGAUAUGUCAGGAUAAUCUGGUUGUGAAUUUGUGGCAGGGCUGUUGUCCGUAUUUCUGGACAAAUUAAGUGGUUCAGUUGCAUGUGAACUACUAGAAUUUGAAUCAUUUGUAGUCAAAUGUUGCAUUGCAUGUGGAGACUCCAAAAUAUUUGGAAUUGCUUCUGACUUGUCGUGUGGAGUUGCUGAAUUCAAAUUGUCCUCUAAAUUGUCUUGUGGGAAAUCUAAAAUAAUUGGAGAAGUGGCAUUUUAGUUGUUGUCCAAGUUCACGUCCUUGUGGGGCAUGAAUUGCACAUGUGGUGUUGAUAUUGUAGCGCCUUUACAAUUGUUUACUUUGACAGCACGUGAAUCAUUAAGAUUCUCACAAUUGGGAGAAUUCUUUGGGAGCCACUCAUCUUGUUGAGGGAAGGUGGUCAAUGUACUAUGUUCCUGCACAUUAAAAAAUGAUGUUAAAAUUUUUGAAUGGUAAAUAAUUUUCAUCAAAUACAACAUGCCCAUAUAUAUAUACACGAUUAGUCUCAGGUUGUAGACAACGACAUCCUUUAUGGAGGGGACUAUAGCCUAUGAAAACACAUGGAUAUGAUUUUUUUAUCAAAUUUUGUUUUACUGUAAUCCUGAAGAUAAGGAAAACAUCUACAACCUAGGACUUUUAACCCUCUAUAAUCCGGUAAUUUUUUGAAAAGAAUUUCAUAAGGGCUUUUAUUUUUUAAAGGUGAAAGAGGCAGCCUGUUAAUGAUAUAAGUGGCUGCAAGAAAAGAAUCCACCCAUAAUUUGAGUGGCAAAGAAGCAUGAAACAUCAUCGUCAAGGCUGUCUCAUUGAUGUGCCUAUGCUUUCUCUCAGCAACACCAUUUUGCUCCGGAGUGUAUGGACAAGAAAUUUGUCUUGUGAUGCCGCAAUUUUCAAGAUGUUUGAUGAAGGCCGUAUCCAUCACUUUGAAAUAUUGUGAUCUUUUUGUCCAAUUGUUUUUCAACUUGUUUCUGAAAUUUCAAGAAGCACUCCAAGAAAUCAGAUUUUUGUUUUAAGGGAUAUAACCAACUAAAACGUGAGUAAUCAUCUACAAAUAAUACAUAGUAACGAAAAUGUUGAGUAAAAGUAAUGGGAGCUGGACCCCAUAUAUCACAAUGCACUUUUUGUAAAGGAAAAUCUGCUUUAUUAUUAGAUAAAUUAAAAGAUUUCCUACAACUCUUGCCUAAUUGGCAAGAAACACAAAUAUGGGGUGCUUUAGACCAACUAGAAAAGUCAAUAAAAUUAUUGCGUUUUAAGGCCUCCAAGAUUUUAGGAUUGGCAUGGCCAAGCCUCUUGUGCCAUAAACUAAAACCGCUAGAUUCUCCUUGAAUUGUGUUGAAGGCAGCAUGAAAGUCUCAUUCCAAUGUGUAUAGCUUCCCUUGCUUACUCCCCUUUGCUAGAACCUUGUUUUCCUUUCUCUUCACAAUAAAACCAUCAGUGUUAAAUUUAAAAACACAUUUAAUAUCAUCAAUGAGUUGUCCAACUGAUAAGAGAUUCUUUUUGAGUUUUGGAACAACUAAAAUAUUAUUUAAGUGCAAAGAACCGUGAUUUGUAUUUAAAGAAGCAGAACCAAUAUGUGAAAUAUUUAAAUCUUGACCAUUGCCAACAAUUAUUUUGUCAUUACCUCUAUACGGCCUUACAUGAUCAAGAUUAUCUGUGUUAUUUAUCAUGUGUGAUGUUGCUCCAGAAUCCACAUAGAACUGUUGAUCAUUAUUUUCUUGAAGAUUCAUCGCAGCUAGGGCAUGUGGAUCCUCUUCAUUGUCAUAGUCGUAUCUGUACCAACAUUCAGCAGCACUAUGUUUGCGUUUGUGACAGAUUUGGCAAAUAACUUCUUCAUCUGAGGUAUUAUUUUCUUUAUUUGGUUUUUGAGGCUGCUGUUGUGGUUUACGGUUGUUGCCAUUGUUGUAGUUGUUGGGGUAAUUUCUACCACCUGAGUUGCGUUGAGAUCCUCUGCCUCGGUAUGGAGGUCUUCCACCUCUUUGAUUUCUGCCUCUUCCACCUAUAUUAUGGAAAAGAUAGAGUUCUCUGAAUCUGAAAGACUGAAACAUUUUGCAUAUUUCGUGAAAGGGAAAUAUUUGUAGAUACUAGUUCAUGCAUUGAGGUAACAUCAAUGUUAAAGAAAAACGGCAAUAACUUAUUAUAUAGAAUUAGGUUCACUUGCUUUAAAUGCUGGUCUGGUCAACCAUAUGAACCUGUAAGUGUAUCUGCAGAAGUAUGGUCAGCCAUAUGAACCUUUUUGGGGGGCAAAUUAGAAAAAUUUUCCUAAAAAAGUGAAAAAAAUCAUUUUUUUUUUUUUAAAAAAAAAAAACUUUAAAAAUUUUUUCAAAAGCUUUUUUUUUUUUUUAAAACCAAUGGUUUGAGGCUGCUGUUGUGGUUACGGUUGUGCCAUUGUUGUAGUUGUUGGGGUAAUUUCUACCACCUGAGUUGCGUUGAGAUCCUCUGCCUCGGUAUGGAGGUCUUCCACCUCUUUGAUUUCUGCCUCUUCCACCUAUAUUAUGGAAAAGAUAGAGUUCUCUGAAUCUGAAAGACUGAAACAUUUUGCAUAUUUCGUGAAAGGGAAAUAUUUGUAGAUACUAGUUCAUGCAUUGAGGUAACAUCAAUGUUAAAGAAAAACGGCAAUAACUUAUUAUAUAGAAUUAGGUUCACUUGCUUUAAAUGCUGGUCUGGUCAACCAUAUGAACCUGUAAGUGUAUCUGCAGAAGUAUGGUCAGCCAUAUGAACCAUAUGGGGGGACAAAUUAGCUAAAUUUUCCUCUUAUUUAUGGGUUUGGUCAUUUUUUCCCCUUCAGCUUUCCUUCUCCUGAAGUAUGUUAACAAUUGCAGAUAAUGACGAAGAGGACCGCUUCCAGGCUCUUCGUAGAGCUGCGAUGUAAUAUAGGGGCACAAUGAAGGAACAUUGUAAAGCUGUAGGUUCUUUUUCUCCUGUCAUUUAUGUUUUCUCACACAUUUUUUAUAUGCUCCAAGCAUCCAAUUUUGUAUGUGUCUUUGCCUUUUAAGUUUUAAAAACCAUAAAGUAAGAAUACAGUUCCUUGUCAGGUUAUUGAUGCAUUCACUCAGGGGGAUCAUGCUCGAGCAGGAAAACUUCUAGAACAGGUAAGGUUUCCAUCUACAGCCAUUUAUUGACAACAUAUAUAUUUUCAUUCAGCAAGCACUGUUAGCAUUCAAGAUGCUGGCAGAUUCACUUGAUUCUUAUUAGUUUGUUUAGUAGCAAAGCAUAUAACCUGUAUUUUAAAGCUAAGUUGUGCUAUUGAUUAUGUUAACUUUAUUGUUCACAUAAAGUGAUAUUGAGGAAAUAAUCAAUGUAGGAAAAUUAGGUGAAGAGAUGAUGUCAAAUCUUGAACCUCUUACAAAACUCCAAGUUCUUUACUUGAAGAAGCUACCAAAUUCGAACAGCAUCUACUGGAAGGCCUUGCCAUUCCCUGAUGUAUGCAGAAUUUUUGUAUUUAAAUGCCCAGAGCUUAAGAAGCUGCCACUAGAUCUUGAAAGGGCAGGCCAAGGUAAAAUUCUUAUCAAGGAAAAGAAAGAUGGGUGGAAACAACUUCAAUGGGAGGAUCAAGUAACUCAUAUUGCAUUGCUUCCAUCUUUAAAAUCAACCAACAAGUGAUUGAAGGGGGCAUCAUCAACAUCAUCAACAUGGAUAGAGAGAUUCUGGAGCAGAUCAGCCGGGUUUAGUACGACCUGUGGUGGUUUCUUUUUUGUGACUUUUUUCCCUUUCAUUUUUUCACUUCCUGUCAUAUUAUCAUUUCUUUGUCUCUGUUUCUAUUGCUGGUGUUGCUGCAUGCUUGCUGCCCUUGACAAAGUUAGCUAGUUUUUUUGUUUAUUAAAUUUUGUAUGUUCGGGACAGUCACAAAGUACUACUUGUUCUAUAUGGGGGUGAUGUGAAUCAACUUUUCAAUUAUAUAUUCUGUGGUAAUUGUGAAUUCAAUUUCAUUUGUCUCCUGCAAAUUAUGAAGAAAGUGCAGAGUUACAAUAUGGAAAAGUUCACUGGCAAAUACUUUGUAAAAGCUUCGGAGUGAAACAGGGAAUGCACUAGCAACUAAGGACAAAUUGGUGGCCAGCUAAUGCAUUCAUUUUAUGUACAUUGCUAAUUUGUAUGUUAAUUAUUAGAUAAUCAAUUAUUUGGAUAAUCCCUUGUGUUUUAUCUCUAAUUAGAACAUCAAUCUUCACAAUAUCUACAAUGCUACAAUGGCUAUAAAACAAAACCUGUUUGCAAAUUGUCAAGGAUACUUAUCCUUUCGCUUGACAAGUCAUUUGGAAAAAUAUUGUCCCUUGGCGGCUCCAUGUCUUCUCUGCCCCUCCUUUUGGUCUUAAUGUACGGUUGCAUAAUGAUAGUUUAGGCCCUUCAGGGACUACUUUCCCUGGUGUUGUUAAGUCUUAGCUUGUGCUAGGCUCGUUUUUCUUACCAAAAGAAAAGGAAUACUUCUCCUAUAAGAAAUAAUCUCUAUAUAUAGGGUAGUUGGAUUCACUUGUUUACAUAACAAAUCAAUUAGUUCUCUGUAAGUAGAGAGUUUCAAGUAUGAGAGAAACGGUAGGUCUAUCGAGAGAUUAUGUGUUAUUAGGAUUUUGGUUGUGAAGAAAAGUACUAGAGUGAUUGUGUUAAUUUUCUACAUAGUGGAUUUUUCUAUCGUCAUCUUUGUGGCUGUGAUUUUUCUUUUAUAUAGAAGUUUCCCACGUAAAUUGUUAUGUUAUGUGAUUAGUUUUAUUCUCCAUCUAUUUUUUGUUUAUUAUUUGUUUGAUAUUUUAUUUGUAAGAUGUUGGAUGGGAUUAAAAUUCCUUAACAAAUAACGGAUUAAAAAUAUUGAAGAAAAAGCUCAAGAGAUCUUCAAGAUUUGAAGUGUGAAAAAGUUCAUAUUACUGCUAGAUGAUAUAUAGGAGCGGGUUGAUUUAGUAAAAAUGGGUGUCCCUCUUCCUAGAUCAGAAAACAACACAUCCAAAGUGAUAUUUACAAACCCGUUCUGAGGAAGUUUGCGGCUUAAUGGAAGCUCGUAGGAGUUUUAAAGUGGCGUGCUUAUCAAAUAAAAAUGCUUAGGAUUAUUUCGAUACAAAGUUGGGGAAGAAACUUUGAACAAUCAUCUUGAUAUCCUUGAGCAAGCACAAUAGUUGUUAAGGAGUGUGGUGGUUUGCCACUUGCACUUUUUACCAUCGGCCGAUCUAUGGCGUGCAAGAAGACACAGCCGAAGAAUGGAGAUAUGCUAUUCAAGUGUUCACUUCGUCCGCUUCCUGUUUCCAGGUCUGGAAGAAGGGAUAUAUACUCUUGUAAAAUUCAGUUAUGAUAGUUUACCCAAUGACACAAUUACACCUUGUCUGUUAUAUUGUAGUUUAUAUCCAGAAGAUUGUUGCAUUUCUAAAGAGAAUUUGGUAGAUUGUUAGAUCAAUGAAGGAUUUUUUAAUGAAAGUGAUUGGUUUGGAGAAAAAAUCAAGGAUACUUCAUUUUGGGCAUUCUUCUUCAUGUUUUUUUUUGGAAAAGGGAGGAGAUUGUGAAGUGAAAAAUGCAUGCAUGACGUUAUUCGUGAUAUGGCUUUGUGGAUCGCAUGCGACUAUGAGAAGGAGAAGGAGAACUUUUUGGUUUACGCUGGUGUUGGUUUAGCUAAGGUACCGGAUAUUAGAGAUUGGGAAAAGGUAAGGAGAUUGUCAUUGAUGAAAAAUAAAAUUGAGAAUCUAUCUGAGGCUCAUACAUGCCCUCAUCUCCUCACUUUCUUUCUUGACGAUAAUGAGUUUCGGAAGAUCCCCGGUGAUUUCUUCCAGUUUAUGCCUUCUCUCACUGUUUUAAACUUGUCAUGUAUUAAACUAAAGUCAGUUCCUUUAGGGACUUCAAGGUUGGUUCCACUACAACAACUCGAUCAUUCAUAUUCAAGCAUAAAAGAGUUGCAAGAAGAGUUAAAUGCCCUGAUUAAAGUUAAAUGCUUGAAUAUAGAUCAUGUAGAGGAGCUAAUUACAGUUCCACAACAACGGAUAUUUAAUUUUUAAGGUUAUAUGUGUUGAGAAUGUUCGAUACUAUUAGUUUAAAUUUUCAAGAAGCAUUAAAUAAAGACAGCAUUUUAUUUGGUGGGGAGGAAGUUUAAGCAGAGGAGUUGCUCGGUUUGGAAUAUUUGGAGGUAUUGAGCUUCACUUGAGAAGUGUUCGUGCUCUCCAAUUUAUUUUGAGCUCACAUAAGCUACGAAGUUGUACUCAAGCGCUGUUCCUCCAAUCCUUCAAUAAUUCGAUAUGGCUUGAUAUUUCACUUUUGGCAGAGUUAAAAGCACCACUGCAGAUUUAAGUAUUUUUGGCUGUAGAAAAUUGGAGGACUUGAAGAUGGAAUAUACAGGGGGAGCGAAAAACAAGCGGCAACCUUGUGUUUUCUAAGGCCUACAUACAGUUCACAUAGAGGUUUGUUCUAAAUUGAAGGACUUAACAUUCCUUGUUUCUGCUCCAAAUCUCAAGAACUUGGAAAUACAAAAUUGCCCUGCUGUGGAAGCAAUCAUCGGUGUGGGAGAAUUUGCGGAAGCUCUAGAUGUGGUGGAAAAUCUAAACCCAUUUGCAAAACUCCAGUUUCUUGGACUAGAAAAUCUGCCAAAUGUGGAGAGCAUCUAUUGCAGGCCUCUGCCCUUUCCAUGUUUGAAAAGAAAUGACUGUGGAUAGUUGCGGUUGUCUUAAAAAGCUUCCACUCUACUCCAACAGAGUAAAAGAGUGUACAAUUGUUAUUUCAUCAUUCGGAGAGUUAAUGGUGCAAUGAGAUUUGGCAGUUAACUCUCGUGGGAAGAGCUUUAAUGGGAAGACGAAGCCACUCGAAUUGCUUUUCAUUUCUGUUUCAAAUCUCUAAUUGGAUUGGAGAUUGCAUUUCGCCUCAGGUUCGUACUUUUCUUGAAUUUUUCUUGUUAACUUCAUUUGUUCAUUUAUCCAUUUUUUUUUUAAAGGAAUCAGAAGGGUUAAUAUUUUUGGUUGUGUUAGGUCGACUUCUAAUCACGAGGCAGAAGGAGCUGAGAUGAAGUUUAAUUUUGGUGGAGAAAUUGUUUGAUUUAAAAAAUUUAAAUGAGUUGACCAUCAUUCUUUAGCAUAUUUGUAUGAACAGGAGUGUGUAAAUAUGCAAACUGUCCAGCUGUAUGUGUAUAACGUAAUAAUUUUGAGGAGUUAAAACAUUGAAGAAUAUUGAUGUUUCCAUUGUCAAACCAAAUAUACUUAAUUACUUGAGGAUAAUGAUUACUGCUAAUACAUUUGCAAAGAAAAAAACAUGCCUAUUGAAAAACUCAUCUUAUUAGCAACAGCAUUAUAAGUAGUAUCCAAUCAUAGUUUCAUGCAAGAUUUUGAGAUUUUUCAAAUGCUGAUUCCGGGAAUGGAGAUUAAUAGAUAAUGGAGACAGGUUGACUGCAAUGGCUAAUUGCAAGAGGGAAUUUUAGUCGUAAAAACAGACCAACUAGCAAAGCAGAUUCCAAAUCUUGGAAUGAAGUAGCAAAAAAACGAAACAAACAACUGGCAAGAGGAAGUGACUAUACAAUAAUAACAUCGACUUGCAAUUCAACAUUUAUAUAGUUAUACACACCAAGAAAAGAGAAAAUUACAAUAGCAAUUUGGCUACUAGAAGAUGUUCAUUCAUGCUUAUGCCUGUCAUAUGGAUUUGAAACAAGGAGUAAAAGCAUUUAGAGUGGCUUUAUCCUUCCACUGCAGCUCAUUCCACCAGUGUUGCUCUCCCCUAAUAACAAGUUUGCGUUCCUUGGCGCUGUUGUAAUCGAGUGGAAGCUUCUUGAGGUUCGGGCAUCCAGAUACAAACAAUUCCAAGAGAUUUGGAAAGGGCAAUGCAUUCAAACAGAUCUUCUUCAAAUUUCUUAGAACUUGCAACCGAAGAUAUUGGAGUUUCGCAAAAGGUUUUAGCCCUGGAACUUCUUCCACUUUCCAAACACUGAUUAUUUCUUCCAUCUCAUAACAACGUUCUACAUGCACCAUCUUCAGAUUUGGGGCAAAAACAAGCCUUGUCAUCUCCCUCAAUUUACUGCAAUAGUCUAUGGUAACACUUUGAAGGCUGUUGAAACCAUAAGUUCUCUUGUUGUUUGAACUUCUGCAUAGUCAACCUUUAGCUCUUCCAAACUUGUACAAUACACAAAAUCUAGUUUGUCAAGGUACUUGAGAUCUGCUAUGGACAAAAUAUUCCAUGACCUUGAAUCCUCACAGCGGCGAAGCUCUAAAGCAUAUUUACAACUCUUGUACUGUUGGCAGCUCAAAAGUCUUCGUAGAGCAUAAAAACUUCUUAACGUGACGCUUAAUACAUUUAAAUGUUCCAAAGUAAUCAACUCCUCUACCAAAAUUUCACUACCACCAAAUAGAACGCUAUCUUCUGGUACUGUAUUAGCAGAGCCACAAUCUAGCAUCCUCAACACCUUUAACCCAGAAAAAUUACAAAGCAGUUGCCGUGGAAUCGUAUGGAGAUAACGCAUGUACUCCAAGUUCAAACACUUUAGAUUUUUCAAGGCUUUUAAUUCAUGUGGUAACUCUUUGAUGAAAGUUUCUGAAAGAUUAAGAUAUUGUAGUGAAACCAAUUUUGAAAUUCCUGAAGGCAAUUGACUCAAGGAGCGAUUCUUUGAUAGGUUUAAAACUUUUUUUUUUUUGGUGAGAGGGGGCUCGUCAAAACGAGCUAAAUAGAAACAAAACGGGGUUGAGUAACCCCAAACAAGUCUUGCGAAAUGAUAGAAUAUAUACCCAUAGGAGGGUCAGAGAACACUUGCAAUCCAAGAGGAGCUGAAUGAGCCAUAUUAGCCAUGAAGUCCGCAGCUGAGUUUGCUUCACGAUAGAUAUGGGUGAUAGCAAUCUGCCAAUUUCUACUUAAUAAUUCGUGGACAGCUACUAUUAAAGCAUGGAACACAUUAGGAACGACCACCUGCUUAGAGAUUAUUUGUGUAAUACAAAGACUAUCCACUUCCACCAACAGCCGUUUUAUGCCUACAUCCCAAGCCAGAAUUAGACCCUGAUACAGCCCCCAAAGCUCAGCCAUAAGCACUGAACUCUCCCCAAUUCUCAUACAAAAUCCGGAAAUCCAAUGACCGACUGAGUCUUGAAUGACACCUCCUGCUCCUGCUUCCCUGUCAUUUUUACGAGAGCCAUCUGAAUUUAAUUUGCACCAUGGCCAUGGCGGCGGAAUCCAACGAAUAAAAAUCUCCUUUCUCCUCGGCUGUUGACUUAUACCGGAAUUAUAAACUUUGUAAAUUUCAUUAGCUCUAGCCAUAGCAUCCAUAUAGACUGUUACACCAUCCACCAACUUCCCCGCAAACAAGAAAUGGUUCCUCCAGAACCACAGCCUCCAAACCACCACUCCAAAGAUACAAUCCCAAGGGAGGGAAGAUGCAAUCUUCCAUUUGUUCUGCAAGUUCCCAGUAAUCCAUUCACGUAGAUUCGAAUUGAAGAAAGCGUUAUGAGUUGCCAUUGGGACAAGCUUACGCCAAACCUGAUUAAUACAGCAGUAAUCUCUCAAUGCAUGGAGAAUAUCUUCAACCGCACCCCCACAUCUAUCACAGCCCUCAGGAGCAUUGAUAUGGCGCCUAGCUAGCUCAACAUGAGUCUUUAAUUUCCCAUGCAUCAGCUGCCACAGAAAAAGACGGAUGGAUUGAGGCCCCUUCCAACUCCACGGAAGCUUCCAAAUUCUGUCAUGAUCAGCCAAGUGAUGAUAGCAAAGGGAUGCAUAAGCUGAACGAACCGUAAACAUGCCGCUCGGAUCCAGACCCCAGUAAAUUUUGUCAGACCCAAAAUGCGGUCUCGGAGGCAUGACUGAUGCGAUCUGCAUGAGAGUAUAAUGUGGCAGCAAAUGCUCAAAGCUCGACCAAUUCCAUCCCCCCUGACCAUUCGUAAACUCACUCACGGUGGCGUUGAUAAGCUCCUGAGGAAUCGGCUGGAGAGCUAGGCUGCUCAAGGGAUAUUUCGUAGCCCAACAAUCUAUCCAAAAGCGAGCUCGACCUCCAUCGCAAACAGACCAGCGAGCUCCCUGAACUAUUGUCAACCACUUGCUACGAAUAGCUCUCCAAAUCUGAGAACCCGGUUUAUCUGGAAGGGACAUCGGUAAAUUUGCUGGAAUCCAAUCCAUAUUUGGAACAGAAAACUUUCACCCACAAUUUAUCCGAGCUGGACACAAUCUCCCAGCUCAAUUUCAUUAUCAGCGCCUGGUUCAUCUCGUCCAUUUUUUUGAACCCCAGACCUCCAUAUUGUUUCGGCAUGCAGAUUUUGCUCCACCCCACCAUACUCAUCUUAGGACUCUUUGAAUUCCCAUCCCAAAUAAAUCGCCGACAAGAUUUGUCUAUUUUAUGCCUCACUGGAGAAGGAAGAAAUGUCGUUUGCAUGGCAUAAAUAGGCAUUGCUUGCAGAACUGAUUGAGCCAGGGUGACGCGUCCAGCAAAAGAGAGAUGAGUCGCAUUCCAACCAGUAAGUCGGUUAUCGACUUUAUCAAGGAUGGACUGAUACGUGGAUUUAUUAACCCGCGUGUGAAUUAAUGGCAUUCCAAGAUAAUCACCCAAAUUAUUUGUGGCCGAAAAACCCAAAGUAGAGCCUAUGAGAUUGGCAUCCCGAGUAUCAACAUUUUUUGAGAAGAACACCUUGGUUUUCAACUUAUUUAUUUUUGCUUCAGAGCUCCUACAAUAGUUUUCCAGAACAACAUCAACCACAUAAGCUUGGUCAAUUGAAGCUUCCACAAAUAAAAGCAAAUCGUCUGCAAAAAAGAGAUGAGUUAAGGGAGUUCCAUAUUUGGCCAACCUAAUAGGCCUCUAUCUCCCAUCCAUUACCGCUUGGGUUAUCCCAUGACUCAAACGCUCGAUACACAGAACAAAAAGAUAAGGCGAGAGGGGAUCUCCCUGACGAAUACCUCUCCCUGGAGUGAAGGUCCCUGUAACCUCACCAUUCCACAAAAUACUCAUACUAGCUGAAGUUACGCAAUCCAUGAUAAGUCUAGAUAAAUGAGUUGGAAUACCAGUCUGUUGAAGCGUAUCAAAAAUGAAAUCCCAAUUAAGCCAGUCAUACGCCUUCUCUAGGUCAACCUUAAUGGCCAUAAAUCCUUUCCUGCCAGUUUUUCUGCGCAUUGAGUGAACAACUUCCUGAGCCACAACAAUAUUAUCUACGAUAUUCCUCCCUGGAACAAAACUUGUCUGAUUGGGGCCUAUUAGAUUGGGCAACAGCGAUUGCAAGCGAGUGGCUAUAAUUUUAGUCACCGUCUUGUAAGCCAUUGUGCAUAGGCUUAUGGGCCUAAACAUCUUUAAGCUAGUAGGGUGCUCCUCUUUUGGAAUCAAAACCAGGAGGGUAGUAUUUAUCUCUUGCGGCACUUUGCCCGUGGUAAAAAUAUCAUCAAUAAACCUGCAAAACGACGGACCCACAACAUACCAUUGGGAUUGAUAAAAAAUAGCAUGCAACCCAUCCGUAUCUAGAGCUUUCAGCGGCUUCAUACUAAAAACGGCACUUUUAAUCUCCUCCCUCAAAAUUGGGGCUGCGGCACCAUCAACGUCAUGAGAACUCAAGUCUGGAAAAAAAUUUGGCACAUGGUAGUUCUGAUAAAUAGCAUUUUCUCUUUUAAAUAAUUCUGAAAAAUACCCCACUGCAUGCCUCUUUAUAUCUUCCUCAUCAUACAGCCAAUUCCCUGAACUGUCUCGGAUAGCCUCGAUUCUAUUCCGCCGCCUUCGAGCAAUAGUUUUUUUAUGGAAAAAAUUCGUAUUUCUGUCUCCAUGUAAAAGCCAAUCCUUUCGAGAUUUCUGGAGCCACAGAAUUUCCUCCUGGCUCAUCACCAUUUCGAGCUCAUUACGCAAUCGGGCCUCCAAUCGCCUCAAACUGCGAGAGCUAUAUUUCUCUAGGGUGGCUUGAAUUCCAUUAAUCCGAGCCAUAAGCCGGCGUUUCCUCUGAAAGAUAUUCCCAAACACAUCUCGAUUCCAAACUUGAACCUCCUGAACAAAAUGAGAAGCUGCUGCACUAUAGUGGGAUUGCGGAUUCCACAUCCGCUUAACAAAAUUGUUAAAGUGCUCAUGAGUUAACCAAGCAGCCAAGAAGCGGAAAGGCCUGGUGUUGAGUGUUAGAAAAUGCAUAUUUAUAAAGGAGAAAACCGUCAUUUUACAUUUUAAGUCUUACUAACAACCCUUACUUUUAUAUAUUUAACCUUCUUGUGAUUUAAUUACAUGUGUUUUAUUUUAAUUAAGUAUUUUAUGUAUUUUAGGGGCAUUAUAGUCAUUUCACAAUAAAGGAGAGAUCAGACGGCAAAACGGACAUCACUUUUGAACUCAGGACGGUCGAAAACCUUAGGAGGAGCAUAAAAGGAAAAAUGGCACUAUUCACAUGUACGGUACUAUUCACGUAUACGGUACUGUCUACGUUACUGUUCACGACACUGUUCACAUAGACGGAUCGAUGACGUGGCAUUGACCGAUGAUGUGGCAUUGACUGAUGAGGUGUCACGAUCCUGUUGGGCUAAAAUUCUUAUGUACUGUUGAUGGUGACGUGGCAGCAUAUCAGUGGACGAAAAAUCUCGUGUACGGUGCAUGCAUCACACAGGAUUAUUUUCAACCAAACCGCGUUACUGUUCAUCCGGGUCAAACCGCGUUACUGUUCAAAGUCGGGUCAAACCGUGUUACUGUUCAUCCGCGUGGUCAAACCGUGGACUGUUGACUGAUGACGUGGCGCAAUCCUGAGCGUCCAAACUGUUUUUAAUCCGAUGGCCAUGAUUUACUCCAUGUAUCUAUAAAAAGGGGGCCUCCCCCCCCUAAUUUGAUAUCUCUGAAUCCAUUUUUGGGAUCCAUUUUCUGUAAUUCCUUCUCCAUCUUGUAUUUUCUUCGUAUUUUAAUAAAUUCCCAUUUUGCCCCUAGUUCAAUUAUGAGUGGCUAAUUUUCUUUCAAGCUUGGGUUGAAGGUGAAGUCUCAACAUGUGUCAUGGGCUUAAUUUGGUAAAUUUAUUUUCUCUUCCCCUCUAGUUUUUGUGGAUGUUUUGACUUCUCGUCGACAAAUAAUACUAAUCUUGUCUAGUACCGCCUUGGUUUCACCGGCUCUCUAGUAUAAGGUUAUUAUUAUUUGGCACGAUAAGCCCUUAGCACCAUAUUGAUUAGAGCGUGGUUCAUGCGGUGUGGAUUCCCCCCUCAUGAUUUAAUUGGUAUUAAUAAGGAAUAUUUAGCCUAUGAUGCAUGUUGAUACGGAUCCAGAUACCCAAGUACGUCAUUUCAAUAGAAUUCUCUUCAAUUUAUUCUCACCAUUUCAAUACCAAUUUUAGAAUUUAUUCUCUCCAUUUUAAUUUAAGUUUUAGCAUAUUCCAAUCAUUUCCACCACAAAUCUAAUCACCCAUUCACAAAAUUAAUUCUACACAAUUAAAAUCCACCUCCUCGUGGGAUCGACACUCGUCACCAUUAAUCUAUACUACAACAGAUUCGUGCGCUUGCGAGUACAUUAAAAUUUGCACAACAAGUUUUUGGCGCCGUUGCCGGGGAGGUAAGUAAUUUUAAUUCAUAGAAUUAAUUUUUGUGAAUAAUUUCUUUUAUUUGUUUUCUUGUAUUUUUUUUAUUAUUAAAAAAAAAGAAAAAAAAAGUGAAUCUACAUUUAAAGGUUAGUAUUUCUUUUCUUUUUCUCUUCUUUAAAAUUCUGUAAUUUAAUUUUCAAUUUAUUUUUUCUUUGUAAUUUUUGUUUAUUUUAUUAAUUUAAUUUUUAGUUAAUUUCACGUAUUUGUUUUUGUGUAUUUUUAUAGUAAGGUUGUAAUAGCGCAAUAAGGUUAGUAUCGUAAUUUCUCCCUCUUCUUUAUUUUUAUUUGUUUUGUUCCCAUCUUUAUUUUUUGUUUUGUUUGCAUCUUUAUUUUUAUUUUAUUUAUUUGCAUGCAUGGUCGUAGGUCAUUAUUACCUAAUCUUGAACCUAUAGACCUUGAAUUAGAAAAAACACUUCGCACACACAAACACGUUAAAAAUAAAAUGGAUUUACAAGCACCACAGGAGAGGCCAUUUAAGGACUAUUUUAGUCCCUUAGCUAAUUUGAGCACGUCAUGCAUAAGAUACCCAAAUGUAGCUGCUAGGAGUUUUGAAUUAAAACCUAGUGUGUUAAAUUGUCUCCCUACAUUUUAUGGCCUAGAAAAUGAGGAUCCAUAUAAUCAUUUGAAUGAUUUUCAUGCCAUUUGUCAAACAUUCAAAUAUGAGAAUUUUUCAGAUGAUGAUGUUAAACUUAGACUAUUCCCAUUUUCUUUAAAAGAUAGAGCUCGUUCAUGGCUUAAUACAUUGCCUGCUAAUAGCAUUGCAUCAUGGGAACAAAUGGUAACGAAAUUUUUGAAUAAAUAUUUCCCAGUGCAUAAAACCAAUGCUAUUCGCAGGGAAAUCUCAGAGUUUACUCAGAGAGAGGACGAGCAGUUUUUCGAGACAUGGGAGCGAUUCAAUGGGCUACUCUUGAAGUGUCCACAUCAUGGGUAUGAGAAAUGGCAUCAAUGCCAAUACUUUUUGGAGGGAUUACUACCGAAUGUGCAAGAAUGGCUAAUGGCAACAAGUGGAGGAGAGCUAAUGUCAAAAAGUGCAUCAGAAAUUUGGGAGUUUUUCCAGCGACAAGCGGACAAUUCCCAACAACGGAGUCGAUCACUCAGGAAUACUAGAAGGAUUAAAGGAGUGAAUGAGGUUCACAUUGGCGAGUCAACUUCGGGAAUCAAAGAAGUCAAGGAGAUGGUUGAAGGUCUUGCUCGACAAAUAGCAUCAUUAUCGAUUGCUAAAUCAACAGAACCACAUGACCAUGACUCAUACUCAGAUCAAGCCAAUGCCAUAGGUGUAAUGAGAAAGCCAUCAAAUUACAACCCAUACUCCAACACAUAUAACCCUGGAUGGAGAGACCACCCUAAUUUUUCAUGGUCUCAAGGAUUCCAACAGAAUGGACCAGCAGCUCCAGCUCCACCAAUUCCACAAAAUCCUCAAGCCUCUCAGCCAUCAUUUAGACCAUUCAAUCAGAACCAUAAUUAUUCUCAACCCAGACCAUGGGAGGAUGCAUUUCAGAAUUUCAGGAAUGUUACUCACUCCACGAUUGAGCAACAGAACCGCACCAUUGAUGGAUUACGAAAUGAGUUGAAAGCGGGCUUCAACUCACAAGCCCAAUCAGUUUCAAGCCUUGAGAAGAUGGUGGGACAACUUGCUUCUUCAGUUCAGACCUUGGCAAUGACCGUUGAGAAAGGCAAAUUUCCAAGUCAACCAGUACCUAAUCCUAAAGGAGUGCAUGAAGUAAGUACCAGUUCACCACAGCAGCAUGGAGAGGUCAAAGCAGUAAUGACCUUGCGAAAAGGAAAGGAAGUCGACAACAAAGUGGAGAUGCCGGUGACAAAAGAAAAUCAAAUUGUACCUGUGAAUGUUGAGGACUCAUCACCGGAGGAGAAAGAAGAAACUAACCCACGAGAAUAUGUUCCGAAAGCUCCAUUUCCCCAGAGGUUAGCUAAAGGCAAGAAGGGAAAAUCCACAGGUGAGAUUCUCGAAAUCUUCAAACAGGUAAGUGUUAACAUCCCUUUACUUGAUGCUAUUAAACAAGUUCCAUCUUAUGCCAAGUUUCUUAAAGACCUUUGUACUAAAAAGAGAAAUAUGCAUGUUCAAAAGAAGGCAUUUUUAAUAGAAAACGUUAGUUCUAUACUCCAACAUAAAAUUCCUUUAAAAUGCAAAGACCCAGGCUCCCCCACUAUCUCAUGUAGUAUAGGGAACCACACAAUUGAGAAUGCUUUAUUGGAUUUAGGAGCUAGUGUAAAUCUUUUGCCUUACUCUGUAUUCGUGAAACUUGGACUUGGAGAAUUACACCCAACUCCAGUGGUGUUACAACUUGCAGAUCGGUCCACAAAAAUACCUCGUGGUAUUGUGGAGGACGUGCUUAUCCAGGUAGACAAGUUUUAUUUUCCUGUUGAUUUCAUUGUAAUUGACACUCAACCAAUACAGGAUUCAAGGAAGCACAUCCCCAUUAUUCUAGGCCGACCUUUCUUGGCAACUGCGGAUGCUCACAUUCAAUGCAGGACUGGAAAUAUGCAGUUGUCUUUCGGCAACAUGACUAUGGAGCUGAACAUCUUCAACAUUGCCAAACAACCUCACAGUGCAGAUGAUGGAAUUGUUGAUGUGGAUUUAAUAGAAACAAUAGUUGAUAAUACUUUUCUUUCAAACCUUAGUGAUGAUCCUUUACAAACAUGUUUAACUCACUUUGGUUUGGAUUUUGAUAUUGACAGAUCAGUCGAUGAGGUCAACGCCCUGCUUGACUCAACACCAUCCAUGGACACUAAUAAAUGGAAGUCAAGAGUUGAACAACUAACACCAUCAGAGAAGAAACUCAUCACAUCAUCAGAAUCACCACCGAAACUCGAGCUCAAACCAUUGCCCAACACAUUAGAAUAUGCGUUUUUGGGAGAAGAAAGUUCUCUGCCGGUAAUCAUCUCAUCAUCCCUUAAUGACGAACAAAAAGGUAAGUUGUUGGAUGUUUUGAAAGAGCAUAAAGGGGCAUUAGGAUGGACCAUAGCAGACAUAAAAGGUAUAAACCCUGCAGAUUGCAUGCAUUACAUUCACCUUGAUGAAAAUGCUAAAUCUACUAGGGAAAUGCAACGUCGGUUAAAUCCUAAUAUGAAAGAAGUUGUUAGAACAGAAGUCCUUAAGCUAUUAGACGCAGGUAUCAUUUACCCAAUUUCUGAUAGUUCAUGGGUCAGUCCUGUACAAGUUGUCCCCAAAAAGUCAGGAGUCACAGUAGUUACGAAUGCAGAUAAUGAAUUGAUACCCACUAGAGUAACUACAGGAUGGCGUGUACGCAUUGAUUAUAGAAAAUUGAAUUCUGUCACACGUAAAGACCAUUUUCCUUUACCAUUUAUUGAUCAAAUGCUUGAUAGAUUAGCAGGCCAUGAAUUUUAUUGCUUUCUAGAUGGUUACUCAGGAUAUAAUCAGAUUCCCAUAGCACCAAAAGAUCAAGAGAAAACUACUUUCACUUGCCCUUUUGGCACAUUUGCAUAUAGGAGAAUGCCAUUUGGAUUAUGUAAUGCACCUGCUACAUUUCAACGAUGCAUGUUGAGCAUUUUUUCUGAUAUGGUGGAACGAUUCCUUGAAGUCUUUAUGGAUGAUUUUUCUGUCUUUGGUGACUCGUUUGAUCAAUGUUUACAUCAUCUAACACUAGUUCUGCAGAGAUGUAUCGAGAAGAACUUGGUCUUAAAUUGGGAGAAAUGCCAUUUUAUGGUAAAACAAGGUAUUGUUCUCGGUCACAUCAUUUCGAGCAAAGGUAUUGAGGUUGACAAAGCCAAGGUGGAUCUCAUUUCUAAUCUUCCUCCACCCAAAACAGUCAGAGAAGUAAGAUCUUUCCUUGGGCAUGCUGGUUUCUAUAGACGUUUCAUUAAAGAUUUUAGUAAAGUUUCUAGACCCUUAUGCAAUUUGCUUGCUAAGGAUGUACCUUUUGUCUUUGAUGAUUCAUGUCUUGUUGCGUUUGAAAAAUUAAAGCAUUUGUUGACAUCAUCACCCAUCAUUCAGGCCCCAAACUGGAACUUACCAUUUGAGCUAAUGUGUGAUGCAUCUGAUUAUGCAGUAGGAGCAGUAUUAGGACAAAGAGUUGAUCGAAUUCCCCAUGUUAUUUACUAUGCUAGUAUGACAUUGAAUGAUGCACAGUUGAACUAUUCAACUACUGAAAAAGAAAUGCUAGCAGUAGUGUUUGUAUUGGAAAAAUUUCGAUCAUAUCUCAUUGGUUGUAAAAUAAUUAUAUUCACAGAUCAUGCUGCUCUUAAAUAUCUUCUCACAAAGAAAGAUGCAAAAGCCAGACUAAUUCGUUGGGUGUUACUUUUGCAGGAAUUUGACUUGGAAUUCAAAGAUAAAAAAGGGACAGAAAAUGUUGUGGCGGACCACCUCUCUCGUCUCCAUUUUGACACAAUAAUAGAACAAUUACCAUUAAAUGAGUCAUUUCCAGAUGAACAAUUAAUGAGUGUGGAAGUAUUACCUUGGUAUGCUGAUAUAGUUAAUUAUCUUGUUACAGGUAAACUUCCAGAGCAUUGGACCAAGCAAGACAAGGCUAAAUUCUUUGCAGAGAUAAAGAAUUUCUUUUGGGAUGACCCGUAUUUGUUCAAGUAUUGUGCGGAUCAAAUUGUUAGACGAUGUGUCCCAGAAAGUGAAAUUCAGAAUAUCCUUUCAUUCUGCCAUGAACAAGCUUGUGGAGGCCAUUUCAGUGCUAAGAAAACAGCGACUAAAGUUUUACAAUGUGGUUUCUAUUGGCCAACACUAUUUCGAGACGCUUACACUUUUUGUUCUUCAUGUGAUAGGUGUCAACGAAUGGGGAGCAUUACACGAAGGAACAUGAUGCCACUAAAUCCAAUUUUAGUGGUUGAGAUUUUUGACGUAUGGGGUAUCGACUUCAUGGGACCCUUUCCCCCUUCUUUUGGCCAUCAAUACAUAUUGGUUGGUGUUGACUACGUCUCAAAAUGGGUAGAAGCAAUUCCAUGUAGGACCAAUGAUCACAAGGUGGUGAUAGGAUUUUUGAAAAGCAACAUUGUCUCGCGCUUUGGAUUCCCUCGAGCAAUAAUCAGUGAUGGUGGUGCCCACUUUUGUAACAAAGCAUUCAAAGCUCUUUUGACAAAGUAUUCAAUCACGCACAAAGUGGCGACCCCGUAUCAUCCGCAAACCAGUGGCCAAGUUGAGAUCUCCAAUCGAGAAAUAAAGCACAUAUUAGAAAAAACGGUGAGGCCGGACAGAAAAGAUUGGUCAUUAAGACUUGAUGAUGCCUUAUGGGCAUAUAGAACGGCUUUCAAGACCCCGAUUGGGAUGUCACCCUACAGGCUAGUGUAUGGAAAAGCUUGCCACCUACCUGUGGAACUCGAGCAUCGUGCGUAUUGGGCCAUCAAGAAAUUCAAUUUUGACAUGCAGCAAGCCAGCUCAGAAAGAAGAUUACAGCUGGCAGAACUUGAAGAAAUUCGCAAUGACGCGUACGAAAAUGCCAAGAUUUACAAGCAACGAAUGAAAGUCUUCCAUGACAAGCAAAUUAUGAGAAAAUCUUUCACCCCAGGUCAGAAAGUGCUUUUAUUCAAUUCUCGCUUGCACCUAUUCCCAGGUAAGUUACGCUCUCGAUGGUCUGGCCCAUUUAUUGUUCAUACUGUUUUUCCACAUGGGGCAAUUGAAAUUAAAGACCCAAAGAACGGUGUCACGUUUAAAGUUAAUGGUCAAAGAUUAAAGCCAUAUCUAGAGUACCAACCACAUGAAGAAGACACCGAAAUAAAUUUGAGUGACCCACCAAAUUUGAAUUGAUUUUUUUUUUCUUUUCGUUGAUUUGAUUUUUCUUUCUUUCUUUUUAUUAUUAUUCUUUUGCUAAUUGAAAUUGUUUUUGCAUAAGUGUGUUUAUUUUACCAUUAAGUUUUCUCUUAUCAUUUUUAAUCAUGAGUCUCAUACUUAGACCGUUCCUCCUGAACAUUCUUAAACCACUUCAACGUGUCAAAACUCAUCUCAAAAGACAGAUUCAAUUUUGUAAAACACAUCGCAUUUGGGCUCUACAACCACCAGAGUUAGUAGCCUAUGUUGAGGGUUUAGAACACCAACUCAGAGACAUUGAGAGAAGUGUUUACGACAUCCAGUUGGAGCUUGAGGUAAAUUCAAUAAGAGGACGAUUUUAAUUUUCUUUGUGUGUUUUAAUUUGUUUUUCUAUUUGUGUGCUUUAGUUUGUUACCCCGGUGAAAUGGCGGAUAACGGUACUCCGUGACAAUCAAGUCGGUUACUUCAGUCUCCCAUAAUAACUGAUAUUCUGAGGCGAAGGUAUGGACAGAAACGAGAUUCUAGCGAAGCUUCACAAGCGAUUCCCUUCACUUCCUCAGAAUGCCCUCCUUACGAUCUAUAAAGCUCGGUCCGAACGCAUGCGAUUACUCAUGAGGAAUAACAUACCUGCUGACAUCCGUUGGUUAAUCGAGGCUAAAGUACGAUCGGCAGGUGAGUUACCUCCAAAAUUUAUUGCAUACAUGCCUGGUUGUGGUAAAGGAAAUUAUGCAAGAAAACGACGAGCUCGAAGAAUUUCUGUUGCUUGUCAUAAGUGUGCCAGAAUGAGUUGCAAUAAAAACCCAUGUUCUUUAGGAAUGGUGUCUGAUAACAGGGAAGAUAAGAUUCAAUUCAUUAGGGAUGGCUUGAAUAAGGAGUCAUUGGAUGAUAUCCUUUUGUCUCUUGAAACGCAUCCCAGUGGAUAUGUGCAAGGAGCGAUUCUCCAGUUAUGGCCAUUAUUCCAGAAAGAGCAUGCACGAUAUAGUCUCGGGAAUCUGACUAUAAACGACCCUGUUUGCCAGUUUAUAAGAAAAUUGGAUAGGAAGCCUAUCCUCGACCCAUAGAGGGCGUUCAAGCCGUUUCUGGACGUAAAACCAGAGGAAGAUGUGAGCCACAGUCGCAACUACCUGUAAAUAUUCUUUUACUUUAUUAUUUCACUAUUGUCUUAUUGUUUGCAUUAUUGUCUUUAAUAAUUUUAUUACUGUUUGCUUUUUUUCUUUUUACUGUUUUCUUUUUGACUCGCGAGCCACGUGCUUUACGCGUUAUUUGACAUGGACAUGUGACCUCAUACACAACUAUGACCCAUUAUCACCAAGACUCUUAAAUGUGAUUUUCUUUGUCAAUCACUCACAAAUUAUUUUUGCGAAGUAUCACAAUGGCAGCUACUCCCAAUAGACAAUUCAAGAACAUUUGUGUGCUUUCUGGAUUUACAUAUGGCAAACAUAAAGAGUUCGUUGAGGCAGCCAUAGAUCUUGGUCGAAGCAUAGCAGCGAGAAAAUUACACUUGGUGUAUGGAGGAGGUAAUCGAGGGUUAUCAAAAAUGGUCUCAGAAGCAGCUCUUAUCAGAGGAAGUCAAGUGUUAGGCAUCAUCCCAAGAGUCUUAAAACCAUUGGGCAGUUCGUCUGACUCAUCAACUGGAGAAGAGUUAGUCGUCUCAAGUAUGCAGGAAAGAAUAACUGAAAUGCUUAAUCAUGCUGAUGCUUUUAUUUUCCUUCCAGGAGAUCUUGCAACACUAGAGGCACUUAUGACACUAGCAUCUUGGGCCCAUCUACACAUUCACCAGAAACCCAUCGGUUUGUUAAAUGUCAAUAACUUUUAUGAUGGCUUUAUCGCAUUUCUUAACCAUGCAAUAAAAAACUAUUUCAUUCCCUCUAAUGCGAAAAAACUCUUUAUUUGUGCUCACACUGCUAAUGAGCUACUUGAUAUGUUACAAGCUUAUCGACCGGAGCCAGACCCCUGGACCUUUGUGUUGGAGCGUCCAAAUAAUGAUGGUAACAGUAGCCGCAGUAAGAAGUACAAAUUAGAUUUAACUCUCCGCCUGUAAAUAUUUUCUUCUGUGUUGCACCACCCAGGUGAUGUCUUCUAAACUCUACUUCUUUCAUUUCAAACAUUGAGGACAAUGUUUCGUUCUGGUUGGGGGGAGGGAAUAGUCGACAAUUGUGGAAUUUUGGUUAAGUUUUUACUAAUUUUUUGUUGUAGAAACUAACUGUUGCUAACUUUUUGUGUUGAAGAUGGCUGAAUAUGGAGUGUAGUUACUCUAGAAACGCAUCUUCAUUGUUUGAAAAAAAAAAUUCAAAAAAAAAAAACAAUUCAGACAUUUUCUUUUUCUUUAUUAUGUGUUUAUGUUUAUUUUUCUUCUUUAAUUUCUCCUCUAUAAAUAUAAAUUUUCCAACUUUUGAGUCGAAGAUGGCUGAAUAUGGAGUGUAGUUCCUCUAGAAACGCAUCUUCUUUUAAAAAAAAAAAAAUCAUUUUCGUUUUCUAUCAUUUUACGUGUAACUUUUCUAAUUAGUUUUUAUACAUCAUUUUCACAUUUCUGCAUGCAUAUUUUCCUUUCAUGUUUAGAAUAGGUUGGGGGGUAGAAUGAUGUUUAAAAAAAAAAAUGUGUGAUUUGUUUUAACAUUGGAUGACAUGAUUAAUUUCAAAUUUUAGUAUUUGUAUUAUCUUUGGUCUUAAGUGAUGUUACGCUAUGUUUGCUACUUUACAUGUUGAUGUCGGAGACAAAUGUGAGUUGCUUGAAGGAAUGAAUAUGUCAUAAUAAGUACCAAGUGAGUUUUUGAGCCUAUUAUUUUUCUUGGAGAAUAACCCUUUUGCCCACUCUUUAUACAGCUUAGCAGUUUAUUAUUUUAUACACGAUCUCUAAAUUACUUUUGAGUUAACCCUUAAAAAAAAAAUUGUAAAAUAAAAAAAAAGAGAAAAAAGAAAAAGAAAAAAGAGUGUGUUGCUACAUUUGGAGGCCCAUCUAACUAGUAGAUAUGGAAGAUUAUUUAGAGCCCUAAAAGACGAUGGAGAGGCCAUCUUUGAUCCGUUUGAGCCUUUCAAGCCAUCCCUUUUUAAUAUCCAUAGUUAACCCUUUUGAGCCUAUAAAAAAAAAAAAAAAAAAAAAACCUUUUCUUUGUCAACUUAUCAUCUUGACCCACUCCGAUUUGGAGUAUUACCCGAUAUCUUAUAAGUUCCAUCACCUAUUUAUGUUUGAGAAAAUGUAAAUAAUUAUUUUGUUCAGUGAAGUUAUGCCAAAUAAAAAAAAAACAAAAACAAAAGUUGUUGUUUCAAAAGAAUAAAAAUAGGUGAAAUCCACCUUGCAACUUCCAAAAAAAAAAAAAAAAUUCUCUGCAUUUUUCUCAAACAUACACUUUGUUUUCCUUAUUUUCCUUCUUUGUUAGCCAUGUCCCUAGCCUACGUUUCGUCCUAAUAAAAGUCCUUCUUGAUUUUAGGGAACUAUAGUUUGAAGUAGAAGCUAGUUAUAUGGGCUAAAAAGAUGUAGUGAUGCAUAAUUAAAAAAAAAAAAAAAGAUAAAUAAAGUGGGUUGACUAACAUUUUAUUUGACUUGAGAUCGUAUUAUUUCUAAGCUGAGGGCAUAUUUAUUUCAUCUUGGUGAGAGCAUGUGAUAUCACUUCUUUAUUAUUUUCUCUCUCAAUUACCAUUCAUUGGAGUGACUAUUUUUAUUGGGAUUAAUUUAUUUGUGAGAGUGUCACUACUUCCAGUGAGAUUUUGGGGUUUGACAUUUCAUUCUUGAGAGUAGCUAUAACAAAGUCUACUGGGCUAAUUCAUGUGGAUGGUUGAUGUGGGUGUGAUGUUGCUUUAGACUGGAGAUAAUGCUUAUACUUUUAUUUGAUUGCUAUCAUUAAUCUGAUGGAAUAAAUACGAGUGUUUCUAUUAAAAAAAAAAAAAUUAUUUUGAAUUUGAAUUUUGUUUUCGCUUUAUUUGCUAGGGACUAGCAAUAAGCUGGUUGGGGGGUGUGUUGAGUGUUAGAAAAUGCAUAUUUAUAAAGGAGAAAACCGUCAUUUUACAUUUUAAGUCUUACUAACAACCCUUACUUUUAUAUAUUUAACCUUCUUGUGAUUUAAUUACAUGUGUUUUAUUUUAAUUAAGUAUUUUAUGUAUUUUAGGGGCAUUAUAGUCAUUUCACAAUAAAGGAGAGAUCAGACGGCAAAACGGACAUCACUUUUGAACUCAGGACGGUCGAAAACCUUAGGAGGAGCAUAAAAGGAAAAAUGGCACUAUUCACAUGUACGGUACUAUUCACGUAUACGGUACUGUCUACGUUACUGUUCACGACACUGUUCACAUAGACGGAUCGAUGACGUGGCAUUGACCGAUGAUGUGGCAUUGACUGAUGAGGUGUCACGAUCCUGUUGGGCUAAAAUUCUUAUGUACUGUUGAUGGUGACGUGGCAGCAUAUCAGUGGACGAAAAAUCUCGUGUACGGUGCAUGCAUCACACAGGAUUAUUUUCAACCAAACCGCGUUACUGUUCAUCCGGGUCAAACCGCGUUACUGUUCAAAGUCGGGUCAAACCGUGUUACUGUUCAUCCGCGUGGUCAAACCGUGGACUGUUGACUGAUGACGUGGCGCAAUCCUGAGCGUCCAAACUGUUUUUAAUCCGAUGGCCAUGAUUUACUCCAUGUAUCUAUAAAAAGGGGGCCUCCCCCCCCUAAUUUGAUAUCUCUGAAUCCAUUUUUGGGAUCCAUUUUCUGUAAUUCCUUCUCCAUCUUGUAUUUUCUUCAUAUUUUAAUAAAUUCCCAUUUUGCCCCUAGUUCAAUUAUGAGUGGCUAAUUUUCUUUCAAGCUUGGGUUGAAGGUGAAGUCUCAACAUGUGUCAUGGGCUUAAUUUGGUAAAUUUAUUUUCUCUUCCCCUCUAGUUUUUGUGGAUGUUUUGACUUCUCGUCGACAAAUAAUACUAAUCUUGUCUAGUACCGCCUUGGUUUCACCGGCUCUCUAGUAUAAGGUUAUUAUUAUUUGGCACGAUAAGCCCUUAGCACCAUAUUGAUUAGAGUGUGGUUCAUGCGGUGUGGAUUCCCCCCUCAUGAUUUAAUUGGUAUUAAUAAGGAAUAUUUAGCCUAUGAUGCAUGUUGAUACGGAUCCAGAUACCCAAGUACGUCAUUUCAAUAGAAUUCUCUUCAAUUUAUUCUCACCAUUUCAAUACCAAUUUUAGAAUUUAUUCUCUCCAUUUUAAUUUAAGUUUUAGCAUAUUCCAAUCAUUUCCACCACAAAUCUAAUCACCCAUUCACAAAAUUAAUUCUACACAAUUAAAAUCCACCUCCUCGUGGGAUCGACACUCGUCACCAUUAAUCUAUACUACAACAGAUUCGUGCGCUUGCGAGUACAUUAAAAUUUGCACAACACCUGGUCCUCUGGUGGCCAGCCACAUCUCUCUCAAAACGAACCAGCACCGGCCUGUGAUCCGAAGCAAUUUUCGGGAGAUGGAGCACAUAAUUAUUCAUAUAUUUAAGCAGCCAUUCACUAUUACACAAAGCUCUAUCAAGCCUUUUAAAAAGCAAUCCACGUGACCAAGUAAACCUUGGACCCUUAAAUUUCAAGUCAAAAAGUUUAUGCCCAUCAAACCACUUCCGAAACAGAUUACACACUCCUGAGUUCCUGGCCACACCCCCUUGCUUUUCUGAGGCGUAUAAGAUAGAGUUGAAAUCCCCACCUAUCAACCAAGGCUCUUGAAUUAAAGGCGCAAGGUUCUCCAUAUGGCACCACAGCUGUCUCCGCAACAUUGGGUUUGGACUGGCAUAAACAGCCGUUACCCAAGACACAAAAACAUUGUUCCUGCAAAUUUUAAAAUGGAUGAACUGCCUGUGAUUAAUUGAGACCUCCACCUCUAUAGAACUUCGCCAAAGAAGCCAAAUUCCUCCAGAAAAACCCACAGCUUCCACCCGGUGCGAGUAAUCAAAUCCACUUUUCUUUAUAAAUUCAUCGGCUUUCACCCCACUAGUACGAGGUUCCAUUAAUACCACCAUCGAUGGGUUGUAAUUUUUAAUAAUAGUCCUAAACGAGCACCUGAAUUCCCCCGAGGCUGCCCCUUGGACAUUCCAGAACAUAAUACUGACUGUCAUAAAAAAUAUAAGAAGAGAGAACAUGAGGCUACUGUUGCUAUCCAGAGACAUCAUCCAUCAAUGCCAACGGCGUUUCCUGAACCAUCGAAAAUUCAUCAUCAGUCAUCCCAUCUCCAUCUAUACCACUCAUAGGAACAUCUGGAUGGUUACAAACAUGUCCACCUUCUUUCACCCGAGAAGUGUUAUGGUUAUCAGGAGGGUCUGCUAAGGGUUGCGGAUCCGAUCCCUGCAUCUCUAUAUGAUCCGUGGCCACUUCCCUUACAUCUCCAUUAAGAAGUGUUGGGGGAGAACAAAAAACCAUUGUGUGUUUAGUAGGAUCCAAGGUGGAUUCGAAAGAAACCACACGUUGGUUACUAGAUACUUUCUGGGGGAAACUAUGUGAAUUGGAUUUUUGGUUGGCAUGGGGUAAGAGAGUUAUAUCCUCAUCUCUGAUACUUAAAUCACUAGGCUGGAAAGGGUUACUAGUAGGGACCACUGGAGCAUUUAGCUUUUUGCUCUGAUUCCUUAUUACCACGGUCUUAUUUUGCAGCUUUCGACGAGCUAAAAUCUGUACUGUGUUAUUUGUUUUGGCUGUAAAUGUAGGGUUUGAGGCGGAUAUGAAAGGCUACCGUGAGGUGGAGGGGAAGUCUGUGCAAGCCUCCUGCACUUGGUGUCCUCCUUCAUCCGGGACUUGGGAUAGAAUGUGAAACCUUGAGGUACCAGCUCCAGUAAACUCCCUAUUCCGAUUUAAGUCUCUAGUAUUCAUCCUUCCAUUAUUAGGCUUUCUUCCUCUCCUAGGAGCCAUCAUCCAGGGACCAAAUGGUUCCACAGUGCUGUCGCCAUUACAACCUUUAGCCUGUUGGCCAGGAGCCUCGUUUCCCGGCAUUGCCUGAUGGGAUUGACCAGCUUCUUUAGAGCUUGUCGAGUUCUUAGCAUCUUUGCAAUUAUUACUAUUGUGCCCGUAAAGUCCACACUUAUAACAAAUUACUGGCAAGCCCUCAUAUUCGACCUUCUGUAUCUUCCCAUCCAACUCAAACUGAGACACCAGUGGCCUAGUUAAAGAGAUACUCACUGCAAGGCGGGCAAAUCUUCCACGAGAUGAGGAGGCUGUAUUCAAAUCGAUUGUAAUCACGUUCCCCACUAACUGACCCAGCUUUUGAAGAACUUUUCGAUCGUAAAGAUGAACAGCAAGGCCAGGUAAUCUGAUCCACACCGUGACCUGUUCAAGAGCCGUGUUUGUGAAGUCAAAGGAUGGCGUCCAUGGCUGCACCGUUAAAUAGUGACCCAUGACAAGCCACGGCCCCUUGGUUAAUGCAUCCAUAGCAUCCCCUACCGAGCGAAACCGAACCAGAUAAUAGUUAUUCUCCAAGUCUAUCACUGAAAACCCCAUGGCUGAUUUCCACAUGCCAUUCAAUCUUGCACAAAGGGCUCUAUAGCCAAUUGUGCGGCCAAGCAACUUUACAACAACCGAGUUCUUCCAAGGCUCACUUAACUUAGCAUGAACCCUAGCCGAAAAAGUGAUGGAUGGCAUGGAUCCCUCGUUACUUUCAGUAACGUCCCCUUCCUCAAAAUCCCAGUCAUCUAGUCCACCUCCAACUCCUUGCUCCAUCGCUUGCGUUGCAUUCACUAGGGUUUCUUUGUACGAUACCUGAGCAGUGGGAUCACCAGCAUGUUCCUCAUCGCGAAACCUCGCUUUUUUAGUCGUUCUAGCCUCCCUGAACGGCGGGGGAAAAAUCCCUCCGGAGAUAGGGUUUCCUUCACAUCCGUGGUUUUCGGAGCUUUCCAUUGAAUUUCGCUUGAUUCACUAAAAAAAUUAACGUUUUUAUGAAGGCUCGAACCAUUGCACUCAACAUUGUAAGUGCAUAUUGGAGUUAUUGGUAAAAUCACAAUUUUAUUUCUCAUCAACGAUAUCCUUCUCUUAUCUUCCCAUUGUUUAACCUCGGGUGGUUCAGUUAAUUCAAUACCGGCAGAAACCAAAAAGUUUUCAUUCUCCACUUCACAGGCUAUCCACAAGGUCAUAUCACGAAUCACAUCAUGCAGUUUUACAUAAUCUGAUCCUGCUUCUUCCAAUAGGCAUGCAUGAACAAGAACACCAAUAAUGUAGUAUCCUUGGUUAUGUACUCCAUUAAUUCCUUUAUAUUCCUUUAGAAAACCCUCACCAAUCCAACACCCUACCAAUUCAAUUUUGCUAAUUUGAUAAUCCUCAAGAAAUAAACUACAGUAUAACAGACAAGAUCUAAGGACGUCACUAGACAAACUAUCAUAACUGAAUUUUAAAAGACGAAACACCUCUUUCUCCAUACCUGGAAAUUCAUAAGCUGAUCUCCUUAACAUCUGAAUUGCAUAGCUCCAUUCUUCGGGUGUCUUCUUGCUGCUCAUGGCACGACCGGUGGUAAUAAGUGCAAGUGGCAAACCACUACACUCCUUUGCCACAGUUUGGGCUAACUCCGGAAUAUCGGGAUGACUUUCAAGAGUCUCUUCUCCGACCUUCUUUAGGAACAAUUCCCAAGCAUCUUGAUCUGCCAAACACUCCACCUUGAACUUUUUUUGAGCUUCCAUGAGGCCACAGACGUCCACAAGACGAGUCGUAAAGACUAUCUUUGAUGCAUUUCUUGAACUCCCAGGAAAAGGGACACCCACUUUGGCUAAAUCAAUUCUUUCCCAUAUAUCAUCUAACAAUAGCAGAAAUUUCAUUUUGCUCAAUAAAUUGAAUAUGCCUGAUGCUUUCUCUUCAAAGCUUCUAUUCUGAAGCCAUCCUAUUCUUUCUCCGAUUUUCUGUUGAAUUCUCUCAAGUUGCAUGUCUUUUGACACCACCACCCAAAUCACAAUAUCAAAAUAAUUUGGUGUAUUAAGGAACUUGUUGUUGAUUUGGGUUAAUAGUGUAGUCUUGCCGACUCCCCCCAUGCCAUAAAGUCCGAUGAUUCCAAAUUGUCCUUCUACAAGACAUCUCCAAACUUGAUCAAAUGAUGAUUCUAGGCCGAUUAUUGUUGGCUGAAGAGGCCUUUCAUCCACUGCUGGUUGUGGUACCUUUUCAGCUACCACUGCAAAAGCUCCAUCAUCUAUUAAAGUAGCCACAAGCUGCAGCUUUUUAGACACCUUUUUCCCAAACUUGUAGCUUGACUUGCAGUUCUUGGAGCAGUAGCCUCCAAGACAUAGUUUUUCAAUUUCUUGAGAGCUGUCCCUUCUCAAUUCACCUACUUCAGCUUCCACAGCCUCCAACCUUGCACUCUGUUCAGCCGUCUUAGUUGUUGUUGCUCAGCAUUAGCGACCCUCAUCAUCACAUCGUUCUUUGUUUCAAUUAGUUUCUGCAAUUCGGUCUGGACGGCAACCAGAUUAUUUUCAAGCUGGCUUAGAUAUGCUGCUUUUCUGCGGGUACAAUUGAUGAAGCCAGUGGAAAGGGCAUCACAUGUAAGUUGGAUUCCCAAAAUAUUACCCAUAGUUUGUAUGAGAUUCAGAGUACAAUAGAAGGAAUGCAACACAGUAUGUAUUCGGUUGUGGUGUCUAUGAUUUUACAGUCGCAGAAGCUUAUUCACCUUGUGAGGGCUGGUCAGGUGGGCACCAUCACUCUCCUUACUCUUUAUAGAGAGCGAUAGUCCAUGUGGUCAGAUCUCAUUCAGAUAACUAGCCAAGUGGGCAAUCGCUCCACCUUAUCAAAAUUCUUCAUCUUAUAAUAAUAUCAUGAGUAGGCCUUGAAUUUUUCUUUUAAUUUUAACAUUUAAAAGGUAGAGGUGAAAAAGUCUACAUAGUAUUUUUGUCCUCGUACUUUAAUAACAUUUCUUGAAAGUCACUCGAUCUCAAAAUUUAAUUAAGAAGAUAUUAUAGAUUUAUAAGCCCUUAAAUUUUAUUUGCAAGUAAGCCCAUAAGACUUACUAAAAGUCGUCAACUCGUCAUGACCAAAAUUGAAAAUUCGUCCGCGCGUGAAAUACGGCAUGCACAGUCGUAUUAAAAGCAAAGGCCAGCUAUGAUAGUCUUCGUAUACUUGCAUUCCCUAUCAUCUUAUUAAUAAUUUCAGACACGUAGUUCGUUGCUUGUGAUUUUUCAUAUGCAAAAGCACAGUCAGUGUUACAUUUUACAAUUACAAUUGAGUGCCACCUAUAUACUCCUUCAUUCUUUUCAAAAUAUGUUGUAGGAUGGGUAAUUGUGACAAAAGUGAUUUUUAAAAAAAAUUAACUUUUAAUUUUUUUUAAAUUACUUUUGAGAUUUGUGAAAAAAAUCCUAAACGGGUCUCAGAAGUAUAAUUAGCACCGCGAAUUUAUAAAAUGAUCAAAGGAAUCCAUCGCCUAAUAUUAUAGUACGCAAUUGAUUGCUAUAAACUAAAUUGCUAUGAUCUCACUUCAUAAUAAUUUAUUUUCAAUCUCCAUCAUGGUAGAAAAAUUUCAUCAAUCAACAUACCCUACCACCACCCAAUAGUCGACCAUUUAUCAUCUUCUAUCCGUAAAAAACCGAAAAAAAAAAAGAAAAGGAAAAAUUUAGUCCACAAAAGAAUAUAUCGCAAGACCAAACAGAGAGAGAAAAUAGAAAAAGCAAAGAGCUGUACUGAAUACCGGCGGUGAUGGCUCCGUACUUGACCAUUUAGGUUUGAUUCUGCAUUCACAUAAUAUUUUUUCUACACUGCAGUCACAUCACAACCAUUGAAUAGUCGUGAUCUAUUUUUCUAAAGCGAAUAAUAUUAUCUUCUCGUGUCGGUGGCUUGAUCAUAUAACAAAAUAGACUAAUAAUGUUUCAAUAGACAUUUUGGUAAAUGGAAGAAGUUAUGAUCUGUCCAUUUUUAUGUUACUUUAUUUUAAUUUGUUAAUUACUAUUAAUAUCUUUGAGUGGGAUAGAAUCUUGACCUAAGAUAUGACUAGGCUCCACAUGUUAUAUAUUAAUUUGAUUAAGCCUAGCUAAUUGUUAAUUAUUAAUUUGAUUGCGGCUUUUUAUUUUACCCACAUUUUUUAUGCGUGAAAUCUUUCUUAGUGAAAAACUACACGUAUUUGCAAAUAUUCGGAAUGGACAUUUUCGAAAAAACAAGUAAAAGAAAAUGACUAAAAAGUAAAAGAAAAUAGACACCCAAUUGUAAUUGCGAGGACAAUAGAAGGAAUGCAACAAACAGCUCUCUCCUUACACUCUUAUAGAGAGUUAUAGUCCAUGAUCUCAUUGAGAGAACUAGCCAAGUGGGCAAUCGCUCCACCUGAUCACAAUUCUUCAUCUUAUAAUAAUAUCUUGAGUCGGCCUUCAAUUUUUUUUUUCAAUUUUUAUCUUUAAAAGGUAGAAGAAGUGAAAAAGUUAAAUAAUAUUUUUGUCCUCCUAUAUAACAUUUUUUGAAAAUCACUCGAUCUUAAAACUUAAUUAAGAAAAUAUUAUAGAUUUUUAAGUUAGUGGCCCUUAAAAUUUAUUUGCAAGUAACAAUUAGAGAAAAGUCGUCAUGCCCAAAUGACUUACUAAAAGUCUGCAACUCGUCAUGACCAAAAUUCUUCCGAGUGUGAAAUACGGCAUGCGCAGAUGCAUUAAAAACAAAGGCCAGCUAUGAUAAUCUUUGUAUACUUGCCUUCCCUAUCAUCUUAUUAAUAAUUUCAGACGCGUCGUUCGUUGCCUGUGAAUUUUCAUAUGCAAAAGCACAGUCAGUGUUACUUGCAUUCCCUGUCACCUUAUUAAUAAUUUCAGACACAUCGUUGGUUGCCUGUGAUUUUCAUAUGCAAAAGCACAGUCAGAAUUACAAUUUACAUUUGGAAUUGAGUGCCAUCUAUUUAUUCUAGCUGGAUCUAAAAUGAUAUUGCAGUAUUGCACUGACUUUUCAGUCACAGCGUUUCUCUAUGAAUUCCUUAAAGUUUAGACCCAUCAUGGAAUAAUUAUUUUCUUAAAGACCAAAUUAACAUAAUUCUUAAAUCAUCUUCCGAGUGUCAAAUACGGCAUGCGCAGAUGCAUUAAAAACAAAGGCCAGCUAUGAUAUUCUCUGCAUACUUGCAUUCCCUGUCACCUUUAUUAAUAAUUUCAGACACGUCGUUGGUUGCCUGUGAUUUUCAGACACAUCGUUGGUUGUCAGAAUUACAAUUUACACUGAUUUUUUAGUCACAGCGUUUCUCUAUGAAUUCCUUAAAGUUUAGACCCAUCAUGGAAUAAUUAUUUUCUUAAAGACCAAAUUAACAUAAUUCUUAAAUCAUUUAUAAAACAACAUUUAUCAUAUAACAGAUCGUACAUGAAUAAAUUUACCUUGAACCGUAGCAAACAAACAAGAAUCUCAACCACAUCAAUAUCAUAAUCCCUUCUGACCUUAACAAUAAUUUUAUUCGUCCUUAAUUCAUAGGUAUAAGUAUCCCAAUAUAUACUUGAUGUCAACCUUUACAAUUCUUUACAGAAUUGCAGCAGACCAAAUUUGUAUGCAAAACUGAAAUCAUACAGUAAUUGAAUACAGUGAUAGUAAUUAGUAUAUAUAAAUAUCUUAAUAAUUUAAAAGUUUCUUAAACUGCUUUUACAUAUCUGAAAAAUUAUAGAAAUCGGAACUGCUGCAGAAAUCAUAAUUUCCCAGCGAAUGUGUUACAACUUCAGAAACUCAUAAGAAAUUAAAUUCUUGGGAUCACAAAAUAAUUCAAUAGAAAGCUUAAGAUGUCUAGUUCAUAAAAUCUGAAUUUUUUUUUAAAAAAUAAGAUCUUUGGAAUUUAAGAGAUUCAGCAGUACUUUUAUUACAUCAAUUCUUCAAACAAUCACCAAUCUAACAUUCAUCAAAAUUAAGUCAUAAAAAUCAUGUGGUUUAUAAAAAGAAUUACCUGAAAAAGAUUAGCCUUCCCCUUUCAAAAGCAACGUGAAACUCCAAAAACUCUUCUUCCAUUGCCUAUUCAAACAUGAAAAAAAAAAUUAGUAUAUCUUCUUUAAACGCGUGAUGAGUGUGCUCUGUUUUCUCUGUUCUUCUUCUUCUUUUUUAGAUUUCGAAAACGUAAAGAGUGUUGGAGUCUUUAUUUUCUAAAAACAAGACUUUUCCAUGUAUUCAGUUAAAUUAAAUUAUGUCCUAAUGCUAUGUCAGUUCCAUCAUUAGCAUUUUUUUUUUUGGCUUUUAACACCAACAUUAGCGUAUGUUAAGUAUCAUAAUCCAUAGUUGGACAAUUUGAAAUCUCUUCGUGGUUUAUCUCAAAGUAGAGCUUCAAUCAAUUUGUACCUCAUAAAUUUACAAUAUCUAUGAGGGCUAAUAAGACCAAACUCUGGCAUAUUGUCAAAUGUGCUUAUACUUUCGCUUGACAAGUCAUUUUAAAAUUGUCUUUCAAUGCCAAAAAAACCACAUCAACUAAUGGUCCACUACUUUAAUUUGAAAGCAUGCAUGCGAUCGCCAAUAAUCAAGGAUGUUAGGGUCAUGCUACAGAGUAUAGAAUAUGAUUUUAUGGUAUAGCCUUCUUUCUUUAUAAUUUUUAAAUUUAAUACUGUUACUUAUGUAGCACAUAAGUUGGAAAACAUAACAUAAAAUUUGAAAAAUGUAUAGUUUUCGUUCCCUUUUUUCCCCUCUAAAAAUGGGAAAAAAGAACGUAAUUUUGAUUUAUUUAAAUUACUGUUGUGAUAACAAUUUUUAUUUUAUUGAUUAUUUACCCAUUCAUGUGGCAAAUUUUUUAAGAUAAGGUGAAGGAUGAAGCUCAAAAACAUAAAUUAUAUAAUUAAUUACCCUCUCUAGUAAGUUUAAAGUUUAUUAUUUUGAACUACAUGUUUAUAAUUUAUUUUUAUUAUGUGUUAAUAUAUAGAUCUAAAUUCACUUUGGAACCAUAUACAUAUUUAGACCUAAUGUGCAUGUUAAUCUAUAGAUCUAAAUUUACUUCUAAAUUCACUUUAGAUCUAUAUGAGUAUUUAGACAUAACGUAUUGCAACCAUAUUGGCAUGUUCUCACUAUAGUAUUGGUGUAUUGACAUUAUAUCUAAUUGUCCCUAUAAAUCCAAAAAUAAUCUAGAUAUACAAAUUAACAUAAAAUAAAGAUAAUUGGUAGAAAAUGCAAAUUAUAAACAUAUAAUUGAAAACGAUAAAUUUAAAUUUACUUAAGAAAGUAAUUAAUCACUUAUUUCUUUUUUAUAAUAUGACAAAUAUUAUAAUAAAUAUUAAUUAAUAAUAAUUAGAAUAACAAACUAAAGAUAUUUUAGUAACUUAAAAUAAUUCAUUUUGAUUUCGAGACAAAAUAAACACAUCAAUCGCAAUACAACUCAUUCUGAUUCCACUCAUUCAGAUUUCAACAUAUUUUAAUUAAUUCAAGUGCUCUCCAUUAUAAUUGAAGCCGCUGCCCCAUCCCACUCGUGAUUCCAAACUUUAUCUUUUUCCUUUUUUAAAUUAAUGCAAGCAGCCGCUGUCCUUUUUGUUAAUUAAUUAAUUAAUUCGGCCGCCCACAUUUCUUUUCCUAAUGUCUUCGGCUUUCGAUUUUCUUUUAUUUUCUUUUUAUUCUUAAAAUAGACUUAUAAUAAUAAAAUAUAAAAAUAUAAAAAAAAUUAACAUAAUCAAAAUAUAAUUUAACAGAAAAUUAAGAUAAAAAUGUGAAAAUAAUAUAUAAAUUAUGAGCGUAUCAAUCAAUAAAUGAAAAAUAAUAAUUUUUAUUUUUAUUAAAUAUAUAUUUUUCAAUAUUAAUCAGUUAUCUAAAUAACUAAAAUCAGUUAAAAAUAAAUAAAUAAAUUAUUCUUAAAAAAAAAAAACUUUUUAUACCACUCACUAUGCUGGCUGUCAAGGGUAGAAGCUUUGGGGACUGAAGUUGGUAACUUCUACAAGUAGUCUUAAGUUGACUGGCAACAACUAUAUUGGCAUUUGGACAUAAUGUUCUGCAACCAUAUUGGCAUGUUCAAUUGUUCUCACUAUUGUGUUGGUGUGUCGAUAUUAUCUCUAACUGCCCUAUAGAUCCAAAAAUAAUCUAAAUUUAUAAUUUAACAUAAAAUAAAAUAAUUGGUAGAAAACAAUUAUGGUUCAUUUACUUAUCAGUAAUUAGAAUAGACUGAAAUCAGAAUGAGUUGUACUGCCGUUAAUGUGUUUAUGUUGUCCUUGAAUCGGAAUGAAUUAUUUUAAUUUACUAAAAUACCCUUGGUUUGUUAUUCUAAUUAUUAUUAUUUAACAUUUAUUAUAAUAUUUGUCGUAUUAUUAAAAAGAAUUAAUAAUGAUGAUAAUAUUAUCAUUAUUGUUUGUUAUAUUAUUAUUAUUAUUUAAAAAGUUAUUGUUAAUAACAAUAAUAACUUUAUUUCAAUAAUAAAAAUGAUAAAAUUAAUAAUAACAAUCAUGACAACAACAAUAAUUAUUUAUUAUGCCAAAAAUAACAAUAAUAAUAAGAAUAAUAAUCAUCAUCAUUUCAAAAAAAAAUCAUCAUCAUCAUCAUUUUUGUAGUGGCUGCCUAUCGGCUGUUGCUUUCAUGCGAGAUUAACUUGCGACGCUUCAACUGCUAUUAUUUCUGGCAAUGUCAGGUGUUGUUGUUUCAAUGGGGGGAGAAGCUGUUUCGGUGCACUAACGAUGGGAGGUGUUGUGGCUGCGAUUCGAGGAGCUACUGGUUCAGUGCACUAAUGACGGCAGGUGUUGCUGCUCAAUGCAAGGUCCAUGGCCAGUUGUCUUGUUUUACACCCAGCUCUUGUAGGAAAUUCUUUAUCAAAAAUAUUUUUUUUGUAACCUUCAAUAAUUGUAAUAUCAUUUGCUUCCGUGGUAGAAAGGACAACUCAUUACUAAGUCUAGAUUGUGAUGAGACUGCUCUCCCUACAAAAGUGAGCAAAUAUCAUUGUAGGGAUUUUUCAGAAUCAACAUCUCCUGUCAUAUCUACACACUUGUAACACAAGUUUGUCACCACCAAAAUAUAAACAUAUUCUGGAAAUGCCUAUAAGAUAUCUGAGAAUUCAUUUCACUGUUGUCCAGUGCUCUUUGCCGAGAUUGAAGAGAAACCGACUGACUACACUGACUGCAUAGGCAAUAGCUGGUCUUGCACAAAUCAUGGUGUACACCAAACUGCCAAUUGCCUAAGCAUAAGGAACUCCUCUCACUGAGAAAUGGGUUUUGCUCUUGAGAUUUUUGGGAACAUGAAGAAUAAAGAUGUAAUUUCUUGGACUACCAUUGUGUUGGGGUAUAUAAAUAGAAGACAAGUCGAUAUAGCUCGACAGUAUUUUGCUCAGAUGCCAGAACGAGAUUAUGUCUUAUGGACUGCCAUGAUUGAUGGGUACCUUCGAGUGAAUAGGUAUAGAGAGGCUUUGACACUUUUCCGGGAGAUGCAAACUUCAAAUAUAAGGCGAGACGAGUUUACCAUUGUUAGGAUUCUUACAGCUUGUGCGAAUCUGGGGGCACUAGAACUGGGAGAAUGGAUAAAGACUUACACUGACAAAAACAAGGUCAAGAAUGAUAUAUUUGUGGGGAAUGCUUUGAUAGACAUGUACUGUAAAUGCGGAGAUGUUGAGAAAGCUCAAAGGGUAUUCAGGAAGAUGCUUCGAAAGGACAAAUUCACAUGGACGGCCAUGAUUGUUGGCCUUGCCAUCAGUGGCCAUGGUGAUAAAGCUCUUGAUAUGUUUUCCCAAAUGCUUAGGGCUUCGAUCAGACCAGAUGAGGUAACUUAUGUUGGUGUUCUGUCUGCCUGUACUCACAAUGGUAACGAAAAUUUUGUGAUAAACAGUUGCAACUUAAGGUGAGAAUUGGAGGAAACGAAAUAGACUGAAGUUGUUCAAUCAUCGGUGGUUGCUAUUUGAUUUUAAGUUGUUCAAUCAUCGGUCGUCUCUAUUUGGUUUUCUCCAAUAUCUCAUCUCCAGUUUUGACUCAGAUUCUGUCUUACCACUAGUAAUUACAUAGACUUGUUGCCAAAGGUAAGAAUGGGAAUAAAUUAAAUAGAUUAUGUCGAUAACGAAAUAGAUUUACUAUUGCUAUGUGCAUUCUAUUUGGUUCCUGCAAAAUAUUUUCUCCUGCCUAAAAUUUUUUGAAUCAGUAAGUUUUUACCUUAUGCAAGAAUUGUGCUAAGAGUAAUUCCAGUCUCUCUAUGUUUCAAUGAAGACGUAAAACUUGUGUUUUAGAGCACCAAUGUUAUGCUUCUUACAAUUGGAUUUUAAUUUACUUCGUAGAACUUUUGUCAAAAAGUACUAAGAGUGUAUUUGAAAUUGAUGUACUGUAUCUUUUAAGCUACAGCUGCUGUGGAAAAAAAAACUGUAACUAUGAAAUAAAAGUUAAUAAUAUAUAGUAAAUAUAAAUUUUAAAUAAUAAUUUUGAUAAAAUUAUUAAAGAUAUAAUAGUUUUUUUAUUAUACAAGUGAAAAAUUAUAUAAACAUAGUUUUCAAGUUACAGCAGCUAGUGUUUAUCAAACACUUUAGUACUGUAUCUUUUAAGUUACAGUUGCCCGAGUUCAAUCUCAAACGCAACUUAACGAGUAGUGCACCAAACACCAACUUUAUUACAGAGAGGACUUUGGUUAAACUUUAAGAAAAACACUCAAAGGAAGAGUUAUAAAUUAUUAUAGAAAUAUUUGACAUAAAUAAAAGCCAUUCCACAAUGCGAAGAUCUUGCUAUCAUCACCAGAAACCAUCGGGAGCUUUCAGGGUUUCCAUGAAAACGCCAUUUCAUUCCAAGAGUCAAUGGUGGGUAGAAAGUGGUGCAAACGAUACUCAUUGUUAAUGCUAUAAGUUUUUGCUAAAUUAUGUCUUACCCAAAAUGAUGAUUUAAUUUCCAUUCUCAAUUAAUUUUCAAAUUUCAACACUUUUCUUUGUAGCAUGACAUUGGAAAGAUCUUGUACUACUAAAAGCUAGCACCACACGUUAAUUAUUGUUAAGUUCUUUUUCAACGUGAAAUAAAGGAAGUAGUCCUUCGUUAAAACCAUUAUAGCCAAAUUUCAUGUAAUUGGACACUUACAGACUUUCAUUUCAAGCUGGAAUUUGGUCCAACGUUUCAAAGUUGACCCAACUAAUUGUCUGGUCAAGUCCUACACAGCUAAGACCCUCAAUGAAUGAGGGUGAGACUGCUAAAAAUUACGACAGUUGAUAUUAUUAUUAUUUUGGGAUAAAUCCUCACCAAGGUGAGUGAGGAGAUUUUAUCAAAAUAAAAAUAAAAAUAUAACAAGAAAACUAGCUAAAUUAAAAUAUUACAAAAGCUAGAUGAAAUGAAAGGCAGCCUAAAAACAACCUUAUGCAAAAGAGAAGCAACAUGCUAGUAUUCCAAGCUUCUUGUUAUAAAAGUGUAGAAUGAAGUAGGUGAUGUAGUUUUAAAUUACACCUCCAUGCCCAAUCACAAUAUCAAAUAAUGCUUAAAGUAGUUAUAUUAACUCUUAAAUUUAUAAAUAAUUAAAUUUUUAAAAGUUUGGAUUUAUAUUAAAAAAUUUCUAUAUAAAUAAAUAAUCUAUGCAUUUUUACAACAUAGUCUUUAAAUUUAAACUUUUCUAGAAAAAUCUUCUGGAUAUCUUUUCUAUUAAAAAAGAGAUUCUCAAAAUUUAUAAAAGUAACUUAAAGUUUUGUCUUCCCUUUUCUUUUAGCUUAUACAUAUGUGUGUGUAUUCUUUUAUAGCAAUAACUAACGUUAUUUAUUUUUAAAUCAUAAAAAAAUUAUGAAAAAAAAAUGUACCAAAUUUAAUUGGACCCAGCACAAUGCACAUGCAUAGAACACAUUCUGAAAAGCCAUGCUAUUCGGAAAUUGACGAAUGGAAAGUGAAGAGGCAGCAGUCAAUGCUAUUUCGGCUUGGCCCAAAAUUUCACCAGUUUGUUAAUCAGUGUUCUGCAGCUCUUGCUGCUUUCCUAGAGAUUCUACAUCUUUUGCAAUCUGAUAGAUUUAAAAAAAAAAAAAAAAUUAGUGGCCAUUUGGAAUGGAGGAGAGAUUUGUGUGAAUGGUAUAGGUGAAAAAUUGGAUGAAAAUAAACAGGCAACCGUCCGUAUAAAACAACAAUAACAAUAUACAAAAAGAUAAGUAAUUCACGAAAGGAAAUUUACGGUUGUUUCUGGAAAACAUACAUAUUAAUUUCACUUAUACUCUAAGAUUUGCCAUCAUGACUGGACUUGUGAGGAAUUUGGAAACAUGUAUGCUGUAGAAAUGCUGAAGUAGCUUGAACCCGAUAAAAAUUGAUUGGUAGAAUUGUUAAAAAGUCUAAAUUUUUAGUUCAAACCUAUUGCAUAUUUAAGAAAAUCUCAAAUGAAUUGCUUAUUGCUAUCGUCAUCAUCAUUGCCCAUAUAAUUAUUAUUAUUAUUAUUAUUAUGUCUUUAUAAUUAUUAGUAUCGCUGUUAUUAUUUUUAUGGGUAAAUGGUUUUUCUAUCCUGGCAAUUUAAGCCAAUUACCUAACUAAUCCACGUAAUUUUAAAAAUGUUUCAAAAGAUCUUUAUUUUAUAUAUGUUUCCACUACAAUUUAUUUAAUGAUUCUUUAUUUUUCAAUUAUUGCAUGUUCGAUAUUUUUGAGUUCUAAGCUAUAUCAAUAGAAAUGUUAUCUUAUCCAUAAAAAGUUAGAUCCAGCAAUUAUGAAAAUUACUAUAGAGCUGCUUUGAAUAAUUUUAAAAAAAUACCACAAGCAAAUAAUAAUUAGUUUAAAUAGUGGAGACUAAAAAGCAUUCACCCUUAUUCUUUAUCUGUUAUUUGUUUUUUUUUUUUUCCGUUAAUGCACAUAUUAUACAUUUUAAACAUUCCGUUAAUUGCCAAUUAUGCAAGCGAGAUAGUAAUUUAAAUUUUUUUAUUUUAAAAAAAAGUGAAAAUUAAUCCUAUGCAAUGUGAAUAAAUUUCUUUCCUUUUUCCUUCUCUCUUUUUAUUUGAUAAUUAAGUUUCAACCUAUGUACCCAAAAUUUCUGCAACAGGUAAAAAAACAUAAAAAUAUAUGAUUGUUAAUGUAAACACGCGGAAGUUCAUCAUUUCAAUGUUCAGUAUUUCCAAUUUUGGCAUACGAAUAUAUUCCACUUAGAAAGCCAAAUAUUAGAAUUGUGAUUUUAAUUCAUUCAUCAUAUCUCAUUUCAAUCCCAAAAUAUUCAAGAGGAUCCAAGUUACCAUAAGACUUCAGAGGCUCGAGCCUUAGCCAGAGACGGUUAAUUGAUAGACUAUGUGCCCGGGUCGAGCACUGGAAGCCUGCAAUGCAGACUGAUUGAUUUAUCAGUUUGAUGUGUGCCAGGAAUGAAGAACUGGAAUAUCACCGUCAAGCAAGCACCCAGUGAAGCAAUACCAUAGAAUGCACAAUCCGGCCUUGCUAGGUGACACUGGAGGCUUUUUGAAAAGUGCUUCACGCUUACUUGCACAGAUUGAGCAUACCCUCUGGAUAUUGCCCUCUCUGAUCCAGUCUGAGCACUCAAAUUUCGGUCCUCAGAUGGAGCUACAGCUUUCUCUCCAAUAACCAACAAUUUUCUAAACUCAGCACCUAGUGUGAUCAGAGUUGUUGAUAUUUGUAAAUGGAGAUCCCCAUAUUUGAAAAUGGAGACAUUUAACAAAUCACCAACAUGCUUCAUCCGGUCUACGAAAUUCUGCAGCUGAUUCAAAUCCGGAACCUGAACCAGAGUCGGAGGUAAAUCUUGAGCCAUAUCUAAAGCAGUUUGAAGUUCAAGUACUUGAGCCCUUGACAGUGGUUUUGAAAUUGGAACAUCUUGAAUUACUGCAGACCUGUACCCUUUGGUUUCAAAGGUAAGGAAAGGCAUUGCUUGAGUACAAUUUGGAGGCAGCUUCUUCACCAAUUUUAUUUGGAGGCGAUUGGCAGCGGAUCCAGCUGCACCAAUUUCAGAGCAAAUACUGACACUACUUCAAACAGCACGCUGAAGAAGCGCUAUGUCUAUGGCAAAGGCAAUGCAGUCCUCAUUUUGGCUUGAGAUGCGGUAAUCAUCGAAGAGAGUUUCCUUAUGAAACUGGGCAACACAUUGAAUCCCUUCACCACUGAGAAGGUUGUGGAGGAAGUACGCUUUCUCUCUAGUGAGGAAGAGGUGGCAUACCUUCCCCAUUUUGUCUAGGGCAGUUAGGAAUCUUUUUUCUAAGAGAUUUACUCCAUUCUCUGUGAGAAAUGCUUUGAACUUCAUCCCUCUGUCUCUAUCCUCACUUAUCAGUAAAACAGUUGAAAGUGAUACAAGGAGAGAAAAGGAGAGUACUAAGAUAUAUAGACAAGAAAAACAUUAGGUGUCGAUCUUACAUGUUAAUACUUCAAACAGUAUCCUAGAAAGCUAAAAACUGCAGAAUGGCUUGAAAUUUGAAAAGAACACAUGCUUUUCCUCCUUAACUUGAGAAAAUGUUUGACAUAGCGCGCCUUACAGAAGCAAGCAAUUAGAACUUUGCACAAAAACAUUCAAGAAGACCAAUAUUUCAACUAUUUUACUGAUGAAAAUCUCAAAGCACAAAUGGCAUUGCAUUUUGUCCUCAACUGUAAUAUUUAUUGAUGAAAAUCAGUACAGGUCCCUCAUUUGUUAUGGAAAGCUUUCUUGUAGUCUGACCGGUUAAUUCACGGGUCUAUAAUCAUCUUGCAAAGUUACGGACAUUUCUUUCGAUUUAAAGUCUUUGCAUCACCACCUCAUCACACACCAAACCAAUAUUCUGUCUACCUCUACAACAAAAAGUUUUAAGUAAACGAUCCUAAUGCACGCAGCCAAAUAAAAUGCAGUAAGAAUAUUCAACUUAAAAAUCUGAAAGUAUCUUGGUGAAUUGCCUUCUUAGGGGAAGUUCCAUGAUUUACUAUACUAGACAGAACUGAGCAAAAGCUUCCAUACGACAGAUUUUGACAAUAAUGAUGCCAACAGAUCCUCAUUAACUCCAUUAAAACUCCUAAGGUUCAUUGUUCAUGGAUGUUUACAGAGUUUUGGCCAUCAAAUAGCUCAGACCACAAUCCCAAAGAAAAGACGAGUGAAAGUUAGAUAACGAGCAGCUAAUUGUAAAUUCUAACUUAACUCUUCAUCUCCUUUGUAAAAAGGAAACAAAAUGGAGACGCGUAAAUUCUAACUUAACUCAAAUAAAAUGAGGGCACGAAAGCAAACAAAUGGCAUGCACAAACAAACCAAGCAUCAAUCAAAAACUAAUUAACCAUUAAAAAAAAUAAAAAUUGGUCAGAGAAUGAACUCCAAAUUCGGGAGUGAAGCAAGAAGCUUUCACUAUUUCAGAAGCUCCUGUACAAAUUAAUAAGUUAUGCUCUUUGGAGACAAUCCUAAAUUCCAAGAGAAACAGAGCUCAAAAAAAUUUUGCAAUUAUGCGCAAAGGAAGUGAAGCACAGCAUUCUACCACACACAGGAAUUGUAUAACAUGAGAUCGAUAUAUCGAAUUGGAAGAACUCAAUUCUAAUUUGUGUCAAAAAUCAAAAUUAGAAGAUUGCAUAUUUCGAGAGGAACAAGCAACAGGUGAGGUUCAAAAUUUCAGCCAUAACAUGCUAAAAUUGCUACAUUUAACGGUUUAUUUUCAUGGAUUUUCUCGGGAAACAAACAGAAAAUUACGGUUUAGAGAGUUGACUGACCUUUUGGCUUUUAGAAUUGAGAAGAUCGCGCACUGCAUUAGUCCAUAGUAUAAUUAUAGACAGUUUUGAGUCAAAGUGUAGUUUCAGUGAACAGUAUUACUGUAGCAAAAUUCAAAAAUAACGGUAAUAUUACUGUUCCUGAGCGGCUAGCCGGAUAAUCAAGCGGCUAACCGCUUGAGCACGGGAUUUUGCCUAUAACGACUAGUUUUUGGGCUUCCACUAUAAAAACUCAACUCAAACUUCUUUCUAAGGACUAAUGCACGCAAAUAUAAGAUCAUACAACAUAUAUUGAGCUUCCAAAACGUAAAUCAUAAUUGAUUGAAUCAUUGUUGAGCUAUUAGUUGCAUAUCCACUCUUAAAGAGAGUUUUUGUUGUAAUUUUCAUUUCUUAUCAAAUUGUGAGUGUGUAAGUGUGGGAAACACUUGGGGUAAAGAGAUUAGGGAGAUAAUCUCUUGGUUGUAAAGGUUCAUUGACACCUUGGAAGGCAAUUGUAAAAACUUGAAGCCUUGGGAGGCUUGGAUAGUGAAAUCCUCGAGCUCGGUUGGCUUGGAGGCGUGGACGUAGGCGGGGAUUGCCGAACCAGAUAAAUAUCCGCGUGUUUGCUUUUCUCUUCCGUAACUCUUUUAUUUUUAUGCUUGCUUGAAUUUAUUGUUCUCCAUUUCAUUAAGGCGUUAGAUUGAUUUUAUUGUGCGAAUUGUAUUGCAUUAAUUUUAAAAAUCCAAUUCACCCCCCUCUUGGGUUGCGUUACUUAUAUUUCAUUUGGUAUCAGAGAUUGGUUCUCUUGUUAGGACUUAACCGUCUAGAGUAAAAGAUCUAUGGCAAUCCAAAUUGAUUCAACCUUUAGGGAAGGACAAUCCACAACUAGGCCACCGUUCUUUGACGGAAAUGACUACCCAUAUUGGAAAACUAGGAUGAGAAUUUAUUUACAAGCAUUAGAUUAUGAAAUUUGGGAAGUUGUAUGUGAUGGUCCUUUUAUGCCUUUGACUAAAAACGAAAUUGGGGAAGACAUUCCAAAACCUUCACGGGAAUGGAAUGAAUUGGAAAAGAGAAAAGCUUCUCUAAAUUCCAAAGCCAUAAAUGCCUUGUUUUGUGCACUCGAUAAGAAAGAGUUUCAUAGAGUGUCUAGUUGUGAAAGUGCUAAUGAAAUUUGGCACAACUUGAAGUUGUUUAUGAAGGCACGAAUCAAGUGAAAGAGUCUAAAAUUAGUAGGUACACUCGGCAAUAUGAAUUGUUCCAAAUGGAACAAAAUAAGAGUGUGUAUUCUAUGUAUACUAGAUUUACGGACAUAGUAAACACUCUAGGAGCCCUAGGAAAGACGUUUUCAAAUAGCGAGAAAGUUGAGAAAAUCAUUAGGUCAUUACCUAAGGAAUGGAGACCAAAAAGGACUGCCAUUGAGGAAGCUAAAGAUUUGAAUAUCUUACCUACUGAUGAUUUAAUUGGUUCUCUUAUUUCUUAUGAGAGAGAUUUGGCAGCUGAAUGAGGAAAUGAGGAAAGAAAGAAAAACAUUGCUCUCAAGGUCACCAAACAUGAGAGUGAUGAGGAAAGUGAGCCGGAUGAUGAGGAGUUGGCUAUGCUAGCAAGGAGGUUCAGAAAAUUUUUCAAGAAAACUGGUGACCAAAGAAAAUUCAGAAAUUUCAAAAACCAAAAGGAGAAGAAAGAGGUAAUCAUAUGCUAUGAAUGCAAGAAGCCUGGCCAUAUAAGAUCGGAAUGCCCACUUAUCAACAAACUCAAGAAGAAAGCUAUGGUUGCUACUUGGGAUGAUAGCGAUGAAGAUUCAAGUGAUGAAGAUGAGUCACAAGAAGUAUCAAACCUAGCAUUUAUGGCACUAGGAGAUGAUGAUGAUCUCAAUGAGGUAAGUGAUCCAACCUAUGAUGAAUUGUAUGAUGCUUUUAAAGAAAUGCAUGAUGAGUUGAUGAAAAUUGGUAAAAAGAAUGCAUGCCUUAAAAAGAAAUUGCUAGAAUCUACAAAUGAAAAGGAUACCAUGCAAAAAUGCAAUGAGCCAUUGAAUGAGAAGACUAAAGGAUUAGAAUUAGAGAAUAAAACCUUGCAUAAUAGAGUUGCAUUAUUAAAUGAAAAAUCUAGCACUUCACAUGAGCAUUUAGAGUCACAUGUACAUGAUUUGAAAAAGGAAAAUGAAAUGCUCAAGAAAAAGAAUAUUGAACUUAGUAAUGUUGUUCUAAAAUUUACAAAUGGACAAAAGAUGUUGGAUAACAUGCUUAACUCCCAAAAAUGUGUUUUUGAUAAAAGAGGACUUGGGUAUAAGCCUAACUUGAAGUAAAAGUAUUAUAAGAAUUAUUUUGUUAAAGCUACCUCCACAAAUGAUCAUAAGAUUGUUUGCGAUUAUUGCAAUCAAAAUGGUCACAUGAAAUAUAGAUGUCUUGUAAAAAGGAAUGCAUAUAAUGGUGUCAAAUGUGUGUGGGUUCCAAAAGGAACCGUUGCUAACGAUCAAGGGCCUAAAAAGGUUUGGGUACCUAAAACAUAAGAUUUUCUUUGAAGGGCUUGAAGAAAAAGAAAAAUAAAUGGUACUUGGAUAGCGGAUGUUCUAGGCAUAUGACCGGAAACUAUGCAUGGUUCUCAAGUUUUACCAAAAUCGAAAAUGGUGGAGAUGUAUCUUUUGGAGAUAACUCAAAAGGAAAAAUUCUCGGAAUUGGAAAUGUUGGUAAAAUUUCUUCAACUCUAAUUGAAAAUGUAUGUUUGGUUGAAAAUUUGAAACACAAUCUGAUUAACAUUAGUCAACUAUGUGACAAAGGCUAUAAAGUUAUUUUUGAUAAAUCAAGAUAUGUUAUUGAGAAUGCAUGUGAUGGGAAAAUUUUGUUUAUGGGAAAUAGAUGUGGCAAUGUUUACACGAUUGAUAUAGAGUGUGCAUCUACUCAUGAUAAAUGUUUUUCGGCAUUGCAUGAUGAUUGAUGGGUGUCGAAGCCAACAAAAAUAAAUUCCUACUCUAAAUAAAUUGUGUAUAGUGAUUGAGCAGGGUCGUGUCCACAGAGAUCGGUAAUUAAUUAAAUCCUUUUGAAACGUAAAACGUAAAAUGGGGGAAUUGUUGACAAUAAUAAAAAUCAAAUUAAAAUAACAAGAAUACAAAUUAAAGUUGUAAUUCAAAUUAGAGAAAGCUCUGGUUGAAGGAAUUAACUCAGCUUGAUUCGACUACUGAUCAUUGAUUCAAAUAUAGAUUAUUAUUACUCAUGAAUAGACCGGUUAUAGCUACUGAGACCCUCUAAUAGCCAAUCUCUCCUUAACUAGUCGAUAACCAAGGUACGACCGUUGGUUAUUUCCCUAAUCAAUAGACAACCCUAGAUACGAUCAUAGAAUUUAAUCAAUUGACAGCCUGAAAAACCAGAGAGACCCAAAUCCUAAUCAACACAUAUGAUGAUUCAUUUAAAUUAGAUUGUUUAUUCUCACAACACAACUCUCUGCUAUGUUAUUUGUCACAAGCAUUAAAUUCUUUAUACGAUGAAUCCUUUAAUUGACAAUAGAUUAAGUUGAUAAUUAAAUAGUGGCCAAUUACCUAAUUAACAAACAUAAUCAUGAAAAUAAUUCAGAGAAUAAACAAAUACCCAAAAAGUAAUAAAACAAUUAAAGUAUAAGAAAGAUCUCACAGUAGUGAUGAAUCAAAGCUUCAUUAUCCUUCAACCAGAAAAAUAGGUUUAGUUCUUCAUAAAGAGAAGAGAAAAAUUAAGUCUAGGGUUUCUUUCUUUCUCCAAUCCCCCAAAAAAUCCCCAUUUUCCACAAUAGAUUCCUCCCUUAAAUACUCUCUCUCUCUUCUCUUUUAGAAUUCUAUUUAAAAUAAAAUCCUAAUAUCUGAAAUAUUAAAUUCGUAAUUACAAAUAUAGCCAAAAAUAUAAAACACGUUAAACUAAAAACUGCAGGUCCGCAGUUGACAGCACGCGCCCACGCCUUAUCAACAAAGUUCUUCUGCCGCUCAUAAUUUCUCCAAGGGAACAAUCAUCCCUAAACAUCAUCUUGUAGCUCAAUUUUAUCACCAAUCAAUAGAAUUGCACCUACAAAAGUAAAUCACAAGUAAAUCACUAUUAUUAAGUGCAAAACAUCGAUAUUAAGAGAAGUAAACAAUGCAAAACUAGUGCAUAAAUUGCACUCUAACAAUGAUGGUUGGUUAUGGCAUAGAAGACUAGGACAUGCUAGCAUGGAUUUAAUUUCAAAAAUUUCGAAAAAUUAUUUAGUUAAAGGUCUUCCAAAAAUUGGUUUUCAAAAGGAUAGAAUUUGUGAAGCAUGUCAAUUUGGAAAACAAAUCAAAACCUCUUUCAAAAACAAGAAUCAUAUCUCUACUUUAAAACCUCUUCAAUUACUUCACAUAGAUUUGUUUGGACCCUCUAGAUAUGCUAGUUUAAGUGGCAAAUUUUAUGCAUUUGUAAUUGUAGAUGAUUAUUCUAGAUACACAUGGGUAUUAUUCUUAGUUAAUAAGGAUGAUGACAUUGAUGCAUUUAAAAUUUUCUGUAAAAAGGUUCAAAAUGAAAAGGGUUAUUAUAUUACUUGUAUUAGAAGUGAUCAUGGUGGAGAGUUUGAAAAUCAUGCAUUUGAAAAUUUUUGUAAUGAUUUUGGCAUUGAGCAUCAAUUUUCAUCACCUAGGACUCCACAACAAAAUGGAGUUGUUGAGAGAAAGGAUAUGUCUAUUCAAGAAAUGGCUAGGACCAUGUUAAAUAAAAAUGCAUUACCGAAAUAUUUUUGGGCCGAAGCCGUCAACACCGCUUGUUAUGUUUUAAAUCGGGUGUUGAUUAGACCUUAUCUCAAUAAAACUCUCUAUGAGCUUUGGAAAGAUAGAAAAUCCAACAUUGGUUAUUUCAAAGUUUUUGGAUGCAAAUGUUUUGUUUUAAACACAAAAAAUAAUCUUGGUAAAUUUGAUCCAAAAUCUGAUGUUGGCAUCUUUCUCGGGUAUUCAAACUCAAGCAAAGCUUAUAGAGUUUAUAAUAAAAGAACUUUAGUUGUGGAAGAAUCCAUGCAUAUUACGUUUGAUGAAUCUAACCCCUCCUCUGCUGAGAAAGGAGUUGUUAAUGAUGAUACAAAUGGAGAGUUACAAGAAGAAUCAUCAAAAGAGAAUCAAGAGAAUGCACCAUAAGAAAAUCAAGAGGAUAGACAAGAAGAACAAACAAAUAUGGAGCUGGAGCAACAGGAAGGUAGUUCUCAAACACUCCCCAAGGAGUGGAGGUAUGUUUCCUCUCAUUCUAAGGAUUUAAUUGUAGGUGAUCCUUUAAAAGGUAUCACAACUAGAUCGUCACUUAGAAACACAUGUGAGCAUGCUGCAUUUAUUUCUCAAAUUGAACCAAAAUCUUUUGCGGAUGCGGAAAAUGAUAAGUUUUGGAUUAUGGUAAUGCAAGAAGAGUUAAAUCAAUUUGAGAGAAAUAAAGUAUAGGAAUUGGUUCCUAAACUGGAACAUCAAUCCAUUAUAGGCACUAAAUGGGUAUUUAGAAAUAAAAUGGAUGAAUUCGGUAUGGUUGUAAGAAAUAAAGCUAGAUUAGUGGCUCAAGGAUACAACCAAGAAGAAGGAAUUGAUUUCGAUGAAACAUUUGCACCUGUAGCUAGAUUAGAAUCCAUUAGGAUGUUGUUAGCAUUUGCAUGUCAUAAAGAUUUUAUUUUGUUUCAAAUGGAUAUCAAGAGUGCUUUCCUAAAUAGUUAUAUUAUGGAGGAAGUUUAUGUGAAACAACCUCCUGGUUUCGAAAAUGAGAAAUUUUCAAAUCAUGUGUAUAAGUUAUCAAAAGCAUUGUAUGGAUUAAAACAAGCACCUAGAGCAUGGUAUGAUAGACUUAAAAAUUUCUUGUUGGAUAACGAUUUUUUGAUGGGAAGAGCGGAUACUACCCUCUUUAUUAAAAAUAAAAAUCAAAAUAUAUUUGUUGUUCAAAUUUAUGUUGAUGAUAUUAUUUUUGUUCUACUAAUGAAUCUUUGUGCAAAGAAUUUUCCUCUUGUAUGAGUAAGGAAUUUGAGAUGAGCAUGAUGGGAGAAUUGAAGUAUUUUCUUGGACUUCAAAUCAAACAAAACAAUGAGGGGAUUUUCAUCAACCAAGCUAAGUACGUCAAAGACUUGCUCAAGAGAUUUGGUAUUGAUGAAUCAAAUACCAAGAAUACUCCAAUGAGUACAACAAUCAAGCUUGAUAAAGAUGAGAGAGGUAAAGAGGUUGAUAUUAAAAAGUAUCGAGGUAUGAUCGGAUCCUUACUUUACUUAACUGCAAGUAGACCCGAUAUCAUGUUUAGUGUAUGUUUGUGUGCAAGAUUUCAAUCAUGUCCCAAGGAAUCUCAUUUGCUUGUUGUUAAAAGAAUUUUUCGUUAUUUAAGUGGAACCAUAGAUAUUGGCCUUUGGUAUCCUAGAGGAACUCAUAUAGAUUUAACUUGUUAUUUAGAUGCCGAUUUUAAUGGUCACAAGGUCGAUAGAAAGAGUACUAGUGAAACUUGCCAUUUUCUUGGUCAUUCACUUGUUUCAUGGUUUAGUAAGAAACAAAAUUUUGUGGCACUCUCAACUACUGAGGCGGAAUAUAUUGCCGCAGGAAGUUGUUGUGCACAAGCACUUUGGAUGAAACAAACACUUAGAGACUAUGGUAUUGUUCUUGAAAAAAUUCCUAUCAAGUGUGAUAAUACUAGCACCAUAAAUCUUUCAAAGAAUCCCAUUCAGCAUUCUAGGACCAAGCAUAUAGAGAUUAGGCAUCAUUUCUUGAGAGAUCAUGUUCAAAAAGAUGAUAUUGCAUUAUAAUUUAUCUCUACGGAAAAACAACUUGCCGAUAUUUUUACAAAACCCCUUUGCGAAGAACAAUUUUCAAAAAUUCAGCAUGAACUUGAGAUGAUGAAAUUUUCGCAUUAACAUCUCUAGUUAUGUUAUUUAAUCUAUUAAAAUUGUUUGGAAAACAAAGGAUUCGUUGAAAAUCCCAAGUCUGCACAAGCUGUAAUGAAUUGGUCAUAACUCCUUCUAGAGAACUCCAAAUCCAGCUCUAUAAAAUUUAUUGGAAAGCUAACUUAAUUAUCUUUCCAACGGUAUAUAGUUUGCACAUUACUUCUGGCUCAAUCAAUACAGUUUUUAUUCCGAAUUUGACAUUUCUGCAUUUUAUUAAGUUUUGAAUGCUUAUAUGCUUCAUGAUUGUAUGCUUGUUGGAUGGAUUAUUUGUUUGAAUUAACUAUCUUUUGGAUGUUUAAAAUCAUGAAUCAUGCAUUAAAUUGGCUCUUGAGAUGUUUCGGGAUCACAAACUGGUCACGAAAUUAAUUAAAAUUGGCCGAAAAUUAACUAAGGUACAGCUGGACAACAACCAGGAGGCUAGCCGCUUGGAAAUGUCCCCCCAACCCGAGAGCAAGCGGCUAGCCGCUUGGUCACGGGUGUGGCAAUUGUUUUUUGCUUCUUCUUCUUCCUUUGUUAAUUUUCUGCACAUGCUUUCUCUCUCACUCAAAACCGUGAGCAACCCAUCCAUUUUCACCUCCAUUUUCUUCCUUUUUCAUCUAUUUUCAUGCCCAAAUCAACCAUUCAAACUAAUACCCAUGCAUUUCAUCUUCAUUAAACACUUCUCCAUCAUGAUUUCUUCAUUUGUUUUUCAUCAUUUCAUCAUCAUCUCUCACGCGUGAACAGUACCUCUCCAUUUCUCUCUCAAAAUUCUUCAUUUUUCACUCACUUUCUUGUUAAAAUCAAUCAUCCAAAUCAUUAUUCAUCCAUUACUCCUUCAAUUUUCGUUCUCAAAACUUCAUUUCAUCAACUCUCCACAUAAAACCCAAAAUCAAAAAACCUAACUCUACCCUUUCUCUCUCUACAUUUUCAAGCUUCCUUUAGCCCAUUUUUGAUCCAAUCUACAUCAUAUAUUAGCUUCAUUCAUCUCUAGGAUCAAUUUUCUUGGCUCAAACAAAUCCAUUUCACUCAAUUUUUGUAAACCCGAAAUUGCAUAUUUAAGCUCUUUUUAGUCCACUUUUGAUCCAAUCAACACCAUCCAUUAUCUUAAAUCAUCUCUUGGAUCAAUAUAAUUGGUUUAAAAUCAUCUAUUUCACUCAUUAUUUUACAAAAUUAAAUUUGUGCAUUUUGGGUAUAUGCACCUACAUUUUCAUAUGCAUAAUUGUUUUAAUUGUGGAUUACGGAUGAUGGUUGUUUAAUAUUAAGAUAAUUUAUAUUUGGAUGAUAUUUUCUGAAUUCUUAGAAUGAAUAUGACUCUUUAGUUAAUUGCACGCUUAAUUUUUAUAUGCUUCUUGAUUAAUCAUUGAGAUAUUCUUUUUGGUAUAAACAUGGAUUUAUAGUACUUUUGAUGAUUGAUGAUUAUAUGUGUGUUGCUUGAUGAAUUAAUGGAGUUGUUGGUUUGUGUUACUUGUUUAAGUUCAUAUGGAAGUGUUUUUAAUCACAUUGUGUAUUUGAGGAUUUGUUCAUUUUUAAGGGGAGACUCUGCCGAAAUUUUUACUCGCACACAAUUGGUAAUAUCUUCCUUGAAUCAUUUUUUAUGAUCUUGCUUCAAAUUGCAUUUUUCUAUUUUUUAUGAAAUGGGAGAUAAAUAUGAUAUGUUUUUGGAUAAUAUUAUUUUGGUUAAAUUUUUUAAUUGGCCAUAUAUUUAGGGGGAGCAUACAAUAUGAUUUUGGAUAAUACGCAUUUUGAGCAUUCUUUUGAUGGCAUAAUGGUUCAUGAUCAUUUAAUGGUUAAUUGGAUGUUUGGUUAUUAUAUGUUUCUUGAUUAACCAUUGACAUAUUAUCGAUCUUCGGAUGAAUUUCUAGUAAUUUUGAUGAUGAAGGGGGAGAAGUCAUGUAUUUUGAAUAUGAAGACAUGUAAUACAUAUUUUUGUAUUUCAAGUAUUUAUGCAUGUUUUUGAAAUAUUAAGGGGGAGCUUUCAAAUUAUCAUAAAUCAAAUAUUCAGGGGAAGUUUUUGAUUUAUAUAUGCCAUGUAUUAAGGGGGAGUUUAAUGUCAAAAUAAAUGAGAUGUUUGUCAUCAUCAAAAAGGGGGAGAUUGUUAGCCUAAAGGGCUAUACAUAAUGUAAUUUUGAUGAUAACAAAUAUAUGUAUUAAGUGAUUUAAUAAAUAUUGUAUUUCACAUUUUCACUAGUUUUUUAAGGAUAAUAUUUAUGCAAGUGAAUCAAAUGAAAUCAAGAUUGAAGACACUCAACGGACAACGGCGACAUCAAGAAUAGUCUAGAGCUCAACGAACAAAUUAGUGCGAUAAAUUCUUAUAAAGCCGGUAUGAUUUAAUUGAUGCAUGAUUUAGCAUUUGAGAAGCUCAAGAGAUUAAUUAAUUAAAUAUUUUUCAUAAACUAAAAUGUUUUAUUUUUAAAAAGUAAAGUAUUUUGUGGAUUUGAGUAAAUUGGACUUAAAUGUUAAGAUUUAUAAUCUUUGAGUUUAAUAAAUAUUAUUUUGAAAUUCAAAUUUGGACUUAUUUGCAAAGGUUUGAAACGUUUUGAGGCAUAUUAUAAUUUAUGAAAGUUUGAGGACCCGAAUGUAAUCUAGACACUUGAAAUCCAAAGUUGGACAGAGAGGAAGCGGCUAACCCCCUGAGCGCUAGCGGCUAGCCGCCUGAGGGAAAUCUCAUAUUUUCAAUUUUUGGACUAAAGUGAAAGAUUUUGAUAACUUUAAAAAAUAUGGGUAUUAUGCUAAAUUUAAAAAGGACCUCUUUGAAAAAUAAUAAUAUCUUUGGGGCUAUAUCAUAAUUUUAGAAAGUUUUGGAAAGAUAACUAAUCUUAAGUAAUUCUAAAAUUAGAUCUAUUUGCAAACUUUUCUGACGUUUUGGGUCAUAAUAUAAUUAUAGAAAGUUUUAGGUCAAAGUGUAGUUUCAGUGAACAGUAUUACUGUAGCAAAAUUCAAAAAUAACGGUGAUAUUACUGUUCCUGAGCGGCUAGCCGGAUAAUCAAGCGGCUAACCGCUUGAGCACGGGAUUUUGCCUAUAACGACUAGUUUUUGGGCUUUCACUAUAAAAACUCAACUCAAACUUCUUUCUAAGGACUAAUGCACGCAAAUAUAAGAUUAUACAACAUAUAUUGAGCUUCCAAAACGCAAAUCAUAAUUGAUUGAAUCAUUGUUGAGAUAUUAGUUGCAUAUCCACUCUUAAAGAGAGUUUUUGUUGUAAUUUUCAUUUCUUAUCAAAUUGUGACUGUGUAAGUGUGGAAAACACUUAGGGUGAAGAGAUUAUGGAGAUAAUGUCUUGGUUGUAAAGGUUCAUUGACACCUUGAAAGUCAAUUGUAAAAACUUGAAGCCUUGGGAGGCUUGGAUAGUGAAAUUCUCGAGCUCGAUUGGCUUGGAGGCGUGGACGUAGGCAGGGAUUGUCGAACCACGUAAAAAUCCGCGUGUUUGUUUUUCUGGUCCCUAACUCUUUUAUUUUUACGCUUGCUUGAAUUUAUUGUUCUCCAUUUCAUUAAGGCGUUAGAUUGAUUUUAUUGUGCGAAUUGUAUUGCAUUAAUUUUAAAAACCCAAUUCAUCCCCCUCUUGGGUUGCGUUACUUGUAUUUCAAAAAGUGCGUGUGAAGUGUAAAAUUAGGGUUGGUCUUUUGGCUUUAUGUGUUAUGCUUAAAAUUACAAUAUUAGUUUUCAUAUUUUAAAAAGUUUCCAAAUUAAUUUAAGGAUAAAAAAGUAAUUUAAUUAAACAAAUUUUAAAUGAAUCGACCUAUAUUUGAUUCGUUUAUAACUCGUUUAUUAAAUGAAUUUUAAACAAAUAAAUGAAUCAAAAUCUUCUAACCUGCAAUUUGUUUAAUUAGCGAAUCGAAUCGAAUCGAAUUCAUCCAUUUAUUAAAUUAAUUAAUUUUUUCAAACUUAAAUUUAUUUAAUUCACAUCUAAUCGAAUUAAAUAAAUAAAUCCUUACCCAUAUUAGUACCCGUAAACGGAUCAUUAAUGUUACCGGUCUUUCCUAUAUUUUAUUGCAAAUUGAUGCUAACAAGAAAAAGCUAGAUCAUAUUCCACAAAAGCAAAAGUGAUAAAACAACCAGCUGGAUUCUUUUAUUAAACUACAAAUUAAAAUGGACUUUUUUUUAAUAAACUAUAUAUGAAACUGGAAUCUUUUGAAUAUACGUGGGGUAGGUUCCCUUUCAAAAAAAAAAGCGGGGUAGGCUCUUUUAUUAAAGACAAGUCACAAGACGAUUAGGGUCUUUUAUUAAACUACAAAUUGUAUAAUAUUUUUCAAAUUGUACAGACAUUUAUAAAUUGGUGGUCCCUUGGAAAUUUAAUGCCAAUCAGAGAAAAGUCAUCAUGCACAAUCUUCAAUAAUUGUUUCGAUAUUUAUAAAUUGGUAGCCCUGCGUCUUUAAUAAAUGAAAUCAUGUUACGAUUGCAUAUAGUCGUUAGAUGCACUUAAAUUAGUGAGAUUUAUUAAUAUCUAAUAAUUAGAUAUAAUUAUAACCCAAUACAAUAGUUACACCAAAGUUUCCCCCAAUAAUUAUUCGGAUACUUAUAAAUUGGUGACCCCUUAGUAAUUUUACAGCAGCUUGCAAGUGCCAACUAGUGAAAAGUCAUCAUUCACAAUCUUCCAAGUGAAACAGGGGAUAUACAAAGAUUAAGACAUGUCAUUUUUUUUUUCAUUCCGUUUCAUGUAACUUACACCCAAAUAUAUAAAUAAUAUAAAAUGAAUGGAGAGAUGCCGGAGCAGAUCGGCAGGGUUUGAAUAUGACCUUUGGCGCUUGCUUUUUUUUGUGAUUUUUUUUUUCAUUUUUUCCUUCCUGUCAUUUUAUCAUUUCUUUGGCUUUGUCUCUGUUGCGGGUGUUACUGCAUGCUAACUGUUGCUUGACAAAGUUUGCUAGCUUUUCCUUUUGUUUAUUAAUUUUUUUAUGGUCACAAAGUAUUACUCGUUCUAUUUGACAGUGAUGUGAAUCAAUUUUUCAAUUUUAUAUUUUGUGGUCAAUGUGAAUUCAAUUUCAGUUGUCUCCUGCAAUUAUGAAAAAAUUGCAGUCAUAAUAUGGAAAAGUACGCGGGCAAAAAUUUUGUAAAAGCUUCGGAGUGAUACGGGGAAUUCACUUACUACUAAGGACAAUUGGUGGCAAGCUAUUCCAUUCAUUUUAUGUCCAUCCAUCUAUUUAGUUAUUGAAGACUAGUGGUCUAUUUAUAAAUUUCAGAUUGUUUCUCUCUCUCUCUCGAAAUAACAAUAUUUAAAAUAGAGUAAUGAUACAGCUACAAACUCUUGUACAAACUUAUUUUGUACAAACUGACGUGACAUUAAUUCAUUGGUUGAAUGAAAAUAUAAAUUAAUAAAAACAAAUCAUGUGGGACAAGUGAUAUUUAAUUCAACCAAUCUUAUCAUGUCAUAUCAGUUUGUACAAAAUAAGUUUGUAUAAGAGUUUGUGGCAGUAUCAUUACUCUUUAAAAUAUCUCUUAAAUUAUUAUAAAUUUUAAUUUACUCUCGAUUUAAAAUGGAGCAUGUCAAUAAAUUUUUUUUCUUCUUAAUAAAAUUGACGUAAGUUGUGUUUACAGUAGUUUGAAGUUUGAAAUAUUUUAAAGAUUAUUAUUCUAUAAGGGAGUAAUAUGAAAUGAAAUUUACUUUUCAUGUGUGAAAUGAAAAAGGACGAAGCAAGUGUCCCUGCUUUUAUUUUAUUUCAAGGAGGAGUCAUCUCACAGACUUUAGCUCUUAACAUUACAUUUUUUCUGGUUACAUUUUUAUUUUUUAUUUAUUUUUACACAUGCGUGUGGGUUGCUUUUCUGUAAGCUCCUUAAUAUAUAUUUAAGACAAAUUAUGGAAGAGAUGGGAUUAUAUCAAGAUGAUCAAACCAUGUAAAAAAAGAAAAAAGAAAAAAAAUUAAGAAGUAAGACACUGAAAAUGGAGAAGAGAUGGAAUCAAAAGAUAUUCCAAAACAAAGCAAUCUGUCCCCUUUCCAGGGCAGACUUAUCAGGUUUAAAAAAGUACAUGCUUUGGAUUGGUAGUUGCAAUCAAUUGAAAAUAAAUAGGAUCCAAUGAAAUUUAAAUUUCGGAGAAAUAAAAUAAUCAUGCAGAUUUUUAAGAUUUUAAUAAGAGAUACUAAUAUCUUAUUUUGAUUAAUAAUAUUCUUUCACUGUGUUAACUCAAAAAAAUAUAUUUUAAAGUUUUACAGUAAAUAAAAAUAUAAUAUUAAAAUAAAUGUGACAAAUAUAUAUAUAUAUAUAUAUAUAUAUAUAUAUAUAUUAAAUAAUUUCAAUAAAAAAACAUUUUAAUGUUUUACAAUCUACUACACAUAUUUUAUUAAGUUAAUAUAAUUUUUCAAAUAAAUAGGGACAUAAUAUUAAAAUAAAUUUAUAAAAAUUUAAAUUAUUUUGAAUUUAAAAUAAUUUUAAUAUUAUUAAUAUUUUAUAUAUGUUUUAUUAAUUAUAAGAAUUAUUUAACCCAAAGUUUUUUUAUAAAUAUUUUCAGUGGAUAUAAAUAUAUUAUUUAUACUUUGAUUAUUUAACCAUUAUUAGUCUACAAUUAUUUAUAAUUAUAUUUUCAUUUAUUAGAAUACAGUUAAAGUCAAAUCUUUUGCACUUUUACCUAGCUAGAAUUAUUGCACACAGAGAAAUAAACAUAUAUUCUUUAUAACUUUAGAAAUCGGUUUUUUUUAUAGCUGGGAACAGAGAUGAUGAUUAUUAUAAGGAUGGAGAAAAGGAUAAAAAAUAUCAAUGAUUAACAAAGUCUCUGUGCAAAUUGAUUUUAGCAGUAAAAUAGUGAGCUGAAUGAUGUACGCGAUUAGUGGUAAUAGAAAUCUUCUCAUAAAUCUCCUUUUUGAGUUAUAGUUAUUUUAUUUCCGAAAUAUCCUUUUUCUUCUUUAAUACACUUCUAAUUUUUCAUUUAAUUUUUUUAUUGUUAAACUCAAAAUAUUAUUGUGAUAUUUUUCGUGUCUUUUGCAAUCUUAUUAUUACUCUACACACGAAUUAAAAAAAUUUUUUAGGUGAUGAACUUUUGAAUGUUAAUCUUGGCUUAAAUUUCACAUAUUUUACAUUAUAAUAUAAAAUUAAUUACAAAAAUAUUUAAUCAAUAAAAAUUAUAAAAAAUAAAUUAUUUUAAAUUUAUACAAUUUAUUUUAAUUAGAUAAGCAGUAACAACUACAAAAAGGAUUUGGUUAUGAAAUUUGUUGCAGCUUAAUAUUCCACAAAAGCAAAUCGUAAUAUUCCACAAAGGAGUACGAUCCACAAAAGCAAACAACCAGCUGGAUUUUUUUAUUAAGCUACAAAUUAAAGUGGAAUCGUUUAUUAAACAACAAAUUAAAGUUUGAAUAUUUAAGUAGUAGUGCGUUAGAUGNNNNNNNNNNNNNNNNNNNNNNNNNNNNNNNNNNNNNNNNNNNNNNNNNNNNNNNNNNNNNNNNNNNNNNNNNNNNNNNNNNNNNNNNNNNNNNNNNNNNCUUGUAGCUAAUUUGUCAAUAAUAUUAAACUACAAGUGCUGACAACAAGUGCGAUGCUCUUUUUCUAAAGAGAAUUAAAGUUGGUCCCGAAUAGGACGUGCCUAAAUCUGUUUAAAUUUUUUCCAGUAAAACUAACAGAGGUCAUUACUAGAAUUAUUUAUAUUGUUUUAUAUUUAUUAACAAAUUUUAAAGUCAAUCUUUUUAAUUAUUAUUCAAAAGAUAUUAUAAUUAAAAAAUAGUGUCUACUAUUAAAAAUUUAGAAAUUUACAUUACCGUUCUCUUAAAUCUCUAAAUAUUUAAGAUGUAAUUGUUAUUUUCCUUUUAUAUAUAUUAGGAAAUAGAACCGCGCUUCGCGCGGUUUGAGAAAAAAAAAUUAGUAUUAUUAUUUUUUCUCACUUUGCAUUUGAUGAAAUUGAUAAAAAAUUAUGAAUUAUUUUUUUUAAGAUGAGACAGCCUCAUAAAACUAAUGUCAUUUAUGAAAUAAUUAUUUUUUUUGUUAACUUUUAAAAUAUAUAUUAAUAUGUAUAGUGUAAGUGUACAUACCUUAUACCUUUUGUAGUUGUUGAUAAGUUCCAAGUUAUACUCAACUUGCUAAUCUGUUAGAACUUUUAUAUAUCUUUUUUUUUCUAACUAGUUCCAACGAUCUCAAUAUCACCCACACUACAUAAACUUCUGACAACGUCUGUAAUAUUAUGAAAAAAUAAUAUAAAUAUGUUAAAACAUAAGGAUCAAUAAUUUCUAAUAUACACUUAAAGAUUAACGAACAUUAAUAAUUUAAAAAUAAUAUCUGAGAGGAUUGUAUUAUCAUUCACACGUAUAUCAAUCAAAUUCAGAGAUAUGAAUUGAAAUCUAUUAAUCGAAAUCUUAACAGUUCCUUCUUCUAAACUCUUAAGUGAAGUUAUAAGCAAGAAAAUUAAUUUUAUACUGAUUUGAAAGUAGUCUGUACUCGCCUGUAGUUGAAACAACUUUCAAAUUCUUGACACUAUACAAAGAACCAUCACUCAACAUGUGCCUAAACCUUGUCACUAAAUUUUUCUUAGUUGUUGCAUGCAUUAGAAUGUCCUAUAAAAAAGAAAAACAUGCUACAUUAAGCGUAAAACAAUUGGGAAAAAAAAGAGAAAAUAAGGGGAGAAUGAAUUUUUUAUACAACCUUUUCAUCAAUAAAAAUUAUGUUCACACUAAUCAAUUAUCCAUUCUUUUUAGUAUUAACAGACUCCCACAUCCUAAAAAACAUAAUCCUUAUCAUCUAACUAUCUUUAUCAUUGUUCAACUCAUGAAGAAAAUAGUACUUCAUGAAGCACACAAUACAAAAACUUUAAAAAGUCAAAAAUAAAAUCAUGAGGAUAUUUUUAAAGAGGAUAUUGGUUAAAUAUUUAAAAAAAACUCAAACAUAACAAAUAUUAAAUACUUAAUGUUUAAAGAGUUUUAAGAAGUCAAAAGACACAAAACAAAAUGUUGAAUAAUUAAAUAUGAGAUUAUUGCAUUAAAAUUAUACUCUAAUGCCAUUGGUGAGAGAAGAUGAAGGAACCUUCCUUCAUUUAAUAAUUAGUUUAUGUAUUUUAAGCCACUAAAGUUUAGUUGUUGGCUUAAUAAAAUAAAUGAAUGUUUCAAGACUUAUAAUUAAUUAUUAUUAAUGGUUACAUAUUGUUGAAUUUAAUAGAAAGAUGAAGAGACAUGUAAUCUUUUGCAAUCUAAUAAUUAUUUUCUAUUUUUAAUACUUUGUAAUGUAAUUAUUUUUUAAUUGCAACCAAUUUAUUAAAUAAUAGAGAAUAUAAGAAGAUGAGAAAUGGUGAUGCCACAUCACCUCCUGUAGUCCCAGCUUUAUAUAUAUACUAGGAAAUAGAACCGCGCUUCGCGCGACUUAAAAAAAAUUAAUAUAAUUUUUUUCUUACUUUGCACUUGAUGAAACUGAUAAAAAUUAUGAAUUAAUUUUUUUAAAGAUGACACAACUUUAUAAAACUAAUAUUAUUUAUGAAAGUUCAUUUUUUUGUUAACUUUAAAAAUAUAUAUUAAUGUGUACACAAUAUUUUCAUCAAUAAAAAUUAUGUUCACAAUAAUCAAUUCUCCAUUCUUCUUGAUAUUAACAGACUCCCAUAUCCUAAAAUCUAACCUUUAUCAUCCAAUUAUCUUUAUCAUUGUUCAACCCAAGAAAAUAGUACUCUAUGAAGCACACAAUACUAAAAUUUUAAAAAGUCAAAAAAUAAAAACACAAGAACAUUUCUAAAGAGGAUGUUAGUUAAAUAAUAAAAAAAACUCAAACAUAAUAAAUCUUAAAUACUUAAUGUUUAUAGAGUUUAAAGAAGCCAAAAGACACUAAACAAAAGGUUGCAUAAUUAAAUAUGAGAUUAUGACAUUACAAUUAGGCCCUAAUGACAUUGUUGAGGGAAAAUGAAGGAACUUUCCUUUCUAUAUUAAUUAAUUGAUGUAUUUAAAACACUAAAGUUUAAUUAUUGGCAUAAUAAAAUAAAUGAAUGUUUCAAGACUUAUAAUUAAUUAUUAUUAAUGGUUACAUAUUAUUGAAUUUAAAUAAACAGAGGAAAGGACAUGUAAUCUUUUGUAAUCUAAUAAUUAUUUUUUAUUUUUAAAAUUUUGUAAUGUAAUUAUUUUUUUAAUCUCAACCAAUUUAUUAGAUAAUAGAGAAUACAAGAAGAUGAAAAAUAGUAAUGUCACAUCACCUCUUCUAGUUAAUUAAUUGAUGCAUUUAAGCUACUAAAGUUUAGUUGUUGGCUUAGUAAAAUAAAUGUAUGUUUCAAAACUUAUAAUUAAUUAUCAUUAAUGGUCACAUAUUGUUGAAUUUAAAUAGAAAGAGGAAGAGACAUGUAAUCUUUUGUAAUCUAAUAAUUAUUUUCUAUUUAUUUUUUAUUUUUAAUAUUUUGUAAUGUAAUUAUUUUUUAAUCUCAACCAAUAUAUUAGAUAAUAAAGAAUAUAAAAAUAUGAGAAAUAAUGAUGCCACAAAUCUUAAUUACUUAAUAUUUAUAGAGUUUGAAGAAGGCAAAAGACACUAAACAAAAUGUUGCAUAAUUAAAUAUGAGAUUAUGAUAUUAAAAUUAGGCCCUAAUGGUAUUGUUGAGGGAAGAUGAAGGAACCUUCCUUCCUAUAUUAAUUAAUUGAUUUAUUUAAGCCACUAAAGUUUAAUUGUUGGCAUAAUAAAAUAAAUGAAUGUUUCAAGACUUAUAAUUAACUAUUAUUAAUUGUUACAUAUUAUUGAAUUUAAAUAGAAAGAGGAAGAGAUAUGUAAUCUUUUGUAAUCUAAUAAUUAUUUUUAUUUUUAAAAUUUUGCAAUAUAAUUAUUUUUUUAAUAUCAACCAAUUUAUUAGAUAAUAGAGAAUGCAAGAAGAUGAAAAAUAGUGAUAUCAUAUCAUCUCAUCUAGUCCUAACUUUAUUAUCUAUGUAAGAAAAUAAAAAAAUAGUAAUGGCACAGCACCUCCCCUAGUCUCAUCUUUAUAUAUAUAUAUAUAUAGAUAUAUAAAAACCACGGUGGUGAAACUUUAUUUAAUAUUAUUGAUUUAAAUAACAAUAUCUCAAUUAAAAAUGAACAGAGAAGAAAUUUCGGUGGGUAUAUUAGUCUUUUACAAUUAUCAUGAUUAGCCCUUCCUCUUGUAACGUUGGUCAGAAAAGUUUUCUUUUACUUUUAACGUUAGCGGCCUUCCUUAUAUUUUAUUACAAAUUAAUCCUAACAAGAAAAAGCGAGAUCAUAUUCCACAAAAGCAUAAGUGACAAAACAACCAGUUGGAUUCUUUUAUUAAACUACAAUUUAAAAUGGUUUUAAAGUGGAUUCUUUUGAAUACAGGUGGGGUAGACGAUUAGGCUUUUUCAAAUUCUUGUUUUAUUAUUUUUCAAAAACUAGUUUUUGGUAAUUACAAUCGGGUCAUUAAUCAUUAUUCAGUGUUAGUUUUAUCUUCGGGGGCAGUGGGUAAAAGGCUAAAUGAUAAUUACUACCUGUUUUUCCUUCAAAAGUUAGUGGCUCGUGUUUUGCAAGUGUGAACGUGCGAUGCUCUUUGUCUAAGGGCAAUUACAGUGGGUCCCGAAUCGGACGUGCCUAAAUCUUUUAAAAAAUUUUCCGGUAUAACGGACAUAGGCCAUUACUAAAAUUUCUCUUCCACAGGCAAUUACAGCAGCUCGAGUUUAUCAAACUCAACCAAUUUUCUUUCUUAACAAAAUCCAAAGAUGUGUAGCAUUUUUCAGAUCACAUGCGAUGGUGCUUUUUUCAAUCGUUGCUUGGAUUGCUUUCUUGGAAAAGCAGCGUACAUAAGCAACCUCCAAGAUAAUCUUGUAGCCUUGGAGACUAAAAUGGGAAAUCUGAUCGCAGCAAAGAACGAAGUGAUUAUGAGGGUUGUCGCUACUGAACGGCAACAAUUGAGAAGGCUGGACCGAGUGCAAGUGUGGGUUUCCAGGGUGGAAGCUGUUAAAAUUGAAGCUGAUGAACUUAUCAGAGACGGCUCUCAAGAAAUUGACAAAUUAUGUGUUGGAGGCUACUGUUCUACGAACUGCACGUCAAGCUACAAGUUCGGGAAACAAGUGGCUAAAAAGCUACGAGAUGUGGAGACUUUAAUCGCCGAAGGAGUUUUUGAGGUGGUGGCUGACAGAGCUCCAGAGUCUGUAGCAGAUGAAAGACCUACUGAGCGAACACUAGUAGGCUUGCAAUCACAACUUGAACAAGUCUGGAGAUGUCUUAUAGAAGAAUCAGCGGGAAUCAUUGGCCUAUAUGGUAUGGGCGGUGUUGGUAAAACUACACUAUUGAUCCAUAUCAACAAUAAAUUUCUCGAGAGUCGAACCAACUUUGAUUUUGUGAUUUGGGUAGUAGUUUCAAAAGACCCGCGACUCGAAAAAAUUCAAGAAGAUAUUGGGAAAAGGAUAGGUUUGGUUGAUGAUUCAUGGAAGAGUAAAAGUGUAGAGGAGAAAGCUCUCGACAUCUUCCGGAGUUUAAGAGAGAAGAGAAUUGUAUUGUUGUUAGAUGAUAUAUGGGAGCGGCUUGAUUUAACAAAAGUGGGCGUUCCACUUCCCGGACCAAAAAAUACUACCUCAAAAGUCGUAUUCACAACCCGUUUCUUCGAUGUUUGUGGUAGCAUGGAAGCUCACAGGACGUUCGAAGUGGCAUGCUUAUCAGAAAAGGAUGCUUGGGAACUGUUUCAAGAAAAAGUAGGAGAAGAAACUCUUAAGAGUGAUCAUGAUAUCGCUGAGCUAGCCCAAACCGUGGCCAAGAAGUGUGGUGGUUUGCCGCUCGCACUUGUUACUAUUGGUCGAGCUAUGGCCAGCAAAAAGACAGCCGAGGAGUGGAGACAUGCAAUUGAAGAGUUAGGAAGAUCAGCUUCAGAGUUUCCAGGUUUGGGAAAAGAGGUGUAUCCUGUUUUAAAAUUCAGUUAUGAUAGUUUGCCGAAUGAGACGAUUAGAUCUUGUUUCUUAUAUUGUUGUUUAUAUCCUGAAGAUUAUGGCAUUCUUAAAUGGGACUUGAUUGAUUGUUGGAUUGGUGAGGGAUUCUUAGAGGAAUCUAACAGGUUUGGUGCAGAAAACCGAGGAUACUACAUUGUGGGCACUCUUGUUCAUACGUGUUUACUAGAAGAGAUAGAAGAUGAUAAAGUAAAAAUGCAUGACGUUGUUCGUGAUAUGGCUCUAUGGAUAGCUUGUGAAACUGAGAAGGAGAAGAUAAACUUUUUGGUUUGUGCAGGUGCUGGAUUAAAGGAGGCACCGGAUGUUAAAGGAUGGGAAAAUGUGAGAAGAUUGUCAUUGAUGCAAAACCAAAUUAAAGUUCUGUCAGAGGUUCCUACAUGCCCUCAUCUCCUCACUUUAUUUCUUGACUUUAAUAGAGAGUUAAUGAUGAUCGCGGGUGGCUACUUCCAAUUUAUGCCUUCUCUCAAAGUUUUGAAGAUAUCAAACAUUGGGUAUUUCAACGUUUUGAAAUUACCUUUGGGGAUGUCAAAGUUGGGUUCACUAGAACUUCUCGAUAUUUCACAUAGCAGCAUAGAGGAGUUACCAGAAGAGUUAAAGUUGUUGGUAAAUCUGAAAUGUCUGAAUUUGAGGUGGACAGAUGUGUUAAAUAAAAUUCCACGGCAACUAAUAUCAAAUCUUUCAAGGGUACGUGUGUUGAGAAUGUUCGCUACUGGCUAUGAUCGUUUUCAUGAAGCAUCAGAAGACAGCGUUUUAUUUGGUGGGGGUGAAGUUUUGAUACAGGAAUUGCUCGGUUUGAAAUAUUUAGAGGUAUUGGAGUUGACCUUGGGAAGUUAUCAUGCUCUCCAAAUUCUUUUGAGCUCAAAUAAGUUAAAAAGUUGUAUUCGAUCUCUUCUCCUCUUCGGGUUCAGAGGUACAAAGUAUUUUAUUGAUGCUACGGCUUUCGCAGAUCUAAAGCACCUCAAUGAAUUACAGAUUCAUGAUUGUAGGGGGUUGGAAGAGUUGAAGAUUGAUUACACAGAGAUAGCACAAAAAAGGCGGGAACCUUUUGUUUUCCGCAGCCUUCGUCGUGUUACUAUGGUUUCGUGCCAUAAAUUGAAAGAUUUGACAUUCCUCGUUUUUGCUCCAAACCUCAAGUCUAUUUCGCUAGGCGAUUGCGAUGCUUUGGAAGAAAUAAUCAGCGUUGGAAAAUUUGCUGAGGUUCCUGAGAUGAUGGGACAUCUAAGCCCUUUCGAAAAUCUCCAAAAUCUUGACCUAUCGUAUUUGCUGGCUUUGAAGAGCAUCUACUGGAAGCCAUUGCCUUUCACUUAUCUGAAAGAAAUGGUGGUAAAUGGGUGUGAUCAACUUAAAAAGCUUCCACUCGAUUCCAGCUGUGCAGAAGAGCGUAAAUUUGUUAUUCGCGGAGAAGCACACUGGUGGAACUGCCUUGAAUGGGAGGAUGAAGCCACUCAAAUUGCUUUUCGUUCCUGUUUCCAGCCUUAUUCCUGAGUGGUGGUUGCAAAAUUUGAUUUCUGGUGUGGUCUUUUAUUCUCUGUUUUUAUUUAAGUUUCUUUUCCUUUCCUUUUCCUUUUUUUUUUUAAUUUCUCCUGCAAAUCACAAUUAAACAUUGAAUUAUAUGGAAUUAAUGCUUUAUAAAUUUGCCGGCACUGCCUUUUUUUUUUUUUGUCGGAGUGAUACUCUAGCUUUUGACUUUUGGUUGUCAAAUUCUGCUCUGCCUUUUUAAAUUGAUGCUUUAUUUAUAUUUUCUUAGUGAUUUAGUUUCCUGUCAAAAGACGAACGAGAAGAACAUUUGAAUUAAAUAAAUGCUCGCAAAUUUGCGGUAAAAAGAUGUAAUUAGCCGAGAAAAUAUUAAAUAUAGUAGCCCUCUUUACAGAAAAUCAAGUGGAAGUUAAUUCAGCAAGUUAUAUUCUUGAUUAAUUCCUUUUCUGAAGUUUUUAUUUUCUAUGGUCAAUUAUACCUUCAUACUAAAAAUUGCUGCUAUUGGGUGUUGAGUGUUAUGCUAAAAUUUUGCCCUAUUUUGGGCCAAUAUUUUAGAAGUGAAACAUACUUCAGAGUUGAAGUAAACUUUGAAAAUAGAGAUAAUGAUUAAUUUAGAAGAGAUGCAAGUAAAAGAUAUUCUAAAAAAAAAAAAGCAAUAUGUCCCUUUGGAGGGCAAACUUGUCAGUUUGAAAAAGUUACAUGCUUUGGAUUGAUAGUUGCAGGAUAUUUGUUUUGUCACUGUGUAUUAGGUGCGUUUGGAAUUGAAGUGUUGUAGUUUUUAAGUUAUAAUUGUUGUAAAAAAAAAUUGUAACUAUAAAACAAAAGUUAAUAAUAUAUAAUAAAUUUAAAUUUAAAUAAUAAUUUUAAUAAAAUUAUUAAAGAUAUAAUAGAUUAUUUAUUAUACAAGUGAAAAUUAUAUCAACAUAUCUUUCAAGUUACAAUAGUUAUUGAUUACUAAACACUUUACUGUUGUAACUUUUAAGUUAUAGCUAUUUAACCUCAAUUCCAAACGCAUCGGAGAAGUCACGCCUAGUGAAGAAUGUUAUGAAAGAGCAAAGGAUAUUCCUAAUCGAGCUCUAUUUGAUUAUGUAUCCAGUGAAUGGAUGUGUUGUUGGAAGAUAUUUGAGUGCAUUAGUUCAUUUGUGUCGGUCAAUGUGCUUUUAAUGAUUUUUCCACUUGUUUGUUGUAAAAGAUUAUUGUAAAUUGAAAUGAAUUGGAUGUUGUAAUAUUUUCUCUUUAGUGGAAUUUCACCUUGUAUGUAUUCAGUUGUGUUGUCUAAAAUUUUACAUUCGAAUAAGUUUUCACCUAAAAUAUUAGCAUGAGUUGUGGCCCUUGAAACUUUGGUCAAAAUUAUUGUUAUUAUUUCUUACUAGAUGUAAACUUUUUAUUAAACCUCGUUAACAUAAUUCUUAAUUAAAAGUAUAGGUUAGUGUCGGUGCAGAAUUUGCAACACCAAAUCCUGCCUAGGCAAGUGUCAAAAGUGCAAAAUAAAUGAAGAGAAAGCACGAAUACAUGAUUUAGAUUAGGAUAGAAGGAAACUUAAAUCCUAGAGAAAAGGAUAGCUAUAUCCCAAGAUUUAAAAAAAUAGUCAUGUAGAUUUUUAAGAUUUCAAUAAGCGACUAAGAUUUUCUUUUGACAAAUAAUUUCCUUUAGCUCUAUUAACAAAAAAAAUAAAGACUCAAAUAUUUUAUAAUAAAUAAAAUAUAAUAUUAAAAUAUAUGUGAUAAUAUAGAAAUUUUAAAUAAUUUCAAUCCAAAUAAAUAGUUAUGUUUUACAAGCUAUUAAACAUAUUUUAUUAAAUUAAUAUAAAUGUUUUAUAAAAUAGGAACAUAAUAUUAAAAUAAAUUUACAAAAUUUUUAAGAAUUUUGAAUGUAAAAUAAUUUUAAUAUAUUAAUACGUGAGAUUUUUUUAUUAUUAUAAAAAUUAUUUAACUUUAAGAUUUUUUAAAAUCCUUACAAUAAGUAUAAAUAUAUUAUUUACAUUUAAAAAUAUUUAAAUAUUAUUAACCUACAAUUAUAUUUGCAUUUAUUAGAAAAUUUUAAAGUCAAAUAUUUUGCACUUCUACAUUAUUAGAAUUAUUGAACACAAAGAAAGAAACAUAUAUGCUUUAUAGCUUUAGAAAUUGUUUUCUUUUACAUCUGGAAACAAAGAUGAUGAUUAUUAUAAGGAUAAAAAAUGGAUAAAGAAUAUUAAUGAUUAACGAAAUCUCUGUGCAAAUUGAUUUUAGUAGAAAAAGAGUGAGAUGAAUGAUUUCUUUUACAACUAGAAACAAAGAUGAUGAUUAUUAUAAGGAUGAAAAAAAGAUAAAGAAUAUUAAUUAUUAAUGGAAUCUCUAUGCAAAUUGAUUUUAGUAGAAAAAACGAGCUAAAUGAUUUAGACAUUCAUUCUGUGUUUAUUUUUGUGAUUAGCAUUAAAAAUUGUUUAAUUAUCAAACGAUAAUAAUGUUAUUUUGUACUUAUGUUAUAAUUUAUAUUUGUGUUUAUGUAAUAUAUUAGAAAUUAUUAAUUAUGUUUUAAAUAUAUCUAAUUUUGAGUAUAUUUGUGUGUUUAUUAGGAAAAAUAUUAAUUUUAGAUAAAUUGAGGCUCCAAACAAUUAAACGGAGGUCAAAUUUGGAUUCCGGAGGUUUGAAAACCUUAAGAUCAGUCAAGAUCGGCUUAAAAUUAGGUUUGUGUAAAAAGAGUUGACUUUUUCUGCUGACCGAGCACUGAUUGGAUGAUGAAAUGAGCUUACAAUAGAUAUGAGUGCAUGGGAUAACUGGCAAUUUUGACUAAAUCUCAACCGUUCAUGAUUCAAUGGCCAUGAUUGUGCCAUGUGGUAGUGGUUGAUGAAGCAAGUUGUAGGAUCUGAAUCUUUGUAUACGGGUCGACCUGAUCCGCCCAUUAACUCGCCAAAUCACAACCGUUCUUUGGCCAAAUCGGACGAGUCAAACGAUGCCACAUGUGAAGUUGACUUUUGAAGUUUGACCAGCCAUUGGAUCUUGAUCUAAAGGUUGUGAGAGCAUGAAGCUUAUGGAGCUUAUGAUGGACCGCAAAACACUGGAUUAUAAAUUUAUUUUUCUAUAAAUAGAGCCUCAUUUUUAUGUUUUUAAUUAUCUCUACAUCUCUCUUCUUCUCAAAUUCUCUCCAUCUCCCUGUAAUAUUUUGUAUAAUUAUUUUAUUAAAUAAAUUUAGUUUUAUUUUCAAUUUUAGUUGUUUUUAUUACUUUUAAUUAUAAGUAAUUAAAUUUUAAUAUUUCUUUUUAUUUCAAUUAUGCUUAACUAAAUAAUAUUAGUUGGGGUAAGGUGAAACUCUUAGGAAAUAAAUAUGAUUUAAUCAAAUUUUAUUUUUAAUUUUAUAAAUUAAAUUAUUUUCUAUUUAAUUUUAUACAUAUUUUAUAUUUUAAAAUUUUGAUUUAUUGUAGACAAACAAAUAAAUUUGGCACAAUAAAUUCUUAAGAUCUUAAUAUAAGGUAUGGUAAAAUGGUAUUUUGACUUAUUGUAGACAAAUUAAAUUUUGACACAAUAAAUACUUAAUCCAUCAUAAAAUUAGAGGGAAAAUAAUAAUAAUUUAUAUAAUUAAUCUUUUGGGCAAUAAAUUUAAAAAAAUAGCAAAAAGAAUUUAUUGAGUUUUAUUUACUACUAAGAGUGGAUCCACAAUCCUAACUAGAUCAAUUUCAUAAUUUCAUUUAAAUUAAGUUGUUUUUAUUCAAGUUUUUAUUUCAAUUUUUAGAUAAAAUAAAUUAAAUUAAUUAAAUCUUUUCUCUGUAGAUCGACCUCAGACUCACCGAGGACUGACCAAGGUAUAAUACAACAAGACACUCUUAUAAUUAAGAGUUUAAAAUUACUUUUAAGUUGUGUCAUUUUGGAUUGGUGAAUUAGAAUUAUUGACAACGCUAACUUCAUCUUCACAAUUUGCAAUCCAAUAGCAGCAAUUGUCACCGAUAAUGAUAUCUCCAAUGAUAAUGACGAUUUUAUUAUUAUUAUUGAUAAAAAGUAUUAUAAUUAAUUAAUAUAUUAAUGUUAAUAUUAUUAUUAUUAAGAUUAACAAUAAUUAUUAAUAAUAACAAUUUUUUGAAUAAAAAUAAUUACAAUAAUUUAAAUAUAAAUUAAUAAUUAUGACAAUAAUUAAUUAAUGUCUUUUUAAUAAUUUACUGAUUAUCACAGUUCAAGUAAACAAAUUAUUAUGAUUCCUAUUCUCCAUUUCCAUUUCAGCUCACUCCGAUUCCAAUCCAUUUCGACUUCUGCCUAAAAAACUCACCAUUAGUGCUAUAGUAAUAUUUCAUAUAGAGAAAAGUAAAAUCUACACCUAAGAUUAAGGUAAAGGACUUCAAAACUCUCUUUUGAUUAUAAUACCUUUUGUCCUAAUUAACUUAAAGAUUUUGAAUCUAAUAUUUUAUAAUAAAUAAAAAUAUAUUCCUAAAAUAAAUAUAAUAUCAAUAUUUAAAGUAUGUUUUAAUAUUUUACAAUCUAUCAGACACAUUUUAUUAUAUUAAAGUAAAUUUUAUAAUAAAUACAAACAUACUAUUAAAAUGAAUAUACAAAAAAGUUUAGAGUAUUUUGAAUAUUAUAUAAAAUAAUUUUAAUAUAAUGCGUGAGAUAUAUUUUAUUAAUUUAAAAUGCUAUUUUACCUAAAAAUUUAUUUAUGAUAAAUUAAUAAUUAUAUUUUUAAAAUUAUUUUAAAUAUUAUAAAAAAUUUAAUAUUAUUAGUGUUUUAGAUAGAUUAAAUUAUUUUAAAAUGCCUUAAUUGUUUUUACUUUUAACGUUACCGGCCUUUCUUAUAUUUUAUUGCAGCUAACAAGAAAAAGCCAGAUCAUAUUCCACAAAAGCAAAAGUGACAAAACAACCAGCUGGAUUCUUUUAUUAAACUACAAAUUAAAGGAUCCCAUUAUCUUACAACUAAUGUAAGAUACAUCCCUCACAUAAAUAGUAUAUAAACUCCACAUAUAUACUGUUCAUGUGAGGAAAUGUACCUUACAUUAAGAUAGUGUUUGCCCAAAUUAAAAUAGAUUUUUUCGAUGAACUACAAAUUAAAGUGGAUUCUUUUGAAUAUAGCUGGGGUUAGGGUAGGCUCUUUUAUUUAAGGCAAGUCUAGAGUAGUCAAAGACGAUUAGGCUCUUUUAUUAAACUACAAAUUGUAUAGUCUUUUUCAAAUUGUUCAGAUGCUUAUAAAUUAGUGGCCCCUUGUAAAUUUAACUGGAAGUGCCAAUCAGAGAAAAGUUCAAUUCUAAAUAAUUGUUCCGAUAUUUAUAAAUUGGUGGCCCCUACAAUCCUCAAUAAUUGUUCCGAUAUGUAUAAAUUGAUGGCCCCUACAAUCCUCAAUAAUUGUUCCUAUAUUUGUAAAUUGGUGGCCCCUUAGAAAUUUAACCGCAAGUCUGCAAGUGACAAUCGGAGAAAAGUCAUAAUUUACAAUCUUCCAAGGGAAGUAGGGAACCAGGGGAUAUACAAAGAUUAAGACAUGUCAUUCAUUUUUUUGGCUGCAUUCCCUUUCGUGUUCUUAAUAAUUGAAGACAGGUUGUUCAUUACAUGCUUACUUUUCAAAUGUGGAGCCGCAGCUAAUGUCGCUACUUUAAUUUGGGAUUAAAUUAGGGAAACAUUAUAUUGUAGUAUGCACUAACUUGAUGUUUAUCUAAACUCCUUAAAUUUAAGACAGAUUAUGGCAUAAAUAAGAAUAUAACGAUAACAAAAGAGUAUAUAAAAUAUUUAGAGUAUUUUGAAUAUUAUAUAAAAUAAUUUUAACAUAAUGCAUGAGAUAUAUUUUAUUAAUUUUAAAUGCUAUUUAACCUAAAGAUGUAUUUAUGAUAAAUUAAUGAUUAUAUUUUUGAAAUUAUUUCAAAUAUUAAAAAAUUAAUAUUAUAGACUAAAUUAUUUAUAUUAUUUUUUAUUUAUUAAAAAAUUUUUAAGUCAAUCUUUUUAAUUACUAUUCAAAGAAUAUAAUGAUUAAAAAAAUCUUUAUGCCUUCAUUAAAAAUUUAAAAAUUUACAUAACGAUUUCUAUAAAUAUUUAGGGUAUAUAUGAAGCACGGUGGAGAAGCUUUAUUUAAUAUUAUUGAUUUAAAUAAUAUCUCAAUUAAAAAUGUACAGAGAAGAAAUUUCGGUGGGUAUUUUAGUCUUUUCAGCAAUUAUCAUGACCAGAUCUGCCUUUGGCCUUGAAACGUCGGUCAGAAAAGUUUUAAAGUGCUUUAAUUGUUUUUAAGGCCGCUAAUAACUCUGCUCGUGCAAGUUGAGGAUAAAUGUUAAAUUAAUUACAAAAGCAAAAGGCUAAUUUAUUGAAGACAAGUAAAGCAGUCACGAAUGGUACAUGCCUAAUCUUUUCUAUAUUUACAGAAACACAAUUUUUUUUCAAUCCGCCGCAGCUUCUGUUAAAAUUAUCUUGGUUUCUCGUAGUUGAUUUCUAUUAUCCCAAAAAAAAAAAAAAGGUAACUGUUGAUGCCGAAAAAUGAUUUCAACAGCUGAAUUUAUUUUUUUUGGAGAAUUACAGUGUGAAUCCAAGCUCAAACGCAAGUCUGAUCGCAACUUUCUAUAUCUGCUAAUCAGAAAACACAGUUAGGAUACGCCGGUGGGGUUUCGGCUAGACCUUCCGAUACUUAAGUCAGAAAUUAUGUAUAAAAGGAGAAAAAUGAGAAUGAAGAAUUAUGAAUGAGUUAAAGUCAAGUAAUUUUCCGGUAGAGGGGUUGAAAAUCUUGUAGAAGCUUUGGUUGAUUUUGCUAACCCCUUCACCUGAUGCGCUCUUCAGUUUAAAUAGACUCUUGGUCGUGUACGGUUACCUCCUUAACUUCAGAAGUUGCAAGUGGUUGUCAGUUGGAGGUGGUUUAAAUAGAUCGUGGCACACAACUUCCUUAUAAAUUAGGCCACGUUCUCUUAACUAGCAAUUUUCCAUGUCAAGCUAAUUCUCAGGUCGGACAAGAGAAUUUCAAGGUCGGAUUACUUCACUUUCAGAUUAGACAGAUGAAUUUCUCAGUCGCUCAUAUAACGUUAAGGUUGUAUUCUUAAACUAAGUCAUUCACAUAGAUCUUAGGUCGUACUUAUAAACCAGGUCGCCAACAUAGGCUCCAGGUUGUACUUAUGAGGUUAGCUCAACAACAAUAAGUUUUGAGUAGAUUAGGAUCGACUAUAUUUUGAGACACUACCAGAAAAAUCCAACCCAAACACCAGUCCCCUAAUUUUCAAUACUGGAAAGUCAUUGCCAGUGUUGGAAACUAAUGGAAAACAUUUCUCAAAACCCAAUACCAGUCCCCUAGUUUUCAAUACUGAGAAGAUAUGAACGGUAUUGGAAACUAAAAUAAUUAAGAAAGAGCAAUAUAGCCACAAGCAAAAGAAAGACGGUGUAGAGCGGAACAAUGAGCAAAGAGAAGAGUAAAAAGAAAACUUCAGGUGUGGACCAAGAAAAUAACCAUGACCAAAUGCCUCGAGGUGAUAGAGUCGGGGUUGAGGGUGAGGUCUUCCUAACUAGUAGGGUUGUUGAAGACCAAGAGAGAACUUCCUAAAUUUAAUUAUUACAAUGCUUGCCCUUUUUUGCAAUAUGAACUUGUGUAGACCGUAUGCUACUGAACUUUAUUUUGCCUUUGUAAUCGGAUAAUUAUUAUGCUGACCUUGCCUUUUUUACUCUUUAUUUACUAGGGUUGGUUAUGAAUUGCAUUCCGUAGACUGAGCCCAUUUAAGACUCUGUUGAGGUCAAACAAAUAGAUAUGGUCAACUUUGGUAGCAAUAACACCAAGCAAUGACCUUGAAUUCACCAAGAUUCUAUCAUUUCGAUAUCAAUCUUGAUAAGGAAAAUGUUGACCUCACGAAAAUAUCAACUUCAACAAGAUAAAUUGUUGACCUCAACAAGAUAAAUUGUUGACCUCAACAAGAUAAAUUGUUGACCUCAACAAGGUUAAGUGUAGAGCUAAAAUGCCAACCUCACGACAAGGAAAAUGUUGACCUCACGAUAAGGAAAAUGUUGACCUCACGAAAAUGUCAACCUUAACAAAAUAGAUUGUCGACCUCAACAAGGUUAAGUGUAGAGCUAAAAUGCUGAACUCACGAUCUCACGACAAGGAAAAUGUCAACCUCACGAAAAUGUCAACCUCAACAAGAUAGAGUGUUGAACGCAAUAAGGUUAAAAUGUAAAGCUAAAAUGCCGACCUAAAAAAAAAUUGAAAAUUGGAGAACUUAAAUGUUAAGCUUAUGAUCAACCUCAACAAGGCAAUGACUGACCUCAAUAAAAUUGAAAAUUGGGCAACGACCUCAACAAGGCAAUGGCCGACCUCAACAAGGCAAUGGCCGACCUUAAAAAAAAUUAAAAAUUGUAGAACUUAAAUGUUAAGCUUAUGGCCGACCUCAACAAAAUUGAACAUUGUAGAACGUAAAUGUUAAGGCUAUGGCCAAACUCCACGAGGCAAUGACCAACCGCAAUAAAUAGAAAAUUGUAGAUUUUAACUUAUGGCCGACCUCAAUAAGGUAAUGGUCGACCUCAACAAAAUUAAACAUUGUAGAACGUAAAUGUUAAGGCUAUGGGCAAACUCCAUGAGGCAAUGACAAACCUCAAUAAAUAGAAAAUUGUAGAAUUUAGCUUAUGGCUGACCUCAAUCAGGCAAUAGCCGACCUCAACAAAAUUGAACAUUGUAGAACGUAAAUGUUAAGGCUAUGGCCAAACUCCACGAGGCAAUGAGCAACUUCAAUAAAUAGAAAAUUGUAGAACUUAGUUUAUGGCUUACCUCAAUAAGAAAAUGGUCGACCUAAAUAAAGUAAAGGCGAAUUUCGAUAAAAUUGAAAAAUGUAGAUCUCAACAAGAUAAAAGUUAAGGCUAUCUAACCACAAGGUAAUAGCUGUCUUCAAUCUCAAAAAGGCCGAAUUACAAUUAGACCUCAACAAGGUCAAAAUGACAAUCUCGAUCUCAAUAAGAUUUGAUAAAUUUUUCAGGUAGGACCUCAACAAGGCAGCAAUGUCGAUCUCAAUCUCAAUAAGAUUGGAUGAAUUUUUCAGGUAGAAUCUCCACAAAGCCGAAAUGCCGAUCUCAAUCUCAAUAAGAUUGGAUAAAAUUUUCAGGUAGGACUUAAAUAAGGCCGCAAUGUCGAUCUCAAUCUCAAUAAGAUUGAAUGAAUUUUUUUCAUGUCAGACCUCAGUAAAGUCGUCAUGUCGAUCUCAAUCUCAAUAAGAUUAGAUAAAUCUUUUCACGUUGGACCUCAAUACGGUCCAAAAAUGCCGAUCUCAAUCUCAAUAAGAUUGGAUAAAAUUUUCAGGUAGGACCUCAACAAAGCUGCAAUGUCGAUCUCAAUCUCAAUAAGAUUGGAUGAAUUUUUUCACGUUGGACCUCAGCAAGGCCGCCAUGUCGAUCUCAAUCUCAAUAAUAUUGGAUAAAUCUUUUCAUGUUGGACCUCAAUACGGUCCAAAAAUGCCGAUCUCAAUCUCAAUAAGAUUGGGUAACUUUUUCAUGUUGGACCUCAAUAAGGUCACAAAGUUGAUAUCAAUCUCAAUAAGAUUGAAUAAAUAUUUUCACGUUGGACCUCAAUACGGUCCAAAAAUGCUGAUCUCGAUCUCAAUCUCAAUAAGAUUGGGUAAUUUUUUCACGUUGGACCUCAACAAGGUUGCAAUAUCGAUAUCAAUCUCAAUAAGAUUGGAUAAAUUUUUUCACGUUGGACCUCAAUAAGGUCCAAAAAUGCCAAUCUCAAUCUCAAUCAGUCUGGAUAAAUUUAUUUCAUAUUGGACCUCAAUCAAGUCCAAGUGUCGAUCUCGAUCUCAAAUAAGACCGGUCACAAGUAGAUAAGAAAUAAAGUUGCACUUUUAAAUAACCUCAUUGAUACUAAUAUAACAGAAGUUAUAGAAUUGAACGCAUAACAAAUUGAAAUAACAAAGAAACAAACUUUCUUAGCAUAUUUAAAGAAAAUAAACAAACAAUAUUUAAAGAAAAUAAACAAACAAGGACAUCAUAAAUAAGAUAUAUCUUAACUGAUAGUAUUUUCGCAGGUGCUCUGCAUUCCAUGCCUUGCCAACGACCCUGCCAUCCUGAUAACUUAAUUUAUAUGCCCCAUUAUCAAAUUAGGGUAGCACUUUAUAUGGUCCUUCCCAGCUCGGCCCUAGAACUCCAUCAAUAAAUCUGAAGCUCAUUGGAGAUGUCAUCCAUCAUUUUUGUUCCCACUCUUACCACCCUGCUCGGAUCAACCUCACUUAUCGGCAUGUUUCAUUUCUUCAUUAGGUCACUGUUGGCACAAUCUAUUCUCAGCUCGUGGGUCGAUACUCGUGAUCUGCAUGGAUUCUCUUGCAGCUGUAGCGUAACAACUUCGAGCUAUUUGUUGCUGGCCCCUCAUCACUCCAACCCCAUAUUGAACUCUAAACUUCACACGUUGCAUGUGGGUUGAGCUCACGGCUCUUACUAUCCUAUUGAAAGGUCUACCCAAAAUAAAUUGAUAAGGGUUGGGCUCAUCAACUACCACCCAUGUCACCAUCACUGUCUUUUGUAGUGGGUUGGACUUUAUUAUCAGUGGCAAGUCAAUCAUCCCAAGGGGAAUCAACUCAGCUCCGCCAAACCCUUUUAGUGAUGUUCUGACGGGAUCAAGCCUAAGGUCCCCUAUUUGUAGAUCUUCCAGGGUUUGCUUAAACAAAAUGUCGACUGAGCUUCCUCCAUAUAUAAGAGCUCGGUUCAAAUCCUGCCCUACCAAGGUAACCUUCACUAUGAGCGCAUCCUCAUGUGGAUGUGCGACCGCUUCCUCGUCCUCGUCUGUGAACAUGAUCGGCACCCUUUGAACCCGUUGCUUCUUUGGUAUUGAAACAUUAAAAUUCAACUUAUAACUUUCUAAUGACUAUCUACUAUAAUUUCUCCUUGAACGAUUUGAGUCUCCUACUAGGGUCGGCCCUCCCAUAAUCAUCAUCGCUACAUUAUCUCUGAUGUCUCCUCUUCUCCCACCUAUUCCUUGGUCAUUCACAUACUCCUUUAGAUAUUGAUUUUGCACUAGCCACAAAAUCUGUUCUUUCAAGUCUAUGUAAUCUGCAGUUCCAUGUCCGAACACAAUGUGAAACUCGCAAUACUUGUGGUGAGCACUUCUGCCCAGACUUCUUACAAUUGGCUUUGGCGGUUUAAGUAGCCCCUUCUUUUCUACUACAACAUAUAUUUCCGCUCUGCUUUUGUUCGAUGGUGUGUAUCUUCCACUCUACUCUAAUAAGUUCACCCCAUGGUCAGAUCUCGAUACUCUCUGUUCUAUAGGCAGUGGCAACCUAUUGUAGUCUCUUGCUCGGUUCUCCCUUUAGUUCAUCUCAUAAUUAUUUCCUCUAUCUCGGCCCCAUCCCAUUAAUGAGAUUUAUCUCAUUUCACGAUUUCUUUCCCAAUCUCGACCCGACCUUUCUGGUCAUCUGUAAUUGAACAACUCUCCGCCGUAAUGACGUCUAUCAUCCGAGUUCCUCCUCGAGCUAUACUCGAGGUUAUCACUUGACCCUCUCUCUGCUCUUCCAUUCUCCUAUUUUCUUCCUCUGCAUCUUCAGUUUUCAUAUCUAAUUUUGUCUAGUCGUACGCCUCAGCGUAUGUUGUUAUCCCCUUGUUAUAUAAGCUAUUCCAUAAUCGAUUGAUUCUCAACUCCUUCUUUAAUCCCUCUAGAACAUCUGGAAGAUCAAAGGCCCCUAGAUCGGUAACCUCUCUAUGAUACCUGGUCACAAAACUCGUCAAACUUUCAAAUUCUCCUUGGACCAAUUUUGUCAAGCUGCUCAUAUCCUGCUCUGAUAUGCAUGAACCUCUAAAAUGCAUAGCGGAAAGCACACAUAACUCCUUGAAAUUUCCUAUGCUUCUAUUCUUUAAUCUCCGGUACCAUUCCCAUGCUUGUCCAUCUAGAGUUAAGGGAAAAAUACGGCACCUUUGAAAAUCAUUCAAACCUUGAAUUACAGUCAUCUCAUUAAACUUCUCCACAUGAUGAUUUGGGUCAGUUUUUCCUUCAUACACCAAGACUUGAACCACAUACUUGGGUGGCAAAGUUACUGCCAUCACUUCAGGUACCAAGGGGGACUCGUCAUCGAGUAACAGCCUUCCUACCACUUUCUUGCCCUCUGUUUUCGCCUCUAAUACCUCUAAGGUUUUUUGAAAUUGCAGCAUUCGUUGCUCAAGCUCAUUUGCCCGUUGGGGUCUCUCAGCUCUUCCCUCUCUCUUUCUUGAUUCAAGUCAUUGAUUCUCCCCCUCAACUCAUUCACUUGUUCUCCUGCACUUCUAUUCUUUUGUCGUACCCCAACUUGUGGUAGUCCCAUUCCGCUCUGCUGUUCACCAUCAAGCUCUUCCCUCUCUCGCGCUCCACUACAUUUUGGAUCACUAGCUCGAACGUGAGCCUCUCUGACUUGGGCAUCAACCAGCCCCCGAUCAUCUUCUCAAAUCUCGCCAUUUGCCUCUCAAUCCCUUCUCUCCAUCUCUUAUCUGCCGUGGCAUUCAUUUCCUCAGCCAAUUGGCGCAAGGUCUACGUAUCUUCAUCCUUAUCAUCUAUCACUAUUUUGUAAUCCGAUAGCUUCUCCUUCUAAAUCUUCAAACGUAUGGCUUUUCGCACUGAUCCCCACAGAUAGCGUCAAGAUGUUGAUGCUGAAAAACGACAUGAACAGCUGAAUUUGUUUCUUUUGGGGAAUUACAAUGUGAAUUUAAGCUCAAACGCAAGUCUGAACGCAACUUUCUAUAUCUACCAACCAGAAAACACAGUUAGGAUAUGCCGGUGGGGUUCCGGCGCAGACCCUCCGAUGCUUAAGUCAAAUUAUGUAUAAAAGGAGAAAAAUAAGAAUGAAGAAUUAUGAAUGAGUUAAAGUCAAGUAAUUUUCCAGUAGAGGGGCUAAAAAUCUUGUAGAAGCUUCAGUGAAUUUUGCUAACCCCUUCACCUGAUGCGCUCUUCAAUUUAAAUAGACUCUUGGUCAUGUACGGUUACCUCCUUAACUUCAGCCCGCUUUCUUCAGUAGUUGCAAGUGGUUGUCAGUUGGAGGUGGUUUAAAUAGAUCGUGGCACACAACUUCCUUAUAAAUUAGGCCACGUUCUCUUAACUAGCAAUUUUUCAUGUCAAGCUAAUUCAUUGGUCGGACAAGAGAAUUUCAAGGUCGGAUUACUUCACUUUCAUAUCAGACAGAUGAAUUUGUUAGUCGCUCAUAUAGCGUUGGGGUUGUAUUAUUAAACUAAGUCAUUCACAUAGAUCUUAGGUCGUACUUGUAAACCAAGUCGCCAACAUAGGCUUCAGGUUGUACUUAUGAGGUCAACUCAACAACAAUAAGUUUUGAGUAAAUUAGUAUCGACUAUAUUUUGAGACACUACAAAAAAAAUCCAACCCAAACAGUAACAUUUUGCAAAUCUCAAUCGACGGUGCUAUUUUCAAUCGUUGCCUGGAUUGCUUUCUUGGAAAAGCAGCAUCUAUAAGAAACCUGCAAAAAAAUGUUGUAGCCUUGGAGACUGAAUUGGGAAAACUAAUCGAAGCAAAGAACGAUGUGGUGGCGAGGGUCGUCAACGCUGAAAGGCAACAAACGAUGACAAGGCUGAACAAAGUUCAAGGCUGGCUUUCGAGGGUGGACGCUGUUAAAGCUGAAGCUGAUGAAUUGAUAAGACAUGGCCCUCAAGAAAUUGAGAAACUAUAACUUAGAGGCUACUGUUCCAAGAACUGCAAGUCAAGCUAAAAGUUUGGCAAAAAAGUGGCUAAAAAGCUAAGAGACGCCGGGACUUUAAUGGCCAAUGGAGCAUUUGAAGUGGUAGCUGAGAGAGCUCCAGAAUCAGUAGCGGAUGAAAGGCCUAUCGAGCCCACAGUAGUAGGCCUGCAAUUGCAACUCGAGCAUGUUUGGAGAUGUCUUGAAGGAGAAUCAGUCGGAAUUGUUGGCCUAUACGGCAUGGGCGGUGUCGGUAAAACUACACUAUUGACCCAUAUCAACAACAAAUUUCUUGAGAGUCCAACUAAUUUUAAUUAUGUGAUAUGGGUCGUAAUGUCAAAAGACUCGCGACUUGAAAACAUUCAAGAAACUAUCGGGGAGUAGAUUGGUUUGUAAAAAUUUGCCAAUUUACACAGCAAACAAUUUCCACCCAAUUAAUGUUUUUUAGAAAAUUGUAAAAAUUUGGAGUUAUGAAAAUAGAAACUAUAUAAUAAGAAGAAAUAAUUUAAGAUUUUAAGAUUUAUAUAUAUUUUAUAAAUAAAACAUUAAAAGAGAUGCUUGUUAUUACGAUGAAAUUUUAUGAGUAAGAUGAUUAACUUUAAUAUAUGAGUUUGUAUUUUAUAAAUUAAUCAGAGGUAUUUUAGAAAAUAAAUUCAAAAUGGGAGUUAUAAGAGUUUUAGAGUGGUGUUAAAAGCUCAACUCUUUUGAAUUUUACUGCCCAAUUAUAUAGUACAUUAGCGUGAUUGUUAUGUAUUCAUUUUUUUCAGAUACAACAAACGAGCUGCGUAGUGCUCAAAUAACAAAAAUUAAUAAUUUCACACACCCAUAUACAUAUAUGUAUACAUAUAGAUACAUAUUAUAUUUAAUUAAGCAAAAGAAAGAACCCCCUGUACGACGCCAGUGAGAAGAGAGAGAGAGAGAGAGAGAGGAAGAGAGCUUUUUGUGUUAUAUUUCAUAAUUUUUAUUUAAUUAAAAAUAUUUGUAGUUUGGAUUUGGGCGCCCCAAAGAAUUUCUAAAUCAAAACCUUAAUUUUUAUUAGGUCUUGAGCCUAUUCUCGAAAUAGAUCCUAUUAUAUUCUUAGGUGGUGUUUGGUUUUAAGAAAAUGGAAGAGAGGAGAGGUGAAAAAAGAAGAUGAACGGAGAGGUGAUGAGAGGAAAAGAGUGUAAAAAUUAAUUGUUAUUGUUUGGUUUCACAUUAAAUUUGAAAGGAAAAGAAAUUACAUAUUUUUUAUUUGGACGAAUAUACCCACUAUUUUAAUGCUAAUAUUGUUAAUAAAUUAAAAAAUAAUAAAACUAUGAAUUAAUUUAAUCUAGAAAUUACCUAAUUAAAUUAAAAAAUUAUUUUUUAAAAAAAUACAGCAUUUGGCCAUGGACAGCCUCCACGUUGACCACCGUUGACUGGCGAAUUUGACUGUCGUUGACCGUCAUUUUUCAUCGCGUUAAAUGCAUAAUAAUAAUAAGAAAUGAAUGAUUUAUUCAUUGGAAGUGUUAAUUUUGCAGAAAAUACACUAUAUAGUAGGAAAUAUGAGAGUUAAAAUUUUCCCAAGCAUUUAAACAAGACUUGAGGUAAAUAACAAUGUAUAUUAGCAUUUUUAAUCUCAUAGCAUUGUAGAUGGACUCAUGAGGAUUCCAUUGAUACCGGUUUUGAUGAAAAAGUGCGUCUCCGGCGAAACUCCGACGAGUCACUUUACUGUUUUUUCUUUUUUCAAAUAAGUUUAUCCUAUUAAUUUAAGAAAAUAAAUAUAAAUUAUUUGUACUUUAAUUUAUUUAACAUUGAUUUUGUUUAGAGGAUAAUAUUGGAAUUUUUGUGUUUAAAUAGAUAAGAAAUUUAAAAUCUUUAGUCAUUGAUAAGAAAUACAAAUUCUUCAAAUUGAUGGAAAUUCAAUUCCAUUAAACUUGGUCCAAGUAGAAAAGAAAUCAAUUUUUUUUGGCUCUCCCCACUUCCCUACCCCUAAGCAAACAUGGCCUUAUGGUUUUUGAGAACUCAUACCAAAUUCAAAUUAAUCAGGAGCCCACGGGUCCCGGGGCUCGCGGGAAAGUUGCCAUCCCUACCUUCAUCUGACGGAAAGUCCCUACAAACAAAUGUUUCUUUAUUUAUUUAUUUUUAUAAAAGAAAUUUCAGUUUGAAUGUCUUUUGGACGUUUCCAAUUGUCAUGAUUAGCCCUUGAACCUUUGGUCAAAAAAGUAUUAUCACGCGUUGAUUGUUUGUAUCGCAAAUGCUAGUGGCAUUUGAAAGUUGAUAUAAUUAAUUACAAUCUACAAAUGUUUAACAAAAAAGUGGGAUGGAUAUGGCACAAAAGUAAAGCAAGCAGGAUUCGUUGAAAAAGCUAUUUUGACACCUACUUCGGUUAUAAAAUUUUCAAAAAAAAAAAAAAAUUUUGAUUAAAAGUAAAUUGUAUAGGUUCAACUACCGUGCACUUGGUGCAUGGGACAUGUAUUUUGUCUAUAUAUAAGUUACCCGUCAGAUAUAACAUAGAACUUGCUUCAACGGCAUAGAUGUAUUCUCUUUAGUUUUUAACAUUGACAUCUAUGUUGUUUUUCAAAAAAGAAAAAUAGUGAAAGGUUUGACACAUAAUUUUAGAUUAUUUUUAAAUUUUAUAUUUUAAUCAAUUGAUUUAAUUUACUGUUAAAAUUAAUGACAGUAUAAGCGUAAUAACUUGAAAAAACUUUUUAAUACAUAAUUUUUUUUAUUUUUUGAAAAUAAUAUAAUAUCAAUUUAAUCUAUAAUAAAUAAUUUUAACAUAUAAUUAAAUUUUAAUUUAUCAAUAAUAAUAUGACCAAAUGACAAUGUUAAAGAAUUUCAUUAUAAUCAACUAUGAUUUAGUAUUCAAAUAUAAAUAAUAGAAAUAUACUCUAAGUGUAAAUAAUAGAAAUAUAUCAAACUUAUAUGUUAAAAUUUCAAAACUUUUAAUUUUUUCACUUUUCAGCAAACAAGAGGGAGUAAUUUACCAAAAACAAGGGGUAUCGUACACCUGGGGCACCAUAGCUUCCUCCAAAUUGUAUAAAAAAUAGAAAUAUUUUUAGUCUCCAAAUUGUAUAAAAAAGUAAAAAUAUUUUGACUAAAAGUAAAUUGUGCGUAACUACUUUAAUAUUUUAUUUCUUUCAUAACUUUAUCAAAAUCUUGUCAUCAAAUAUUUUAUCAAUGUAACGCUGUAAACAGCAAAUUAAAGUUUAAUUAUUUAAUUACAACUGGCAAAAGAGACGUUUAAUUAUUUAAUUACAAGCGGGAUAGUCUCUUUUGUUGAAGGAAAUUAAAGUUUAGUUAUUUAAAUCGAGCACGCGUAAUCUUUUCAAGCACAAACAAAAGAGAUCAUAAUUCAAAGUUGAUGUUCUCUUCACAGCAGCUUCUAUUCAUCGAACUCCAUCGUUAAAAUUUCCUUGGUUUUUCCUGGUUGAAUUCUCAUCCAAAAUAUGGGUAACAUUUUCCAAAUCACAUGCGACGGCGCUCUCUUUAACCGUUGCCUGGAUUGCUUUCUUGGAAAAGCAGCAUAUAUAAAAAACCUCAAACAAAAUCUUGCAGACUUGGAGACUGAAUUGGGAAAACUAAUCGACGCAAAGGAAGAUGUGAUGAGGGAGGUCAACGCUGCUGAAAGGCACCCAAUGAUGAAAAGGCUGACCAAAGUUGAAGGCUGGCUUUCGAGGGUCGAAGCUGCUAAAUCCGACGGUGACAAAUUGAUAGCAUUUGGCUCUCAAGAAAUUAAGAAACUAUGUCUUGGAGGCUACUGUUCCAAGAACUGCAAGUCAAGCUACGAGUUUGGCAAACAAGUGGCUAGAAAGCUAGGAGAUGUCAAGACUUUAAUGGCUGAAGAAGCUUUUGAAAAGGUAGCUGAGGAAGUACAACCACCUUUGGUAGAUGAGAGACCCACCGAGCCAACCGUAGUAGGCUUCCAAUCACAAUUUGAACAAGUCUGCAAAUGUCUUGAAGAAGAAUCAGUCAGAAUUGUUGGCCUAUACGGCAUGGGCGGUGUCGGUAAAACCACACUAUUGACUCAUAUCCACAAUAACUUUCUUCAGAGUCCAACUUUUAAUUGUGUGAUAUGGGUCCUAGUGUCAAAAGAUCUGCGACUUGAAAACAUUCAAGAAACUAUCGGGGAUCUGCGACUUGAAAACAUUCAAGAAACUAUCGGGGAGCAGAUUGGUUUGUUAAACGAUACAUGGAAAAAUAAACGAAUUGAACAGAAAGCUCAAGACAUCUUCAGGAUUUUGAAGGAGAAGAAGUUUUUGCUGUUGCUAGAUGACUUAUGGCAGCGGGUUGAUUUAACAAAAGUGGGCGUCCCUCUUCCUGGCCCGCAAAAUAAUGCAUCCAAAGUGGUAUUCACAACCCGUUCCGAAGAAGUUUGUGGUUUGAUGGGAGCUCACACGAGGUUUAAAGUGGCGUGCCUGUCAAAUAUCGAUGCUUGGGAAUUGUUUCGGCAGAACGUUGGAGAAGAAACUCUGAACAGUGAUCCCGAUAUUCUUCAACUCGCCCAAGCAGCAGCCAGAGAGUGUGAUGGUUUGCCACUAGCACUUAUUACCAUUGGCCGAGCUAUGGCUUGCAAGAAGACACCUGACGAAUGGAUUUACGAUAUUGAGGUGCUAAGAACAUCAAGUUCUCAGUUCCCAGGUUUGGGAAAUGAGGUUUAUCCUCUUUUAAAAUUCAGUUACGAUAGAUUGCCGAGUGACACAAUUAAAUCAUGUCUCUUAUAUUGUAGUUUAUAUCCAGAAGAUUAUUGCAUUUCUAAAGAGAAAUUGAUAGACUGUUGGAUCGGCGAGGGAUUUUUGACAGAAAGGGACAGGAUUGGAGAACAAAAAGAAGGAUACCAUAUUCUGGGCAUUCUUCUUCAUGCCUGCUUACUGGAAGAGGGAGGAGACGGUGAAGUAAAAAUGCACGACGUGAUUCGAGAUAUGGCAAUAUGGAUAGCAUGCGACAUUGAAAAGGAGAAGGAGAAUUUUUUUGUUAAUGCUGGCGUUGGAUUAGUUGAAGCACCCGAUGUCACAGGAUGGGAAAAGGCGAGGAGAUUGUCACUGAUGCACAAUCAAAUUACGAAUCUAUCAGAGAUUCCUACAUGUCCUCAUCUCCUUACUUUUUUCCUUAACAAAAAUAGGUUUCAGAUGAUCCCCAAUGACUUCUUCCAAUUUAUGCCCUCCCUCAAAGUUUUAAAUCUGUCAUACAGCAAACUAACCAGCUUACCAUUGGGGAUUUCAAAGUUGGUUUCACUGCAACAUCUUGACCUGUCAGAAUCCGACAUAGAAGAGUUGCCAGGAGAGUUAAAGGCAUUGGUAAAUCUUAAAUGUUUGGAUUUGGAAUAUACAGGGAAUUUAAUUACAAUUCCACGUCAACUAAUAUCUAAUCUUUCAAGGUUACAUGUGUUGAGAAUGUUUGGUGCUGGUCAUAAUGCCUUUGAUGAAGCAUCAAAAGACAGCAGUUUAUUUGGUGGGGGUGAAUUCAUAGUAGAGGAACUGCUUGGUUUGAAAUCUUUAGAGGUGAUUAGCUUCACCUUGAGAAGUUCUCAUGGUCUCCAAAUGAUUUUGAGCUCGGAUCAGUUACGAAGUUGCACUCGAGCACUCUCAUUCCAAUGCUUCAACGAUUCGACAUCGCUUGAAGUUUCAGCUUUGGCAGAUCUGAAGCAACUUAAAAUGUUGCGGAUUGCAAGGAGUGAAAUAUUGGAGGAAUUAAAGAUGGAUUGUGCAGGGGAAGUUCGACAGUUUGUUUUCCAUAGUCUCAAUAAGGUUGAAAUAUACGGUUGCAGUAAAUUGAAGGACUUGACAUUCCUUGUUUUCGCUCCAAACCUCAAGUCUAUUAAAGUAACAGGUUCCCAUGCUAUGGAAGCAAUCAUAAGUGUGGGUAAAUUUGCAGAAGUUCCAGAGGUAAUGGCAAAUUUAAACCCAUUUGCAAAACUCCAAAAUCUUGAAGUAAUUGGUGCGAUAAAUUUGAAGAGCAUUUACUGGAAGCCCCUGCGCUUCCCACAUCUGAAAACAAUGAGUUUCUUUCAUUGCAACAAGCUUAAAAUGCUUCCACUUGAUUCCAAUAGUGCAAGAGAGCAUAGCAUUGUUAUUCGUGGAGACAGAAUGUGGUGGGCACAGCUUCAAUGGGAGGAUGAAGCCACUCGAAAUGCUUUUCUUCCCUGUUUCAAAUCUUGAGCAGAGAUCACAUUUGAAUAAUUUCUGGUGCGUGCUUUUUCUUACAUUAUUCUUCUUGUUAAUUUCCUUCAUGCAGACAUCUGCACCUAAUAACUCGUUACUUCAAAUAUUCUCUAAAUUAUUUGAGGGUACUCGCCCCUGCACAUAAUGUAUAUUUAUAUCUAAUUAAAUUUUUUAAAAAGUCAAUAUUAUAUUUUUUAUGUCAUUAAAUAAAGUCUUGUUAUUUUAUCGAAUUAUAUUCAACUUGAAAAUAGUUCUAGCUUUUAGAUAUAAGUUAUGUAAGUACAAGUUCAAAGUGUAUCAGCAUUAAAUUACUCAUAUUCAAUCAUUUAUAAUCUGAUGUUGAAAAAAAAAUGUCAUUCAAUCAUAUGCAUUUAACUAAAUUCAAAUAUAAUCUAAAUUCAGAUACGUUAAAAUUAUUUGGGAAAAAAAAGCGCCACAACUCUAUAUUGUUUAUUGAGUAAACCAGAUAUUAACUCUAUCAUGAACGUAAUAGCCUCCAGCAUUUUUUAUUAUCUGUUCAAACCAUAUUUUAUUAUUUUAAUUUAUUUAUAUUCAUUGCAUUUCAAUUAGGUCAUGUUUUCUUUUGUUUUCUGUUUUAUAUUCUUUGAUCAUUUUGGCAACAUGGAGUACUAUGAUUAAUCAUUUUGUACUGGUCUCAAAUUUCAGUCGGAUUAUCUGCGGAAAAUAUCUCUGAAGAUGCUUUCAAUGGAGUCCAGUACUCAGAAUGCGAUGCCUAAUCCUUUGCAAUCCAACAAUGCUAGCAGGAGCAACGAACCCCCUCAUCCAGGUAGUGACGUGGAAUAGUAAAUGCAGCUUCACUUUCAAUUUGUCUCUGAAACCGCUCCCUAUAAUCAAUCCUAGCAUUCUUAUGUGUUCUUAACUUCUGCAGCCUGAAUAUUUCUUCCUCGACAAUCAAAGUCAUAACAGUAUGAUUGGCUGGAGUAGCUUUCCUCCAGACCCCUCAUUAUAGUUAUAAAUAAUUCCGAUAUUUGAUAUCAUGAUCGGGGAUUUCAGAGCUUAGAAAAUAUGAUUUGUACCCAUAUGUGUCUGAUCAUGAGAAGUUUGAAAAUAUACAUCAAAAACUGUAUGGAUUGGAAAAAUAUAAUCUUAUUAUGGUGUGUUAAAUCGUCAUUUGAUGAACGGAUUUGGGAUACAUUAUAAUAUGAUGUCAUUAUUAAUUAGGGUGUGUUUUUGGAAGUGCUUAAUUAUAUUCGUUUAAUGUGUAUUUCUUUUAUCACUUUUGAAAAGAAUUCUUAAAUAUUUAAAUAUUUCAAUGUUUAUAUCUUAACUUCAAAUAUAAUAAAAUAAAAUAAAAUAACUGUUCUCCAAUAUGAGGGUCCGAACUAAGGGUCUACGUCAAUAACAUGAAAUAUAAUAAUUUUUGUAAAUUUUUCUUAAAUUCAAAAUAAAUUUUGUUACUGAUUCAAAUGUUUAACAAAAUGUGGCAGCUUAUCUGUAAUUGCCACAUCAAUUGAGAUUCAAAUUACUACUCAAAUCCUGAAAUUCCUAAAGGUCCCUAACAUUAAUAUUUUAUUAAGUCAAUAUUGAAGUUGAACUAUGGGGUUCGUCGGCUAUUUCACACUAACAGAGGAAUCAUUUUAUCUUCUACAAAGGGUUCAGUUUUCUUGCACUGUAUGAUAUGAAGUAAUAUUGUCAUAUGUUGUUCUGAAUUAAUUUUUUUCUUCUCUCGUGCGAAUCAGAAAGAAAUGUUGUAUUUAAGAUGUGGAAAGUAUAAGAUCUUAGGAGUUUUACAGUGUAUAUAUAUAUAAAUUUUUUUUUGACAAACAGAGAAAUUCAGUCUAGAAUAUGAGAACAAACUAAAAGCUACGAAAUACAUUGGCAUUUUUGAGAAGUAGGAUAAAUAUUAUUUUUUUUUUUGAAAAAAAAAGGACUUGGCACCUCAAUGCUUUAAUAACCUAAUGUUAUACUUUUGGUUUGAUUUUUCUAUGUACUCUCUUCCAAUGGUCAAUUUAGGCUAUGUUUGGUAUUGAGAUAUUAUAACUAAAAAAUUUUAGGAUUUAUCACUUAAAAGAUAGAGUAGCCGUGGGAAAAAAGAGAGAGAGAGCUGAAAUUAUGAAAUAAAAUUAUUAAUGUAUUGUAAAUAAGAUGUUCAAAUAAAAAAAUUGACAAAAAUAGUAAAAAUACAAUACCAAACAAGAAUUUAUUUAGGAUACCGAUUCCAGGUCUCUAAAGAUUUGUUUUUAUGCUUUGCAGUUAUUUUCUUCUAGCUGACUGAUGAAUUAUUGUGAAAUUGCUAUGAAAAUUACUAGGGAAAUUAUCAGUCAUACACUCUUAAAUGACACCCGUAUCAAAUAUGCUACAACAUUUUUCAAGUAUAUCACUCGUAUACUCUAAGUUGACAAAACACUUCUACCGUCCACCAAUAUGUUAACUUCUAUUAGAAAGUUAAUAGAAUUGUGGCAAAUUGACUAUUUCGUCCUUGAAACUCAAAAUGAGAUUAAAAAAAAUUUACCCAAAAAAUUAAAGUAAAUUUUCAAUACAUAAUUUUUUUUAAUUUCGUUAUUAACAAUACAUUUUUUUAUUAAAAAAUAUGAAUUAUUAAUGGUACAUAUUAUUAACAAUUAUCCAUAAAAAUAUCCAUAUUAUACCAUAAAAAAUUAUUAACAACAUAUUAUUUACAAUUAUACAUAUUAUACCAUAAAAAACUCCAAUUGGAGCUUGGAGGAGUAGAUCUUAAAAAAUUUAGGUUAAAUUUUGGAUGAGUAGAUUCGGUUGUAAAGUAGUUGUUUUUUUAUAUGUAAUUAUUAACAAUUAUCCAAUAAAUGGGAUGACAUGUCAUUUUAUCAAUAUAUAUCAUAUGACAUGUCAUUGCUUAAUAGGAAAAUGGGAUGACAUGUCGUUUUUAAAAAAGACUAUAUUUACCCUUAUGAUGUCAGCACUUGCAAACGGCAGUUAACGGAUUGGUGAACGGUAGAAAUGUUUUGUCAACUUAAAGUAUACGAGUGAUAUACUUGAAAAGUGUUGUAUCACGUUUGAUAUUAGUGUCAUUUAACGAUAUAUGACUGAUAAUUUUCCAAAUUACUACUAUAACUUAUGGCAAAUUGGCAAUUAAAAAUCAUAAAAGUCUUUCCUCUUGAAUGAGAAAGUGGGUUAUUUUCGUUUACUAUAUAUAUAGUGUCACAAUCAAGAUUAGCAAAGGUUUGUUCACAAACCACCAUCUAUGAAACUAUGAUGACAAAUAUUAUUUGCUAUUAUCAUGUCACUGCAUUACUCUAAUGCCAUUAUUUGCCUAAUUAAAUAUUCAUGUCGGUUUUAAGAUGAAUUUCAAGACAUUUAACUAACCAUAUCUAUUGUAUUUUAUUAUGGUGCUCUAGCUAGCUGGUUGCCAGCUUUGCCUUUCAAUGGGGUUUGAUUAAUUACUCUGCAUAUAGACCAUUAUAUACUAGGACGGCCAAUGGUUAAUGUAAUAUAAACACAAUAAAUUUUAAUCAAAUAUGAAUUUUCUGAAUAAUUGUUUCUUUAUUUUAUGAAUUUUAUUUAAACGAUAUCCCAAUUUAAAAAAAAAAAAGAAAGAAAGAAAAUCAGCGCGUUUGUCUCCUCCCCAUUGUCAUGAUCAACCUUGUUGGAAACGUUGGUGAGAAAAGUAAUACUAUACGUUAAUUGCUUUUAAUAUUUUAAUCGUUGGUGGCACAACCGCACAAGAAAGUAAAAGUUGUUAUAUAUAUAUAUAUUUUAAAUAAAAGUUUAGCUUUCAAUAAUUCAACUUUGAAAAAGGUACAAAAGAUGUGUAGGACAUUCGUUGAACCACAUUAUUGGUUGUACACUUUCUAAAGCUACUUUGGCUAUGGAAUAGGCCAUGAUUAUGAAGCCGAGAAGUAUGUUGCAGUGUGGGGUUGUGUAGUUCCUUUUAGCUUCUUCUUACAAAUUAAUGCUGACAGAAAAAGCAAGAUCAUAUUCCACAAAAGUAAAAGUAACAAAACAACCAGCUGGAAUCUUUUAUUAAACUACGAUAAACUACAAAUUAAAGUGGAUUCUUUUGAAUACAAGUGGGAUAGACGAUUGGCUCUUUUAUUAAAGGCCAGUAGUCAAGAAUCGAAUAUCUCGAUUGCAUAGUCUUUUUCAAAUUCUUGUUUUAUUAUUUUUCAAAACUAAUUUUUUAUUAGUCUACAAUUAUUUAUAAUUAUAUUUUCAUUUAGAAUACAGUUCAAGUCAAAUCUUUUGCACUUCUACCUAACUCGGGCUAAUACUAGUCCACUCAUUAUUCAUGUGAGAGAGUUGUAAGGUACAUGCAUGUAACUUCUCUAACUCGAAUUAUUCCACACAGAGAAAUAAACAUAGAUGCUUUAUAACUUUAGAAAUCCGAUCUCUUACAGUUGGAAACAGAGAUGAUGAUUACUAUAAGAAUGAAGAAAAAGAUAAAAAAUUGUCAAUGAUUAACGAAGUCUCUAUGCAAAUUUCUCUAUGCAAAUUGAUUUUAGCAGAAAAAUAGUGAGUUGAAUGAUGUAGGCGAUUAGUGGUAAUAUUUCAUAGAGUUAGAGUAUUGGCAACCCUUCAAUCUUCUCAUGAAUCCCCUUUUUGAGUUAUAGUUAUUUUAUUUCGAAAUAUCCUUUUUCUUCUUUAAUACACUUCUAAUUUUUCAUUUAAUUUUUUUAUUGUUAAACUCAAAGUAUUAUUGUGAUAUUUUUCGUUUCUUUUGUAAUCUUAUUAUAAUUAAAAAAACCAAAAAAAAAGAUUGGCUAUGAAAUUUGUUGGAAAAAAUCUAUGUGCGUUUAAUUUUUGUUUGUCUUUGACUGUAAUUUAUUUGAAGUGGGGUUUUAUAAGCAUAAUGAAGGGAUCAAAGGAUGCCCAUAACUUCACUCUAUUUUAUAUGGAGAAAAGUAAAAGGUACACCUAAAGUUAAUGGAAAGUACUUCGCAGCUUUCUUUUGAUUAUAAUAUCCUUUAAUUUAAUUAACUUAAAAAUUUUGACUUUAAUAAUUUAUAAUAAAUUAAAUUAUAAUCUUAAAAUAAAUAUAAUAAUAUAUUUUAAAAUAAUCUCUAUAUUUAAAAUUUAUUUAUUUUCACAUUUUAUAUAAAUUUUAUAAUAAAGACAAACAUACUAUUAAAAUAAUAUAUAAAAAAUUUAAAAGUAUUUUGAAUAUUAUAUAAAAUAACUAUAACAUUUUUUAAUACAUGAGAUAUAUUUUGUUAAUUUAAAAUUCUAUUUAAUCCAAAGAUUUAUUUAAGAUAAAUUAAUAAUAAUAUUUUUGAAAUUAUUUGAAAUACUAAAAAAUAUUUUAAUAUUACUAGUCUAUUAAAUAAAUUAAAUAUAUUUAAUAGACUAGUAAUAUUCUGAAAAAUAAUAAAAGAAGAAUUAAAAAAAGACUAGACAAUAGAGAUAUUCGAUUCUUUUAAAGCAAAUCGUAAUAUUCCACAAAGGAGUAAGAUCCACAAAAGCAAACAACCAGUUGGAUUCUUUUAAAGUGGAAUCGUUUAUUAAACAACAAAUUAAUGUUCAAAUAUUUAAAUAGCAGUGCAUUAGACGAUUAGACUGUCUUAUUAAAGGCGAGUAUAAAGUAGUCAAGAAUCGAAUAUCUCUAUUGUCUAGUCUUUUUUUAAUUCUUCUUUUAUUAUUUUUCAGAAUAGGUUUUGGUGAUUACAAUGGGUUAUUAUUCAGAGUUAUUGUUAUCUUCCGGGUCAAUUUCUGUUCAUCGAAGUCGUUAAUUCAAAUUUUAGAACUUUUAUCAAAAGAAUGUUUUUCGUUAUCUUUUUUAUGGUCUAAUUCCAAUUGUAAGAAGUAGUCAUUUUAAAAUUUGGGUCUUGAAUCGAAUUUCAGUGCAUGAAUUAAUAUUAAAAAAAAAUCACUACACACAGUUUAGGCUGCAGACUACUUUUUGCAAAUUUGACUCUGAAAAUUGGAGAAAUUAAGUAAUUUAGAAUGUUUGCAAAGAAAAAGACUAACAUACUUCCUAUUACACUAAAUCUCUAUUAUCAUAAUGUUGAGACUAAACUAACUUAAAUACGUUUUAUUUGAAAAGCUAUAUUAAAUGCAGCCUAAUUUUAUUAACCUGAAGAGCUAAUAGAAGUGUAGUUAUAAAAAUUAUAUUCUGACUUAAUUAGUACAAGUGAUAUAAAGGUUAAGUGUGCACUAUAUUUAAUAAUUAAUUAAUGGAGCAUGUUAAAUAAAAUGAUAAUUUAUAUUUAUAUAAUGUUAGGAAUAUGUAAAGUCUAAGUCCACAAGUUGCAUUAUCUUUAAUAUUUUCUCUCAAUUAAAUUCUAAAAAUACUUUACAAUUAUUUAGUAACAACUGUAAAUUAAGAAUAAAUUAUUGUCCCAAACAACAUUAAAAAAUAUUUUAUUCCAUUUGAAUCCUUUAAUUUUUUUUACAGUAUAUAGAUAAUUAUUACUAUGUGAAUGUAAGUUUCUUAAGAUGGGACCUAUAACAAUUUAGAACUUAUUACAACGGGGAGUUUAUUAGGACCAAAAUUUUUUAUGAGUACAUAAAGUUAUCUUGUAUAGAAUAUUAGUAUAUAGAUGUUUUACUGUAAUUAGUCUAGAACAUUUAAAAAAAAAAAACAUAUACCGUCCCUUGGAUGUAGCUCUUGGGUGACCAUGAAUGUUCUUUGUUCCACAUACGNNNNNNNNNNNNNNNNNNNNNNNNNNNNNNNNNNNNNNNNNNNNNNNNNNNNNNNNNNNNNNNNNNNNNNNNNNNNNNNNNNNNNNNNNNNNNNNNNNNNACCCUCUAUGGGAAUAAUCUAUUUAGUUAUAAAAAAUUAUGAUCCCAAUUUAGACUAGUUAUAAAUAACAACAAAUUCCACUUUGUAAUAAAUUAUAUUUUUUCUAUAUCUUAUCUUAAGAAACUUAUCUCUACAUAGUAAUAAUUAUUUGUAUAGGUAAGAAUGGAUCAAGAUCCUCUCCUGAUCUGAGCACUCCUGAUCUUUUACAGAUCUUAUACCACCUGUGUUUUACUGUUAGUGGAUGAUUAUGAUUUGACUAUUUUUUCUUUUUAAUUUAUUAAUCACCAAUUAUAUUAAUAAAAUUUGCUCAGAUGAAGAUCAGAUCAAGAAAGGAUCCUGAUCCAAUAAGAAUACAUGUUAUAUUAGACUAAAGGAACUUGUCUGCACAUAACGAUUAGACAACGAGCGAAAAUUAUUAAAGCGAAUGCAAAUAAUUAGAAUUUUUUAAGAUGACUUUGUAUAUUCACAAUAAUAAUUGAUAGAUACAUGUACCAACGUUUUAAUAUAUUUGACAUCCUCCAUUAAUAAAUCAUUGAUGUAAUAUAGACUUUAUCUCUAUAUCCUCACACUACGGACAACUAAGUCAUAAUAAUAAUUUUUGUAACUACAUCUCUAUUACUUCCUCAUAAUAAUAAGUUAAUUUGAUCUCUACAUUAUGACUAUGGAGAUUUUAUUGUAUAGGGACACCCAAUAUAAAUAGUAUCCCAACUAAAAUUGUCCCAAAAAAAAAAUCGCUAAAGGAUAAUUAUAAUUUUUUUUCACUUCUCAAACGUUGGUGGCAGUUGUAAGCUAAGUUGUCAAAUAUAUUAAACUACAAGUGCUGCCACCAAGUGCGAUGCUCUUUUCUAAAGAGAAGUACAGUGGGUCCCGAAUAGGACGUGCUUAAAUCUGUUUAAAUUUUUCCAGUAUAACUAACAGAGGUCAUUACUAGAAUUAUAUUACUAGCCUAUUAGAUAGAAAAAAUUAGUUAUAUUAUUUUAUAUUUAUUAAAAAAGUUUAAAGUUAAUCUUUUUAAUUACUAUUUAAAAGAUAUUAUAAUAAAAAAAUAGUGUCUUUACUAAAAAUUUAGAAAUUUAUUUGACCGUUCUCUAAACUUUAUUUAAUAUUAUUGAUUUAAAUAAUAUCUAAAUUAAAAAUGUACAGAGAAGAAAUUUCGGUGGGUAUAUUAGUCUUUUACUUUUAACGUUAGUGGCCUUCUUAUAUUUUAUUACAAAUUAAUCCUAACAAGAAAAAGCUAGAUCAUAUUCCACAAAAGCAAGAGUGACAAAACAUGAAAACAACCAACUGGAUUCUUUUAUUAAACUACAAAUUAAAAUUGUUUUUUUUAAUAAACUAUAAAUUAAAGCGGAUUCUUUUGAAUACAGGUGGGACAGACUUAAGCUCUUUUAUUAAAGGCAAGUAUAAAGUAGUCAAGAAUCGAAUAGUCUUUUUCAAAUUCUUGUUUUAUUAUUUUUCAAAACUAAUUUUUGGUAAUUACACUCGGGUCAUUAAUCAUUAUUCAGAGUCAUUGUUAUCUUCGGAGACAGUGGGUAAAAGAUAAUUACUGGCUGUUUUUCCUUCAAAAGUUAGUGGCUCAUGUUUGCAAGUGUGAAUGUGCGAUGCUCUUUUUCCAAAUGCAAUUACAGUGGGUCCCGAAUCGGAGGAUAAAAAUCCUUUUAGUUUUUGUAUUUUAAGAUUAGUAUAUAUUUAGUCUUUAUAUUUUUAAAAAUACCUCGAAACAUUCAUGCCGUUAAAGUAUUGAUACCACUACCAUUACUUUUCAUUUCUUUUAACUUAAUUUUACAAUAUUACCCUUUUAUAAUAAUUUUUUUAGACAUUAAUAAAAAAUAAUUAAAUCACUAAUUUAACUCUAAAAAAUAAAAAAAUUAUAUUAAUUUUUUUGCAAGCACCGUUUGCACACUUGGUAGGUUGCAUACAAUUUUUGAUAAUUAAAAAUUAAUAUAAAUUUUUAUUUUUAUUUUUAGGGUUAAAUUGAUAAUUUAAUUAUUUUAUUUUUAUUAAUGUACAAACAAAAAAAUUAUUAUUAAAGGGUAAUAUUGUAAAAAUAAGCCAAAAGAAAUGAAAAAUAACGGUAGAAGUAUCAAUACUUUAACGACAAGGAUGUUUCUAGAUAUUUUUAAAAAUAUAGAGAUUAAAUGAAUACUAAUCUUCAAAUACAGGAUUAAAUAGAAUUUUACCCCGAAUCGAACGUGCCUAAAUCUUUUUAAAAUUUUUGCCGUACAACGGACAGAGGUCAUUACUAAAAUUUCUCUUCCACAGCCCACAUCAGCUUCAGGAAUCAGUUUAUCAAACUCAAUCAAUUUUCUUUCUUAACAAAAUUCCAAAGAUGUGUAGCAUUUUUCAGAUCACAUGCGAUGGUGCUUUUUUCAAUCGUUGCUUGGAUUGCUUUCUUGGAAAAGCAGCAUACACACGUAACCUCCAAGAUAAUCUUGUGGCCUUGCAGACUGAAUUAAUGAAACUAAACGCAGCAAAGGACGAUCUGAUGAGGAGGGUCGUCAAUGCUGAACGUCAACAAAUGAGAAGGCUGGACGGAGUGCAAGUGUGGGUUUCGAGGGUGGAUGCUGUUACAACUGAAGCUAAUGAACUUAUCAGAGACGGCUCUCAAGAAAUUGAAAAAUUAUGUCUUGGAGGGUUCUGUUCCAGGAACUGCACGUCAAGCUACAAGUUUGGGAAACAAGUGGCUAAAAAGCUACGAGAUGUGGAGGCUUUAUUUGCCGAAGGGGUUUUUGAGGCGGUGGCUACCAAGGUGGUGCCUGAGAGAGCUCCAGAGCCUGUAGCAGAUGAAAGACCUGCCGAGCGAACAGUAGUAGGCUUGCAAUCACAACUUGAACAAGUCUGGAGAUGUCUUGCAGAAGAAUCAGCGGGAAUCAUUGGCCUAUAUGGUAUGGGCGGUGUUGGUAAAACUACACUAUUGACCCAUAUCAACAAUAAAUUUCUCGAGAGUCCAACCAACUUUGAUUGUGUGAUUUGGGUAGUAGUUUCAAAAGACCUGCGACUCGAAAAAAUUCAAGAAGAUAUUGGGAAAAAGAUAUGUUUGGUUGAUGAUGAUUUGUGGAAGAGUAAAAUUUUUGAAGAGAAAGCUGUAGCCAUCUUGCGGAGAUUAGGAGAGAAGAGAUUUGUAUUGUUGUUAGAUGAUUUAUGGGAGCGGGUUGAUUUAACAAAAGUGGGCGUUCCACUUCCCAGACCAAAAAAUACUACCUCAUAAGUCGUAUUCACAAGCCGUUUCAUCGAUGUUUGUGGUAGCAUGGAAGCUGGCAGGAAGUUCCAAGUAGCAUGCUUAUCAGAAAAGGAUGCUUGGGAACUGUUUCAAGAAAAAGUUGGGGAAGAAACUCUUGAGAGUGAUCAUGAUAUCGUUGAGCUAGCCCAAACCGUGGCCAAGAAGUGUGGUGGUUUGCCACUCGCACUUAUUACUAUUGGUCGAGCUAUGGCCAUCAAAAAGACAGCCGAGGAGUGGAGACAUGCAAUUGAAGUGUUAAGACGAUCAGCUUCAGAGUUUCCAGGUUUGGGAAAAGAGGUGUAUCCUCUUUUAAACUUUAGCUAUGAUAGUUUGCUGAAUGAGACGAUUAGAUCUUGUUUCUUAUAUUGUUGUUUAUAUCCUGAAGAUUAUGGCAUUCUUAAAUGGGACUUGAUUGAUUGUUGGAUUUCUGAGGGAUUCUUAGAGGAAUCUAAUAGGUUUGGUUGUUAGAGUGCAAUUUAUGCACUAGUUUUGCAUUAUUUACUUCCCUUAAUAUCAAUGUUUUGCACUUAAUAAUAGUGAUUUACUUGUGUUUUACUUUUGUAGGUGCAAUUCUAUUGAUUGAUGAUAAAAUUGAGCUAUAAGAUGAUGUUUAAGGAUGAUUGUUCUCUUGAAGAAAUUAUGAGCGUCAGAAGAACUUUGUUGAUAAGGCGUGGGCGCGUGCUGUCAACUGCGGACCUGCAGUUUUAGUUUAACGUGUUUUGUAUUUUUGGUUAUUUUUGUAAUUACGAAUUUAAUAUUUCAGAUAUUAGGAUUUUAUUUUAAAUAGAAUUCUAAAAGAGAAGAGAGAGAAAGUAUUUAAGGGAGGAAUCUAUUGUGAAAGGGGGAUUUUGGAUUGGAGAAAAAGAAACCCUAGAUCUAAUUUUUCUCUUCUCUCUAUGAGGAACUAAACCCAUUUUUCUGGUUGAAGGUUAAUGAAGCUUUGAUUCAUCACUACUGUGAGAUCUUUCUUGUGCUUUAAUUGUUUUAUUACUUUUUGGGUAUUUGUUUAUUCUCUGAAUUAUUUUCAUGAUUAUGUUUGUUAAUUAGGUAAUUGGCCACUAUUUAAUUAUCAACUUAAUCUAUUGUCAAUUAAAGGAUUCAUCGUAUGAAGAAUUUAAUGUUUGUGACAAAUAACAUAGCAGAGAGUUGUGUUGUGAGAAUAAACAAUCUAAUUUAAAUGAAUCAUCAUAUGUGUUGAUUAGGAUUUGGGUCUCUCUGGUUUUUCAGGCUGUCAAUUGAUUAAAUUCUAUGAUCGUAUCUAGGGUUGUCUAUUGAUUAGGGAAAUAACCAACGGUCGUACCUUGGUUAUCGACUAGUUAAGGAGAGAUUGGCUAUUAGAGGGUCUCAGUAGCUAUAACCGGUCUAUUCAUGAGUAAUAAUAAUCUAUAUUUGAAUCAAUGAUCAGUAGUCGAAUCAAGCUGAGUUAAUUCCUUCAACCAGAGCUUUCUCCAAUUUGAAUUACAACUUUAAUUUGCAUUCUUGUUAUUUUAAUUUGAUUUUUAUUAUUGUCAACAAUUCCCCUAUUUUACGUUUUACGUUUCAAAAGGAUUUAAUUAAUUACCGAUCUCUGUGGACACGACCCUGCUCAAUCACUAUACACAAUUUAUUUAGAGUAGGAAUUUACUUUUGUUGGCUUCGACACCCAUCAUUGGUGCAGAAAACCGAGGAUACUACAUUGUGGGCACUCUUGUUCAUGUGUGUUUACUAGAAGAGAUAGAAGAUGAUAAAGUAAAAAUGCUUGACGUUGUUCGUGAUAUGGCUCUAUGGAUAGCUUGUGAAACUGAGAAGGAGAAGAUAAACUUUUUGGUUUGUGCAGGUGCUGGAUUAGAAGAGGCACCGGAUGUUAAAGAAUGGGAAAAUGUGAGAAGAUUGUCAUUGAUGCAAAACCAAAUUGAAACUCUGUCAGAGGUUCCCACAUGCCCUCAUUUCGUCACUUUAUUUCUUGACUUUAAUGGGGAGUUGAAGAUGAUCGCGGAUGGCUUCUUCCAACUUAUGCCUUCUCUCAAAGUUUUGAAGAUGUCAAACUGCUGGAAUUUGAAAUUUCUUGUUGGGAUGUCAAAGUUGGGUUCGCUACAGCUUCUUGAUAUUUCACAGAACGCCAUAGAAGAGUUACCAGAAGAGUUGAAGUUGUUGAUAAAUCUGACAUGUUUGAAUUUGAGGGGGACAGGCCAAUUAAAUAAAAUUCCACGGCAACUAAUAUCAAAUUUUUCAAGGUUACGUGGGUUAAGGAAGUUCAUAACGUGUGCAAGCAGUCAACUCAAGGUUAGCACGUGGGAGAAUUUGCUGAGCUAAAGUUAGUUAAAUAAGCAAUGCCAGCUCAACAAAUUCAGUCAAGGUUUACUGAGAUUUUAUUCCUAUUGUUUUCUUUUCUGUUAACAAUGUAUAAAGGUGUUCUUUGUACUCAUUUGAUCAUUAAGAAAAAAAGAAAUAAAAUCUAGAAUAUUCUCUGAAGUUUUCUCAGUAAAACAGAGUAAAUUUUCUCAGUAACUAAACAGUAUAUAUCAGUGGAAUUUACGUUUUAUAACAUGGUAUCAGAGCCAAACAGUAACCAGCAAACAAUGAUGAGAAAUCUAGCAAUCAAUAAUACACAUCAACACACUCAAAUCAAUUUCUCUUUCACGAAUCCAAUUAAACUAGAUCGAUCAAACUACCUGCUCUGGCGUUCACAAGUUCUGGCUUCGAUUAGAGGUAAUCGACUAGAAGACUUCAUAACUAGAAUCAAAUCAACAUCUGAAGAAAAUAUUUUGUUAGCUGGAGUUGAUGGAUCUACACAACAAAUUGAGAAUCCUGAGUAUCAGAUCUGGAGAUCACAAGAUCAAAUUCUUCUUGGUUGGCUACUGUCAACCUUAAGUGAAGGUAUCCUUAGUCUUGUUAUUAACUGUAAAAGCUCAUUUUCUUCAGCUCAGAUAUGAACUGAACACUCUUAAAAAGGAGUCUCUUAGUAUUGAAGAUUAUUGUGUUAAAAUGAAAGCAAUAGCUGAUAAGCUUGCUAGUGCUGGUAGCUCGAUAACAGAAAAGGAUCUAAUGCUAACCAUACUCAAUGGAUUAGGAUCAGGAUAUAGUGAUAUUGCUACUUUCAUAACUGGUUCACGAAUGGAAUUUGAUGAUACUUAUGCAUUAUUGCUCACUCAUGAAACUAGGUUGGAACAAGAUCAUGAUGAUAAGAGUAUGUUCAAUGCUAACUAUGCAUAUACUAAUGCAUUUCAUCCUAAGGUUUAUUAUGCACAGCCUAGAGGAAAUUUUAAGAGAGGAGGUUAUUAUGGUGGUAGGAAUGUUUUCUCUGGUAGAGGGAAUAUGAAUUUUUCUCCAAGAAUGUUUAAUGGAGGUUUUAGAAGUGGUUUUGGUAGAGGAUAUUAUGUUGGUAAUCCUUUUAAUGGUAAUAAUUCUUUAGCACCAAAGAAUUCAUCAUCUGUUAUCAAGAAUGGAUCACAGAGAACUUUUAAUAACAAUCCAGGGGACUCAGUAUGUCAGAUUUGUCUCAAACUUGGUCAUACUGCUGAUAUUUGUUGGCAUAGAUUUGUUGAAGAUUAUGUGCCAAUGCCAAGGGGUUUUUAGAAAAGGAAAAGCACCCAGAGCAGCAUCACUACUAGAAAAAUAGCUUUUACUGAUACUUGUCUUGUGAUACUUUUCUAAAAAGUAUCAGCAAUUACAUAUAUUUGGGCCAUUUUCCGUGUUUAACAAACAAGUGUCACAAAUUACUGAUUCUAUGAUGUUUGUAUAUUAAACAUCAGAGAUCGUCGACACUAAGGUAUCAGAAACAACAAAAAAAAAUAAAAAAUCUAUUUUUGUUUUAGUUGCGACUCGAACCUAGGACCUCAAAACUAAAGUGCUUUAUGUUCAACCAACAAACCACCAUGCCAAAUUCAUAAAUUAGUUUGUGUUGAACAUGUUGAAAUUAUCAAAUUAAAUUAAUAUAGAAAACAAAAAUAUAAAAGCAAAAGAAAAAAACCCUAAAUCAACAUAAACAUAAAAUUCCCUAACUCCUAAAUCCAUGGCCAGCCGCCUCAUCUCUCUGGCGAUAUCCUUCUUCUUCUUCAUACCUCUAAAACUUCGAGCCCUAAAAUUCAAGGGUCCAUGUCAUAAGAAAUCCUACCACCACUGCUCAAAUUCUAACACCCAUACCAUACGAAACCCUAAUGAUCUACAUUAUGCAAAACAUCCACCAUGCCGCUAUGCCACAAGCUCACAAGACCCGCUUUAGAUCUCCACAUUUUGCUCACCCUACUCGAGUGCACACCGCCCCUCUCGCUUCGACUUCUCGGGAUUUCUUGUUAGCUGAAGUUUUGUUUUCUUCCGCUAAUUCGAUCUUCGAAAGGUCUCGGAGCUCCAAGUAACUAAGUAAGCUCGGUUUUCUUCUAUUCUCUCAGAUACUUGCUUACACAUUCCUUUUUUUUUCGUGUUAAAUUUUGUUGUUUCGUUGUGUUAUAUGGAUCGAUGAGAGUCACAGACUUUGACGAGACAAUGACGAUAUUGUUUUGGAGUUUCGUUUCGUAGAUCUGUGAUAGAGUCUCCUUUUUCAGAUAUUUCCUUUCAUUUACCAUAUUUGCACAAUUUGUUUUGUCAUUAAAUUAUUUGCGUUUGAAUGUACAAUUUUUGUUUUCGUUUUAUAUUUUCAAAUACUGUUUCUUGGAGCGAAUUAGUGGAGGAAUUUUUGGUUGAAGCAGAGGAUGGAUAACUUUUGUAUUUUGAACUUUGUAUGUUAUUUAUUAUUUGAACUUGAAGCUAAAAGGUGACCAAAUUUUCCAAAGGUUAGGGUUUGGUUGGCUUAUGUGAAAAUGCCGAACGAAUGUGUAUUAUUCAUACUCCAAUAUUGUAGGUGCGUCAAUGCACCUCCUUGCGAUGGUUGCAGCAACGAAACUGUAGGUCAAGGUUUGGGUACCCCAUUUCCUUCAAAGAUCCAAUAUGGAGCAACUCGAGUCGAGCUUUUUCGGUCAAUUUAAACAAAACCUUUACUCCUAAUUUAUUGUCUUUUGCUUUCUGUUUGUACCUGUAGGAGUUCAUAUUUUGUAAUGUUCCGUAAGUGUCCAAUAACUGGUUAAAUUAUGACUUAUGCUAGGUGAAGAUUUUGUGUUACAAUCCCCUUCAAUAGGCAAUCACUCUUUUUGUAAAUGUUCAUGGGUAAUUGCUUUGCCUUUGCUUCUGUUGUACUUUUGUUUUUGUGGGGUUUUAGUUAAUGGAUGUUGAGUUAUAUUUCAAUCAGUUUGAUUUCUCUGCAUAUUUUUCAUAUUUUAGUAUUAGAAGAGGUAUUUAAUCAAAUGAAGACAAAAACAAUUGUCGGCCAACCAACAAACUCACUUUAGUUUGUUGUGAAAUGAUUUUCUCUCUCUCUCUCGAUUUUCACUGGUUCUGUGGUUUUUUCCCUUCCACAAUGUGAUUUAGUUCUGUUCUAUUUAUGGAUGUUACCAACAUUUUAGCUUUUAAGAAACAGACAAAAAGAUUCUGAAGUUUGUUUCUUGUUUCUUACUCUGAAUUUCCAAGGCAUCUUAUUUGGAGAAAUGCAUUCUGAAUGGAGAAAUUUCUCCAAAUUUAUGAGAUGUGGUUCUGUCUUGCUGAAUGAACAUUGUAUUUCCUUCAAUGGUUUGCGAGCCAUUAAGUUAUUUGAGCAAACAAAAUUAGCAAUAUGGAAUCCUGUUUCUACAGGAUUAUAGUUGUAGGACUCUAGAAUUUAGUCUAGGUAAUGUUUUUACCAUUGUAAAAAGUAUCUGACAUUGGUGAUGUUUAAGCAUAUGUGUCAUUUCUUUUGGGCUUCACUUUGGAUCCUUUUUUUCUUUUUUUACAAACAAUGGAUGGUUAAAACCUAAGAGACUGAUUGAUUUUUGUUUUAAAUCCAGUGGUUAUGCCUUGUAAACUUUUGAGUUGUAUCAAUUUCUUUUCCUGGCCUAACUUGGCUAAAUUUAUGCUAUAUAAUUGAAUUCUACAAAUUUUGGCUAUGUAUGAUGUAAAGGUCAUAAGUCUUGUAUCUUCAUUUGUUCACCACAGGCUUGAUACUUCACAACUACCAUAAGUUAUGUCAUGCCAUGUCUUCUUUAGCAAUAUUGUGUGGCUUUGAGUAGUAUUAAUGUUUUUGUUUGUUAAUUCACGACUUAAUGGAACCAUUUUCCUUAUAAUCGAGAACCUUCGUGCGAGUGUUGUGGAGAAAUCUUAUGAUUCAUGUGUAGGUGUGUUUGCUUAAUGUGAUGACUUUUAUUAUGUGUUGUAGUUCUUGUGUCUAUAAGAGGAACCUUUGCUCCUAUGUCUAUUUAUCUCCGACUUUCAGUUUAGGCGUAAAUAGGUUACUCUUCUUUCUUUCUCAUUUUUUAAUUUCUAUGUUCUCCUAUGUCUAUUUACAUGGACUGCUUUGCUGCUUCUCUGCAGUGAAAACAACCCUGGUAAUUUACAGGAGCUUUUUUCACUUCAGAACAAUAGCAAGACAUCCCCUGCAGAUUUUUUAUUGAUUUUGCAUAGAUUGGUUUGUUGCUUUGGGUUGGAAUGCUACUGGAUAUAUGUCAGAAUUAUAGCGCUAUUGGAAGAUGGUGGGUUGUUGCAUAUGAGUUGGAGUGUUCCUGGGUAUGUAGCUAGAAUUAGAGUGCUGUUGGAAGAUGGUAUUGCUACUGGAAGUUUUGCUCAAAAACUUGUCGUUGGAAUACUUGCAUUAAUUUUUGGAAAUUUUAUUGGGUAACUUGGCUAGGUGGCUGAAAUUUUAAUUGCUUUUGUGUAUUGAAGCAUUUGGAUUGUGUAAUAUAUAUUGAUAAUAUUUAAAUGUUAUGAAAGGUUUUGAUAAAUAAAUUGAUUUUUGUUCUUAUUUCUCACAGCCUUUUAAUUCUAUCAACAAAUCAAUGGGUAAUGUCAUUUUGUAUAAUUAUUUUUUUAAAUAAUACAUAAAGUAGUGAUACUAUAGUAACAGUAUCACAAAUACUAAUAUAGUAUUGUAAUAUUUUGAUACCAUGGUGUUAUGAUUUUAAUGAUACUAUAGUAAUAGUAAUUACUGACACCACUUACAAGUGUCACUAUUUUUCUGACUGCCAGAUUACUGACACAAUUAGCAAGUGUCACUAAAAGUAAUUACUGACACUAUUCUAAUGUCAGUAAAGACCAUUUUUCUAGUAGUGCAUAUCUGUCAAAUUUUGAUGGUUCUGUUUCAAAUCCAAACUUUGAAGAUUAUGAGAACUUCAACUAUAUGCCUUCAGCUUAUAAUCCUAUGUCUGGCAAUAGCUAUUAUUCUGGUUUUGAUGCUUGUACUCCUGGAGUAGCAUUUAUGGCUAACUUUGAAGGAGUUGCUAAUGAUGAAUGGUACUUGGAUAGUGGGGCAACUCACCAUCUGGACAACAACAUGGAGAGCUUGCAGAUCAGUGAGGAGUUUAAGGGUACUGAUUAGCUCAUAAUUGGUAAUGGUCAAGGUUUGUUUAUCACUAAUGUUGAUUUUGCAUUUCUGUCACAAAGAGCAUCAAAUUACUUAUCUGCACAUUCCAGAAUAGCACUUAAGGAUAUAUUACUUGUUCCAUCAAUUACCAAAAAUCUACUAAGCAUUUCCAAAUUGACAUCUGAUAACCCUAUAACUGUUGAAUUUUGUGGGAAUGUUUGUUUUGUGAAGGACAUGAAUAGACAAGUUCUGCUGCAGGGACUUGCCGAAAAAGGUCUAUACAAGCUGCUGCUGAGUUCUAAUUCCUCUUCUUCAUUUCCUUCAUCUCAUCUUUGUCAUACUCAACUAAAUAAUUAUGUCUCAAUGUUGUCUAGCUUUCAAAGCUUUGAUAAUCCUUCUAAAGUUUGUUAUCAUUCUGUUUUCAAUAAAUGCAAAACCAAAUAUGAUGUAAUGACAUUGUUACAUAGAAAAUUUGGUCAUCCAAGUUCAAUGAUUCUGAUGCAUUUAGCUAAGUCUUGCAAGCAAUUAAAAAUCUCUCAAAAAGAUAUUCUAUCUUGUACAAAUUCUUUGUGUGAGGCAUGUCAGUUAGGCAAAGUUCACAGGCAAAGUUUUCCAGCAACUGAAACAAAAACAAAAGGAGUAUUAGAACUGAUUCAUACUGAUAUCUAGGGACCUUCACCCACUGUAUCUAGAAAUGGAUACAAGUAUUACAUUAGUUUUGUGGAUGAUUACACUAGAUACACCUGGAUCUAUCCACUUAAGCUUAAAUCACAAGCAUUUGAAGUUUUCAAACUGUUCAAGGCACAAGUUGAAAAUUAGUUUAAUACCAAGAUUAAGGAAUUACAAUCUGAUCUGGGGGAGAGAGUUUAGAGUAUUCAGUAAUUUCCUAAGUCAAAAUGGAAUCAAGUUUAGACAUUCAUGCCCUUAUACUCAUCACCAGAAUGGUCUUGUUGAGAAGAAACAAAGACACAUAAUUGAAUUAGCAUUAACACUCUUAGCUCAAGCUAAUCUCCCUUUUCAGUUUUGGUGGAAAGCUGUUCACACAGCAACAUAUCAUAUUAAUAGGUUACCAACACCUGUUCUUAAGCUUUUAUCUCCUUAUGAAAAGCUCUUUAAACACAAACCAGAUUAUUCAUUUCAUAAGUGCUUUGGUUGCCUAUGUUAUCCAUAUAUGAGAGAUUUAAAUAAACACAAAUUUGAUUUUCACACCACCAAAUGCAUCUUCAUUGGCUAUAGUCAUUCUUACAAGGGUUAUAAGUGUUUAACAAGCUCAGGAAAAAUUCAUAUCCUAAGGCAUGUUAUCUUUGAUGAAAAUACAUUCCCUUACUUAACAAACAAAGUCUUUCAUUUAUCCGAGAACAGUUCAAAUUCUGAAAUAUCAGUGUCAAACUUUUCCCAGUAACAAAUUUAUCAUCUCUCCACAUUAUCCUUAACUGACAGCAGCUUGGAAGAUCUUCAAUCAGCAAGUUCAGAAAGCAAUGAACAAGUACCUUCUGUUUCUGCACACACAAAUAAUCUGCAUCAACAAGAGCAUUCUCAAGAGCAUUCCUCAUCAACUAUACCAUUAUCACCAACACAACAACAAACUGAAUCACAACCACAAAAUGAACCACAUCUAUCUACUUCCUAGCACAUAAAUCAAACUCAAACUAGAAACCUUCCUUCACAACCAUCACAUUCAAUGGUAACCAGAUCGAAAAUAUGGAAUCUUCAAGCCAAAAGUUUACAUAACCACCUUAACCAACAAAGAACCCAGUACUGUUCAAGAAGCUCUAAGUGAUCAGAAUUGGCAUCAAGCUCUGAAAGAUGAAUAUGAAGCUUUGCUUAGGAAUGAAACAUGGUCACUAGUACCAUUUUCAGAGGUAUACAAGGUUGUUGACAGUAAAGGGGUUUUCAGAAUUAAACAAAACACAGAUGAGAGUGUAGCUAAAUACAAAGCCAGGUUAGUUGCAAAGGGUUUCCAGCAAACUAAUGGUGUUGACUACUUUGAGACCUUUAGUCUUGUGGUAAAGGCCUGCACAGUAAGAAUUAUUUUUAGUUUGGCUGUGAUGAACAAGUGGAAAAUAAGGCAAGUGGAUGUCAAUAAUGCAUUCUUAAAUGGAGAAUUGACUGAAGAUGUUUACAUGUAUAAGCCAGAAGGUUUCAUUGAUGAGAAAAAGUCCAGUUAUGUAUGCAAGUUGAAGAAAGCCCUGUAUGGCUUAAAACAAGCUCCUAGAGCUUGGUAUGAUAAGUUGAAAAACCGUCUGAUAAGUUGAAAAACUGUUUGAUAAGUAAUUGGGGUUUUCAAAAUUCCAGAGCUGAUACUUCUCUCUUCUUCAAAGAGAUUCAAGGCUCAAUAAUACUUGUGCUUAUAUAUGUGAAUGAUAUACUUAUUACAGGGCCUGACAUUGGAGAAUUAGAGAAGUUUAUCUUAGAAUUCAGUAAGACAUUUGCUUUAAAGGAUCUAGGAAUACUAUCAUACUUUCUUGGGAUAGAAGUCUCUUAUGCUGAUGGUUGUAUGUACUUAUCUCAGAGAAAGUAUAUUAAUGAUCUCUUGUCUAAAGCUGAUAUGUUGAACUGUAAAGGGUGUGAUACUCCCAUAGCGAUUGGACUGAAACUUCAAAAGGAGGUUAAAGGUUGUUUAGGUCAGUAUGUUGAGGAUGCAACCAGUUACAGAAGUUUGGUUGGAGGCUUGCAAUAUCUGGUGUUAACCAGACCAGAGAUAGCCUUUGCUGUGCACAAACUCAGUCAAUAUGUGACAGCUCCAACAUUGCAGCACAUAAUGGCCUGUAAACGAGUUCUAAGAUACCUAAAGGAAACCAUGGAUUAUGGUCUAAAGUUUUCAGCUGGUGGAGAAAUGGAAAUCACAGGUUUUAUAAAUGCAGAUUGGGCAUGCGAUAUUGAUGACAGAAAAUCUAUAGGUGCAUACUGUAUCUAUUUUGGAAAUAAUCUGGUGUCAUGGUCAUCUAAGAAGUAGUCUGUGGUGAUAAGGUCUAGUGCAGAAAGCGAAUACAGAGCUUUGGCUUCUGCAAGUGUAGAAAUAGCAUGGAUUCAAUCUUUGUUCAGUGAGCUAAAUAUAAGAUGUGUCUCAGUACUUAUCAUCUGGUGUGACAACAUGAGUGCAACAAAGUUAAGAUAAAAAUCUAGUCUACCAUUCACGUACCAAACACAUUGAACUGGAUAUGCAUUUUGUUAGAGAUAAGGUUUUAGCAGAGGAGCUGAAAAUUAACUUCAUUCAAAGUGAAGAACAGAUAGCCGAUGUCCUAACAAAACCUCUCACAUUCAUUCAUUUUAAUUAUUUCAUAAACAAACUCAAUGUGCAGCCAUGCCCCUUGAGUUUGAGGAGGGCUGUUAAGGAAGCUCAUAACGUGUACAAGCAGUCAGCUCAAGGUUAGCACGUGGGAGAAUUUGCUGAGCUAAAGUUAGUUAAGUAAGCGAUGUCAGCUCAGCAAAUUCAGUCAAGGUUUACUGAGAUUUUAUUCAUAUUGUUUUCUUUUCUAUUAACAAUGUAUAAAGGCAUGCUUUGUACUCAUUUGAUCAAUAAGAAAAGAAGAAAUAAAAUCCAGAAUAUUCUCUGAAGUUUUCUCAGUAAAACAGAGUAAAUUUUCUUAGUAACCAAACAGUACAGAUCAGUGGAAUUUACGUUUUAUAACAACGUGUGUUGAGAAUGUUGGGUAUUGGCCAAUUCAAUUUUCAUGAAGCACCAGAAGACAACGCUUUAUUUGGUGGGGGUGAAGUUUUGAUACAGGUAUUGCUCGGUUUGAAAUAUUUAGAGGUAUUGGAGUUGACCUUGGGAAGUUAUCAUGCUCUCCAAAUUCUUUUGAGCUCAAAUCAGUCAAAAAGUUGUAUUCGAUCUCUUCUCCUCCACAAGUUUAGAGGUACAACGCCGAUUAUUGAUGCUACGGCUUUCGCAGAGCUAAACCACCUCAACGAAUUAUUUAUUAAUAAUAGUAUUGAGUUGAUAGAAUUGAAGAUUGAUUAUACAGAGAUAGUACAAAAAAGGCAGGAACCUUUUGUUUUCCGCAGCCUUCACCGUGUUACCAUAUUUAGGGCCCGUUUGGGAGUGAGGUGCUGUAGCUUUUAAGCUGCAGUUGCUGUGGAGUAAAAGCUAUAGAUGUGGAAUGGAAGUUGAUGGUGUUUGGUAAAAGUGUUGUAGCUUUUAAGCUGCAACUACUGAUGGUGUUUGGUAGAGUGGAUGAAUAUUUGUAAUAAUUAAUUUUAAAUAACAUUAUUUUUAAUUGUUAACAAAUCAAUUAUUUUUCAUUCUUCAAAUUAUUAUAUUGACAUACAAUUACGAUUUAUUCCGUUACAAAUUAAAUUAAUAUUUAAUAAAUCAAAUUUAUUUUUUUGCACAAGUUGUAAUAAAUAAUUUAUAAAACACAUCAUGGGGUCAAUUAUAAAUAAUUUUAAAUAACUAUUAUUGACAAUGCCAACCGGGCAGUGUACAUGAUAUGCUUCUCCAAAUUGCUUCGGUUUGUACCUGAUAUGAUUAAUCGAGUAUUAUUUACAAUACCAAAUAUAUCUAAUAAAAAUCAUACAACAAAACAAAAUAAAAUUAAAAUGUAAUUAAUUACAAAAUUUGUAUAAAUAUUUCUAUUGUUGUGCCUCCAUUAAACUUGCAGCAAUGCCAUCUUUCAAGAUUAUUAUAUCUUGAGUUGUGCUAUCAAUUGUUUCAUAACUUUCUUCAUGAGAUGCAAUAUGUUCGCUAAUACUAUGACUUGGUUCAUCCGUCAUUUCAUCAAAAUGAUCAUUAUUUUGUGAAUAUCUUCUGAUAUAAUUAUGCAAGGCCAUGGUAGCAAUAACUAUUUUCACCUGCUUCUUGAAUGGAUAGCUUGGCAUACUUCGUAAAAUCUUCCAUGUAUUCUUCCAAACCCCAAAAGUACGCUCAAUAACACUUCUCAAGGAAGAGUGCUUGUAGUUGAACAAUUCUUUAUAACCCAUUGGUUGGCUACCUCUACGAAAUUCAGGAAGGUGAUAUCUUUCACCCUUAUAUGGUCCUAAGUACCCACAUAACUCCGGAUAUCCUGCAUCUACUAAAUAAUAUUUUCCUAAAAAUAAAAAGAAAAAUACAAAAUAAAUAAAACAAUCUAAUCAAUUGAAUAUGUAUAUAUAAAAGAAAAAUUAGAAACACAAACCUGGAGGAGGGUUUGGAAAAUUGAAUGCAGGAUUCGUAAUAGUUGUUUGAAAUACCCUUGCAUCAUGGGCACUGCCUUCCCAACCAGCCACUGCAAAUAUGAAUUGCAUAUCAAAGCUACAUACAGCCAUUACAAAUUCUUUUCCCACCAUUCCUCACUUGCAUCAACUGUCCUCAACCUAUGAUUCCACCCUAAACCAGUUUCUUUGCCAAUCAAAUUCUUCCACAAUUUCCAAUCAGUUCUAAGAGAAUCCCAUUUAUUUUUCAUUUGAGUUCUGUUGUAAUCUAAUCCAGUUUCUUUAGUGAACUCCUUAAUCAAAUUUUCAUAUCCUUGGGAAGUCAAAUGAGUCCCUGGACGAUGUCCGGCAUCCACCUCUUUAACGCAUAAGUCACAAAAUACAUCUAAAGUCUGGGGGUUCCAAGUAGCCUUACUAGUUGAGCUAUUAGACACAAUUUCAUACACUUAAACCUAGGAAAAAAAAUAUUUCUUUAUCAAACAACAAUACAGAAAAAAUAAGAAUAUAGAAGUUAAGAAAAUUACUAGAAUCUUGUUAUGGAUGGUGGAAGGAAAAAUAAUUCGAUAUUAAAAAAUUAAAAAAAAAGACAAACCAGAACAAGUUACCUUAGUUGUUACUUUACUUGAAAUACUUUUCCAGCAAACAAUAAUGAUCAUAGCCCACGAAUAGAAACAAUUACAAGCAAGUCAAUAAAGCAACAAAAGACAAACCAGACUAGGAAACAAAGAAAUUCAACUAAACAAUCAUUAGGUACAAACUGCAAUUGCAUUUAGCCUCACAAUCUCAAAUUUGCUACGUGCUUUGAUAUUUCCUGUACUAUUCUUUUGGCCCAUCCUAAGACAUAUACAAUUGCAAUUGCAACACUUUCUCCCUUCUUUUUUCUGUAAUUCGUAUGGCGACUUACGUAUAUAUAACCUAAUUAAUUGAAUUAAAUUGAUGAUGGGUUAGAAAAUCAUUAGGCUUAUUAAUUAUACGCGUCAAAAGAAUGGUCGGCCAAUAAUUAGGUGUCCUGCUUAUACUCCUGUAAUUUAGUCAUUCUCUAGUAAAUAUUAUUAAAUAAAAAGAAACACAAACAAUUAAGCUUAUUGGUAACUGAACUGGUGCCCAAAAAUAACAAGAGCAGGAGAAAGCAAACACACCCAAGAAUUUGACAAACUUCAACUUGAAAUCCAGAAUUUGACAAACUUCCUUUUGUUUACUGAAGCAUAGUAUUUCAUAACGAAGGCAUGCAUUUUAUUAUUUAAUGUCUUGUAGAACUGGAAACUCAAAUCAAACAGGGGUUGUGCAUGUUUAUAAAAAGCAACUACAAAAAUAAAAACUACAAUAAAAACAAUGGUUACAAGCAAAUAAAUCACGCAUGACCCAUCACCCAUCAAUUUAUUCUAACAAAAGCCCCAACAUUUUAUGAAUGAAAAGGAAGAAAAUGAAAAAUUGCUUGAAAUAGAGUAAAGGAGUACUCAAAAAUGAACAACAGAUAGAGGAAAAGGCACCACUGACAGAGGCGUAUGAGAGUGGCCGGUGUCGGAAUCGCGCCGAUGAGAAUUUCGGUGUCAGAAUCGCAUCAAUUGGAACUCCCACAGUCGGAAUCGUGCUGAUGAGAAUGGGUGUUUAGGGUUUGUUUAAAAAAAUCGAUUUGAAAUAGAACUCCCACUGACAUGACUGUUUGAUAAAAUGAAAAUGGAAUAAUAUAUAAAGUUAAUUUAGUAAUUAAACUUGCAGCUGGGAAAAAAAAUCUGUCAAGUUGUCAAAACACAACUAUAAGUGGUACCAAACACUUUGGUGGCUGGGCUGCUCACCACACUCCCAAACGGGACCUUAGUUGCGGUAAAUUGAAAGAUGUGACAUUCCUCGUUUUUGCUCCAAACCUCAAGUCUCUUUGGCUAUUCGAUUGCGGUGCUAUGGAAGAAAUAAUCAGCGUCGGAAAAUUUGCUGAGACUCCUGAGAUGAUGGGACAUAUAAUCCCUUUUGAAAAUCUCCAAAUGCUUAAUUUAAUGGAAUUGCCGGAGUUGAAGAGAAUUUUCUGGAAGCCAUUGCCUUUCACUCAUCUGAAAGAAAUAUCUGUGGGUUAUUGCCGUAAUCUUAAAAAGCUUCCACUCGAUUCCAACAGUGCAAAAGAGCGUAAAUUUGUAAUUCGUGGAGAAGAAGACUGGUGGAACCGACUUCAAUGGGAGGAUGAAGCCACUCAAAUUGCUUUUCGUUCCUGUUUCCAACCUCGUUCCUGAGCGGUGGUCGCAAAAUUUGAUUUCUGGUGAGUGCGUUUUUGUUAACGCUUAUGUUUUUAUUCCAGUGUGUUUUUCUUCUGUCUUCUGCAAAUCACGAUUAAAUGUUGAAUAAUAUGGAAUCAAUGCUUUAUAAAUUUUCCGGCGUGGCCAUUUCCUUUUCCCUUUUUUUUUUUGGGGGGGGGGGGGGGGCGUGGUUCGAUUGAUGCUCUGGCUUUUUACUUUUUGUCUUCGAAUUUUGCUCUGUUUUUCAAAUUGAUGCUUGAAUAGUUGAAUUCAAUUAAUGCUCACAUAAAUUUGUUUAGUUGCCGUAAAACGGUAAAAGGAUAUAAUUAGAUUGAAAUUCGCACUUCUAGAAUGAAUAGAAUUACAAUAGAGAAAAUAUUAAGUAUACAAGCCCUCUUUACAGAAAAUCAAAUGAAAAUAAAAUUUUUUGGAUAUUUGAUUUUCUAUGGUCUACUGUAUACGCUUUAUAAAUUCCUCUGCUUUAACGAUAACCAAAUCCUUUUUUCAAGGAUUUUUAUUUGGGGUAUUGAUAAUAGUCCACCAACAUAGUGAACGCUUGGAUGCUGCUUAAGGAUCUCUAAUCAGUAGCUGGAAGCAAAUGAGAAGGCGGUCGCUACUUUGUACAAAGCCAUGCAGCAAUUGCUAUUCAUUUUCAAACAAAGUUGAGAUGUUAUUUUCAGAUUUGGUUCCAGAUUUUGUAUGAAUAUCGUUGUUCCAUUGAGUUGUAUAUGAAUUCAAAUGUAAAAUAUUCUUUGGUUUUCAAUUUUGAAUUCAAUUUCUUUUUCUUAAGCAUGUUGUGCAGAAAUGAUUUCUACUAAAUCAUUUUUGAUAAACUAUUUAAAUUAAACAACUGGAAUAAGAACUGUAAGGAUUUAUCGUAAGCAGACUAAUAUGAUAAUUCUGAAACUAUCAUUUUUUUUUUUUCAAUUUGUUGCAGGGAAAGCCAAAUUUUGCGUUUUUCAGUUUUAUCUGAUAUGGGCUUUAUUUCCUCUACACUAGCUACCUAAAGAUUUAUCAAAUUGCUUCUCUUCCCUGCUUCAAAUAUCUUCAUGGCAUCAUAGGAAAAGAGAGUUUGGGUUGUAUUUAUUAUAGUUUUUAUUUUUUUUUUUGUUAUAAGCAAAUUUAUUUUAAAUACUUUAGUAGUAACAGUUUUUAUUGAAUAAUAAUGAGGGAUGAUUAUUAUAGGUUCAAAUAGUUGUUAGAACAUUAUAAAAAGUCUAUUUACUAUCAAAUGUUUUAAAUUGAUGCAACGUGAUAAUUGUCUCAUAUAAUUUUUUUAUAAUAUAUAUGUCCCAUAAUCUUAACAUGAAUAAAUGAAUUUCAACGGUUAAAUUUGACACGAUUAUUAAAUAGAUCAUAUCUAUAUUAAUUCGAUUUAAAAUCUGGUCACAUUUGGAUUUAGAGUUUCUAACAUGAUAACUUGUUUUAUGACAUGAUUUACUAAUCAAUUAAUAGUAAAUCAAAUGUCAGUCAAUUAAAUAUGUGGUACAUUUGUCAUAUUUUAAAAAUUAUUUAUUUAUAUUUGAAAUGAAUUUGGUGCNNNNNNNNNNNNNNNNNNNNNNNNNNNNNNNNNNNNNNNNNNNNNNNNNNNNNNNNNNNNNNNNNNNNNNNNNNNNNNNNNNNNNNNNNNNNNNNNNNNNAUAAGACGACGCGACACAAAUACAACCAACAAGUCAACCCAAAUUGCCACCUUUUACUAUCUUCUUUGUGUUAUUUCUCUAAAAAUUUGUGCCUUCUCUUACACUUUUAAAUCUGAAGUGUUUGAACUGGAGUACACAAAUUAUCUCUCUACAAUUCCAAAACAACCAAUUUGUUACUUGGUAAAUCUUAAUCAAUGGCAGGAAGCAAUUGAGAAGGCGGUCGCUACUGUGUACAAAGCCAUGCAGUAUUUGCUAUUCAUCUUAAUAAUUGUUAAGCUUUGGUAAAAUUUUCAAACAUAGUUGACAUCAUGUUGUUUUGAGAUUUGGUUCAUGAUUUUGUAUGAAUAUCGUUGUUCCGUUUGAGUUGGAUGUGAAUUGAAACCUAAAUAUUCUUUAUUUUUCAAUUUUGAAUUCAAUUUCUUUUUCUCAAGCAUGUUAUGCAGAAAUGAUUUUUACGAAAUCAUUUUUGAUGAAUUAUUUAAAUUAAACAAUUGGAAUAAGAAUUGUAACGAUUUAUCAUAAGCAUGCUAAUAUGAUAAGUUGUUUUACGAACGAUUAAUUAAUCAAUUAAUAUUAGAUUAUAUAUUAGUCAAUUAGAUAUGUGUUACAUUUGUCAUAUUCUAAAAACUAUUUAUUUAUAUUUCAAAUAAAUUUGACCAGAGGUUACGUAGGUAAUACUACAUAAUUUCUAAAGGAAUGUAAAAAUUUAAAGUUUUAUUAAAUAGGUGACUCAAUAAUAAAUGGAUUUCUGCAAGAAUUGAGAUUCUUGAGAUAAUUAUUACAUAGGGAAUUUUGGUUAGUUCAAUUUUGACAUGGUAAGAAGACGACACGGCGCAGAAAACCCAAAUUGCCACUUCUACUAGUAAUAAAAGAUACCUGUUUGAAAAGUAAUUAUAAACUAUCUUCUUUGUGUUAUUUCUCAAAACUUUUGUGGCACAAUGUUAUUUCCCUGGAGAAAAGUACGAAAUACCCCCUUUCACGUCGGCAGAAGCAAAGCAAAGCUAUGAGCUAUCUCUGUAUACUUGAAACGCCAUUGCUAAACGAUUCUCGAUGAUGGGUGCCACUGGGUCAGUGUUGUCUCUGAUUUACAUGAUUUAUUAGUUGUCCAGAUGCCAGAGAAACCAUGGUGGCAUUGAAGUUGCCCAGAUGGUUAGUUUUCUGAUCAUUUUUUUAUUCAAUUAUUUAUUUUUUUAGAAAAAUGUGAGAAAUAUGUAGAAAUGUUGACAGCUAUGAUUUUGAAACUUUGCCUAAAAUUGUUAUCAUCACUUAUUUAAAGAGAAAUCCUAGAAACAUGAAAUGAUUAGUAGCCUAAUUCAAAAUUAGACGUGAUUACAACAAGAGAAAAGUGGAGAGAACUUGAUAAUCGAGUGCAUUUAGAAUUUAAUUUUUCUUUUAGCUGCCGAUCAUUAAAUUUUCGAUUUCAGAAAAUUAUACCUAGAAUAUUUCAAGGAUAUACUAUGAAGAUUAUGAAGGUUUGAUUACAUGUCACUAUCAAUUGCCCCAAUCAUUUGUAGUAAAUUAAUUGAUCAUUUUGAUGCAAAUGAUUCCCUACUAAAAAAUUUAAGUCAAGGCUGAAUUGCAUAGUAGUUAGUCGCGCUUGCACUUCAAAUUAAGUAUUGUAUUUUCUGCCUGGUUUGGUUGAUUAAAGUGUGUGCAUUUGCUUUUGAACGUUGUAGUAUAGAAAUCGAAACAUUUGUUUUUCGCUAAGCCCAGAAGCAAAGUUCUUUGUACUGUACUCAUCACUUCUCUUCAUUCUCUUUGUUGAAAUUUUUUCCAAACAGCGGUUUCUUCGAAUUUGUGCCUUCUCUUCCACUUUUAAAUCUAUCAAAGAACCGUUACCUGAGAAGAUUGCCAUCAGGAAUUUCUAAAUUGAUUUCACUAUAAUACCUUAAUCUUUCAGAUACUCCCGUCACUGGGUUGCCAAAAGUGCUAAAAGCCUUCGUAAAUCCUACGUGUUUGAACUGGAGUACAAAUGUUAUCUCUCCACAAUUCCAAAACAACUGAUUUGUUACUUUUCAAUGCUACACGUUCUGCGAAUGUUCAGUUGUGGUUAUCUUGCUGAAAUACCAGAAAAUAGGGUUCUAGUUGGCGGUAGUGGAUUCUUGGUUGGGGAAUUGCUUAGUUUAAAACAUUUAGAUGUAUUAAGCAUCACCUUAAAAGGUUUUUCUUCUGUCCAAAAACUUAUGAGCUCCCAACAGUUUCAAAGCUGUACAAAAUGUUUGGAGCUUAUAGACUGUGAUGAUUCAAAGUCGUUUGCCUUGGCAGAGUUGAAGCAUCUUGAAAAACUAGGUUUUUCAAAUUGUGGAAAUUUGGAAGAUAAAUUACAUUUAUAAACUGUGGAUCGCCCUUUAUAAGUAUUAGGCUUAUCCCAUACUCGAGCAAUGUGGAAUACCUUUAUAAGCAUUAAGCCUCUCCCAUACAAUUUCUGUACAUGACUUUAAAAGUGGUUGAUGACCCGUUUUGUAAUAUCAUAGAGGGAUCAUGAAUUCCUUUUCUUUUCUGUGGCUAGGCAACACUUUUGGGCCAAAGUAAGGAAAUCUAUUUUAGGUAAUGUAAAAACCAGUUGUGGGAUGUAAUAGUUUAUUAUGCACUGACAACAACUUUUUGUAUAAUUGUCAGUUUAAUGAAUACGAGAGGAACUCUGUUGGCAAAUUCAUCCAUGAUAGAUGCUAAAAUUAUACCAGUUGCCUUAACUAAUUUUUCUCAACACUGGUAUUGAACAGGAAAAUGAAUAUGCAAUUUGUAUUUGUGCCAUUGUGGAGAAUUUGGAUAUUCUUAGUUUUAGUAACAAGGAGAGUAUUUGCCUCAUCUUUAAACAAUGAAUCUUUGAGAAAUGAGGACUGGGUGAUUGGCAGUGUCAGAGUGUCUUCAUGUAAAUGUUCAUUUAUUUGUAUUUUGAACUAUUAUUAGAAUCUUUAUAUGCCAAAUUAGUAAUACAAAUGUUCAGAUGAUUUUUCCUGGUGAUCAUUUCAUUCUUGAGAGCCAUGUACAAUACUAGGAUACCAGAGAAACCAAGGUAGCAUUGAAGUUGCCCCAGUGGCUAGUUUUCCGAUCAUUUUUUAUUCAAAUUUUUAUGUUUCAGAAAAAUGUAAGAAAUUUAUAGAAAUGUUGAUAGCUAUGAUUUUGAAACUUUGCCUAAAAUUGUUAUCAUCACUUAUUGUUUCUUAUUUAAAGAGAAAUCCUAGAAACGUGACAUGAUUAUUCCAUACUUGUUUUAAUAUUAUUUAUUAGCAGCCUAAUUCAAAAUUAGACGUGAUUAUUUGUUACUUUUAAUGCUACAUGUUCUGGGAAUAUUCAGUUGUGGUUAUCUUGUUGAAAUACCAGAAAAUAGCGUUCUAUUUGGUGGUAGUGGAUUCUUGGUUGGUUUGAAUGUAUUAAGCAUCACCUUAAAAGGUUUUUCUGCUGUCCAAAAACUUACGAGCCCCCAAAAGUUUCAAAGCUGUGCACAACCUUUGGAGCUUAUAGACUGUAGUGAUUCAAAGUUGUUUGCCUUCGCAGAGUUGAAGCAUCUUGAAAAACUAGGUUUUUCAAAUUGUGGAAAUUGGAAGAGUUUAAGUUCUGCUGUGUUGAGGAUGGAAAGGCUCGAGAAUGUUUUCGUGUGAACAGCUUCAACGAGUUAAGAUAAAGGCUUGUCAUAAAUUGAGGGAAGUGACAUGGCUUGUAUUUGCUCCGUAUCUUGAGGUUAUUCAAAUAGCCAAAUGUAUGGGGAUAGAAGUAAUAAUCAGUGCAAGGAAAUUGGGUGAAGUUCCAGAGAUGAUGGCAGAUCUAAACCCUUUUGCAAAACUCCAAUAUCUUGGCCCACGAGUUCUACCAAAAUUAAAAAGCAUCUAUUGGAAUCAGUUGCCCUCUCUACAUGUCAGGCGAAUUUUGUGUCUGAAUGCCCAAUUCUCAAGAAGCUUCCACUUGGUUUUAACAAUGCAAAGGAAUCUAAAACUAUCAUUAGGGGAGAAGAACACUGGUUGAAUGAGCUGCAAUGGGAGGACAAAGUGACCCUUAAUGUUCUUCUUCCUUGUUUCGGAUCCAUUUGAAGGCAUCAACAUGGAUUGAUACUUUGCAGUGGAGAAAUUUGAAUAAAACCUAUGGUAAGCGCUUUUCCAUUUAUUGCAUAUUUAUAUCUAACUUUUGUUUUCCUUUGUGGUUAAAUUUUGCUCUAUAUACGUUGUUGUACGGUGACAUUCUCAUAUCAAUUAUUAGCUUUUUAAUUCUCUUCUCACAUUAACUGCCCUUUUGAUCAUGUAGGAUAUGCUGAUGUCAAAGAGUCGUAAUUUGGGAUGCAAAUGUAAGAAUUAGACAGAUGACCAGUUGUUUUGAAGCGCUCGAAGAAGGAUUAAUUACGUCAUUGAAAGGCUCCAAUUUUGUGACUUUUUUUUUUAAUUUGUUGUUUUUUCUAUUUUUAGAUAGCUUGAUUGUCAGUUGUCGUGAUGUAAUGCUUUAGUGUAGAAAAAUGAUAUUCGGCCAAGACAACAUUAGCAGGGCACCUUGUGCAUGCAUACUAGUGGAUAAUUUCGGCAUGCUAAAUCCAAUUAGGGUGGAUGACCCUUUAUAAGCAUUAGGCUUCUCUCAUACCCGAAAACAAUGUAGAAUACGCUUAUAAGCUGCGGAUCACCCAUUAUAAGUUUUAGGCUUCUCCUUUACUCGAGCGAUGUGGAAUACCUUUAUAAGCAUUAAGCUUCUCCCAGUAUCUUUAUGUUAAAAAUAAUAAUAAUAAAAGAAAUCCAUUUUAAAAUAGACUCUUUUUUCUUUUUCUAUAUAAACAAAUGCAUUCUUCAAAUCAAUUGUGGGCAGAAGAAGUUAGUAGAAAAGAACUAGUCCCCUUUCAUUCCCCCUUAAAGCUCACCAAAGCCUCUUUUGUAAGCUUUUCGGAUUUUCUUUCUAUAUUGCUUAUGAUCUCAUUUUUGAUUGAAUCACUUCUUUUGCAUGCUGCAUAUUUUGUUUGUUGUAUUUGGAUAUUAUCGUAUCUGGAAUGCUGUUAUGAUUGAUGGAACAAGUAAUCGAUAUUUGGUCUGAUGGAAGUUGACUUAUUUAUUUAUUGUUAUUUUAAUUUGAAACUAUGUACAAUUGCAUUUCAUUCAUUUCUCUCUCUCCCCCCCCCCCCCCCCCACACACACACACAUAUAUUUGUUAUGUAUAAUUGCGUUUCAUUUGAUAUUGAUCAUGCUGUAGAUAACCAUGUGAUUGUAGAUGGGGAUUUCAAGUUUGUUGAAUAUUCAAGUAAGUGAAGUAACUGUCAAAAUACUAGUGAAAUUGGGAGCUUUAUUCAUGAGCUUGUGGUUUUGAAAAGUACCACAGUUCAACCGAUGAAGGUUCCUUUUUGGGGUUCUUCUUUUUCUAGGCUGCAAUUAGGAUAUGUACAUGUUAGACAAUCUUUUGCGGGUUUAGCAUAUCUUCUCUGAUUUUGUCUUUUAUUCCCCAAUCUUAUAAUUGCACACCAUGAAUGUUGAGUGAUUGUAUAGAAAAUUUGUGUUAUAACCAAAGCGUUGUGAAGGAGUUAAGUUAGUGGCUUCUGUUUUAUUGGCAUUGAUUGGGUAGAUUAUGUGUUACAGUGAUUCAAUUUGUGCUCCAAAGUUUGCUUUAAUUUCUUUUUUCCCUAAUUAUUUAUGUCAAAUUUAAAUCCAGAAGCAUGUACUGAUUUUUUCUUUUUGUAUUAAUCUGUGAAGGUUAUUUGGAAUGGAAGUAUCUGGGUUGGGUCUAACGGAUUAAAUUAUGACAUUGGGGGGAAGGCAGUAAAGGGUUUGCUCGACACAUUUGGUUCUGUGUUUACUUUGCAAGAAAUAGCUUUUGGUUAUCACAAUGCCGGUGGAAUCCCGAUUUGGCUCGUGAAUUUCUUUGUGACAAAUAGGCAAACACAUCAACCUCUUCUAUCCAUCCUUCUACUGGUAAGGCAAGGGGUAAAGAGUCUUCAAAAUCAUCAAAUAGUAACAUCUCUGAGAAUUCAUUUUAUGCAAAUGGAAAAUCUAGACCUUCUAAGACAAAAUGGCGUCCUGUAUCAGGAGGUACCGUUUCAAGUUUUCUUGGUAAAAAUUAUGUUAAACCUGCACAGCCAGCUAAUGGCACAUUUCUAGCAUCAAAGCCAUUGAAGUUGGAUCCAAAGGGGUUUCCCAUGUCUCCACUUUUGCGGAGAAGAUACUAAACUGAAACAAUCAAAGGAUGACCAUUUGCAGAAGGAUAUGGAAGAUUUUCUGUUUAAAUUGCUAGGAGAAGUGUUCCUAUUGUCCUUUUCAAUGUUCUUUCUUUCUUUCUCUUCUUUUCUUCUUCUUCUUCUUUUUUCUUUUUGUGUGCGUGUGAUCACUAAUUUGGUAUUGUAGUUUAGUUGCAGAUAGUUGUGGAUAUGAUAUGCAAAAGGUAAGGACUAUAUCUUCCUGAUGGAGGCCUCUGCUUUUUCCUUUAUGUGUAAUUUAAUAAAUUGCAUCUUCCUUUGUGAUUGUUAUAUCAUAUCAAAGACAAGUCUUAAAUACUGCUGUCAUAUGUUAAGGUUCAACUUGCAGUUUGAUUAACAUUCAUGGCUCAAAGGCCUGAAAAAACUUGCCAGUAAUUGUAAAAUGACAUUCUUUGCUUUUAAUGCAAUAGAGGGAACAGGGAAGUAUAGCUUUGGAAGCCUGGAUUGGUAACUAUAGAGAGACUUAGUAUUUAAUUGAUAAAAAUUCCCAUAACCCAAGGUCAAGAAAAUUUUAGAUCGUUAAAGACUUCAUUUUGUUUCGGCCAGAAAUGUUUGUUUCGAUCGAAGACUUGAACCAUUUCGAUUGAACCUGAUUAUGAUGCUUUACGUUAUGCAUGUUCCUCUUAAUCAAGAAAAGUUGAGGUGAUGAUUUUAUAUUUCUAUAUUGUAAGUUGAAAUAAUAAUUGGUCUGCUUGUUUCUGUAGCUUGAUAACAUGAAUUUUCCUUCUCAAGUUAAUUUAAUCAAUAAAGUAAUUCUUCAAAGAAAAUAUGCCCAUUCUAUAAUCAUUUUCUUAAUUAACAUGUUUUUUUCUUCACACUUCAGAGCAUGUUGAAACUAAUUGAUCGCUCGGCAGAGACUUUGGGUGAGAAGACAAAAUUUCUCGGUAAAUCCUCUGAAAAGGUAUGCAUAAUUCCGCAGUAUUAAAUAACCAAUGGUCAUAAUUUUUGUACAGGACUCUUUUCUUGUGGAGAUAAUUAAAAGUGGCUGAUGAUCCAGUUUGUAUAUCAUAGAGGGAGCAUCAAUUCCUUUUGUUUUCAGUGGCUAGGCAACACUUUCAGGGCAAAGUAAGGAAAUCUAUUUUAGGCAAGUAAAGCCAUGUAGAUGUAAUAGUUAACAUGCACUGACAAUAACUUUGUAUAAUGUCAGUGAACGAUACAAGAGGAAUCUGUUGACAAUCAUCCAAGAUAGAUGCUAAAAUUAUUAUGCAUGCCAGUUGCUUAAUAAUUUUCUUACACUGGUAUUGAAGAGGAAAAUGAAUAUGCAAUUUGUAUAUGUGCCAUGUGAGAAUUUGGAUAUCUAUCUAAGUAACAAGGAGAGUAUUGCCUCAUCUUUAGACAAUGAAUCUUGAGAAUUUGGAUAUUCAUGUAAAUGUUCAUUUGUUUGUAUUUUGAACUAUUAUGAGAAUCUUUUAUAUGCCAAAUUAGUAAUGCAAAUGUUCAGAUUAUUUUUUCUGUUGAUCGUGCAUUUGUGUCUGCACACAACCAUUGUAUAUCACUUCAUUCUGAUGCGCAAGUGUCUGUAGUUUAGAAGAAAAGAAAUAAUAAUGAUAUAUUAUUGCUUGAUUCAUGAUUAUUAAAUGAUUAUGGCUUUAAAAAACCUACAAAUUCCUUUUGUUGAUAUAUGAAUGUACCAAGUUUGCUAUAUCUUAGAUUACCAUUUCCAAGAUAACAAGUUCAAAUUUUUUCUUUAUCCUUUUCCUUCACAGUUGCAUUUUAAGUGUAAGAUUUGUUAUUAAUACCUGGUUUCCCGUCAUUAUGAUUUCAUAAACAGUGUAUGGGUAUGUGCUCUACUUUUGGAGGGCCUCCACGUGAAAGAAAAUUGUAACAAUUGAAUUCUUCCGGAUGGUAUGGUAUUUAAUUUAUUUUCUCAACCUCUUGUAAGACUAAUAUAUUUUCCUUUAGUAGACACGGCAUGGUGGGAAGGGUUUUUUAUUGAAAGAAUUCUGAUAUUUCUUAGACUUUGUUUUGGAAGGGGGUGCAGGGGUUUCUCAUCCAUAUAUGGUUACUUGAUUAGCUUUUGACUGUAUUGCCUCAAUCGUGCAAAGGAAGAUCCAAAUACAAACGAAAGAGAAUUGUUUAGACACCCAGAAGAUGGAAAUGAACUACAGAAGGAAGUUUUUGCUGCUUUAUUUAGUGCUCCUGAGAAAUCUGAUGAAUUUCCUGAAAUUACGGUGAAGACCAAGUGUGAGGUCCAAAGCAUUAGGAAAGGUGGUGAGUGAACUGCCGGAGCAAUUGGUACAGAAUACAAGGCUAAUGUGGUGGACUUGCAGCAAGAUAACCGGAACAGUACGUGCUCUUAUAUUAACUAUAUUGACUGGAUUUGCUAGUGUGUGCAUUUUCGUGUGUAUACUUUUGUAUUUAUGCAUAUUAAUGUGUGUAGGAUUCUUGAUUUCUGCCACUUAUUGGAGAACUAAUGGAAAGCUUUAUACUGGUAUAUCUGCAAUAACUAAUGGAAACUAUGAUAUUAAUAUUUUCUCUCGCUUGGAGAAUGCGUAACAGAUAUACUUUGUGGCUCUGGAAUACUAAAGAUUCUGCAAUAACUAAUGGAAACUAUGAUAUGAAUAUUUUCUCUCACCUGGAGAACUUUGUAACAGUUACACUUUGGGGCUUGGAAUGUCUAAAGAAUUUUGUCUGCUUCAGUUAGAUCAAAUAUCUUUUAGUUACAUACAUUAUAGAAAAGAUAAAGUUCUCUGAAUCUGAAAGACUUAAAAUUUUGCAUAUUUCUUGAUAGGGAAAUAUCUGUAGAUACUAGUUCAUGCAUUGUGGUAGCAUCAGUGUUAAAGAAAAACAGCAGUAAGUUAUUAUAUAGAAUUAGGUUCACUUGCUUUAAAUCCUGGUCUGGUCAACCAUAUGAACCUGUAAGUGGUUCUGUAGAAAUAUAUAUAUACGGGGAGAAAGUAGCUAAAUUUUCCUUUCAUUUAUGGGUUUGGUCAUUUUUUCCCCUUAUUUAUGUUUUCUCACACAUUUUUUAAAUGCCCCAGACAUGCAAUUUUGUAUGUGUCAAUUGCCUUUUAAGUUUUAAAAACCAUAAAGUAAGAAUACAGUUUCUUGUCAGGCUAUUGAUGCAUUUGCUCGGGGGGAUCAUGCUCGAGCAGGAAAACUUCUAGAACAGGUAAGGUUUCCAUCUACAGCCAUUUAUUGACAACAUAUAUAUUUUCAUUCAGCAAGCACUGUUAGCAUUCAAGAUGCUGGCAGAUUCACUUGAUUCUUAUUAGUUUGUUUAGUAGCAAAGCAUAUAACCUGUAUUUUAAAGCUAAGUUGUGCUAUUGAUUAUGUUAACUUUAUUGUUCACAUAAAGUGAUAUUGAGGAAAUAAUCAAUGUAGGAAAAUUAGGUGAAGAGAUGAUGUCAAAUCUUGAACCUCUUACAAAACUCCAAGUUCUUUACUUGAAGAAGCUACCAAAUUCGAACAGCAUCUACUGGAAGGCCUUGCCAUUCCCUGAUGUAUGCAGAAUUUUUGUAUUUAAAUGCCCAGAGCUUAAGAAGCUGCCACUGGAUCUUGAGAGGGCAGGCCAAGGUAAAAUUCUUAUCAAGGGAAAGAAAGAUGGGUGGAAACAACUUCAAUGGGAGGAUCAAGUAACUCAGAAUGCAUUGCUUUCAUUUUAAAAAUCAACCAACAAGUGAUUGAAGGGGGCAUCAUCAACGUAAUCAACAUGGAUGGAGAGAUUCUGGAGCAGAUCAGCGGGGUUUAGUACGACCUGUGGUGGUUUCUUUUUUGUGACUUUUUUGCCUUUCAUUUUUUCACUUCCUGUCAUAUUAUCAUUUCUUUGUCUGUGUUUCUAUUGCUAGUGUUGCUGCAUGCUUGCUGUCCUUGACAAAGUUAGCUAGUUUUUUUUGUUUAUUAAAUUUUGUAUGUUCGGUCGGGACAGUCACAAAGUACUACUUGUUCUAUAUGGGGGUGAUGUGAAUCAACUUUUCAAUUAUAUAUUCUGUGGUAAUUGUGAAUUCAAUUUCAUUUAUCUCCUGCAAAUUAUGAAGAAAGUGCAGAGUUACAAUAUGGAAAAGUUCACUGGCAAAUACUUUGUAAAAGCUUCGGAGUGAAACAGGAAAUGCACUUGCAACUAAGGACAAAUUGGUGGCCGGCUAAUGCAUUCAUUUUAGGGAAAAGGACACAGACCCUCAACGUUUUAAUAAGGGACAUAAAACUCCCUAAUAUUUUAAAAAAAAUACUCAAACCCCCAUUUGUUAAUAGUAAAUUCUAAGUUUAAAGUGUAAUUACCAUUAUACCUUUAUAGCAUAUUAAAAAAUAAUUAUUCAUUAUUCAAUUUAUUCUUAUAUUAUUAAUAAAAUUACGAAUAUAAUUUCAUUAUCUAAUUUUUUCAUUUAAUUUUUGUUAAAUUUUCUCUUCAAACUAAAUAAAUUUAAUCCAUUGCUUAAGAAUAAAAAUAAAUUAAAUUGAUUACUAAUAUAAUAAAAAUAACAUAUAUUUAAUAUAAAAAUAACAUAUAUUAAAUUAAAAUAAAUUUAAUUUAUAUAUAGAGAAUUGUUAUUUUUAAGAAAUUAUCAAUUUAAUUUAUAUAUAAGAAAUUAUAAGAAAUAACAUAUGGAGAAUUGUUAUUUUUAUUAUAUUAAUAAUCAAUUUAAUUUAUUUUUAUUUUUGAGCAAUGGAUUAAAUUUAUUUAGUUUGAAGAGAAAAUUUGAUAAAAAUUAAAUGGAAAAAUUGGGUAAUGAAGUUAUAUUCAUAAUUUUAUUAAUAAUAUAGGAAUAAAUUAGAUAAUGAACAAUUAUUUUUUAAUAUGCUAUAAGGGUAUAAUGGUAAUUGUACUUUAAAAUUAGAAUUUACUGUUAACAAAUAGGGGUCUGAGUGUCUUUUUUGAAACAUUAGGAAAUUUUGUGUCUCUUAUUCAAACGUUGGGGGUUUCUGUGUUAUUUUCCCUUCAUUUUAUGUACAUUCAUCUUUUUAAUUAUUGAAGAUAAGUGGUUCGUUGCUUUUGUUGUAGAUAAAAUUCAGACGACCUCAAUUGUGACAUGACAAUAUUUAAAACAUCUCUUAAAUUAUUAUAAAUUUAAUUUAUCUUAACUUUAUUGAAAAGAUAAAAGAAAAAUGUGGUGUAUGGAUAAAUUUUUUUUUAUCUUCUUAAUCAAAUGGAAUAAAUUAAAAUUUACAAUAAUUUAAAAUAUUUUAAAAAUUAUUAUUUCAUAAGAGAUUAAUAUGAAAUUAAUCGUUUUUACUUUUUUAAUGUGAAAGGACAAGAAAAGAGAAAGCAUGUGUCCCUGCUUUUUAGUUUUUAUUUUAUUUGAAAUCGGAGUUAUCCCAUAUACUUUACUAAUUUAGCUCUAACAUUACAAUGUUUUUAGGCUACACUUUUAUUUUUCUUUUUCCCCCUUUUUUUAUACAUGCAUGUGGAUUACUUUUCUCUAAGCUCCUUAAUAUUUAAGACAAAUCAUAAAAGCAAUUGAAGUAUAACAAGAUGAUCAAAACAUUUAACCAAAAAAAAAGAAAGAAAAAAGAAAGAAAACAUUGAAAAUGGAGAUGUUGAUUAAUUUAGAAGAGAUGCAAGCAAAAGAUAUUCCCAAAAAAAAGAAAAAAAGAAAAAAACAACGUUAGUUCAUCCAUGUCUGUCAAUGCGUUUUUUAUGGUUUUUUUUUUCCAGUUGUUUGUUGUAAUAGAUUGAUUGUAAAUUGAUAUGAAUUUGAUGUUGUAAUAUGUUCGCUUUUGUGGAAUUAAAUUUGAAUAUUCAAGAUUAUUCAAGUCUUAUCUAGUAUGUGUUCAAUUGUGUUGUCGAUAAUUUUGCAUUCGAAUAAUUUUUCACCUAAAAUAUUAGCAUGAGUAGUAGUCCUUGAAAUUUUGGUCAAAAUUAUUGUUAUUGUUUGUUUUAGAGGAAAUUUUUUUAUUAAAGCCUCGUUAACACUAUACCUUAUUAAGAUUAUAAGUUAGUGUCAGUGCAGGAUUUACAGCAACAAAUCUUGUCUAGCCACGUGUCAAAAGUACAAAUAAAUCAAGAGUAAGCACAUGACAUGGAUUAGGAUCCAAUAAGAUUUAAAUCCCAAGGAAAAGGACAAUUGUAUCCUAAAGUUUCAAUAAGAGAUACUGAGAUAUCUUUUGACUAAUGUUAUUUUUUUAGCUUUAUUAAUAAAAAGAUCAAAUAGUUUAUAACAAAUAAAAAUAUAGUAUGAAGCUAAAUGUGAUAAUAUAUACAUUUUACAUAAUUUCAAUAAAAAAAAUUUCAAUAAAAAACAUUUUAAUGUUUUACGAUCUAUUAGACAUAUUUUAUUAAAUUAAUAGGAAUUUUCUGAUAAAUAGCAACAUAAUAUUAAAAUAAAUUUAUAAAGAUUUAAAUGUAAAAUAAUUUUAGUAUAAUUAAUACGUGGGAUAUAUUUUGUAAAUUAUAAAAUUACUUAACCCAAUGAUUUUUAAAAAUCUUUAAAAUAAAUAAAAAUAAAUUAUUCACAUUUUGAUGUAAAUAUUUAAAACAUUUUUAUACAUUAGUCCACAAUUAUUUAUGUUAUAUUUGUAUUUAUUAGAAAUUUUGAAAGUCAAAUGUUUUUCACCUCUAUCUUAUUAGAAUUAUUGCACACAGAGAAAGAGCCAUAUAUGCUUUAUAGCUUUAAAAUCGAUUUGUUUUAUAGCUGGGAACAGAGAUGAUCAUUAUUAUAAGGAUUAAAAAAAAGAUAAAGAAUAUUAAUGAUUAGCGAAAUCUCUAUGGAAAUUGAAUUUAGUAAGAAAAAAUUGAGCUGAUUUUAGCGGUAUAGUAAUAUUUUAUAUAGAGAAAAGUAAAAGCUGCACCCAAGGUUAAGGGAAAUGGUCAAAACUCUUUUUUAAUCAUAAUACUCUUUUUCCUACAUAAUUUAAAAAUUUGACAUUAAUAUUUUAUAAUAAAUAAAAACAUAUAAUCCUAAAAUAAAUAAAAUAAUAUAUAUUUUAAAAUAAUCUCAAUAUUUAAAAUAUAUUUUAACAUUUUAUAGUCUAUCAGAUAUAUUUUAUUUUUUUUAAAGUAAAUUUUAUAAUAAAUACAAAACAUACUAUUAAAAUAGAUAUAAAAAUUUUAAAGUAUUUUGAAUAUUAUAUAAAAUAACUUUAAUAUUGUUAAUGCGUGAGAUGCAUUUUAUUAAUUAAAAAUUCUAUUUAACCCAAAGAUUUAUUUAUAAUAAAUUAAUAAUCAUAUUUUUGAAAUUAUUUUAAAUAUUAAAAAAUAUUUUAAUAUUACUAACUAUUAGAUAGACUAAACUAUUUAUAUUAUUUUCUAUUUAUUAUAAAAUUUCAAAGUUAAUCUUUUUAACUACUAUUCAAAAGAUAUUAUGAUAAAAACAGAAUUUUUCUGUUUUAUUAAAAAUUUAGAGUUUACACCUAUUUUUUCAAAUAUUCGGGGUGUAACUGUUUUAUUUAAAUAAAAUCUCAGUUAAAAAUGUACAGAGAAGAAAUUUCUGUUGGUAUUUUAGUCUUUUACCAAUUAUCACGAUUAGGCCUUGGCCUUGAAACAUUAAUUGUUUCACUUUUAGCGCUAGUGGCGUUGAAAGUUGUCAAGAAAAAGCAAGACCAUAUUCCACAAAAGCAGCUCUUUUAUUAAAGGCAAAGUAUAAAGUAGUCAAGAAUCGAAUAUCCUGUCGUCUACUCUUUUUUAAAUUCUUCUUUUAUUAUCUUUUAGAAUAGUUUUUGGUAAUUACAAUCAUUAUUCAGAGUUAUUGUUAUCUUCUGGGGCAGUCUCUGUUCAUCGAAGUCGUUACCUUUUUUUCAUGGAUCAGUUCCAGUGCCAAGCAGUAAUUUUCUUAGAACUCGGAUCUUUAAUUCGAGUUUCUUUGUGAAUUAAUAAUAAAAAAUUUUCAUUACACGCAAUUUAAGCUACGAAUUACUUUUUGCAAAGUUGAAUAUGAAAUUGGAGAAAUUAAAUAAUUUAGAAUGUUGGUAAAAAUUGACUAACAUAUCCCCAAUUACAGUAAAACCUCUCUACAGUCAUAACAUUAUAACAAAAUUAAUUUUAUUACUAUGUUGAGGUAAUAUAGGUUUAGUUACAAAAUUAUUGUUUUAAUAUGGUUAGUGUCAAGUGAUAUAAAGGUUAAGUAUGCAGUACAUUGAUAAUUAAAUAAUGAAGCGUGUCAAAUCUAACGUAUAUAUAUUAAUGAUAUAGAUAGACAUAGUUUUAAAAAACUAAUUAAUGUAUAUUUAUGUACUGUUAUGAAUAUGGAAAGUCAAGCCUACACUUUACAUUAUCCUUAAUUUUUUCUCUCAGUUAAAUUCUACAAAUAUUGUACAAUGAUUGGGUAAGAACUCUAAAUUAAGAAUAAAUUAUUGUCACAAAUAAUUUUAAAAAAUAUUUUAUUUCAUCUUAAACCUUUAAUGUAAGUAAAUAUAUAUAUAUGUGUGUGUGUGUGUGCAUAUUUUGCAAGGUAUAGAUAAUUGUUAGUAUAUGGAGACAAGUCUUUUAAGGUAGGACCUAGGAAAAUUUAUAACUUACUACAUUGGGGAGUUUUUAUUCCUUUUUAUAAUUGGCUCAUAUUGAUACAUUCUUACACAAAAUAUUACCAUUGACAUAUUUUACUACAAUUGGUUUAGAACAUUUGUUAGGAAAAAAAAAAGAAAAGAAAACAUUCAUUGGAUGUAGCUCUCCCUCGUAUGCUUUUUUCUCCAAAUAUUCCUGCGUCCACAGAAACAAGUCAGAGCACGCCGGUUGUUUUCCCGGCGUAAACCCUCUGACGCUCAAGUCAGAUAUGAAGGCUCUGGGAAUGCUUGCCACAGAUCUUAUGGUUUUUCUGUAGUUUCUAUUCUUUAGAGUUUCAUUUAUCUCUGAAUAUAAUCUCAAAAAUGCUAACCCUUUUACCUUCCUUGGCUACCUUUUUAUAGGCUUCCUCUGAAUCCCGGUCUUCCGUAGUCCACGCCCGUUAUUCUCCCCACCCUCGGAUGUGGAUGCCCCAUUAUCGCCAUUGUGGGCGAAUGGAGAUGGACUUCGUGCCUUGAUUCUCGGAUAGGAAUGCACGUCUUGCCAACUGUCGUUGACUGGGUCUCCUCGCCUCUCGACCUCUAGCCGGAAUGGCCUUAUGCCUCUAACAAGAGUUCGACCUCGUGAAUGGCAUACUCGCGGACGAGCCGAAUAUUUCUGCUCAUGUUCCCCUGCUACCUGGCUCUUACAGGACAUACCUGUUCGCAGAACUCCGCCAUCAAAUAUCUGCUCAUCACGUCUGGUCUCGUUGAAGUAUUUCCCUCAAACAACAUAUUUUACUACAAUUAGUUUAGAACAUUUGUUAGGAAAAAAAAAGAAAAGAAAACAUUCCUUGGAUGUAGCUCUCCUGACUAUUUAAAUCUUUUAAGGAAAAAAAGAAAAAAGAAAAACUGACACAUUCAAAUCUUGAAGCAAUUACAUUAAAACCUCUCCAUAAUGAUAGGAAUAAUCUCCAUUUAGUAAUAAAAAAUUUUGUUCGCAAUCUAGGCAGAGUUAUAAAUAAGAAUAAAAUCCUCAUUGUAAUAAGUUGUAUUUAUUAUGGAUCCCAUCCUAAGGAACUUGUCUCUAUAUAGUAAUAAUUAUUUGCAUAUUAUAAAUAUAUAUGUUGCAUUAGAUUAAAUGAACUUGUCUCCACAUACUACUUAGACAAUGAGAGAAAGUUAUUAAAGAGAACACAAAUAUUUAGAGAUUUUUAAGAUUACUUUGCAUGUUUAUAACAAUAAUACAUUGAUAUAUGUAUUAGUUUUUUGAUAUAUUAGAUUUGACAUGCUCUAUUAAUAAAUUAUUAAUACGAUGCAAACUUCAUCUCUCUAUCCUUGCAAUAAAAGUAACUAAGUUAUAACAAUAAUUAUUAAUAAAUUAUUAAUACGAUGCGUACUUCAUCUCUAUAUCCUUGCAAUAAAAGUAACUAAGUUAUAACGAUAAUUUUUGUAACUACAUGCUUAUUAGGUUUUAACUACUUCAUAAUAAUAAAUUAAUUUCGUCCUAAUAUUAUAAUUAUGUAGAGUUGUAGUGUAUAGACACACCCAAUUUAAAUAGUAAAUCAAAUAAAAUUGUCCCCACAAAAAAGAAAAAAGGGGUAAAGGAUUGUUAUUUCUUCAAACAUUAGGAGCACGUUUGUUCAAGUGCGAUGCCUUUCUUUUGAAGGCAACGUCAGUGGGUACCCAAUAGGACGUGUGUAAAUCUUUCCAAAAUUUCUCCGGUAUAACGGACAGAGAUCAUUACUUUUCUCUUCCAUAGACCACAGCAGCUUCAGUUAAUCAGACUCAAUCAAUUUUCUUGGUUUCUUCGCUUAUCAAAAUUCCAAAAUAUGGGUAGCAUAUUUCAAAUCACAUGCGAUGGUGCUUUUUUCAAUCGUUGCUUGGAUUGCUUUCUUGGAAAAGUAGCAAACACAAGUAAGCUCCAAGAUAACCUUGUUGCCUUGGAGACUGAAUUGGGAAAACUAAUCGUAGCAAAGAACGAUGUGAUGAUGAGGAUUGUCAAUGCUGAACGGCAACAACUGAGAACGCUGGACCAAGUGCAAGUGUGGCUUUCGAGGGUGGAAGCUGUUAAAACUGAAGCUGAUGAAUUGAUAAGACACGGCUCUCAAGAAAUUGACAAAUUAUGUGUUGGAGGCUACUGUUCCAAGCACUGCGCGUCAAGCUACAAGUUCGGGAAACAAGUGGCUAAAAAGCUACGGGAUGUGCAGACUUUAAUCGGCGAAGGAGUUUUUGCGGCGGUGGCUACUGAGGUGGUGCCUGAGAGAGCUCCAGAACCUGUAGCAGAUGAAAGACCCACUGUGCCAACAAUAGUAGGCUUGCAAUCACAACUUGAACAAGUUUGGAGAUGUCUUGUAGAAGAAUCAGUGGGAAUCAUUGGCCUAUAUGGUAUGGGCGGUGUUGGUAAAACUACACUAUUGACCCAUAUCAACAAUAAAUUUCUUGAGAGUCGAACCAGUUUUGAUUGUGUGAUUUGGGCCGUAGUUUCAAAGGACUUGCAACUCGAAAAAAUUCAAGAAGAUAUUGGGAAAAAGAUCGGUUUGGUUGAUGAUUCAUGGAAGAGUAAAAGUGUAGAGGAGAAAGCUCUCGACAUCUUCCGGAGUUUAAGAGAGAAGAGAAUUGUAUUGUUGUUAGAUGAUAUAUGGGAGCGGGUUGAUUUAACAAAAGUGGGCAUUCCACUUUCGGGACCAAAGAAUACUACCUCAAAAGUCGUAUUCACAACCCGUUUCAUCGAUGUUUGUGGUAGCAUGGAAGCUGACAAGAAGUUCCAAGUGGCAUGCUUAUCAGAAGAGCAUGCUUGGGAACUGUUUCGAAAAAAAGUUGGGGAAGAAACUCUUGAGAGUGAUCAUGAUAUCGUUGAGCUAGCCCAAACUGUGGCCAAAGAGUGUGGUGGUUUGCCACUCGCACUUAUUACUAUUGGUCGAGCUAUGGCCUGCAAAAGGACAGCCGAGGAGUGGAGACACGCAGUUGAAGUGCUAAGAAGAUCAGCUUCUGAGUUUGCAGGUUUGGGAAAAGAGGUGUAUCCUCUUUUAAAGUUUAGCUAUGAUAGUUUGCAGAAUGAGACGAUUAAAUCUUGUUUCUUAUAUUGUUGUUUAUAUCCCGAGGAUUAUGGCAUUCUUAAAUGGGACUUGAUUGAUUGUUGGAUUGGUGAGGGAUUCUUAGAGGAAUCUGACAGGUUUGGUGCAGAAAACCAAGGAUACUACAUUGUGGGCACUCUUGUUCAUGCGUGUUUACUAGAAGAGAUAGAAGAUGAUAAAGUAAAAAUGCAUGACGUUGUUCGUGAUAUGGCUUUAUGGAUAGCUUGUGAAAUUGAGAAGGAGAAGAGAAACUUUUUGGUUUGUGCAGGUGCUGGAGUAGGAGCGGUACCAGAUGUUGAAGGAUGGGAAAAUGUGAGAAGAUUGUCAUUGAUGCAAAACCAAAUUGAAAUUCUGUCAGAGGUUCCCACAUGCCCUCAUCUCCUCACUUUAUUUCUUGACUUUAAUUAUAAAUUGGAGAUGAUCACUGAUGGCUUCUUCCAAUGUAUGCCUUCUCUCAAAGUUUUGAAGAUGUCAAACUGUGGGCAUGUCAAAGUUUUGAAAUUACCUUUUGGGAUGUCAAAGUUGGGUUCACUACAACUUCUUGAUAUUUCACAUACCGGCAUAAGAGAGUUACCAGAAGAGUUAAAGUUGUUGGUAAAUCUGAAAUGUUUGAAUUUGAGGUGGACACAUAUGUUAAAUAAAAUUCCACGGCAGCUAAUAUCAAAUUCUUCAUGGUUACGUGUGUUGAGAAUGUUCGCUAUUGGCUUUGAAAAUUCUAAAGAACCAUCAGAAGACAGCGUUUUAAUUGGUGGGGGUGAAGUUUUAGUACAGGAAUUGCUCGGUUUGAAAUAUUUAGAGGUAUUGGAGUUGACCUUGCGAAGUUAUCAUGCUCUCCAUUCUUUUUUGAGCUCAAAUAAGUUAAAAAGUUGUAUUCGAUCUCUUUUCCUCAAUAAGCUGGGAGAUACAAAGUCGAUUGAUGCUACGGCUUUGGCAGAUCUAAAGCAUCUCAAUGAAUUAUAUAUUCUUUUUUUUNNNNNNNNNNNNNNNNNNNNNNNNNNNNNNNNNNNNNNNNNNNNNNNNNNNNNNNNNNNNNNNNNNNNNNNNNNNNNNNNNNNNNNNNNNNNNNNNNNNNNNNNNNNNNNNNNNNNNNNNNNNNNNNNNNNNNNNNNNNNNNNNNNNUCUUUCGCUAUACGGUUGUAAUGCUGUGGAAGAAAUAAUCAGCGUUGGGAAAUUUGCUGAGGUUCCUGAGAUGAUGGGACAUAUAAGCCCUUUUCAGAAUCUCCAAAAGCUUGAUUUAUCACAUUUGCCAGCUUUGAAGAGCAUCUACUGGAAGCCAUUGCCUUUCGCUCAUCUGAAAGAAAUGGUGGUGCAUUGGUGUGAUCGGCUUAAAAAGCUUCCGCUCGAUUCCAACAGUGCAAAAGAGCGUAAAUUUGUUAUUCGUGGAAGAGCAGACUGGUGGAACCGUCUUCAAUGGGAGGAUGAAGCCACUCAAAUUGCUUUCCAUUCCUGUUUCCACCUAAUGAAAUAUAAAUUCCUUAGCGGUGGUUGCAAAAUUUGAUUUCUAGUGAGUGCUUUUUUCUUAAACUCUUACAUUUAUUUCAGAUUCGUUUUUUGUCUCCUGCAAAUCACAAUUAAAUGCUGAAUUAUAUGGAGUCAAUGCUUUAGAAAAUUUUCAAGGCACUGCCAUUUCCUUUUUUCCAUUUUUUUUUGGGUCGAAUUGAUGCUCUGGCUUUUUACUUUUUGUUGUCAAAUUUUGCUCUGUUUUUUCAAGUUGAUGCUUGAAUAGUUGAAUUCAAUUAAUGCUCACAUAAAUUUGUUUAGUUGCCGUAAAAGGAUAUAAUUAGACUGAAGUACACACUUCUAGAAUGAAUACAAAAUGUUAAGUAUACUAGCCCUCUUUACAGAAAAUCAAAUGAAAAUCAAUUUUUUGGGGCUUUGAUUUUCUAUGGUCUAUUAUAUACUCUUUUUAAUAUCUUCUGUUCUAACUAUAACCAAAUCCUUUGUUCAAGGAUUUUUAUUUGGGGUAUUGAUAACUAUCCACCAAAAGAGUGAACACUUGGAUGCUGCUCAAGGAUCUCUAAUCAAUAGCUGGAAGCAACUGAGAAGGCGGUCGCUGCUGUUUACAAAGUGAUGCAGUAUUUGCCAUUCAUCUUAAUAAUUAUGAAGCUUUGGUAAAAUUUUCAAACAAAAUUGAACAUGUUGUUUGAGAUUUGGUUCAUGAUUUUGGAUGAAUAUCGUUGUUCCGUUUGAGUUGGAUGUGAAUUCAAAAUCUAUAUAUUCUUUGGUUUUCAAGUCUGAACUCAAUUUCUUUUUCUCAAGCAUGUUAUGCAGAAAUGAUUUUUACUAAAUCAUUUUUGAUGAAUUGUUUAAAUUAAACACUUGGAAUAAGAAUUGUAAACGUUUAUCAUAAGCAUGCUAAUAUGAUAAAUUGUUUUAUGAACGACUAAUUAAUUAAUCAAUUAAUAUUAAAUUAUAUAUUAAUCAAUUAGAUAUGCGUUACAUGUCAUGUUUAAAAACUAUUUAUUUAUAUUUCAAACAAAUUUGACUGGAUGUUGUGUAGGUAAUACUACAUAAUUUCAAAACAAAAAAAAGUAAUAAAAACACGUUAAAUUUUGUUUUUAUGAAGAAAAAUUUAAAAUUUUAUUAAAUAGGUGAAAAUAAUAAAUGGAUUCGUGUAUGGUUUGAGAUUCUUGACAUAAUUAUGAAAUAAGCCGGAUUCGACUUAGUUCAAUUUUGACGCGAUAAGAAGACGACACCACACAAACACACGACAAGAACCGUUACCUGAGAAGAUUGCCAUCAGGAAUUUUGAAAUUGAUUUCACUACAAUAUCUUAAUCUUUCAGAUACUCCCAUCACUGAGCUGCCAUAAGAGCUAAAAGCCUUGGUAAAUCUUAAGUGUUUGAACUGUACACAAAUUAUCUCUCUACAAUUCAAAAACAACUGAUUUGUUACUUUUCAAUGCUACAUGUUCUGCGAAUAUUGAGUUGUGGUUAUCUUGUUGAAAUAUCAGAAAAUAGAGUUCUAUUUGGUGGUAGUGAAUUGUUGGUUGGGGAGUUACCUAGUUUAAAACGUUUAAAUGUAUUAAGCAUCACCUUACAAGGUUUUUCUGCUGUCCAAAAACUUAUGAGCUCUCAAAAGUUUCAAAGCUGUACAAAAUGUUUGGAGCUUAUAGACUGUGAUGAUUCAAAGUCUUUUGCCUUGGCAGAGUUGAAGCAUCUCGAGAAACUAGUUUUUCGAAUUGUGGAAGAGUUUAAGUUCUGCUGUGUUGAAGUUGGAAAAGCUCAAGAAUGUUUUCGUUUGAACAGCUUUCCCCGAGGUAAUAUAAAGGCUUGUCAUAAAUUGAGGGACGUGACAUGGCUUGUAUUUGCUCCAAAUCUUACGGUUAUUCAAUAGAAAAAUAUAUGCAGAUGGAAGUAAUAAUCAGUGCAAGGAAAUUGGGUGAAGUUCCAGGGAUGAUGGCAGAUCUAAACCCUUUUGCAAAACUCCAGUAUCUUCGUCUGCGAGUUCUACCAAAAUUAAAAAGCGUCUAUUGGAAUGAGUCACCCUUUCCACAUGUCAGGGAAAUUAUUGUAUCUGAAUGCCCAAUUCUCAAGAAGCUUUCACUCGGUUUUAACAAUGCAAAGGAAUCUAAAAUUGUCAUUUAUUACAUGUUUAUAUCUAACUUUUGUUUUCCUUUAUGGUUAAAUUUUACUUUAUAUAUGUUGUUAUACGGUGACAUUCUCGCAUCAAUUGUUAGCUUUUUAAUUCUCUUCUCCCAUUAAUUGCCCUUCUGAUCAUGUAAGAUAUGCCGAUGUCAAAGAGUAGUAAGUUGGGAUACAAAUGUAAGAAUUAACCAGAUGACAUGUUGUUUUGAAGCUCUCGGAGAAGGACUAAUUAUGUCAUUCAAAGCAUCCAAUUUCGCUACUUUUUUUUUCAUUUGUUGCUUUUUCUAUUUUUAGAGAGCUUGAUUGUCAGUUGUCGUAAUGUAAUGUUUUAGUGUAGAAAAAUGAUAUUCGGCCAAGACAUCAAUAGGAGGGCACAUUGUGCAUGCACACUAGUGGAUGAUUUCGGCAUGCCGAAUCCAAUUAGUGUGGAUAACCCUUUAUAAGCAAUUGGCUUCUCUCAUACCAGAGCAAUGUAGAAUAUAUUUAUAAACUGUGGAUUACUCUUUAUUAGGCUUCUUCUAUACUCGAGCAAUGUGGAAUACCUUUAUAAGCAAUAAGCUUCUCCCCUACACUUUAUGUUAAUAAUAAUAAUAAUAAAAUAAAUCCAUUUUAAAAUAGACUUUUUUUUUCUUUUUCUAUAUAAACAAAAUGCAUUCUUCAAAUCAAUAGUGGGUGGAAGAAGUGAGUAGAGAAGAACUAGUCCCCUUUCAUUCCCCUAAAACCUCACCGAAACCUCUCUUGUGAACUUCUCAGAUUCUCUCUCAAUAUUUCUUAUGAUCUCGUUUUUGAUAGAAUCACUUCUUUUGCAUGUUGCAUUUGGUGUGUCUUUUUUGGGUAAUAUCUUAUCUGGAAUGCUGUCAUGAUCAAUAGAACAAGUAAUCAAUUUUUGGCUUGACGGAAGUCGAUUUAUUUAUUUACUAUUAUUUUUAUUUGAAAUUUUGUACAAUUGUGUUUCAUUCAUUUCUUUCCUUUUUUUUUAAUAUUUAUUAUGUAUAAUUGUGUUUCAUUUGAUAUUGAUCAUACUCUAGAUAACUAUGUGAUUGUAGCUGGGGAUUUUAAGUUUUGUGAAUUCAAGAAACUGUCAAAAUGCUAGUGAAAUUGGGACCUUUAUUCAUAAGCUUGUGGUUUUGAAAAGUAGCCCGGUUCAACUGAUGAAGUUCCUUUUUGGGAUUCUUUUUUUUCCUAGGCUGCAAUUCGGAUAUGUACCUGAUAGACAAUCUUUUGUGGGUUUAGCAUAUCUUCUCGGAUUUUGUCUUUUAUUCCUCGAUUUUAUAAUUACACACCAUGAAUGUUGAGUGAUUGUAUAGAAAAUUUGUGUUAUAACCAAAGCAUUGUGAAGGAGUUAAGUUAGUGGCUUCUGUUUUAUUGGCAUUGAUUGGGUAGAUUACGUGUUACAGUGAUUCAAUUUGUGAUCCAAACUUUGUUUAAAUUUCUGUUUUCCCAAAUUAUUUAUGUCAAAUUCAAAACCAGAAGCAUGUGCUGAUUUUUUCUUUUUGUAUUAAUCUGUGAAGUUUAUUUGGAAAGGAAGUAUCUGGGUCUAAUGGAUUAAAUUAUGUAAGUGGCAGAAAUUCCUACACACAUAAAUAUGCAUAAAUACAAAAGUAUACACAAAAAAAUGCACACACUCAUACAUCCAGUCAAUAUAGUUAAUGUAAGAGCACAUACCGGUUUGGUUAUCUUGCUGCAAGUGCACCGCAUUAGCCUUGCAUUCUGGUGCCAACUCCUCCGGCGGUUCACUCACUACCUUUCCCAAUGCUUUGGACCUCCAUUCGGUCUCCAUCAGAUUUCUCAGGAGCACUAAAUAAAGCAGCUAAAACUUGCUUCUGUAGUUCAUUUCUGUCUUUCGGGUGUCUAGGCAAUUUUCCUUCGUCGGUAUUUCGAUCUUCCUUUACAUGACUGAGGAAAUACAGUCAAAAGCUAAUCAAGUAACCAUAUAUGGAUGAGAAAUCCCUCCACCCCCCUUCCAAAACAAAUUCUAAGAAAUAUCAGAAUUCUUUCAAUAAAAACCCUUCCCCCCAUGCUGUGCCUGCUGAAUGAAAUAUAUUAAUCUUACGAGAAGUUGAGAAAAUAAAUUAAAGAACAUACCCUCCGGAAGAAUUCAAUUGUUGCAAUUUUCUUUCACGUGGAGGUCCUCCAAAGUUAGAGCACAUAUCCGUACACUGUUUAUGAAAUCAUAAUAACAGGGGACCAGAUAUUAAUAACAAAUCUUGACACCUAAAAGUCAACUGUGAUGAAAAACAUUAAAAAGAAUAUGAACUUGUUAUCUUGGAAGAAGAUAAUUUAAGAUAUAGCAAACUUGGCACAUUCAUAUAUGAACAGAAGGAAUUUGUAGACGUUUUAAAGCCAUAAUCGUUUAAUAAUCAUGAACCAAGCAAUAAUAGAUGAUUAUUAUGUUGGGUGCAAGCGGAAGUGCAGAAAAAUUUUUAUUUAAGAUCAGAGUAUUUUGCUGGAAAUUUCUGAAACUUUAUUGCUUAAUUCAUUUUUUCGUUUCUCUCUUACUUUUCAUACAACCAGAGUUCUAUAUUUAUAUGCAUUAUAGACAACUCUAGAGAUUACAUUAAUCAUGCUUUACAUUUCCAAAGCCACAUUGCAAACAUCAAUUCUACCCUUUACUUCACGUUGAAAAACAAACCAAAUAAUCCUUCAAACUUCUUGCUCAAUUUACUAGAUUACUAAUUAUAUCUCAACACCCCCUCUUAAUUAGUAAUCUUCAAUUGCUUCUUGAAUUUUUCAAACUUCUCAAUAAUGAUUGCUUUGGUCAGAAAAUCUGCUGGCUGCUCAUUAGUGCUGAUAAACUCCAUAUUAACUUCUCCUUUGCUUACUAAGUCACGGAUGUAGUGAUAACGCAGCUCAAUGUGCUUAGAUUUAGCAUGAAAUACGAGGUUCUUUGUUAGAGCAAUGGCUGACAUGUUGUCACAAUAAAUUGUUGUUGCAGCAUCUUGAUUGAACUGCAAAUCCUUGAGAAUUCUUCUAAGCCAAACGGCUUCACAAGCUGAUUCAGUUGCUGCAAUGUACUCUGCCUCGGCUGAGGAUAAAGCUACUGACUUCUGCUUCCUUGAGCUCCAUGAAAUCACAUUUGUACCAAGACAAAAUAAAUAACCUGAUGUGCUUUUUCUGUCAUCAAGGGAACCAGCCCAGUCACUGUCAGUAAAACCAACAAGCUUGCAAUUGUCUUCUUUUUCAUACAUGAUCCCCUGCUUUUUUGUUCCUUGAAGAUACCUUAAGAUUCUCUUUGCUGCAAUAUAAUGGGACUUCCUUGGAUCAUUCAUAAAUCUAGAAAGAACACUAACUGAGUGCAAAAUGUCAGGUCUUGAGUUGGUUAGAUAAAUCAACGAACCAACCAAGCUUCUAUAGAUUCUUGCGUCAGCCUUUUCUUCUUUUUCAUCAUGUUUCAAUUUUUCAUUCAAACCCAUAGGAGUAGGUGCUGGUUUGCAUUUGAACAUGUGGAAUUUCUUCAACAAAUCUUCUACGUAUUUUUCUUGACAAAAGAAGAUUUUUCCUCUGGCUUGCUUCACUUGAAUGCCAAGAAAAUACUUCAUUAAGCCCAAGUCAGUCAUCUCAAAUUCAUCUAGCAUGCUUUUUUUAAACUCUUCCACCAUUUUCAGAUUAGUGCCACAAUAAAUUAGAUCAUCAACAUAAAGGCAAACAAUAAGGAAAUCAGUACCUUCCUUUUUGACAUAAAGAGAAGGUUCACUUGAGCUUCUGUCAAAUCCAUUUUUAACGAAAUAUCUAUCAAUUCUGCUAUUCCACGCUCGAGGGGCUUGCUUCAAGCCAUACAAGGCUUUUCGGAGUUGAUAAACUUUGUUUUCUUCACCUUUCACUUCAUAUCCUUUAGGUUGCUCAACAUAAACCUCUUCUUCAAUUUCACCAUUUAGAAAUGCCGAUUUUACAUCUAGUUGAAACACAUGUAAUUCCAUUUGGGCUGCCAAGGCAAGAACAGUUCGAAUAGUCUCCAUUCGAGCUACGGGAGCAAACGUUUCUGUAAAAUCAACUCCAGGCAGCUGAGAGUAUCCUUUGGCAACGAGCCGCGCCUUAUAUUUUUUAACUGAACCAUCUUCAUUGUACUUGAUUUUGAAGAUCCAUUUCAGCCCAAUUGUUUCUUUUCCAUUUGGCAAAUUAACCAUCUCCCAAGUUUUAUUUUUCACAAUGGUGGCCAUUUCCUCGUUCAUUGCUUGGAUCCAAUUUUCAUUUCUUGAGGCCUCCUCAAAGUCUUGAGGCUCACAAGAAAAUAAAGCAAGUUCACAUGACUCAUAAAUUUCUCUCAUUGACUUUAUCUUCCUUGGAGGGCUUUCAUCAUCCGAAGAACUUUCUGCUGCUGAAUUUGGAGAAUUUGGUUCCAAAUUAUUUUGCUGUGAAGAAUUUGGUGGAGAUACAGGAGCUUCGAAAAAGCUAGAUGCUUGAGAUUGAUCUUUUUCCCACUGCCAAGCUGAUGCCUCAUCAAAUACAACAUCUCUUGAGAUAACAAGCUUAUUUGUUGUAGGAUUCAACAACCGAUACCCUUUAGACUCAUCACUAUAGCCAAUAAACAAAUAUUUUUCACCUUUUUCAUCAAACUUCUCUCUGUUUUGAGCUAGAAUAAGAGCAUAAGCAAUACUCCCAAAAAUCUUCAAGUGAUCAACAGUUGGCUUUCGGUUGUGCCAAGCUUCAAAUGGAGUUUUGUCUCUAACAGCUUUUGUAGGAGACCUGUUGAGGAUGUACACAGCUGUAUGACAUGCUUCUGCCCAUAAGUUGUUAGGAAUGCCUUUGCCUUUUAACAUGCUUCUUGCCAUCUCUACAAUGGUACGGUUCUUCCGUUCUGCAACUCCGUUUUGUUGUGGACUUCGGCUGACAGUAAGUUGUCUUUGAAUUCCAUUAUCCCUGCAAUAAUUCAUGAAUGGAGUGUAGAUAAAUUCACCACCACGAUCAGUUCUCAAGGUCUUCAUUUUGCAUCCACUUUGCCUUUCUGCAAGAGCUUUAAACUGAAGAAAAGUUGAGAAAGCUUCUGAUUUUUCAUUCAAAAAAUAAAUCCACAUCAUCCUUGUAUAGUCAUCAACAAAAAGAAUGAAAUAUCUCCUGUUAUUGAGAGAGAGAGUCCUUGUAGGACCACAAAUAUCAGCAUGCACCAACUCCAACGGAGCUUUGGCUCUCCAUGAAUUUUUAGGAAAUGGAAGUCUAUGCAUUUUUCCAUAUAUACAGCCCUCGCAAACUUUUUCAUAUCUUCCAACAUCAGGUAAGCCAAUCACCAUGUUCUUUUGCUUGAGCAAAUUCAGCCCUUUAUAGUUUAAAUGACCAUAUCUGAGAUGCCAUAAAUUUGACAAAUCUGAAUUUUCAGUUUUGAGAGCAACAUUCUCAUCAAGUGGCAUAACAAGAGGAAAAACUUUGUUCUUUGACAUUUCAACAACGGCCACUGUAUGAUUAUUAGUUUUAUCAAUGAUUUUGCAUUUUUCAUCAUCAAAAUAAAUUGAAAAACCCUUUUGAAUUAGCUGCCCCACACUCAAGAGGUUUUGAGUUAAAUUUGGAACAUAAAGAACGUCAUAAAUGAGCUUUUUGUUACCUCCCUUUGUAUGGACAGCAAUAGUGCCUUUUCCCACAGCUUUCUGCAUCUUUCCAUCUCCAAGCUUCACUUGCGAAUUAAAACUUUGGUCAAGGUUGAUGAAAAUGUCACGUUCUCCAGUCAUGUGGUUGCUACAACCGCUAUCCAAGUACCACAAAUUAUAUGAUUCACGUUCAGCACCUUUACUUGAAUAAAACAAGUAAUCUCCAUCACAUUCUUUUGUAAAAUUUGCCUCAUUUUUGCCUUUCUUAUUUUGAUACCAGCAAUCCCUUUGAGAAUGGUUAGGAAUGCGACACCUUGUGCAUUUAUAACGACAAUCUUUUGAUUCAUGAUUAGACCGAUUACAAAUGAUGCACUGAGAAUCUGAAUUUUGCUGUGAAUUCCCUCUGUCAUUUUUCCACUUGUUGCGGUUGUCGUUCUGUUCUCUUUGCCCUAUGCCACGCUGCUCGUUUCUUUGAGACGAGCCUCCGUUCUUCUGGUCUUUCUUGCUGCUUUUAUUCUGAUCUGAAUUAUUAAUCUUUGACUGAAAAGCUUGCUCUGUAGGCUGACUUGAAGGUCGAUUGAUUCUUUGCUCAUGAGACCGUAAUGAUCCUGACAAAUCUGAAAAAGUCAUCUUGGACAAAUCCUUUGAUUCUUCAAUGGCUGCUGCUACAUGAUCAAACUUUGGAGGAAGACAUCUCAGCACCUUUUCAUUCACCUUCUUGUCUUCAAUGGAGUCCCCACAACCUUUAAUCUGGUUCACAAUCUCAGUAACUCUACUGCAAAAAUCCUGAAUUCCUUCUCUGUCUUUCAUUGAUAAAUUAUCGAACUCUUUCCACAAAGUCUGUAACUUGAUGGUGACUGCCUUUUCAGAACCUUGAAAUUCUUGUUUUAGGAUUUUCCAAGCAUUUUUGGCCUUUUUGACACCAAAUAUUCUGGGGAAAAUUGACUUACUAACACCUUGCUGGAUAUAUCGAAGUGUCGUGGCAUUUCUCUGUAUGUUUUCUUUGUACUGCUGUUGAUGUGCUGGAGUCCAAUCUGAAGAACUUGCAGAUUCUGGUGGUUCAGCAUAUCCAUCUUCAACAACAUCCCAUAAAUUUUGAGAGAGGAAAAAGGUUUCCAUUUGAUUACUCCAAUAUUCAUAAUGUACCCCUUCAAAUAUUGGAACUUGACUGGGAGCAUAUGAGAAUAAUGUGGGUAGGGUAUUUGAUGUCAUUUUGAGGGUGUUUUGGAAAAGCUCUGAUACCAAAUUUGUUGGGUGCAAGCGGAAGUGCAGAAAAAUUUUUAUUUAAGAACAGAGUAUUUUGCUGGAAAUUUCUGAAACUUUAUUGCUUAAUUCAUUUUUUCGUUUCUCUCUUACUUUUCAUACAACCAGAGUUCUAUAUUUAUAUGCAUUAUAGACAACUCUAGAGAUUACAUUAAUCAUGCUUUACAUUUCCAAAGCCACAUUGCAAACAUCAAUUCUACCCUUUACUUUACGUUGAAAAACAAACCAAAUAACCCUUCAAACUUCUUGCUCAAUUUACUAGAUUACUAAUUAUAUCUCAACAUAUUAUUCCGUUUCUUCUAAGCUACGCAUACUUGCACAUCAGAAUAAAGUGAUAUACAAUGGUUGUGUGCAGACACAAACGCAUGAUCAACAGGAAAAAUCAUCUGAACAUUUGUAUUACUGAUUUGGCAUAUAAGAUUCUCAUAAUAGUUCAAAAUACAAAUAAAUGAAUAUAUAUAUAUUCCCCACCGGAAUCACCCCCUGGAUCCUCACUCAAGGUGUCUUCCGAGCCAGAAGAUCCCUCCUCACCACUAUUUCCGCUCGUGGAGGUUGUUUGGGGGGACAUCCUCCUAGCGCUAGUCCCAACACUAGACCUAAUGGGUUCUAAGGGGAUCCCGGGGUCAAAAGCAGGAUCGGUGAGCAGACUAGACAAGAAACCUAAUUCGUCGUCAUCAAUCUCAACGAUUUUCUCUUUACCCUUCGACAUUCCCUAAACUAUAAUCAGAACACCACCACCAACUACAACCCCAAGCAAAGCACAGAGAAAAGAAAUUAUCUACAACUAACCAAGACCGAGAAAAUAGAAGAAAUACCUGAAGCAGGGAUUCGAUCAGAGAGAGAUAGGGAUGAAAGCUUUAAUGCCGAGGUUCAUUCGCCGGAGAGACAAGAAGGGAGAAAAUGACGAGUUCGUGUUUGAGGAUUUUGGGUUUUCUUACUGAGAAGCAAACUCUUGGGCUGCCAGCAUUUAAUGACACAUAUUCCGAGAAUCUUGCAACCGUAGGUUUGAAAUUCAAAUGGAGGGGUGGAUUUCUGCCACAUCACUUCAUCUGCAAUUAAAUGCGACACGACUCUUGGCAGUCUUUUCCAGUCCCACGCGAGCAAGAACCGAUUGAGUUUCUACUGCUGGUCCAUUACAUUACCCAACACCAGAAACUGGGGGACUGGUGUUUGAGGGAAAUACUUCGACGAGACCAGACGUGAUGAGCAGAUAUUUGAUGGCAGAGUUCUGCAAACAGGUGUGUCUUGUAAGAGCCAGGUAGCAGGGGAACAGGAGUAGGAAUAUUCUGCUCGUCCACGAAUAUGCCAUUCACGAGGUCAAACUCCUGUUAGAGGCAUAAGGCCAUUCCUGCUAGAGGUCGAGAAGCGAGGAGACCCGGUCAACGACAGUUGGCAAGACGUGCAUUCCUAUCCGAGAAUCAAGGCACAAAGUCCAUCUCCAUUCGCCCACAAUGGCGAUAAUGGGGCAUCCAUAUCCCGGGGGGGGGAGAAUAAGGGGCGUGGACUACGGAAGAUCGGGAUUCAGAGGAAGCUUAUAAAAAGGUAGCCAACGAAGGUAAAAGGGUUAGAAUUUUUGAGAUUGCAACUAAGAAAAGAGAGCUCUAAGAACUGAAACUAAAGAGAAGCCAUAAGAUUCGUGGCAAACAUUCCCAGAACCUUCAUAUCUGACUUGAGCGUCGGAGGAUUUACGCCGGGAAAACGACCGGCGCACCCUGACCUGCUUUUGUGUUCGCAUGAAUUUUUGGGGAAGAAACCUUACGAGGAGAGAUCCUGGUCAUGGUAGAGUUGGUCGAGCAGAGGUCCUGGUCUUGGUAGAGAAGGCAACCAGAAUCUCGCAUCAACAAUUAUUUUACUUGAAAUUAUGUACAAUUGCAUUUCAUUCAUUUCUCUCUCUCUUUUUCUUUUUUCCCCCCAUAUAUUUUUUAUGUAUAAUUGCGUUUCAUUUAAUAUUGAUCAUACUGUAGGUAACCAUGUGAUUGUAGAUGGGGAUUUCAAGUUUGUUGAAUAUUCAUGUAAGUGAAGUAACCGUCACAAUACUAGUGAAAUUGGGAGCUUUAUUCAUGAGUUUGUGGUUUUGAAAAGUACCACAGUUCAGCUGAUGAAGGCUUCUUUUUGGGAUUCUUCUUUUCCUAGGCUGCAAUUAGGAUAUGUACAUGAUAGACAAUCUUUUGUUGGUUUGGCAUAUCUUCGCUGAUUUUGUCUUUUAUUCCCCAAUUUUAUAAUUACACACCAUGAAUGUUGGGUGAUUGCAUAGAAAAUUUGUGUUAUAACAAAAACAUUGUGAAGGAGUUUCUGUGCUAAUAGUUAGUGGCUUCUGUUUUAUUGGCAUUGAUUGGGUAGAUUACGUGUUACAGUGAUUCAAUUUGUGUUCCAAACUUUGCUUUAAUUUUCUGUUUUCCCCAACUAUUUAUGUCAAAUUUAAAUCCAGAAGCAUGUACUGAUUUUUUCUUUUUGUAUUAAUUUGUGAAGUUUAUUUGGAAUGGAAGUAACUGGGUCGGGUCUAAUGGAUUAAAUUAUGACAUUGAGGGGAAGGCACUAAAAGGGUUUGCUUGACACAUUUGGUUCUGUGUCUGCAAGAAAUAGCUUUUGCUUAUUGCAAUGCAGGGGGAAAUCCCGAUUUGGCUGGUGAAUUUCUCUGCAACAAACGGGCAAACACCUUGACUUCUUCUGUCCAUACUUCUGCUGGGGAGGCAAGGGGUAAAGAGUCUUCAAAAUCAUCAAAUAGUAACAUCUCUGAGAAUUCAUUUUAUGGAAAUGGAAAAUCUAGAGCUUCUAAUACAAAAUGGUAUCUGGUAUCAGGACGUACCGUUUCAAGUUUUCUUGGUAAAGAUUAUGUUAAACCUGCACAGCCAGCUAAUGGCACUUUUCUGGCAUCAAAGCCAUUGAAGUUGGAUCCAAGGGAGUUUCGCAUUUCUGCACUUUCAGAGAAGAAACUAAACCGAAACAAUCAAAGGAUGACCAUUUGCAGAAGGAUAUGGAAGAUUUUCUGUUUAAAUUGCUAGGAGAAGGGUUCCAGCUGUACAGGGAUGUGAUUCAGAUGGUUCAUGGUAACGUCUUAAAUAUAUUGAUGCCAAUUUAAUACAUAUUGUCCUUUUCAAUGUUCUUUCUUUCUUUCUCCUCUUUUUAUUCUUCUUCUUCUUCUUUUUUCUUUUCAUGUGCAUCUGAUCACUAAUUUGGUAUUAUUCUUAACUUGCAGAUAGUUGUGGAUAUGAUAUGCAAAAAGGUAAGGACUAUAUCUUCUUGAUGGAGGCCUCUGAUUUUUUAAAUCGCAUUUUCCUUUGUGAUUGAUAUAUCAUACCAAAGUCAAGUCUUAAAUACUGCUGUCAUAUGUUAAGGUUCAACUUCCAUUUUGAUUAACGUCGAUUUGCUACUGCUUCCAAAAGUGAGAAUGAGAUACUUUGGUUAAUUUCAGUAGUUGAACCCAAUAGAGUACUUUAUUUAGAUCUUCAUGGUUCAAAGGCCUGAAAAAACUUGCCGGUGUUUGCAAAAUGACAUUCUGUGCUUUUAUUUAGACUUAUUAUUAAAGACAACAUUUUGUUUCAGCCAAAAAUGUUUGUUUCGAUUAAAGACUGAUUUUAUAUUUCUAUUUUGUAACUUGAAAUAAUUGGUCUGCCUGUUUCUGUUGCUUGAUAACAUGAAUUUUUCCUUCUGAAGUUAAUUUGAUCAAUAAAGUAAUUCUUCGGAGAGGAUAUGCCCAUUCUAUAGUCAUUUUCUUAGCUAACAUGUUUUUUCUUCACUCUUCAGAGCAUGUCUAAACUAAUUGAUCGCUCAGCGGAGACUUUGGGUGAGAAGACAAAAUUUCUUGGUAAAUCCUCUGAAAAGGUAUGCAUAAUUCCCGAGUAUUAAAUAAUCAUUGGUCAUAAUUUUUGUACACGACUCUUUUUUUGGAGAUCGUUAAAAGUGGUUGAUGAUCUAUUUUGUAAUAUCAUAGAGGGAUCAUGAAUUCCUUUUCUUUUCUGUGGCUAGGCAACACUUUCGAGCCAAGCUAAGGAAAUCUAUUUUAGGUAAUGUGAAAACCAGUUGUAGGAUGUAAUAGUUUAUUAUGCCCUGCCAAUAACUUUUUGUAUAAUUGUCAGUUUAAUGAAUACAAGAGGAACUCUGUUGGCAAGUUCAUCCAUGAUAGAUGCUAAAAUUAUUUAUGCAUACCAGUUGCCUUAACUAAUUUUUCUCAACACUGGUAUUGAACAGGAAAAUGAAUAUGCAAUUUGUAUAUUGUGCCAUUGUGGAGAAUUUGGAUAUUCUUAUUUAAGUAACAAGGAGAGUAUUUGCCUCAUCUUUAAACAAUGAAUCUUUGAGAAAUGAGGAGUGGGUGAUUGGCAGUGUCUUCAUGUAAAUGUUCAUUUAUUUGUAUUUUGAACUAUUAUGAGAAUCUUUGUAUGCCAAAUUAGUAAUACAAAUGUUCAGAUGAUUUUUCCUGUUGAUCAUGCGUGUGUAUCUGCACACAACCAUUGUGUACCACUUUAUUCUGAUGCGCAAAUAUCUGUAGUUUAGAAGAAAAGAAAUAAUAAUCAUAUAUUAUUGCUUGGUUCAUGAUUAUUAAACGAUUAUGGCUUUAGAAAAUCCACAAAUCCUUUGUGUUCAUAUAUGAAUGUGCGAAGUUCGCUAUAUCUUAGAUUACCUUCUUCCAAGAUAACAAGUUCAUAUAUUUUUUAAUCCUUUUUCAUCACAGUUGAAUUUCAAGUGUAAGUUUUGUUAUUAAUAGCUGGUUUCCUGUUAUUAUGAUUUCAUAAACAGUAAGAGGAUAUGUGCUCUACUUUUGGAGGGCCUCCACAUGAAAGAAAAUUGCAACAAUUGAAUUCUUCCGGAGGGUAUGGUAUUUAAUUUAUUUUCUCAGCUUGUUGUAAGACUAAUAUAUUUCCUUCAGUACGCACGGCAUGGUGGGAAGGGUUUUUAUUGAAACAGUUAUGAUAUUUCUUAGACUUUGUUUUGGAAGGGGGUGGAGGGAUUUCUCAUCCAUAUAUGGUUACUUGAUUAGCUUUUGACUGUAUUGUCUCCGUCGUGCAAAGGAAAAUCCAAAUACUAACGAAGGGGAAUUGCUUAGGCACCCAAAGGACAGAAAUGAAUUACGGAAGGAAGUUUUUGCUGCUUUAUUUAGUGCUGCUGAGAAAUCUGAUGGAUUUCCUGAAAUUACGGUGAAGACGGAGUGGAGGUCCAACGCAUUAGGAAAGGUGGUGAGUGAACCGCCGGAGGAAUUAGUACCAGAACACAAGGCUAAUGUGGUGCACUGGCAGCAAGAUGACCAGACCUGUAUGUGCUCUUAUAUUAACUAUAUUGGCUGGAUUUGUGAGUGUGUACAUUUUUGUGUGUAUACUCACUUUUGGAUUUAUGCAUAUUAACGUGUGUAGGAUUCUCGAUUUCUGCCACUUACUGGAGAACUAGUGGAAAGCUUUAUACUGAUAUAUGUGCUAUAUAACUAAUGGAAACUACAAUAUGAAUAUUUUCUCUCACCUGGAGAACAGUGUAACUGAUAUAAUUUGUGGCUCUGGAAUACUGAAGAUUCUGCAAUAACUAAUGGAAAAUAUGAUAUGAAUAUUUUUUCUCACCUGGAGAACUUUGUAACAGAUACAUUUUGUGCUGGAAUGUCUAAAGAAUGCUUCAGUUUAGAUCAAAUAUCUUUUAGUUAGAAAAGAUAAAAUUCUCUGAAUCUGAAAGACUGAAACAUUUUGCAUAUUUCGUGAAAGGCAAGUAUCUGUAGAUACUAGCUCAUGCAUUGAGGUAAUAUCAAUGUUAAAGAAAAACAGCAAUAAUUUAUUAUACAGAAUUAGGUUCACUUGCUUUAAAUGCUGGUCUGAUCAACCAUAUCAACCUGUAAUGGUCCUGCAGAAAUAUAUAUACGGGGAGAAACUAGCUAAUUUUCCUUUCACUUAUGGGUUUGGUCUUUUUUUUCCCCUAUUUUUCAGCUUUCCUUCUCCUGAAGUAUGUUAACAAUUGCAGAUAAUGACGAAGAGGACCGCUUCCAGGCUCUUUGUAGAGCUGUGAUGGAAUAUAGGGGCACAAUGAAAGAAUAUUGUAAGGCUGUAUGUACUUUCUCUCAUGUCAUUUAUGUUUUCUCACACAUUUUGUAUAUGCCCUGAACAUGCAGCUUUGUAUGUGUCAAUUGCCUUUUACGUUUUAAAAGCCAUAAAGUAAGAAUACAGUUCCUUGUCAGGCUAUUGAUGCGUUCGCUCAGAAGGGUCAUGUUCAAGCAGGAAAACUUCUAGAACAGGUAAGGUUUCCAUCUACAGCCAUCCAUUGACAGCAGAUAUAUUUUCAUUAAGCAGACACUGUUAGCAUUCAAGAUGCUGGCAGAUUCACUUGAUUCUUAUUAGUUUGUUUAGUGGCAAACCAUAUAACCUGUAUUUCAAAGCCAAGUUGUGCUAUUGAUUAUGUUAACUUUAUUGUUAACAUAAAGUGAUAUGGAGGACAUAAUCAAUGUAGGAAAAUUAGGUGAAGAGAUGAUGUCAAAUCUUGAACCUCUUACAAAGCUCCAAGUUCUUUACUUGAAGAAGCUGCCAAAUUUGAAGAGCGUCUACUGGAAGGCAUUUCCAUUCCCAGAUGUAUGCAGAAUUUUUGUAUUAAUGCCCAGUUCUUAAGAAGCUGCCACUGGAUUUUCAAGGGGCGGGCCAAGGUAAAAUUCUUAUCAAGGGAAAGGAAGAUUGGUGGAAAGAACUUCAAUGGGAGGAUCAAGCAACUCAGAAUGCAUUGCUUCCAUUUUUCAAAUCAACUGACAAGUGAUUGAAGGGGGCAUCAUCAACAUCAUCAACUGGGAUGGAGAGAUUAUGGAGCAGAUCAGCAGGGUUUGUAUAUGAUCUUUGGUGGUUGCUUUCUUUUGUGAUUUUUUUUUUCUCAUUUUUUUCCCUUCCUGUCAUUUUAUCAUUUCUUUGUCUCGUUUUCUAUUGCUGAUGUUAGUGUAUGCUUACUGUUGCUUGACAAAGUUUGCUUGCUUCUUGUUUAUUAAUUUUUUUAUGGUCACAAAAUAUUACUUGUUCUAUUUGAGAGUGAUGUGAAUCAAUUUUCAAUUAUAUAUUUUAUGGUCAAUGUGAAUUCAAUUUCAUUUGUCUCCUGCAAUUAUUUAAAAAAUGCAGAGUCAUAAUAUGGAAAAGUCGACCGGCAAAAACUUUGUGAAAGCUUCGGAGUGAAACAGGGAAUUCACUUACUAACAGGGAAUUCACUUACUACUAAGGACAAUUGGUGGCGAGCUAUUCCAUUCAUUUUAUGUCCAUACAUCUAUUUAAUUAUUAAAGAUAAGUGGUCCAUUUGUAAAUUUCAGAUUGUGUCUCUCUGAAAAUAACAAUAUUUAAAAUGUCUCUUAAAUUAUUAUAAAUUUUAAUUCACUCUCGAUUUAAAAUGGAACAUGCUGAUGAAAUUUUUUUUCUUCUUAAUAAAAUUGAAAUAAAUUGUGUUUGCAGUAGUUUGAAAUAUUUUAAAGAUUAUUAUUUUAUAAGGGAGUAAUAUGAAAUGAAAUUUACUUUUCAUGCGUGAAAUGUUGAAAAAGGACACAGCAAGUGUCCCUGCUUUUAUUUUAUUUCAAAGUGGAGUCAUCUCACAUACUUUAACUCUAUCGUUACAAUUUUUCAGGUUACAUUUUUAUUUAUUUAUUUAUUUUCUUUUUUACACAUGCAUGUGGGUUACUUUUCCGUAAGCUCCUUAAUAUAUAUAUUUAACACAAAUCAUGGAAGAGAUGGGAGUAUAUCAAGAUGAUCAAAGCAUGAAACAAAAAUAUUUAAGAAGUAAAACACUGAAAAUAGAGAAGAGAUGCAAGCAAAAGAUAUUCCAAAGAAAAGCAAUCUAUCUCCUUUCGAAGAAUGUUAUGGAAGAGUUGAACCCAGCGAAGAAUGUUAUGGAAGAGCAAAUUAAUGAUAUUUUUGAUAGAGUCUAUUUGAUUAUGUAGCCUGAAUAGAUGUCUUGUUGAAAGAUAUCUCAGUGCAUUAGUUCAUCCUUGACUGUCAAUGUGUUUUUAAUGGUUUUUCCAAAUUUUUAUUAUUAUAGAUUGAUUGUAAAUUUGAUAUGAAUUUAAUGUUGAAAUGUUUUCUCUUUAGUGGAAUGAAUUUAAAAGUGCAAAAGCUUAUUGCACACAGAGAAAUAAACAUAUAUGCUUUAUAACUUUAGCAAUCGAUUCUUUUACAGCUGGAAACAGAGAUGAUGAUUAUCAUAGGGGUGAAGAAAAGGACAAAAAAUGUUAAUGGUUAACGAAAUUUCUAUGCAAAUUGAUUUUAGCAGGAAAAAAGUGAGCUAAAUGAUCUUAAUGUUCCACAAGAAAAAGCAAGAUCUUAAUGUUCCACAAAAGCGUUAUUUAUUUUUUUUUGGUGAGCCACGUGGAGCUCAAUUAUCAUUGUCUUUACUUUAAAAACGUUAUUUUAUUUUCUUUUAUUACAAAUUAAUGCUAACAAGAAAAAGCAAGAUAUAAUAUUCCACAAAAGCAAAUCGUAAUAUUCCACAGAGGAGUAAGAUCCACAAAAGCAAACAACUAGCUGGAUUCUUUUAUUGAACUACAAAUUAAAACAACAAAUUAAAGUUCAAAUAUUUAAAUAGUAGUGCGUUAGACGAUUAGGCUCUUUUAUUAAAGGGAAGUAUAAAGUAGUCCAGAAUCGAACAUCUCUAUUGUCUAGUCUUUUUUUUUUUUUUUAAUUCUUCUUUUAUUAUUUUUCAGAAUAGGUUUUGGUGAUUACUAUUGGGUUAUUAUUGAGAGUUAUUGUUAUCUUCCGGGGCAGUUUCUGUUAAUCGAAAUCGUUAAUUAAAAUUUUAGAACUCUUAUUGGAAGAAUGUUUUUCCGUUAUUUUUUUAUAUUCUAAUUUCAAUUGUAAGAAGUAGUCAUUUUAGAAUUUGGGUCUUGAAUCGAAUUUCAAUGCAUGAAUUAAUAUUUAAAAAAAAAAUUACUACACGCAGUUUAGGUUACAAACUAUUUUUUGCAAAGUUGAUUAUGAAAUUGGAAAAAUUAAGUAAUUUAUAAUGUUUGCAAAGGAAGAGACUAACAUACUUCCAAUUACACUAUAUCUCUAUUAUCAUAAUGUUAAGAUUAAACUAACUUAAAAUAAAUUUUAUUUGAAAAGUUAUAUCAAACGCAGUCUAAUUUUAUUAACUUGAAGAGAUAAUAGUUAUAGAAAUUAUUGUUCUAACUUAAUUAGUACAAGUGGUAUAAAGGUUAAGUGUGCACUAAAUUUGUUUAAAUUUUUUCCAGAAUAACUAACAGAGGUCAUUACUAGAAUUAUAAUUACUAGUCUAUUAGAUAGAAAAAAUUAUUUAUAUUGUUUUAUAUUUAUUAAAAAAUUUUAAAGUCAAUCUUUUUAAUUAUUAUUUAAAGGAUAUUAUAAUUAAAAAAAAUUUAAUGUCUUUAUUAAAAAUUUAAAAAUUUAAAAAUUUAAAAAUUUACAUGACCGCUCUAUAAAUAUUGAAAGUGUAACUGUCAUUUUCUCAUAUAUAUAUAUAUAUAUAUAUAUAUAUAUAUAUAUAAACCACGGUGGUGAAGCUUUAUUUAAUAUUAAUGAUUUAAAUAACAAUAUCUCAAUUAAAAAUGUAGAGAGAAGAAAUUUCGGUGGGUAUAUUAGUCUUUUACAAUUAUCAUGAUUAACCCUUCCUCUUGUAACGUUGGUCAGAAAAGUUUUAAAAUGCCUUGAUUUCUUUUACUUUUAACGUUAGCGGCCUUCCUUAUAUUUUAUUACAAAUUAGUCCUAACAAGAAAAAGCGAGAUCAUAUUCCAAAAAAGCAAAAGUGACAAAAAAACCAGCUGUAUUCUUUUAUUAAACUACAAUUUAAAAUGAUUUUAAAGUGGAUUCUUUUGAAUACAGGUGGGGUAGUCGAAUAGUCUUUUUCAAAUUCUUGUUUUAUUAUUUUUCAAAACUAGUUUUUGGUAAUUACAAUCGGGUCAUUCAUUAGUCAUUAUUCAGAGUUAUUGUUAUCUUCGGGGGCAGUGGGUAAAAGGCUAAAUGAUAAUUACUAAGUGUUUUUCCUUCAAAAGUUAGUGGCUCGUGUUUUGCAAGUGUGUACGUGCGAUGCUCUUUGUCUAAAGGCAAUUACAGUGGGUCCCGAAUCGGACGUGCCUAAUAAAUCUUUUAAAAAUUUUUCUAAUAAAUAUUCCUAAAAUUUCUCUUCCACAGGCAAUUACAGCAGCUUCAGUUAAUCAAACUCAAUCAAUUUUCUUUCUUAACAAAAUUCCAAAGAUGUGUGGCUGUUUUCAGAUCACAUGCGAUGGUACUUUUUUCAAUCGUUGCUUAGAUUGCUUUCUUGGAAAAGCAGCAUACAUACGUAACCUCCAAGAUAACCUCGUUGCCUUGGAGACUGAACUAAGGAAACUAAUCGCAGCAAAGAACGAUGUGAUGACGGCGGUUGUCAAUGCUGAACGGCAACAAAUGAGAAGGCUGGAACGAGUGCAAGUGUGGGUUUCGAGUGUGGAUUCUGUUAAAACUGGAGCCGAUGAACUUAUCACAGACGGCUCUGAAGAAAUUGGCAAAUUAUGUGUUGGAGGCUACUGUUCCAAGAACUGCAGGUCAAGCUACAAGUUCGGAAAACAAGUGGCUGAAAAGCUACAACAUGUGAAGAAUUUAAUCGCCGAGGGAGUUUUUGAGGCGGUGGCCACUGAGGUGGUGCCCGAGAGAGCUCCGGAACCUGUAGCAGAUAAAAGACCCAUUGAGCCAACAAUAGUAGGCUUGCAAUCACAGCUUGAAGAAGUUUGGAGAUGUCUUGCAGAAGAAUCAGUGGGAAUCAUUGGCCUAUAUGGUAUGGGCGGUGUUGGUAAAACCACACUAUUGACCCAUAUCAACAAUAAAUUUCUUGAGAGUCCCACAAACUUUGAUUGUGUGAUUUGGGUCGUAGUUUCAAAAGACCUGCGACUUGAAAAAAUUCAAGAAGAUAUUGGGAAGAAGAUAGGUCUAUCUGAUGAUUCAUGGAAGAAUAAAAGUUUUGAAGAGAAAGCUGUGGACAUCUUGCGGAGAUUAGGAGAGAAGAGAUUUGUAUUGUUGUUAGAUGAUAUAUGGGACCGGGUUGAUUUAACAAAGGUGGGCGUUCCACUUCCCGGACCACAAAAUACUACCUCAAAAGUCGUAUUCACAACCCGUUCCAUCGAUGUUUGUGGCAGCAUGAGAGCUAGGCCGGUUAAAGUGGCAUGCCUAUCAGAAAAGCAAGCUUGGGAACUGUUCCACGAAAAUGUUGGGGAAGAAACUCUUGAGAGUGAUCAUGAGAUCGUUGAGCUAGCCCAAACAGUGGCCAAAGAGUGUGGUGGUUUGCCACUCGCACUUAUUACUAUUGGUCGAGCUAUGGCCUACAGAAAGAAAGCGGAGCAGUGGAGACGUGCAAUUGAAGAGUUAAGAAGAUCAGUUUCAGAGUUUGCAGGUUUGGGAAAAGAGGUGUAUCCUUUUUUAAAGUUCAGCUAUGAUAGUUUGCAGUAUGAUACGGUUAGAUCUUGUUUCUUGUAUUGUUGUUUAUAUCCUGAAGAUUAUGGCAUUCUUAAAUGGGACUUGAUUGAUUGUUGGUUUGGCGAGGGAUUUUUUGGGGAAUCUGACAGGUCUGGUGCAGAAAACCGAGGAUAUGGCAUUUUGGACACUCUUGUUCGUGCAUGUUUAUUAGAAGAGGUGGAAGAUGAUAAAGUAAAAAUGCAUGACGUUAUUCGUGAUAUGGCUAUAUGGAUAGCUUGUGAAAUUGAGAAGGAGAAGAGAAACUUUUUGGUUUGUGCAGGUGCUGGAUUAAAAGAGGCACCGGAUGUUAAAGGAUGGGAAAAUGUGAGAAGAUUGUCAUUGAUGCAAAACCAAAUUAAAACUCUGUCAGAGGUUCCUACAUGCCCUCAUCUCCAUACUCUAUUUCUUGACUUUAAUAAGGAGUUGGAGACGAUCGCGGAUGGCUUCUUCCAAUUUAUGCCUUCUCUCAAAGUUUUGAAGAUGUCAAACUGUGGGCAUGUCAAAGUUUUGAAAUUACCUAUUGGGAUGUCAGAGUUGGGUUCAUCACUAGAACUUCUUGAUAUUUCAAAUACCAACAUAACAGAGUUACCAGAAGAGUUGAAGUUGUUGGUAAAUCUGAAAUGUUUGAAUUUGAGGUGGACAAUUUGUUUAAAUAAAAUUCCAUGGCAACUAAUAUCAAAAUUUCAAGGUUACGUGUGUUGAGAAUGUUCGCUACUGGCUUUGCACGUUUUGAUGCAGCAUCAGAAGACAGCGUUUUAUUUGGUGGGGGUGAAGUUUUAGUACAGGAAUUGGUCGGUCUGAAAUAUUUAGAGGUAUUGGAGUUGACCUUGGGAUGUCAUCAUGCUCUCCAAAUUUUUUUGAGCUCAAAUAAGUUAAAAAGUUGUAUUCGAUCUCUUCUCCUCCAAUUGGCCGGAGAUACAAAGUCGAUUAUUGAUGCUACGGCUUUCGCAGAUCUAAACCACCUCAAUGAAUUAUGGAUUGAUAGGGCUAAGGAGUUGGAAGAAUUGAAGAUUGAUUGUAAAGAAAUAGUACAAAAAAGGCGGGAACCUUUUGUUUUCCGCAGCCUUCACCGUGUUACUAUACAUAGCUGCCAGAAGUUGAAAGAUUUGACAUUCCUCGUUUUUGCUCCAGACCUCAAGUCUCUCGAUCUAGACCGUUGCGAUGCUAUGGAAGAAAUAAUCAGCGUCGGAAAAUUUGCUGAGACUCCUGAGAUGAUGGGACAUAUAAGCCCUUUCGAAAAUCUCCAAACUCUUCAUUUAAGAGCGUUUAACAUCUUUUCUCGACGACCUGCACGAUUGCCUUUCACUCAUCUGAAGGAAAUGGAGGUAAGUGGGUGCGAUCAGCUUAAAAAGCUUCCACUCGAUUCCAACAGUGCAAAAGAGCGUAAAUUUGUUAUUCGUGGAAAAGAAGACUGGUGGAACCGACUUCAAUGGGAGGAUGAAGCCACUCAAAUUGCUUUUCGUUCCUGUUUCCAACCUGAGCGGUUAGUCGCAAAAUUUGAUUUCUGGUGAUUGCGUUUGUCUUUUAACUCUUAUAUAUAUUCUUGUCGUUUGUUUUCUUCUCUGUUUUUAACUCUUAUAUUGCGUUUGUCUUUUGAAAAUCUCCAAUUAAAUGUUGAAUUAAUGGAAUUAAUGCUUCAUAAAUUUGCCGGCACUGCCAUCACUUUUUUUUUUUUUAAUACAAAUUGAUACUUUAUUUAUAUCUUCUUAGCGAUAUAAUUUCCUGUCAAUUGACGAACGAGAAGAACAUACGACUUAAACCAAUUCACGCAUAAACUUGCUGUAAAAAGAUAUAAUCUCACUGAAAUGCACACGUCUAGAAUGAAUAGAAUUAAAACAGGGAAAAUAUUUAAGUAUAUUAGCCCUCUUUACCGAAAAUGAAAUGACAAUAAAUUUUUUGAAAGUUUUGAUUUUCUAUGGUCAAUUCCACCUUUUGCAAUUUCUUCUGUUCUAACAAAAACCAAUUUCUUUGUUCAAGUAUUUUCGUUUGGGUAUUAAUAAUUCUCCACCGAAAGAGUGAACUCUUGCUCAAGGGAUCUCUAAUCAAUAGCCGGAAGGGCGCCGAGACCUGAUCGGACCUAGGCCCAAGUUUGGUCUUAAAGCCUGGGCUUGAGCCUGGCAAUUAAAUUAAAACAUUAAUUGAUUUCUUGAUUGAAUUGUCGUGUAAUUGAUUUAUGGGGGAUGACACAUCAACAUGCUUGAAAACACACUAAUCUCAGCAUCAUCGGUUAAUAACUUUUAGAAUUAUGGGUAAUCAAUAGUUAAGAUUAGUUGUCAUUAAUACUAAAUAUUUUUUUACUAUUUUCGUCUCUUCUAGAGGAUCUUCUAGAAAAAUGCAUCCACAACAAAAUUUAAUACUUUACAUAAUAAACAAAGCAUAAAUGUUAAAUUUAAGAAACUGCAUUGUAUUUCAGCUGAAGUUGACUUUAAUAUUUAGGGUAGAAAAAUAAUAAAUCCUUAAUGUGUUUAAUUUCUAUCACUUGUGUCAUUAAAAUUUUCUAGUCACCCUAACCAAUUACAUCUCAACCCACUUUUUUUUGGAUGAUUUUAUUUUUACACUAUUAUUUUCAUCAUUUUUUUUCCUUUUAACACCAACAUUAGUGUAUGUUACGUAACAUAAUUCAUAUUUGGAUAAUUUGAAAUUUGUUUGUGUUUUAUCUCAAAAUAGAGCUUCAAUCAAUUUGUACCUCAUAAAUUCACAAUAUCUAUGAGGGCUAAUAAGACCAAACUCUGGCAUAUUGUCAAAUGUGCUUAUCCUUUUGCUUGACAUGUCAUUUUAAAAUUGUCAUUCAAUGCCAAAAAAUCACAUCAACUGAUGGCCGACUACUUUAAUUUGAAAGCAUGCAUGCGAUCGCCAAUAAUUAUAACUUAAUUGUUAUUUUGAAAUUUUUUUCUUUAUAAUUUUUAAGUUUAAUACUACUACAUGUGCAGCACAUAAGUUGGAAAAUAUAACAUAAAAUUUGAAAAAUGUGUAGCUUUCGUUCCUUUUUUUUCUUAAAAAUGAGGAAAAAGAAUGUAAUUUUGUUUAAAUUACUGUUGUGAUAACAAUUAUUAUUUUAUUGAUUAAUUGGCAGAGAAUGGUUAUGGUUUCGCAUGGUUGUUAAAACAUUGGAAAAUCCACUACAUCAUCCGUUAAUAACUUUCAGAUUUAUGGUUAAUCAAUAGUUGAGAUUUGUUAUCAUUAAUGUUAAAUAUUUUUUUAAUAUUUUUUCUCUCUCCUAGAGGAUCAUCACAGCAAAAAUUUAAUAUUAUAAAUAGUAAACAAAAUAUAAACAGUUAAAUCUAAGAAACUGCAUUGCAUUUCAGCUGAAGCUAACUUUAAUAUUUAAUGGAGAAAAAUAAUUAAGUCCUUAAUGUACUUUAUUUACCCAUACUGAUACGCUCUUAAUUCGUGAAACUGAGCAACAUCAAAAUUAUCACUACUUCGAGCGAGUGUUUGCUCCAGAAGAAAGAACUGGAAGUUGAGAAAUGAGAAAGAAGAAAAGAAGAAGAGUCACAGCGAGGAAUAAAAGUGGUCCAUUCAUUUCAUGCCUUCCCAAAAUGACAAAAUCCCGCAAUAUAUAACAGACAAUCGAAAAUAACCAAUUUGACAACGCAACAGAAAAUGACAAAAAAGAAUCCAAAACAAACGUAGCCAAUCACAAUGCUUUUACAGAUCAUCCUAAACGACGUAGUCUCGUAGCCAAUCUAGAAGUUUCUUGUUUCGUUUGGGCCGUUGAUUCUCUUGCACUGGCUCAUGGUGAAUGUCCUCUUUGGGUUGACUGACUGUGGGUUCUCGGUUGAGCUCUUCCACUUGCGCCCCCUCUAAUGGCUCUAAUUUGAUAUAUAAAUUCGUAUCAUUCCCUCCUGCUUGAAAACACACAUUGUCCUCAAGGUGAAAUGCUGGAUAGAGCUUACAAAAGGCGUCAAAGUUUUCCCAAGACGAAUUCUUCGGUGAACUGACGGUCCAUUGAACUAACACUUGAAGCGUUGGCUUCCCCUGUUGCAAAACUAUUCGGGUUGCACAAAUGGCAGCCGGUAGCAAAAGAGGAUGGUUAUCCACACUCAACUCUGGUAAAGGAUGUGAAAUAGCAGGGUCGUUGCCAUGAUAAUGCUUAAGGACAGAGAUGUGAAAAACCGAGUGGAUUUUGGAAGUAUUGGGUAACUCCAAUUUGUAAGCUACAUACCCCACUCUAGCAAGUACCGUAAAUGGCCCGUAGUAUCACUUGGCCAACUUCUGACAGGCGCGAGAAGCUAUAGUGGUCUGUCGAUAUGGCUGUAAUUUAACCAGCACUUUAUCCCCUACUUCAAAGUGAGCUUCACGGCGAUGGGCAUUAGCUUUCUGAGCCAUUCGAUGUUGUGCUUGCCUCAAAUUAGCUUUUAAAGAUUGGAGAAGAGUAUUACGUUCAAGGAGAAUGUCCUCCAAAGUUUGGAUUGAAGUAGAGCCCUUAGCAUAAUGAGGAAUAGUUGGAGGCAAUCGGCCAAAUAAAGCUUGAUAGGGAGACAUCUUCAAGCCACUGUGGAAAUGAGAAUUAUAACUAAAUUCUGCCCAACUCAGUAAGGAAACCCACUUCCGUGGUUUGUCUUGAGUGAAAGCUCGUAAAUAUUGCUCCAAUCCUCAAUUUACCACUUCCGUUUGACCAUCCGUUUGAGGGUGGUAUGCCGUGCUAUGACGAAGAGUUGUGCCACUUAAGAGGAAUAAUUGUUUUCAAAAAUUGCUCAAGAACACUGGGUCUCGAUCGGAGAUAAUUGAACUUGGAAAACCAUGUAUUUUAAUGACCAUGUCCACAAAGAGUUCAGCUGUCUUGAGGGCAGUAAAUUGACAGGGUAACGGACCAAAAUGGGCAAAUUUUGUAAGACGAUUGACAACAACCAAUAUGACCGAGAAACCUUGUGCUAACGAAAGACCUAUAACGAAAUCCAUUGUGACCUCAUCCCAAACCAUAUUAGGUAUCGGCAAUGGUUGAAGAAGACCAGCAGGGGCUUGAGUGGAAUACUUAGUUUGCUGGCAUAUUAAACACUCUCGGAUAAACGUUUCCACAUCAUGACGCAUCUUGGGCCAAUAGAAUGUUGAAGAUAAUCUGAUUAAGGUUCUAGUGACACCCACAUGACCUGCCAGUGGUGUAGAGUGAAAUUCUUGCAAUAGUACGACUUUUAAAGAGGAGGUAGGACUGAUGUAAUAACGCUGACGGUGGAGAAGAAAUCCGUUUUGAACAGAGAAGUCAACUGACAGUUUGCCUUGUAAAAGUUGCUGGUGAAGUGAUAUUAAAUCAGGUAAUGUGGUAUUCUCAUUAAGUAAUGACUGCAGCAAUUCAAAUGAAGGAUGGCUGUUGAAAGAAAGGCAAGUGGGGGAGAUGUUGAUGUUAUCCUCAGGAGCUGUUUCAUGGACACGGGAUAGAGCAUCAGCGGCGCUAUUGGUACAACAUGGUCUGUACUCAAUUCUGAAUUGGAAACCCAAUAAUUUGCGGAGAUAAACUUGCUGAUCUAGUGUUUGUAUCACUUGUUGAAGGAGUUCUUUGAUACUCUUAUGAUCCGUGCGGAUAACAAAGAAUCGGCCCAACAAAUACUGCCGCCACUUAUACACAGCUUCUACAAUUGCAUGCAACUCCUUGAUGUAAGUGGAAGAAGCCCGCAAUUUGGGACCCAACUUCUUGCUGAAAUAAGCAAUUAAAUGCCCAUGUUGUGUAAGUACAGCUCCUAUGCCUACAUUAGAAGCAUCGGUCUCAAUGACGAAUUCGAAAGUAAAAUUCGGCAACUUAAGGACUGGAGCUUGCACCAUUGCUUGUUUAAGAGCUUCAAAGGCCUCCAUGGCUGUCAAAUUCCAUUGAAAGGCAUCAUUUCGCAGCAAAUCAGUGAGUGGGGCUGCCAAGGAAGCAUAACCACGGAUGAAGCGCCUAUAAUAUCCAGUGAGACCAAGAAAACCCCUCAACUGUUUGAUAGAACGUGGAAUUGGCCAAUUAAGCAUGGCAUCAAUCUUUUGGGGGUCGGCUUGUACUCCCGAGGCUGAAACAAUACGGCUUAGAUACUCAAUAGCGGCUUGGCAAAACAAACAUUUGGAUAAUUUAAUAAAAAAUUGAUGAAGAUGUAAACAAGCUAAUACUUUCUCAAGAUGAAGCAAAUGCUCGGCCAUGGAGGAGCUAUAAACCAAGAUAUCAUAAAAAAAAACGAUCACAAAUUUCCGGAGAUGAGCUGCAAAAAUCUGAUUCAUUGUGGCUUGAAAAGUGGAUGGGGCAUUUGUCAACCCAAACGGCAUGACAAGAAACUCAUAAUGGCCCUCAUGUGUUCAAAAUGUCGUUUUGUAUAUGUCGCGGUUGUGGACACGAAUUUGAUGGUAUCCCGCGCGCAAAUCCAAUUUGCUAAAAAUGGUGGCGCCCCCAAGUUCAUCAAACAACUCAUCGAUUGUCGGUAUAGGAAAUUUGUCUUUGAUGGUUACGGCAUUUAAUGCACGAUAGUCAACACAAAACCGAUAGGUGCCAUCUUUUUUCUUGACCAAGAGAACCGGGGAGGAAAAAGGGCUUUAGUUCGGUCGGAUUAUGCCCUACUCUGACAUUUCCCUGAUCAGUUUUUCCAUUUCAGAUUUCUGGAAGUGUGGGUAGCGGUAUGGACGAACAUUGACGGGGGCUGUGUUGGGUAAUAAAUGGAUUUUGUGGUCAAUAGUUCUGUGCGGUGGUAGGCUAGAAGGUUGGAGAAAUAGGUGUUUGUAUUGCUGUAAAAGGUUGAGAAAUUGAGCAGGAAGGGAAAAAGGAAAUUCAAGUGAGGAAGUGUCUGUGAUGGAAAAUGAAGGCAAAGCAUCGAUAGCGGGCACUGGUUGUAAGGCACAAAGGCUGGUCACGGUAUCACUUUGAACCAAUACCUGCAAUUGAUUAUAAGUGAUCAAAUUAUUAGAAGACAAAUCACCAUGAAGCAUCACUGGUUGCUCAUUUAAAGAAAACUCCAUAGGACACUUUGCCCAAUUUCUGUAGCCAUUGAAUGCCAAGGACCACAUAUGUGCCCUCAAUUGGCAAAAUGAAGAGGUCUACCAUAAAAGCCGUGCCUUGCAUUGUUAAGUUCACUUGAGGACAGAACUGUUUACACACCAGGAAGUCACCGUUGCCAAUAUACACUCGGAAAUUGGUAGUUGGAUGAAUGGCUAACCCCAAUCGUUCCGCUAACGCCGGUUUUAUGAAAUUGUGAGUGUUGCCACUAUCAAUCAGCACUUGAAAGGUGUGCGAAUCAAUUUCUCCAAUUAAACGAAGAGAGCGAGGAUUGGCCUGCCCUGCUAGAGCAUUUAAGCUAGAGAUGUCACCAGUAAUACCAGCAUCUACCAAUUCUGAUGGUUCCUCGUUAUUUUUGGGUUCCAAUUCUUCAUCAUCCGUGCCCAUGAGAAGUAGAAAUUUACUGCGACAGAGAUGAUUGUUGCUGUAUUUUUUGUCACAAUUGUAACAUAAACCCUUCUCGCGUUUGUCGCAAAGUUCAGCCGAAGACAAACGGCGAAUUGGUAAUGUUGGUGUCGAUAAUAAUGCAGGUAAAGUGUUUGAUUUAUUGGUAUUGUGGGUUUGUGAGGGAAGAGUUGAAGAUGAUACGGGGGUGAUGGCUGUGGUAACAGUUGCAAGUGAUGAGGAUGGAUAAAUGGGUUUGGGUUGUGUUUGGAAACCAUGUGAAAGGGGAUAUGGUUGCUGCCAUUUAGGCCAUGAGCGUGAGCUCUGUUUCACUUCGUCAUAUUUGGCCUCAAAAGCACGAGCUAAAGUUUCCAUUAGUGAAGACGGUCUAGAGAAAAGCAAUUCCCGUCGAAUGUUGGGUUUCAGACCAGUGAUGAAAAAACUAAUCAAAAGAAGUUCAGAAAUUCCAGUGACCUUGUUCAUUAAAUCUUCAAAAGCUGACUGGAAAUCUGCAACCGUGGUAGUUUGACUCAAUUUGGACAAAUCACCUUGGGGAUCUUCACACAAAGAAGCACCAAAACGAUAGCGCAAGUUAGCUAAAAAUUCUUGCCAAGUAGUGAGCAAGUGAUUGUUCUUUAUCCAUUGAUACCACGCUGCAGCGCGACCCUCCAUAUGAAAAGAGACAAUCCGUAGUCGGAGGAUCUCAGGUGUGUCAUGAAAGUCAAAAAAUUCUUCUAUUCGAAAAAUCCAUCCAUUUGGGUCAGACCCAUCGAAUUUGGGCACAUCCAUUUUCAUGGAACAAAGUACUGGAGAAACUUUAGAACCAGUAAGAACGCCAUCAUAUUUAGAAGAUGAAGGGUGUGAAGGGUUGGAGGAACCAACUGGUUUGUUGGAAGACCCAUGAAUUUAUGUACGUAACUCCUCAAAACGAGAGUCAACUGAUGUCAUGAAUUGUUGGAUUGUUUGAUGGAUGGACAGUUGCUACCCAUCAAGUUUGGCGUCAAAAGUUGCUUGAAGGGUCUGUAAAGCAUAAAGAAUUUCAGAAUUUGCCAUGAUCAAUGAAAGCACCAGUGAUACGCUCUUAAUUCGUGAAACUGAGCAAUAUCAAAAUUAUCACUACUUCGAGCGAGUGUUUGCUCCAGAGGAAAGAACUGGAAGUUGAGAAAUGAAAAAGAAGAAAAGAAGAAGAGUCACAGAGAGGAAGAAAAGUGGUCCAUUCAUUUCUUGCCUUCCCAAAAUGACAAAAUCCCGCAAUAUAUAACAGACAAUAAAAAAUAACCAAUUUGACAACGCAACAGAAAAUGACAAAAAAGAAUCCAAAACAAACGCAGCCAAUCACAAUGCUUUUACAGAUCAUCCUAAACGACGUAGUCUCGUAGCCAGUCUGGAAGUUUCUUGUUUCGUUUGGGCCGUUGAUUCUCUUGCACUGGCUCAUGGUGAAUGUCCUCCUUGGGUUGACUGACUGUGGGUUCUUGGUUGAGCUCUUCCACUUGCGCCCCCUCUGAUGGCUCUAAUUUGAUAUAUAAAUUCGUAUCACAUACAUGCGGUUAAUUUUUUAAGAUAAAGGGGAAGGAUGAUGCUCAAAAAUAUAAAUUAUAGAAUUAAUUGAACUCUCAAAUAAGUUUAAAGUUCAUUAUUUUUAAUUACAUGUUUAUAAUUUAUUUUUAUUUCGUAUUAAUCUAUAGAUCUAAAUCCACUUUGGAUUCAUAUACACAUAUAGACAUAAUGUGUAUGUUAAUCUAUAGGUCUAAAUUCACUUUAGGUCUAUAUAGGUAUUUUGACAAAUGUACUCCAAUCAUGCAUAUUGGCAAGUUCAAAUUCAAUUUGGAAUAUGGUCAUGGUACGUUCUUGUUCUUCCCUCUUUACGAGUGCAUUCCCCCCAACCUCAAGCUCCCUCUCUCGUCUUCAAUGUCACUGCUUAUAUCCUUAUGUUGUUCUAGUUUGAAACAGUGGCUUCCACUAUUUCAGGGCCCCCAAAAAUCCAGAAACAUACUAUUCAUCACGAUGACAAAAUUUUGGGCAGGCAGGUGCUUCCUGACUUUCACACGGUAAUUCUCAAAUUCUGAUUUCACCAUAUUUUAAUUACUGAUUAUGCUCUCCAUUAUAAUAGAAGUCGCCGCCACACUAGUGAUUCCAAACUUUAUCUUUUUUCCUUUUUUAAAUUAAUGCAAGUAGCCGCUGUCCUUUUUAUUAAUUAAUUAAUUCGGCCGCCCACAUUUCUUUUUCUAAUGUCUUCUACUGUCGAGUUUAUUUUAUUUUCCCUUUAUUCUUAAAAUAUACUUAUAAUAAUAAAAUAUAAAAAUAAAAAUAAAAAUUAACAUAUCAAAAUAUAAUUUAACAGAAAAUUAAGAUGAAAAAUAAAAAAAAAUAAAUUCUGAACAUAUCAAUCAAUAAAUGAAAAAUAAUAAUUUUUAUUUUUAUUAAAUAUAUUUUUUUCAGUAUUAAUCAAUUAUCUGAAUAACUAAAAUCAUUUAAAAAUAAAUAAACAAAUUAUUCUUUAUAAAAAAAAAAAACUUUUUAUAACACUCACUAUGCUGGUUGUAGGGUAGACGCUUUGGGGACUGAAGUUGGUAACUUCUACAAGUAGUCUUAAGUUGAUAACUUCUACAAGUAGUCUUAAGUUGACUGGCAAAUGUUCUCAGUAUUAUAUUGGUGUGUCGAUAUUAUCUCUAACUGCCUUAUAGAUAAAAAAAUAAUCUAAAUUUAAAAUUUAACAUAAAAUAAAAUAAUUGGUAGAAAAACAAUUAUGGUUCAUUUACUUAUCAGUAAUCAGAAUAGACUGAAAUCGAAAUGAGUUGUAUUACCGUUGAUGUGUUUAUGUUGUCCUCGAAUCGGAAUGAAUUAUUUUAAGUUACUAAAAUAUCCUUGGUUUGUUAUUCUAAUUAUUAUUAUUUAAUAUUUAUUAUAAUAUUUGUCAUAUCAUUAAAAAGAAAUAAUAAUGAUGAUAAUAUUAUCAUUAUUGUUUGUUACAUUAUUAUUAUUCAAAAAAAUUAUUGUUAAUAACAAUAAUUACUUUAUUUCAAUACUAAUAAUGAUAAAAUUAAUAAUAACAAACAACAAUAAUUAUUUAUUAUGCCAAAAAUAACAAUAAUAAUAAUCAUCAUCAUUUUUUUUCCCAAAGAAGCAUUAUCAUCAUUUCAAAAAAAAUAUCAUCAUUAUCAUCAUCAUUUUUGUAGUGGCUGCCUAUCGGCUGUUGCUUUCAUGUGAGAUUGACUUGCGACGCUUCAACGGCUAUUAUUUCUGGCAAUGUCAGGUGUUACUGUUUCAAUUUAGGAAGAAGCUGUUUCGUUGUGCUAACGAUGGGAGAUGUUGUGGCUGCGAUUCGGGGAGCUACUAGUUUAUUGCACUAAUGACGGCAGGUGCUGCUGCUUGAUGCGAGGUCCAUGGCCAGUUGUCAGCAGUUCGACUUUGGUAUGGGUGCUGCUGGUUCGAUUUUAGGUGUUGUCCAAUUUCAUUUUCAGGAUUUUAAUUUUAUUUUUCUUUUAUAUUUUCAUUAAUUAAUCAGGACAAAGUUGGAUUUUAGAAUUUGGAAUGAAGGUAAUUUUGUUAAUCAUGGAAAUGAGAUUCUGAUUGUCGAGAAUGAGCUUACACAAACAACUACAAAUUAAGUGAAAACAAAACGCUUUUUCUCUUUGUGUGAUUAAAACAUGAUAUGUACCAUAAAUAAAUAGGUAAAAAAUAAAUUAAUACAAUCCAAAACAGUAAACUAAUUACAAGAGGCACAAAUUUUUAUGUGAAAUACCAAAAAUAGAAAAAACCACAGCAUCUUAGUAUGAGAUAAUCUUCUACUAUAUUAAUGAGAUUAUAGCACAAAUUCUUCCUUAUAUAACACUAGAGGUUAACAACAUCAAGAAUUUCAAUAAUCUUGACUUACAAUACAGCCUAAUAUUUGUCUCUCUAAUAAGUAGAUAUCUAAAAUAACAGUCUCUAAUAAAUAAGUAUCUCAAAUAACAGUCUCUAAUAAGUAUCUCAAAUAAUAAUUUCUAAUAAGUAUGUAUCUCAAAUAAUAGUUAACAAGAGGAUAAAACAAAAAUUAAGAUUAGUAGGAUUGUAUAAGGCGAUGCUAUCAACUUAUCUUCUAAAUUUGAGAAAAAUAGUUAAAUUCACUUUUUCGAUUGUGACCAAAGAUGGAAACCUUUGCCCCAAAACCAAAGGAAUCACCAUUUCUCUCUCUCUCUCUCUCUCUCUCUCUCUCUCUCUCUCUCUCUCUAUCUCUCUCUCUCUCUCUCUCUUCUUCUACUUUUCUUAAUGUUAGCCGCCACUCGCUUUUAUUCUUUAUAGCAUUUAAAAAGCUACUUUUAAUGGUAAAUUUCAUUUAAGUCCAAAACUUAGUGAUAAUUGUACACCAAACAAUUCUUUUUGGACUAUGAGCUUUUGGGCCUCCAAAUGAGAUGAAUACAACAAAUCUCCCCCUUUAGAUCAUGUGGGGGGCACCACAAGCCUGCUCUCUGCAUAUAGUUUUUCAACUUCUCCUUGAAUAAUGACUUUGUCAUCAUACAUAACCCAUUCUCUGUUGUGUAAAUUUUCUCAAGCUGUAGCUGUUGCUUCUCAAGCACGUCUCGUAUCUAAUGAUAUCUCACAUCAAUAUGCUUAGAUUUCGAAUGGUUUAUCAAAUUCUUUGAACGGCACUCUGACUGUCGCAGUACAUAACAUAGCUGUCUCGUUUUACACCCAGCUCUUAUAGGAAAUUCAUUAUCCAUAAUAUUUUUUUGCAACCUUCAAUAAUUGUUAUAUCAUUUGCUUUAGUGGUAGAAAACGUAACUUAUUACUAAAGUUUAGAUUGCAAUGAGACUUCUCCCCCUGCAAAAGUGAGCAAACAUCCUAGAAGGAAUUUUUCGGAAUCAACAUCUUCUGCCAUAUCUACACACUUGUAACACAGGUUUGUCACCACUAAAAUAUAAACAUGCUCUGGAAAUGCCUCUAAGAUAUCUGAGAAUUUUUCAUUGUUGUCCAAUGCUCUUUUAUAAUAAAUACAAACAUAAUGAAUUUAUAAAACAUUUAGAGUAUUUUGAAUAUUAUAUAAAAUAAUUUUAAUAUAAUGCAUGAGAUAUAUUUUAUUAAUUUAAAAUGCUAUUUAAUCUAAAGAUUUAUUUAAGAUAAAUUAAUAAUUAAAUUUUUUUAAUUAUUUCAAAUAUUAAAAAUUUGUAAUAUUAUUAGUCUAUUAGAUAGAUUAAAUUAUUUAUUUUAUUUUGUAUUUAUUAAAAAAUUUUAAAGUCAAUAUUUUUAAUUACUAUUCGAAGGAUAUAAUGAUUAAAAAAAUCUUAAUAUUUUUUAUUAAAAAUUUAAAAAUUUACAUGACCAUUUCUAUAAAUAUUUAGGGUAUAUAUGAGCCACGGUGGAGAAGAUUUAUUUAAUAUUAUUGAUUUAAAUAAUAUCUAAUUAAAAAUAUACUGAGAAAAAAUUUCGGUGGGUAUUUUAGUCUUUUCAGCAAUCACAUGAUUAGCCUUUGGGCUUUGGCCUUGAAACGUCGGUCAGAAAAGUUUUAAACUGCUUAAUUGUUUUUCACUUUUAACGUUAGUGGCUGCUUAUAUUUUAGGAAAAUGAGAUUCUCACCACAGUGAGAACCACACUGAGCACAGAACGGUGCGUUUUGUGCUCAGUAUAAAUUCUAACUGUAGCGGAAAUAUCGCAACACAAACGCGCCAUUCCAAACCCACGCGCGUUCUCCCUCACGCCAGCAAAUCUCACCACGCUUCCUCCUCACUGUAAGCGCCCCCCCUCCCCGGGGGCGGUCGGCUGCGUCACGCUCCCUCACGGCGCCUCACUCUCUCGGCUCUCUUAGAAAAUUGAAUUGCGGCUUCCGCCGUGGGGUUCUCUCCUCAACUGCCGUUGUCUCGUCUCUGACAGCUGCCUUAAUCAAAUUCUGAAGGUAGUUUGCUUCAAUUCAUUACAUUAAUUUCAAAUUUGGUUUGUGUGGGAUUAUGAGUUUGUGAAGAUUUAGUUCUGUUUCAUGGUAAACUAUUUUUUGCUCAGUGUGUUGAGAAUAUCAGCACGGUUUAAAAUUCUUUUUAGAUUCUGUCGUAAAGUUUUCUUUGUAUUGGGCAAGUCAGUUACUUUAGUUUUGUGUCUGAAAACAAAAACACUUAGCUUAGUGAGUUUUAAGAGAUUUUGCUAUUUUGUUCAACGAAGCUUAAAAAGGGGAAGCUUUUAUGGCGUCUGUGAGCCGAGGCAAUUUGGAUCGGGUGCUUUUUCAGUUCAUUUGUUUGUUUCUUAUUUGGGUUCUUUAUUGUUAGAUGUUCUUUUGAGAUUCUGGCAUCUGGCAUCUGGCUACUUGCUUUUGUGGAGUUUUUUUAUUAUUUGAAUUCUGUGAAUUCUUUGUUUUCUUUCCCAAAUGAUUCCACUCUAUAAAAUAUAUAUUGUGCUUGGCUAGAAUUUUCUUUUAGAUAAUUGCAUCCUGUACAUUGGCUUAACCUGUCAAGAAUGAGAAUGAUGGAAGAUGCCUAUCUUGGAAAGAAUAUAUUGAGUUACAUAGUACCGGUUCCAAAUGAAUAAAUUGGAACUUGCCUAAAACAGGCACCAAUCCACCAUGACACCAAGCCUUUUUAAAAUUUUUUUUUUUUUAAGUUUAAAGAAACUUAUGUUGCUUCUUUAGAUCUGUUUUAGCUUAUGAUGAAUUUUGCUAAUGGUAAAAUCCCUCCCCUUCAAAGUUGGGGGAGGGGAAGCAUCUAUAUGCAUAUGUGUACAUUAUGGAGCUCGAACUACAUGUCGCAGUAAUACAUUAUUCUCUUUGCUUUGCAGGUUUUGAUCAACAUGAGUGAUUGGGAUGUAGGUCUGUGCUUGAGAGGCCGGAGUGAUGACCAGAAUUCUGUCAACCAGACCAAAGACAAUCAACUGAUGAAGUGUUGUUGUUCUCUAUAUUGAUUGUUGGAAAUUAUGUGUUAUUUCCAGAUUUUUAGAAAAUUAUGAUUGCUGGAAAUAAUUAUAUAUGUACAAUCAUUAUGUCCUCCAGCACAAGUGAAUUUCCAAACCCACAACUGAAAGCUUGCGAAAAAUUUGUAGAAAAUUUGUACAUCAAAUCCACAAGCUAAGUGUUGUAUCAGAAUAUGAAUGACAAUAAAACAAAAAUCUGUGUUCUUCAUUCUUAAAAUACUAAUACAAUACAAGUACAUUCUUAUUCUGAGAAAUAACUACCUAUUAACUCCAUAUUCAUUAUCUUGUUGAAAGAGUAGCUGCUGAAAAUGUCCAUGUCGCUGAGCUUGUAUGUGCUAUUAAAAAAAAAUUAAACAUCUUGUUGUCAUCCGAAAAAAUAAAGAAGGCAAGAUGAACAAAUAAAAAACUUAUCACUACUUACGGUGCAAGAAUUUUAUGUAGAUAUUGAAUAAACAUUAUCCUCAAUUAUUUGUCACAAUAAUUUAUAUUCAAUUCAUGGUGUGUUGCAGCAAGCUUCCAUUGUUUAACUAAAUGACAGCUGAAUCUUUACAACUAAUUAUCUUUACAAUCAAAUUUGGAAUUAAUUAAGCAAAUUACCGCUAGAAAUCGACGAGUGAAGCUAAGAGAGUGAGGCUGCAAGUCGAAUUUUUGAGACAGCCGAGAGAGUGAGGCGCUGUGAGAGAUGCAAUGGACGGGCGAGAGAGAGACGAAGCCGAUGGUGAUUGCUGCAUUGGUAGGAUUGAGGGAGAGAGCGAAAGAGCCAGAGCGUGCGUGCUUGUUCUGCCAGAGAGCGCGUAUGUUUUUUCUCAAUGCGCGUGUUGCGUAAUUAUCCAUCUACAGUGACCAUUUUAUAGUUAUCUUGAAACGCACCGUUCGGUGCUAUAUGUGGGGCUGAAUGUUGUGAGCAUAUCGGUGCUGUAUAUUUUAUUAAAAAUUAAUGCUAACAAGAAAAAACCCCUCAAUGAAUGAGGGUGAGAUUGCUAAAAAUUACGACAGGUGAUAUUUUAUUAUUAUUAUUAUUAUUGGGGGAGAAAUCCUCACCAAAGUGAGGAGAUUUUAUCAAAAUCAAAAUAAAAAUAUAACAAGAACUGAAAGUUGGGCAGCCUAAAAGCUAGAUAAACUAAAAUUCAGGCGCCUAAAAACAACCUUAUGCAAAAGAGAAGCAACAUGAGACCGAUCAAGUAAAAGAAUCCACCGCAACACCUAAAUUGGCCAAAUUAUCUGUUGGUAUUACAAGUUUCUUGUUAUAAAAGUGUAGAAUGAAGAAGGUGACGUAGUUUUAAGUUACAGCUGCAUGCCCGAUCGCAAUAUCAAAUAAUGAUUAAAUAUCAAAUAAUACUUAAAAUAGUUGCCUAGACCCGCCACAAUUUAUAUUAACUCUUAAAUUUAUAAAUAAUUAAAUUUUUAAAAGUUCGGAUUUAUAUUAAAAAAUCUUCAUAUAAAUAAAUAAUAUAUGCACUUUUACAACACAGUCUUUAAAUUUAAAUUUUUCUAGAAAAAUCUUCUGUAUAUCUUUUCUAUUAAAAAAUUUCCAUAUAAAUAAAUAAUAUACCUAAUUUAAUUGGACCCAGCGCAACGCAUAUGCAUAGAACACAUUCCGAAAAGCCAUGAUAUUCGGAAAUUGACGAAUGAAAAGUGAGGAGGCAGCAGUCAAUGCUAUUUCGGCUUGGCCCAAAAUUGAUUUAUCAGUUUGACGUGUGCCAGGAAUGAAGAACUGGAAUAUCACCAUCAAGCAAGCAACCUGCGGAGCAAUACCAUAGAAUGCACAAUCCGGCUUUGCAAGGUGACACUGGAGGCUUUUUGAAAAGUGCUUCACGCUCACUUGACAGAUUGAGCAUCCCCUCUGGAUAUUGCCCUCUCUGAUCGAAUCUGAGCACUCAAAUUUCGGUCCUCAGAUGGAGCUACAGCUUUCUCUCCAAUAACCAACAAUUUUCUAAACUCAGCACCUAGUGUGAUCAGAGUUGUUGAUAUUUGUAAAUGGAGAUCCCCGUAUUUGCAAAUGGAGACAUUUACCAAAUCACCAACAUGCUUCAUCCAGUCUACGAAAUUCUGCAGCUGAUUCAAAUCCGGAACCUGAACAAGAGUCGGAGGUAAAUCUUGAGCCAUAUCUAAAGCAGUCUGAAGUUCAAGUACUUGAGCCCUUGACAAUGGUUUUGAAAUUGGAACAUCUUGGAUUACUGCAGACUUGUGCCCCUUGGUUUCAAAGGUAAGGAAAGGCAUUGCUUGAGUACAAUUUGGAGGCAGCUUCUUCACCAAUUUUAUUUGGAGGCGAUUGGCAGCGGAUCCAGCUGCACCAAUUUCAGAGCAAAUACUGACACUACUUCGAACAGCACACUGAAGAAGUGAUAUGUCUACGGCAAAGGCAAUGCAGUCCUCAUUUUGGCUUGAGAUGCAGUAAUCAUCGAAGAGAGUUUCCUUGUGAAACUGGGCAACACAUUGAAUCCCUUCGCCACUGAGAAGGUUGCGGAGGAAGUAAGCUUUCUCUCUAGUGAGGAAGAGGUGGCAUACCUUCCCCAUGUCUAGGGCAGGUAGGAAUCUUUUUUCUAAGAGAUUUACUUCAUUCUCUGUGAGAAAUGCUUUGAACUUCAUCCCUCUGUCUCUAUCCUCACUUAUCAGUAAAAUAGUUGAAAGUGCUACAAGGAGAGAAAAGAAGAGUAUUAAGAUAUAUAUAGACAAGAAAAACAUUAGAUGUCGAUCUUACAAGCUAAUACUUCAAACAGUAUCCUAGAAAGCUAAAAACUGCAAAAUGGCUUGACAUUUGAAAAGAACACAUGCUUUUCCUCCUUAACUUGAGAAAAUGUUUAAUAUAGUGCACCUUACAGAAACAUUUAAGCAAUUAGAACUUUGCACAAAAAUAUUCAAGAAGACUAAACAAAUCAGAUGCAGUGUAUUUCUCCAAGCACAAAUGGCAUUGCAUUUUUUCCUCAACUGUAAUAUUUAUUGAUGAAAAUCAGUACAGGUCCCUCAUUUGUUAUGGAAAGCUUUCUUGUAGUCUGACUGGUUAAUUCACGGAUCUAUAAUUAUCUUGCAAAGUUACAGGCAUUUCUUUCGAUUUAAAGUCUUUGCAUCACCACCUCAUCACACACCUAGCCAAUAUUCCGUCUACUUCUACAACAAAAAGUUUUAAGUAAACGAUCCUAAUGCAUGCAGCCAAAUAAAAUGCAGUAAGAAUAUUCAACUUAAAACUCUGAAAGCCAUCUUGGUGAAUUGCCUCCUUAGGGGAAGUUCCAUGAUUUACUAUACUUGACAGGACUGAGCAAAAGCUUACAUACAACAGAUUUUGAAAAUGAUGAUGCCAAUAGAUACUCAUACAAUCCAUUGAAACUCCUAAGGUCCAUUGUUCACAGAGGUUUACAGAGUUUUGGUUAUCAAAUAGCUCAGACCUUAAUCCCAAACAAAAAACGAGUGAAAAUUAGAUCACCAGCAGCAAAUUGUAAAUUCUAACUUAACUCUUCAUCUCCUUUGUAAACAGGAGACAAAAUGGAGACACGCAAAAUGAAUAAGGAGAACAUUUGAACUCAAAUGAAAUGAGGGCACGAAAGCAAACAAAUGGCAUGCGCAAACAAACCAAGCCUCAAUCAAAAACUAAUUAACCAUUAAAAAACAAAACUGGUCAGCUUCUGGUGUUCUCAAAUUGUAUAACAAGAGAUCGACACAUCGAAUCAGAAGAACUCAAUUCAAAUUUGUCUCAAAAAUCAAAAUUAGAAGAUUUCACAUUUCGAGAGGAACAAGCGACAGGUCAGAUGCAAAAUUUUCAGCCAUAACAUGCCACAAUUAACGGUUUAUUUCCAUGGAUUUAGAGAGCUGACUGACCUUUUGGCUUUUGGAAUUGAGAAGAUCGCGCGCCAAAAUGGAAGAGGGAAAGCGAAAGUGCGGGUUUUAAUAGGGUAUUGGAUUAGCAAAUUUUAUUAGUUUGCGAGGGUAAAAUAGGAAAGUGAUAUCACUAUUAACCUUUUUUUUAAUAAGAAAAAAGAAUAAUAAAGAAUAUUUUAUUGUCAUUUGCAGCAUUUAUUUUUUUUAAAUGCUAUUAGAAAAAUACGACAACAAAGAAAUGCUCUUUUUUUUUUUUUUUUUUUUCUCGAAGGUAAAAUCAAUUAUUUAGCUCCUUAUAUGUAAUCAAACUACAUUUCUUACUUUAAGUCAUAUCCAACGGACCAACAAAGUAAUUAUUUUUUUUUUCAUUCAUUUUUGCAGAAAAUUAAUAACUUAAAAAUAUUGAAAGCUAUUGUAAAAUUUUUUAUUAUCAACCUCAUAGUUUUAUUUUUUGGGAAGAAUUGAAUUUUUUUUUUUAAUUUCCAAGAAUUUCAUUCUCUAGUUUUUCCAUUAAUAUUACUUAUCUUGAUACCCAUCUUAAUUAAAAUCUGUAGUUUUAUUCAAGAGUCAUGCUAUUCAUUCACUCACAGACCAAAGGCUUUCCGCAGCAAUAUUAUUAUUUAAAUUACAACAAAGGGGAAAUCAAAUACGUCAUACAGAAGCUUAAAGCUGAAUCUACAAAAUCUAGAGCUCUCAACUACAUAAAUUACACUUGAUGAUCCUCUACAAGAUGAAGCUUGUUCAAUAUCUCAUCCAAAGCUUGUAAAGUAACAUUAUAACGAUCUUGAGAUUGCCUGCCUUCCUCGACGACCUGCACGAUGCGUUUGUACAAAUCAUCAUACCUGUGCACCGGAUUUUUAAUAUCAAUGCCACUGCAGCUGUGAUCAAGAACAUAAGAGCGUUUAACAUCUUUUCUCCAUCAAGAAAGAAUGUAGUGAGAUGGGAUCUCCUGCAUGCCACUCUGGUUUAGAACACAAAGAAUGUGUCUGCAUAAAUAUCCUCUGAAAUUGAACAACCCACAAACACAAAGCACCUCCAAGUCGGAGGCAUUGUACAAAACAUCGAAAAUAGUUAUGUUUUACAAUCUAUUAGACAUAUUUUAUUAAAUUAAUAUAAAUUUUCUAUAAAAUAAGAAUAUAAUAUUAAAAUAAAUUCACAAAAAAUUAAAGAAUUUUGAAUGUAAAAUAAUUUUAAUAGAUUAAUACGUGAGUUUUUUUAUUAAUAUAAAAAUUAUUUAACUUUAAGAUUUUUUAAAAUCUUUACAAUAAGUAUGACUAUAUUAUUUACAUUUAAAAAUAUUUAAAUAUUAUUAACCUACAAUUAUAUUUGCAUUUGUUAGAAUUUUUUAAGUCAAAUAUUUUGCACUUCUAUAUUAUUAGAAUUAUUGCACACAAAGAAAGAAACAUAUACCUUUAGAAAUUGUUUUCUUUUAAAAUAGAGAUGAUGAUUAGUAUAAGGAUGAAAAAAAUGAUAAAGAAUAUUAAUGAUUAACGAAAUCUCUAUACAAAUUGAUUUUAGUAGGAAAAGAGUGAGAUGAAUGAUUUCUUUUACGGUUAGAAACAUAGAUGAUGAUUAUUAUAACGAAGAAAAAAAGAUAAAGAAUAUUAAUUAUUAAUGGAAUCUCUAUGCAAAUUGAUUUUAGUAGGAAAAAAAAUGAGUUAAAUGAUUUAGAGUGCGUUUGGAAUUGAGAUUGGGCAGCCAUAGAUUUUAAGUUACAAUACUGAAGUGUUUGAUAAAUACUAGCUGCUGCAGAUUGAAAGUUAUAUUGAUAUGAUUUUUCACAUGUAUCAUAGAAAAUAUAUUACAUCUUUAAUAAUUUUUUUAAAAUUUAUAUUUGCUAUAUAUUAUUAAUUUUUUUUUAUAGUUAUAACUUUUUUUCCACAGCAGUUGUAGCUUAAAAGUCACAGCAUCUCAAUCUCAAACAAAUCCUUAGACAUUCAUAGUGUGUUUAUUUUUUGGAUUGGUGAAUCAAAAUUAUUGACAACGCUAACUUCAUCUUCAUUGUUCGCAAUCCAACAGCAGCAGCAAUUGUCACCAAUAAUGAUAUCUCCAAUGAUGAUGACAAUUAUUAUUAUUAUUAUUAUUAUUAUUAAUUUAUUAAUUAAUAUAUUAAUGUUAAUAAUAUUAUUAUUAAGAUUAACAAUAAUUAGUAGUAAUACAAUUUUUUGAAUAAAAAUAAUCACAAUAAUUAAAAUACAAAUUAAUAAUUAUGACAAUAGUUAAUUAAUGUCUUUUUAGUAAUUUGUAAUAAUCUAACUCAUUUUGAUUCUGAUUAUUACAGCUUAAGUAAACAAAUUAUUAUGAUUCCUAUUUUCCUUUCCUAUUUUAACUCACUUCGAUUCCAAUCUAUUCCAAUUUCUAUCUAAUAAAUGCACCAUUAGUGCUAAAGUAAUAUUUCAUACAUAGAAAAAUAAAAACUACACCUAAGGUUAAGGGAAAGGACUUCAAAACUCUCUUUUGAUCAUAAUACAUUUUGUCCUAAUUAACUUAAAGAUUUUGAAUCUAAUAUUUUAUAAUAAAUAAAAAUAUAUUCCUAAAAUAAAUAUAAUAUCAAUAUUUAAAAUAUGUUUUAAUAUUUUACAAUCUAUCAUACACAUUUUAUUAUAUUAAAGUAGAUUUUAUAAUAAAUACAAACGUACUAUUAAAAUUAAUAUAUAAAAAAUUUAGAAAAUUUAGAAUAUUAUAUAAAAUAAUUUUAAUAUAAUGCGUGAGAUAUAUUUUAUUAAUUUAAAAUUUUAUUUUACCUAAAAAUAUGAUAAAUUAAUAAUUACAUAUUUAAAGUUAUUUCAAAUAUUAAAAAAAUUUAAUAUUAUUAGUUUUUUAGAUAGAUUAAAUUAUUUUUAUAAGAGAUAGAUUAAAUUAUUUUAAAAUACCUUAAUUGUUUUUACUUUUAACGUUACCGGCCUUUCUUUUAUUUUAUUGUAAAUUAAUGCUAACAAGAAAAAGCUAGAUCAUAUUCCACAAAAGCAAAAGUGACAAACACAAUCAGCUGGAAUCUUUUAUAAAACUACAAAUUAAAAUGGUUUUUUUUUUUUUUUGAUAAAUUACAUAUAAAAGUGGAUUCUUUUGAAUAUAAGUGGGGUAGGCUCUUUUAUUUUUUUUUAAUACUGUAUAACAAGAUUGUAGACUCCUUGAUUAAGCACAAGUAUAAAGUAGUCGAGACGAUACUUUAUGCUAGGUGUCCAUUGAAUAUUAGAUCUUCAUUUCUUUGGCCAUUUAAUUUUUUCGAGAAAUUUUUCUUACGAUCCCGGCUAAGCUUGAAGAAAAGACAACUCAACGGUUUUUUUAAAACAAGUUUCCGUUUUGGUUGGUGAAAUGAAAACGAAAUAAAGCACUUCCAUCCAAAAAUCAUUCUUCUGGAGAAAGGGAUGACAGAUUAAAGAAAAGGGGUGUACUGAAAGGAGAAAAAAGGUUCUUGCAUGAGAGCUGGACACGUUAAAAGAAGUUGAACAAAUGUCUCAAAAAGAAGCUAUUUCGCUUUCAUACUAAAGCCUAUUUGUAAUAGCAUCAGCAAUGCUCCACUAUCCACAUUCUUGUGCGGAUAUCAUUGCAAUCUACUAAUGGUAUAUAAACAUGCAUGUUGUCCCAUGAUGAUUAAGUUAACACACACUUGGAGGUACUUAAAUUAUGCCAUAAAGAGAUAUAGUUAUUACGCAUACAAAUGUUAUUCAAUGGUUAAAAUGUAUGAUAAAGAAAUCGCUUGAAUUUUUUAUUUGCCGUUACGUAAUUUUUUUAUUGAUUCCGAGUUUGAAUCUUAAAAGAAAUAAAGGGUUAGAAAAUUAAUUUGAACUUUGUCCACUCUUUAACUUAAUGAGUAUAAAAACAGAAAAUGCAGGUAAUUUAAUUUUGACAUCUAACAUUUAAGAGAUAGAGCUUGAAAGAGUCCAAUAUUAAAUUAUAAAAUAAUUGAAAUAAAGUUUGCCCCAUAAGAAAAAUUGAACAAAAAAUCUUAAGUAUGAUAUGAUGCUAGAGAAAUUAUUUAUCUCAAAACUUUUAUUAGGUAAUUAAGUCCUAAGAAUAUGUAAUUACACAUGUAACAAAAAUUAGAGAUGAGGGUCUUUUAUUAAACUACAAAUUGUAUAGUCUUUUUAAAAUUGUUAUAAAUUGGUGGCCCCUACAAUCCUCAAUAAUUGUGCCGAUAUUCACAAGUUGGUGGCCCCUACAAUUAUCAACUGUGCAAGUGCUCAUUCACAAUCUUCCAGGUCAUGCUCUUAAUAAUUGUUUUUUUUUUCUGCAUUCCCUUUCAUGCUCUUAAUAAUUGAAGAGCAUACUUUUCAAAUAUGGAGCCGCAGCUAAUGUCGCUAAUUUAAUUUGGGAUUAAAUUAGGGGACCAUUAUGUUGCAGUGUGCACUAAUUUUUGUGUUUAUCUAAACUCCUUAAAUUUAAGACAUAUUACGGCAUAAAUAAGAAUAUAACAAUAACAAAAGAGUUAAAAAGUGUAGAGAAGAUCUUGCAGAAAUAUAAAUAAUAUCUAUUUUAAAAUAAUAUCAAUAUUUAAAAUAAUUUUUAAUAUUUUAUGAUCCAUUAGAUAUAUUUUAUUAUAUUAAAGUAAAUUUUAUAAUAAAUAAAACAUACUAAAUUUAGAGUAUUUUAAGUAUUAUAUAAAAUAAUUUUAAUAAAAUAUGUGAGAUAUUCAUAUUUUAUUAAUUUAAAAUACCAUUUAACCUAAAGAUUUAUUUAUGAUAAAUUAAUAAUUAUAUUUUUGAAAUUACUUCAAAUAUUAAAAAAAUUAAUAUUACUAAUCUAUUAGAUAGAUUAAAUUAUAUAUAUUAUUUUCUAUUUAUUAAAAAAUUUUAAAAUUAUUUUUAAUUACUAUUCAAAAAAUAUAAUGAUAAAAAAAAAUCUUAACAUCUUUAUUAAAAAUUUAAAAAUUUUCAUGAUCAAUUCUCUAAAUAUUUAGGGUAUAUGUGAACCACGGUGGAGAAGCUUUAUUUAAUAUUAUUGAUUUAAAUAAUAUGUGACAAAACAACUAGGUGGACUACAAAUUAAAGUGGAUUCUUUUGAAUACAAGUGGGACAGACGAUUAGGCUCUUUUUAAUUUUUAUUAAAGGCAAGUAAAAAGUAGUCGAAUAGUCUUUUUCAAAUUCUUGUUUUAUUGUUUUUCAAAACUAACAAGAAAAAGCGAGAUCAUAUUCCACCCCAAAAGCAAAAGUGACAAAACAACCAGCUGUAUUCUUUUAUUAAACUACAAAUUAAAAUGGAUUCUUUUGAAUACAAGUAGGACAGACGAUUAGGCUCUUUUUAUUAAACGCAAGUAAAAAGUAGUCGAAUAGUCUUUUUCAAAUUCUUGUUUUAUUAUUUUUCAAAAUUAGUUUUUGGUAAUUACUGUUUUUCCUUCAAAAGUUAGCGGUUCAUGUUUGCAAGUGUGAAUGUGCGAUGCUCUUUUCUUAAAGGCAAUUACAGUGGGGCCCGAAUGCCUAAAUCUUUUUAAAAUUUUUGCCGUAUAACGAACAGAGGUCAUUACUAAAAUUUCUCUUCCACAGCCUACAGCAGCUUCAGUUUAUCAAACUCAAUCAAUUUUCUUUCUUAACAAAAUUCCAAAGAUGUGUAGCAUUUUUCAGAUCGCAUGCGAUGGUGCUCUUUUCAAUCGUUGCUUGGAUUGCUUUCUUGGAAAAGCAGCAUACCUUCGUAACCUCCCAGAUAAUCUUGUAGACUUGGAGACUGAACUGGGAAGACUAAUCGCAGCAAAGAACGAUGUGAUGAUGAGGGUUGUCAAUGCUGAACGGCAACAAAUGAGAAGGCUGGGCCAAGUGGAAUGGUGGGUUUCGAGGGUGGAUGCUGUUAAAACUGGAGCCGAUGAACUUAUCACAGACGGCUCUGAAGAAAUUGGCGAAUUAUGUGUUGGAGGCUACUGUUCCAAGAACUGCAGGUCAAGCUACAAGUUCGGAAAACAAGUGGCUAAAAAGCUACAAGAUGUGAAGGCUUUAAUCGCCGAGGGAGUUUUUGAGGCGGUGGCUACUGAGGUGGUGCCCGAGAGAGCUCCGGAACCUGUAGCAGAUGAAAGACCCAUUGAGCGAACAGUAGUAGGCUUGCAAUCACAACUUGAACAAGUCUGGAGAUGUCUUGUAGAAGAAUCAGUGGGAAUCAUUGGCCUAUAUGGUAUGGGCGGUGUUGGUAAAACCACACUGUUGACCCAUAUCAACAAUAAAUUUCUUGAGAGUCCCACCAACUUUGAUUGUGUGAUUUGGGUCGUAGUUUCAAAAGACCUGCGACUUGAAAAAAUUCAAGACGAUAUUGGGAAGAAGAUAGGUCUGUCUGAUGAUUCAUGGAAGAAUAAAAGUUUUGAGGAGAAAGCUGUAGACAUCCUGCGGAGUUUAGGAGAGAAGAGAUUUGUAUUGUUGUUAGAUGAUUUAUGGGAGCGGGUUGAUUUAACAAAAGUGGGCGUUCCACUUCCCGGACCACAAAAUACUACCUCAAAAGUCGUAUUCGCAACCCGUUUCAUCGAUGUUUGUGGUAGCAUGGAAGCUGACAGGAAGUUCCUAGUGGCGUGCUUAUCAGAAAAGGAUGCUUGGGAACUGUUUCGAGAAAAAGUUGGGGAAGAAACUCUUCAGAGUCAUCAUGAUAUCGUUGAGCUAGCCCAAAUUGUGGCCAAAGAGUGUGGUGGUUUGCCACUCGCACUUAUUACUAUUGGUCGAGCUAUGGCCUGCAAAAGGACAGCCGAGGAGUGGAUACACGCAGUUGAAGUGCUAAGAAGAUCAGCUUUUGAGUUUGCAGGUUUGGGAAAAGAGGUGUAUCCUCUUUUAAAGUUUAGCUAUGAUAGUUUGCAGAAUGAGACGAUUAGAUCUUGUUUCUUAUAUUGUUGUUUAUAUCCCGAAGAUUAUGGAAUUCUUAAAUGGGACUUGAUUGAUUGUUGGAUUGGUGAGGGAUUCUUAGAGGAAUCUGACAGGUUUAGUGCAGAAAACCAAGGUUACUACAUUGUGGGCACUCUUAUUCAUGCGUGUUUACUAGAAGGGAUAGAAGAUGAUAGAGUAAAAAUGCAUGACGUUGUUCGUGAUAUGGCUCUAUGGAUAGCUUGUGAAAUUGAGGAGAGGAGACACUUUUUGGUUUGUGCAGGCGCUGGAUUAGAACAGGCACCGGCUGUUAGAGAAUCGGAAAAUGUGACAAGAUUGUCAUUGAUGCAAAACCAAAUUAAAAUUCUGUCGGAGGUUCCCACAUGCCCUGAUCUCCUCACUUUAUUUCUUGACUUUAAUGAGGAGUUGGAGAUGAUCGCGGAUGGCUUCUUCCAAUUUAUGCCUUCUCUCAAAGUUUUGAAGAUUUCAAACUGCGGGAAUUUUACUUUUCAAUUACCUUUGGGGAUGUCAAAGUUGGGUUCACUAGAACUUUUUGAUAUUUCACGCACCGAAAUACAAGAGUUACCAGAAGAGUUAAAGUUGUUGGUAAAUCUGAAAUGUUUGAAUUUGAGGUGGACAAGCAAGUUAAUUAGAAUUCCACGGCAACUAAUAUCAAAUUCUUCAGGGUUACGUGUGUUGAGAAUGUUCGCUACUGGCUAUGAAUGUUUUCAUGAAGCACCAGAAGACAGCGUUUUAUUUGGUGGGGGUGAAGUUUUAGUACAGGAAUUGCUCGGUUUGAAAUAUUUAGAGGUAUUGGAGUUGACCUUGGGAAGUUAUCAGGCUCUCCAAAUCUUUUUGAGCUCAAAUAAGUUAAAAAGUUGUAUUCGAUCUCUUUUCCUCCAGUUGGCCGGAGAUACAAAGUCGAUUAUUGAUGCUGCGGCUUUCGCAGAUCUAAACCACCUCAAUGAAUUAUAUAUUUAUGAAGGUAUUGAGUUGGAAGAAUUGAAGAUUGAUUAUACAGAGAUAGUACGAAAAAGGCGGGAACCUUUUGUUUUCCGCAGCCUUCACCGUGUUACCAUAUUUAGUUGCGGUAAAUUGAAAGAUGUGACAUUCCUCGUUUUUGCUCCAAACCUCAAGUCUCUUGAGCUAUUGCAAUGCGAUGCUAUGGAAGAAAUAAUCAGCGUCGGAGAAAUUGCUGAGACUCCUGAGAUGAUGGGACACAUAAGCCCUUUUGAAAAUCUCCAAAGUCUUCAUUUAUCGUAUUUACCAAUUUUGAGGAGCAUCUACUGGAAGCCAUUGCCUUUCACUCAUCUCAAAAAAAUGGAGGUACGUAGAUGCGAUCAGCUUAGAAGGCUUCCGCUCGAUUCCAACAGUGCAACAGAGCGUAAUGUUGUUAUUCGUGGAUACACACUCUGGUGGAACCGACUUCAAUGGGAGGAUGAAGCCACUCAAAUUGCUUUUCGUUCCUGUUUCCAACCUCGUUCCUGAGCAGUGGUCGCAAAAUUUGAUUUCUGGUGAGUGCGUUUGUCUUUUAAAAAGAAGAAUUUAAAAGAAAUUUAUUCUUGUCGUUUUCUUCACUGUUUUUAUUUGAUUUCUGGUUAGUUUCUUUCUCUCUCUCUCUCUCUUUGUCUUCUGCAAAUCACAAUUAAAUGUUGAAUUAAUGGAAUUGAUGCUCUGGUUUUUUACUUUUUGUUGUCAAAUUUUGCCCUGUUCUAUCUUCUUAGCGAUUUAAUUUCCUGUCAAAAGACGAGCGAGAAGAACAUAUAUAUGACUUAAACCAAUUGAUACUUUAUUUAUGUGCAUUGUAUGUAAUAAAUAUUAAGUAUACUUUAUUUUUGCCCUGUUCUCUGUUUUUAUUUCAGUCUCUCUCUCUCUUUCCUGUCUUCUGCAAAAUAUAAUCAAUUAUUUUCAAAAUAUCAUUGAUGAUUUUUCUGCUCUAAUGCUAUGUAAAUAGUAUGUUAAGUAAAACAUAAUCAAUUAUUUGUGUUUUAUCUCUAAUUAGAACAUCAAUCAGUUCAGUACCUCACAAAUAAUUCGCAAUAUCUACAAAAUACUAUAAUGGCUACAAAACAAAUCCUGCUUGCAAAUUGUCAAGGAUACCUAUCCGUUCGCUUGACAAGUCAUUUGAAUAAAUAUUGUUCACAUUCCUUACUCUAUCAAUUAUCCAAAGCACCAUCAAUGGUCCUCAACUUUAGUUUGAAUAGUAUACAUGCCAUCACCAUUACCAAGAAUCAAGCAUGGAAGAGUCAUUCUAUAGAGUUAAUCGAAGCAAGGAAUGAUGUAUCAGAAAAUAUUUGGUGGAGAAUUCAGCACAAACAUAUUUUGGAUGAUCAGAAUCAAUAAAACCUGGUGGUUGCGCCAUAUAAACAUCUUCGGAAAGCUGACCUUGAAGAAAGGCGUUAUUGAUAUCCAAUUGACGAAGAGGCCAGCCAUGACUAACAUCAAUACUAAGAACAAGCCGUACUGUGGUGGACUUAACAACUGGACUGAAAGUGUCAUAAUAGUCCACACCAGGCCAUUGAUUGAACCCUUUGGCAACAAGAUGAGCUUUAAACCUGUCAACAGAACCGUUGGAAUGUCUUUUAAUACAAAAAUCCAUUUGCAGCCAACAAUAUUGGAAGGGAUGGGAGGUGGAACAAGCUUCCAUGUCCCGUUACGAACAAGAGCAUCAUACUCUUCUGACAUAGCUGGACGCCAGUGAAGAUUUUUGAUAGCUUGCGUCACAGUUGUAGGUUCACAAUCAGAAGAAGGGCUAAAAUGAGCACGGAGGUUAAGUUUUUGUAACGGCUUGUGAAUCUUAUUUUUAGCUCGGGUAGUCAUAUCAUGAUGACUUGUGGGGCAAUGAUCUAGUGGAGUUUAGGAAGAUGAUUGAACAGGAAGUGAAGAAGUGCUUUGUGUAGAGGUAGAAGUAGGUUGGGAGGAUUGCUGCGGAGAUGUUACCGGUAGAGAAGAAGGAGCAGUACACGGUGGCAACUCCAGAGGGCCCACAAUAGAUGGAGUAGGUGCCGACAAUGGAGUACUAGGAAAUGAAACAGGAAGAAUUGGUGGAACACUUGCGUAAUUAGGAGUGGUAGAUGAGCUUGUAAUGAUUUGUAUGGAAAAACAAACUCUACAAAUUUAACGUGACGUGAAAUAAAAAUUCAACCCGAUUGCAUAUUUAAGAACAUCUCAAAUGAAUUGCUUACUGCUAUCAUCAUCAUUAUUGUCUAUAUAAUAAUGGAUCUUUAUUAUAUAUAUGUUUCCACUAAAAUAUAUUUAAUUAUUCUUUAUUUUUCUAUUGUUGCGUGUAAGAUUUAUUUGAGUUCUAAGUUAUAUCAAUACAAAUGUUAUCUUAUCCAUAAAAAGUUAGAUCCAACAAUUAUGAAAAUUACUAUAGAGUUGCUUUCAAUUAUUUUUUUAAAAUACCAGGAGUAAAUAAUAAUUAGUUCAAAUGGUGGAGACUAAAAUGCGUUCACCUUUAUUUUUUAUCUGUUAUUUACUUUUGUCAUUACAUUAAUGCACAUGCUAUACAUUUGAGACAUUCCAUUAAUUGCCAAUUAUGUAUGUGAGAUAGUAAUUUAAAUUAAAAAAUAAAAGUGAAAGUUAAUCCUAUGCAAUGUGAAUAAAUUUCUUUCCUUUUUCCUUUACUCUUUUUAUUUGACAAUAAAGUUUCCAUCUAUCAUCUAUCAUCUAUGUACACAAAAUUUCUGCAACAAGUACAAAACAUAAAAAUAUAUGAAUAUUAAGGGAAACACGCAGAAGUUCAUCAUUUCAAUGUUCAGUAUUACCAAUUUUGGCAUUAAGCUUGUACGAAUAUAUUCUACUUCGAAAGCAAAAUAUUAGACUCGUGAUUUUAAUUCAUUCAUUAUCUCUCAUUUUAAUCCCAAAAUAUUCAAGAGUAUCCAAGUUACCAUAAGACUUCAGAGGCUCGAGCCUUAGCCAGAGAUGGUUAAUUGAUAGACUAUGUGCCUGGGUCGAGCACUGGAAGCCUGCAAUGCAGACUGAUUGAUUUAUCAGUUUAACGUGUGCCAGGAAUGAAGAACUGGAAUAUCACCGUCAAGCAAGCACCCUGUGGAGCAAUACCAAAGAAUGCACAAUCUGGCUUUGCUAGGUGACCCUGGAGGCUUUUUGAAAAGUGCUUCAUGCUCACUUGCACAGAUUGAGCAUCCCCUCUGGAUAUUGCCCUCUCUGAUCGAGUCUGAGCACUCAAAUUUCGGUCCUCAGAUGGAGCUACAGCUUUCUCUCCAAUAACCAACAAUUUUCUAAACUCAGCACCUAGUGUGAUCAGAGUUGUUGAUAUUUGCAAAUGGAGAUCCCCAUAUUUGCAAAUGGAGACAUUUAACAAAUCACCAACAUGCUUCAUCCGGUCCACGAAAUUCUGCAACUGAUUCAAAUCUGGAACCUGAACCAGAGUCGGAGGUAUAUCUUGAGCCAUAUCUAAAGCAGUUUGAAGUUCAAGACCUUGAGCCCUUGACAAUGGUUUUGAAAUUGGAACAUCUUGGAUUACUGCAGACUUGUACCCCUUGGUUUCAAAGGUAAGGAAAGGCAUUGCUUGAGUACAAUUUGGAGGCAGCUUCUUCACCAAUUUUAUUUGGAGGCAAUUGGCAGCGGAUCCAGCUGCACCAAUUUCAGAGCAACUACUGACACUACUUCGAACAGCACACUGACGAAGUGAUAUGUCUACGGCAAAGGCAAUGCAGUCCUCAUUUUGGCUUGAGAUGCAGUAAUCAUCGAAGAGAGUUUCCUUGUGAAACUGGGCAACACAUUGAAUCCCUUCGCCACUGAGAAGGUUGUGGAGGAAGUAAGCUGUCUCUCUAGUGAGGAAGAGGUGGCAUACCUUCCCCAUUUUGUCUAGGGCAGGUAGGAAUCUUUUUUCUAAGAGAUUUACUUCAUUCUCUGUGAGAAAUGCUUUGAACUUCAUCCCUCUGUCUCUAUCCUCACUUAUCAGGAAAUAAGUUGAAAGCACUAUGAAGAGAGAGAGAGAGAGAGAGAGAAUUAAGAUAUAUAGACAAGAAAAUAAUUAGACGUUGAUCUUACAAACUAAUACUUCAAGCAGUAUCCUAGAAAGCUAAAAACUGCAAGAUGGCUUGAAAUUUGAAAAGAGCACAUGGUUUUCCUCCUUAACUUGAGAAAAUGUUUAAUAUAGUGCACCUUACAGAAGCAUUUAAGCAAUUAGAACUUUGCACAAAAACAUCAAGAAGACUAAACAAAUCAGAUGCAGUGUAUUUGUCCAAGCACAAAUUGCAUUUUGUCCUCAACUUUAAUAUUUAUUGAUGAGAAUCAAUACAGGUCCCUCAUUUGUUAUAGAAAGCUUUCUUGUAGUCUCACCAGUUAAUUCACAGGUCUAUAAUCAUCUUGCAAAGUUAAGGGCAUUUCUUUCGAUCUAAAGUCUUUGCAUCACCACCUCAUCACACGCCAAGCCAAUAUUCCAUUUACCUCUACAACAAAAAGUUUUUAAGUAAAUAAUCCUAAUGCACGCAGCCGAAUAAAAUGCAGUAAGAAUAUUCAACUUAAAAAUCUGAAAGCCAACUUGGUGAAUUGCCUCCUUAGGUGAAGUUCCAUGCUUUACUAUAGUUGACAGAACUCAGCAAAAGCUUCCAUACAACAGAUUUUGAAAAUGAUGAUGCCAAUAGAUACUCAUUCAAUCCAUUGAAACUCCAAAGGUUCAUUGUUCAUAGAAGUUUACAGAGUUUUGGUCAUCAAAUAGCUCAGACCUAAUCCCAAACAAAAAACGAGUGAAAAUUAGAUCACGAGCAGCUAAUUGUAAAUUCUAACUUAACUCUUCAUCUCCUUUGUAAACAAGAAACAAAAUGGAGACACGCAAAAUGAAUAUGGAGAAAAUUUGAACUCAAAUGAAAUGAGGGCACGAAAGCAAACAAAUGGCAUGCACAAAAAAACCAAGCCUCGAUAAAAAACUAAUUAACCAUUAAGAAAAAAAUUGGUCAGAGAAUGAACUCCAAAUUCAGGAGUCAAGCAAGAAGCUUUCAUUAUUUCAGAAGCUCCUGUACAAAUUAAUAAGUUAUGCUCUUUGGAAGCAAACCUAAAUUCCAAGAGAAACAGAACCCAAAAAAUUUGCAAUUAUACGCAAAGGAAGUGAAGCACAGGAUUCUAUCACACAUAGGAAUUGUAUAACAAGAGAUCGAUAUAUCGAAUUAGAAAACUCAAUUCGAAUUUGUGUCAAAAAUCAAAAUUAGAAGAUUUCACAUUUCGAGAGGAACAAGCAACAGAUGAAGUUCAAAAUUUCAGCCAUAACAUGCUAAAAAUGCUACACUUAACGGUUCAUUUUCAUGGAUUUUCUCGGGAAACAAACAGAAAAUUACGGUUUAGAGAGUUGACUGACCUUUUGGCUUUUGAAAUUGACCAGAUCGCGCGCCAAAUUGGAAGAGGGAAAGUGAAAGCGCGAGUUUUAAUAUGGGUAUUAGAUAAGGAAAUUUUAUUAGGUUGCGAGGGUAAAAAAGGAAAGAGAUAUCAUUAUUUUAUUAUCGAUAAUUAUUAAAUUUUUUUCCAAAAAAAAGAACAAGCAAGGAUUUUUUAUUGUCAUCACUAAGUUAAAAAAAAUUGUUUCAAAAUUACUUGAGUCAUAUCCAAUGGACCAACAAAGUAAUCGUUUUUAUUUUUAUUGAUUUUUGCAGGAAAUUAAUAACUUAAAAAUACUGAAAGCUACUGUAAAAAUUUUUAUUAUCAACCUCAUAAUUUUUUUUUUUUGGGGAAGAGAAUUCAAACUUUUUUUUUAUGAAUAUCGCUGUUUCGUUUGAGUUGGAUGUGAAUUCAAAUCCAAAUAUUCUUUGUUUUUCAAUUUUGAACUCAAUUUCUUUUUCUCAAGAAUGUUAUGCAGAAAUAAUUUUUACUAAAUCUUUUUUGAUGAAUUGUUUAAAUUAAACAAUUGGAAUAAGAAUUGUAACGAUUUAUCAUAAGCGUGCUAAUAUGAUAACUUGUUUUACGAAGGAUUAAUUAAUCAAUUAAUAUUAAAUUAUAUAUUAGUCAAUUAGAUAUGUGUUACAUUUAUCAUGUUUUGUAGGUGAUAGUACAUCAUUUCUAAAAGAAUAUAGUACGUUAAAAUAUUAUUUUAAUGAAGAAAAUUUUAUUAUUUUAUUAUUAGGUGACACAAUAAUAAAUGGAUUUCUGUAAGAAUUGAGAUUCUUGAUAUAAUUAUUACAUAAGGAGAAGUUUAGUUGGUUCAAUUUUGACGUGAUAAGAAGACAACACAGCACAGAAAACCCAAAUUGCCACUUCCACUAAUAAAAGAUACCUGUUUGAAAAGUAAUUAUAAACUAUCUUCUUUGUGUUAUUUCUCAAAACUUUUGUGGCACAAAUGUUAUUUCCAUUGACAACAGUACGAAAUACCACCCCUUUCACUUGAGCAGGAGCAAAGCAAAGGUAUGAUGAGCUAUCUCUGUAUAAUUGAAACGCCAUUACUAAACGAUUCUUGAUGAUGGGAGCCACCGUGCCAGCUUUGUCGCUGAUUUGCAUGAUUUAUUAGUUGUCCAGAUGGCGGAUUUUGUACUGUUACCUUCGUUUCAUUCUUCAGAGCCAUGUACUGUUCUAGGAUACCAGAGAAACCAAGGUGGCAUUGAAGUUGCCCUGGUGGUUAGUUUUCCGAUCAUUUUUUUAUUCAAUUAUUUAUGUUUUUAGAAAAAUGUAGGAAAUAUGUAGAAAUGUUGACAGCUAUGAUUUUGAAACUUUUGCCUAAAAUUGUUAUCAUUACUUGUUGUUUCUUAUUUAAAGAGAAAUUCUAGAAACAUGAAAUGAUUAUUCUACGCUUGUUUUAAUAUUGUGCUAUGAAGAUUACGAAGGUUUGAUUAUAUGUCACUAUCAAUUGCCUUAAUCGUUUGUCGUAAAUCAAUUAAGCAUUUUGAUGCGAAUGAUUCCCUAUUAAAAAAUUCAAGUCAGAGCUGAAUUGCAAAGUAGUUAGUCGUGCUUGCAAUUCAAAUUAAGUAUUGUAUUUUCUCCCUGAUUUGGUUGAUUCAACUAUGUGCAUUUGCUUAUGAACGUUGCAGUAUAGAAAUCGAAAUAUCUUGUCUUUUGCUAAGCCCAGAAGCAAAUUCUUUGUAUUCUACUCAUCAGUUUUCUUCAUUCUCUUUGUUGAAAUUUUAUCUAAACAGCGGUUUCUUCGAAUUUAUGCCUUCGCUUACUCUUUUAAAUUUUAUCCAAACAACGGUUUUGAAAUUGUUUUCACUACAAUACCUUAGUCUUUCAGAUGCUCCCGUCACUGAGUUGCCAGAAGAGCUAAAAGCCUUGGUAAAUCUUAAGUGUUUGAACCGGAGUACACAAAUUAUCUCUCUACAUUUCCAAAGCAAUUGAUUUGUUACUUUUCGAUGCUACAUGUUCCGCGAAUAUUCAGUUGUGGUUAUCUUGUUCAGAUACCAGAAAAUAGCGUUAUAUUUAGUGGUAAUGAAUUCUUGGUUUGGGAGUUGCUUAGUUUAAAACGUUUAAAUGUAUUAAGCAUCAUCUUGAAAAGUUUUUCUGCUGUCCAAAAACUUAUGAGCUUCCAAAAGUUUCAAAGCUGUACACAAUGCAUGGAGCUUGUAGACUGUGAUGAUCCAAAGUCAUUUGCCGUGGCAGAGUUGAAGCAUCUUGAAAAACUAGGUUUUUCAAGUUGUGGAAAUUUGGAAGAGUUAAAGUUCUGCUGUGUCGAAGUUGCAAAGGCUCGAGAAUGUUUUCGUUUGAACAGCCCUCACUGAGUUAAGAUGAAGGCUUGUCAUAAAUUGUGGGAAGCGACAGGUUAUUCAAAUAGAAAAAUUUAUGGAGAUGGAUGUUAAUCUUAAGGUUAUUCAAUUAGAAAAAUUUGAAUAAAAUUUAUGGUAAGUGCUUUUCCAUUUAUUGCAUAUUUAUAUCUAAUUUUUAUUUUCCUUUAUUGUUAAAUUUUGGUCUCUAUUUGUUGUUGUAUGGUGGCAUUCUUGUACAAUUAUUAGCUUUUCAUUUCUCUUCUCACAUUAACUGCCCUUCUGAUCAUGUAGGAUUUGCUGAUGCAAAGAGUCAUAAUUUGGGAUACAAAUGUAAGAAUUAGACAGAUGACAUGUUGUUUUGAAGCUCUCAAAGAAGGACUAAUUAUGUCAUUGAAAGCCUCCAAUUUUGUGAUUGGUUUCUUUUUAUUUUAUUUGUUGUUUUCUCUAUUUUCAGAUCACUUAAUUGUUAGUUGUUGUAAUGUAAUGUUUUAGUAUAGCAAAUUAUAUUCGGCCAAGACAGUGAUAGGAGGGCACAUUGUGCAUGCACACUAGUGGAUUUGGCAUGCCAAAUCCAAUUAGGAUGGAUAACACUUUAUAAGCAUUAGGCUUCUCUCAUACCUGAGUAAUAUAGAAUAUGUUUAUAAGUUGUGAAUCACCCUUUACAAGUGUUAGGCUUCUGCUAUACUCAGUGAUGUGAAAUAUAUUUAUAAGCACUAAACUUCUCCCAUACACUUUAUGUUAAUAAUAAUAAUAAUAAUAAUAAUAAUAAUAAUAAAAUAAUAAUAAAUAAACCCAUUUUAACAGACUCUUUUUUCUUUUUCUAUAUGAACAAAUGCAUUCUUCAAAGCAACUGUGGGGAGAAGAAGUGAGUAGAGAAGAACUGAGCCCCUGUCAUUCCCCUAAAACCUCACCAAAACCUCUCUUGUAAGCUUCUCGGAUUUUCUUUCUAUAUUUCUUAGGAACUCAUUUUUUAUUGAAUCACUUAUUUUGCAUGCUGCAUUUUUUGGUUGUCGUAUUUGUGUAUUAUCUUAUCUGGAAUGCUGUUAUGAUUGAUGGAACAAGUAAUCGAUUUUUGGUCUAAUGGAAGUUGAUUUAUUUAUUUAUUGUUGUUUUUAUUUGAAAUUAUGUACAAUUGUAUUUCAUUCAUUUCUCUCUCUUUUGCUUUUUUCCCCCCAUAUAUUUGUUAUGUAUAAUUGCGUUUCAUUUAAUAUUGAUCAUACUGUAGGUAACCAUGUGAUUGUAGAUGGGGAUUUCGAGUUUGUUGAAUAUUCAUGUAAGUGAAGUAACCGUCACAAUACUAGUGAAAUUGGGAGCUUUAUUCAUGAGUUUGUGGUUUUGAAAAGUACCACAGUUCAACUGGUGAAGGCUCCGUUUUGGGAUUCUUCUUUUUCUAGGCUGCAAUUAGGAUAUGUACAUGAUAGACAAUCUUUUGUUGGUUUAGCAUAUCUUCGCUGAUUUUGUCUUUUAUUCCCCAAUUUUAUAAUUACACACCAUGAAUGUUGGGUGAUUGUAUAGAAAAUUUGUGUUAUAACAAAAACAUUGUGAAGGAGUUUCCGUGCUAAUAGUUAGUGGCUUCUGUUUUAUUGGCAUUGAUUGGGUAGAUUACGUGUUACAGUGAUUCAAUUUGUGUUCCAAACUUUGCUUUAAUUUUCUGUUUUCCCCAACUAUUUAUGUCAAAUUUAAAUCCAGAAGCAUGUGCUGAUUUUUUCUUUUUGUAUUAAUCUGUGAAGUUUAUUUGGAAUGGAAGUAACUGGGUCGGGUCUAAUGGAUUAAAUUAUGACAUUGAGGGGAAGGCACUAAAAGGGUUUGCUUGACACAUUUGGUUCUGUGUUUACUCUGCAAGAAAUAACUUUUGCUUAUUGCAAUGCAGGGGGAAAUCCCGAUUUGGCUGGUGAAUUUCUCUGCAACAAACAGGCAAACACCUCAACAUCUUCUGUCCAUACUUCUGCUGGGGAGGCAAGGGGUAAAGAGUCUUCAAAAUCAUCAAAUAGUUACAUCUCUGAGAAUUCAUUUUAUGGAAAUGGAAAAUCUAGAGUUUCUAAUACAAAAUGGCAUCUGGUAUCAGGACGUACCGUUUCAAGUUUUCUUGGUAAAGAUUAUGUUAAACCUGCACAGCCAGCUAAUGGCACUUUUCUGGCAUCAAAGCCAUUGAAGUUGGAUCCAAGGGAGUUUCGCAUUUCUGCACUUUCAGAGAAGAAACUAAACCGACAAUCAAAGGAUGACCAUUUGCAGAAGGAUAUGGAAGAUUUUCUUUUUAAAUUGCUAGGAGAAGGGUUCCAGCUGUACAGGGAUGUGAUUCAGGAGGUUCAUGGUAACGUCUUAAAUAUAUUGAUGCCAAUUUAAUACAUAUUGUCCUUUUCAAUGUUCUUUCUUUCUUUCUCCUCUUUUUAUUAUUCUUCUUCUUCUUUUUUCUUUUCAUGUGCAUGUGAUCACUAAUUUGGUAUUAUUCUUGACUUGCAGAUAGUUGUGGAUAUGAAAUGCAAAAGGUAAGGGCUAUAUCUUCUUGAUGGAGGCCUCUGAUUUUUUAAAUCGCAUUUUCCUUUGUGAUUGAUAUAUCAUACCAAAGUCAAGUCUUAAAUACUGCUGUCAUAUGUUAAGGUUCAACUUCCAUUUUGAUUAACGUCGAUUUGCUACUGCUUCCAAAAGUGAGAAUGAGAUACUUUGGUUAAUUUCAGUAGUUGAACUCAAUGGAGUACUUUAUUUAGAUCUUCAUGGUUCAAAGGCCUGAAAAAACUUGCCGGUAUUUGCAAAAUGACAUCUGUGCUUUUAUUUAGACUUAUUAUUAAAGACAACAUUUUAUUUCAGCCAAAAAUGUUUGUUUCAAUUAAAGACUUGAACCAUUUUCAUUUAACCUGAUUGUGAUGCUUUACAUUAUGCAUGUUCCUCUCAAUCAAUAAAAGUUGAGGUCAUGAUUUUAUAUUUCUAUUUUGUAACUUGAAAUAAUUGGUCUGCCUGUUUCUGUUGCUUGAUAACAUGAAUUUUUCCUUCUGAAGUUAAUUUGAUCAAUAAAGUAAUUCUUCGGAGAGGAUAUGCCCAUUCUAUAGUCAUUUUCUUAGCUAACAUGUUUUUUCUUCACUCUUCAAAGCAUGUCUAAACUAAUUGAUCGCUCAGCGGAGACUUUGGGUGAGAAGACAAAAUUUCUUGGUAAAUCCUCUGAAAAGGUAUGCAUAAUUCCCGAGUAUUAAAUAAUCAUUGGUCAUAAUUUUUGUACACGACUCUUGUUUUGGAGAUCGUUAAAAGUGGUUGAUGAUCUAUUUUGUAAUAUCAUAGAGGGAUCAUGAAUUCCUUUUCUUUUCUGUGGCUAGGCAACACUUUCGAGCCAAGCUAAGGAAAUCUAUUUUAGGUAAUGUGAAAACUAGUUGUAGGAUGUAAUAGUUUAUUAUGCCCUGACAAUAACUUUUUGUAUAAUUGUCAGUUUAAUGAAUACAAGAGGAACUCUGUUGGCAAGUUCAUCCAUGAUAGAUGCUAAAAUUAUUUAUGCAUACCAGUUGCCUUAACUAAUUUUUCUCAACACUGGUAUUGAACAGGAAAAUGAAUAUGCAAUUUGUAUAUUGUGCCAUUGUGGAGAAUUUGGAUAUUCUUAUUUAAGUAACAAGGAGAGUAUUUGCCUCAUCUUUAAACAAUGAAUCUUUGAGAAAUGAGGAGUGGGUGAUUGACAGUGUCUUCAUGUAAAUGUUCAUUUAUUUGUAUUUUGAACUAUUAUGAGAAUCUUUGUAUGCCAAAUUAGUAAUACAAAUGUUCAGAUGAUUUUUCCUGUUGAUCAUGCGUGUGUAUCUGCACACAACCAUUGUGUACCACUUUAUUCUGAUGCACAAAUAUCUGUAGUUUAGAAGAAAAGAAAUAAUAAUCAUAUAUUAUUGCUUGGUUCAUGAUUAUUAAAUGAUUAUGGCUUUAGAAAAUCCACAAAUCCUUUGUGUUCAUAUAUGAAUGUGCGAAGUUCGCUAUAUCUUAGAUUACCUUCUUCCAAGAUAACAAGUUCAUAUAUUUUUUUUAAUCCUUUUUCAUCACAGUUGAAUUUCAAGUGUAAGUUUUGUUAUUAAUAGCUGGUUUCCUGUUAUUAUGAUUUCAUAAACAAUGAGAGGAUAUGUGCUCUACUUUUGGAUGGCCUCCACAUAAAAGAAAAUUGCAACAAUUGAAUUCUUCUGGAGGGUAUGGUAUUUAAUUUAUUUUCUCAGCUUGUUGUAAGACUAAUAUAUUUCCUUCAGUACGCACGGCAUGGUGGGAAGGGUUUUUAUUGAAAGAAUUAUGAUAUUUCUUAGACUUUGUUUUGGAAGGGGGUGGAGGGAUUUCUCAUCCAUGUAUGGUUACUUGAUUAGCUUUUGACUGUACUGUCUCCGUCGUGCAAAGGAAAAUCCAAAUACUAACGAAGGGGAAUUGCUUAGGCACCCAAAGGACAGAAAUGAAUUACGGAAGGAGGUUUUUGCUGCUUUAUUUAGUGCUGCUGAGAAAUCUGAUGAAUUUCCUGAAAUUACGGUGAAGACGGAGUGGAGGUCCAACGCAUUAGGAAAGGUGGUGAGUGAACCGCCAGAGGAAUUAGUACCAGAAUACAAGGCUAAUGUGGUGCACUGGCAGCAAGAUGACCAGACCUGUAUGUGCUCUUAUAUUAACUAUAUUGGCUGGAUUUGUGAGUGUGUUCAUUUUUGUGUGUAUACUCACUUUUGUAUUUAUGCAUAUUCACGUGUGUAGGAUUCUCGAUUUCUGCCACUUACUGGAGAACUAGUGGAAAGCUUUAUACUGAUAUAUGUGCUAUAUAACUAAUGGAAACUACAAUAUGAAUAUUUUCUCUCACCUGGAGAGCAGUGUAACUAAUAUAAUUUGUGGCUCUGGAAUACUGAAGAUUCUGCAAUAACUAAUGGAAAAUAUGAUAUGAAUAUUUUUUCUCACCUGGAGAACUUUGUAACAGAUACAUUUUGUGCUGGAAUGUCUAAAGAAUGCUUCAGUUUAUAUCAAAUAUCUUUUAGUUAGAAAAGAUAAAAUUCUCUGAAUCUGAAAGACUGAAACAUUUUGCAUAUUUCGUGAAAGGCAAGUAUCUGUAGAUACUAGCUCAUGCAUUGAGGUAAUAUCAAUGUUAAAGAAAAACAGCAAUAAUUUAUUAUACAGAAUUAGGUUCACUUGCUUUAAAUGCUGGUCUGAUCAACCAUAUCAACCUGUAAUGGUCCUGCAGAAAUAUAUAUACGGGGAGAAACUAGCUAAUUUUCCUUUCACUUAUGGGUUUGGUCUUUUUUUCCCCAAUUUUUCAGCUUUCCUUCUCCUGAAGUAUGUUAAUAAUUGCAGAUAAUGGCGAAGAGGACUGCUUCCAGGCUACCGGCAAAAACUUUGUGAAAGCUUUGGAGUUAAACAGGGAAUUCACUUACUGCUAAGGACAAUUGGUGGCGAGCUAUUUCAUUCAUUUUAUGUCCAUACAUCUAUUUAAUUAUUAAAGAUAAUGUACGCAUUUGUAAAUUUCAGAUUGUGUGUCUCUGAAAAUAACAAUAUUUAAAAUGUCUCUUAAAUUAUUAUAAAUUUUAAUUUACUCUCGAUUUAAAAUGGAACAUGUUGGUGAAAUAUUUUUUCUUCUUAAUAAAAUUGAAAUAAAUUAUGUUAGCAGUAGUUUGAAAUAUUUUAAAGAUGAUUAUUUUAUAAGGGAGUAAUAUGAAAUGAAAUUUACUUUUCAUGCGUGAAAUGUUGAAAAAGGACAAAGCAAGUGUCCCUGCUUUUAUUUUAUUUCAAAGUGGAGUCAUCUCACAUACUUUAGCUCUAUCAUUAGGAGCCGGCUAAGUUACGUUAAACGUAAUUUACGCCAGGCACAGCAAUAAUGACAAGUCCCAUGACUAGUAUUGUUGCUGUGUCUGACGUAAGUUACGUUUAACGUAACUUAGCCAAAGCCCUAUCAUUAAUAUAUAUUUAAAUUUAACACAUGCAUGUGGGUUACUUUUCCGUAAGUUCCUUAAUAUAUAUUUAACACAAAUCAUGGAAGAGAUGGGAGUAUAUCAAGAUGAUCAAAGCAUGAAACAAAAAUAUUUAAGAAGUAAAACACUGAAAAUGGAGAAGAGAUGCAAGCAAAAGAUAUUCUAAAGAAAAGCAAUCUAUCCCCUUUCGAGGGCAAACUUAUCAGGUUUAAGAAAAGUACAUGCUUUGGAUUGGUAGUUGCAGCCUUGCAGGAUAAUUGUUUUUGCCACUAUAUUAGUUGGAGGAGUUGAACCCAGUGAAGAAUGUUAUGGAAGAGCAAAUGAUAUUUCUGAUAGACUCUAUUUGAUUAUGUAGCCUGAAUAGAUGUCUUGUUGAAAGAUAUAUCAGUGCAUUAGUUCAUCCUUGUCUGUCAAUGUGUUUUUAAUGGUUUUUCCAAUUGUUUUUUUUUUUUUUGAAACUGAUUAAGCAUCAGGUUACUGCAUUACACAGAUAUAUAUACAACUGCUAUGACAGCAGGUCAUUACACUGAUAUUUACAAUCAGAUAUAUAUACAUGGGACUUAUAUUAUUACAUUUUUAUUCUAUGAAGUACAUGCCCAUCCCAAAUACCCCUCACGGAGGAGGGAUGUCUCUACUCCACUCGCAUUUCGCAAGGGAGAAAGACGUUUAUAGAAAUCUCCACACAAUUAUGUUUAAUUGGAGGAGGUUGAGUCCGUGGGGACUCGAACCAUUGCCCUCAAAGUCAUGCUUAACUUUGAGGGCAAUGGUCCACCACUGGGCUACAAGCCCAAGUGGCGGUUUUUCCAAUUGUUUAUUGCUAUAGAUUGAUUGUAAAUUGAUGUGAACUUAAUGUUGAAAUAUUUUCUCUUUAGUGGAAUGAAAGUUAAACAUUCAAGAUUAGAUUAUUCAAGGUCCACAUAGUAUGUGUUCCGUUGUGUUGUCUGUAAUUUUGCAUUUAAAUAAAUUUGAGUGCUGCCGUUUCGCUCCCACAAUCUCUCGCCUUUUUUUAAUUUUAAAAAUUAAAAUAUUAAUAAAAAACAAUAAAGAAAAUCGAAUCCUUUAUGUCAUUCCAUCUUUACAACUCUCUCUCACAAACUCCAUCUAACAGACUUCUCUCUUACUAUCUCGGUCGAACAAGACCAGUGACAAUGAUGACACGACCGCCGACGAUGAGAUGGUCAUCGCUAAAGAAUCGGGCCGUGUAUUUUACAAUUUCUUGGUUUGUGACAACAAUGGAAAACUCCUGAAAAUUUUGAAUUUGUAGUCGAGCAAAGGAAGAAGCAAGUUAUCUUCAAAGCAUUUUCCAGUAAUAGCUGAUGAAAUUUAAUACUUCAAGCUGGCCCUUUGCUGUCACAACUAGAUGCAUUUGCACUGUCAUUACAAUUUAUGGAAAUUAAAGUAAUUAAUGGUUCUAAUUAAUAGCUUCCCAAAAAACCAAUCUGCCCUUGUGAGAACCAAAGCAUUAAUUUCUUGUAAGAGCUGCAGAAGGCCAGAGAAUUUCAGAUCGUGAAAAGGAGUGUGUGAGUGAGAGAGAGAUCGUGAAAUAGUGAGAGACAAUGAGAGAGAGAGCCGCUCGACUGAGAUGGUGAGAGAGUUGCAAAAAUGGAGUAAGGAGCAGAUAAGAUUAUGUUUUCUUUAUUAUUUUUUAUUAAUAUUUUAAUUUUUUUAAUUAAAAAAGGGCGAGAGAUUUUGGGAGUGAAACGGCAGCAUGUUCCAAUAAAUUUUUACCAAAGUUUCUCUCGUGUUUCUCUCACCUUUCUAGAUACCAAGCAUUUUCCAAUAAAUUUUUACUAAAAACUUAGCAAGCCCUUGAAACUUUGGUCAAAAUUAUUGUUAUUAUUACUUUUAGAGGAAAAACUUUUAUUAAAACCUCAUUAACACAAUUCUUAAUUAAAAUUAUAAGUUUGUGUUGGUGUAAGGAUUUGCAGGAGCAAUUACUGCCUAGCCAAGUGUCAAAAGCACAAAAUAAAUCAAGAGAAAGUAGACAUGAAUUAGGAUCCAAUGAAAUUUAAAUCCCGGAGAAAAGAAAUAAUCAUGCAGAUUAUCAAGAUUUCAAUAAGGGAUAUUGAUAUCCUAUUUUGAUUAAUAAUAUCCUUUUACUGUGUUAACUCAAAAAAUAUGUAUAUUCUAAUAUUUUACAAUAAAUAGAAAUCUAAUAUUAAAAUAAAUGUGAUAUAUAUAUAUAUAUAUUAAAUAAUUUAAAUAUAAAAAAUAUUUUAAUGUUUUACAAUCUACUACACAUAUUUUAUUAAGUUAAUAUAAUUUUUCAAAUAAAUAGGGACAUAAUAUUAAAAUAAAUUUAUAAAAAUUUAAAUUAUUUUGAAUUUAAAAUAAUUUUAAUAUUAUUAAUAUGUUAGAUAUGUUUGAUUAAUUAUAAAAAUUAUUUACGCAAAUUUUUUUAAUAUUUUCAGUAGAUAUAAAUAUAUUACUUACAUUUUGAUUAUUUAACUAUUAUUAUUCUACAAUUAUUUAUAUAAUGUUUGCACUUAUUAGAAUAUAUUUAAAGUCAAAUCUUUUGCACUUCUACCUAGCUAGAAUUAUUGGACGCAGAGAAAUAAGCAUAUAUGCUUUAUAACUUUAGAAAUCGAAUUAUCUAUACAAAUUGAUUUUAGCUGGAAAAAAAGUGAGCUGAAUGAUAUAGGCGAUUAGUGUGGUAAUAUUUCAUAGAGUUAGACUAUUGAAUUUGGCACCCCUCCAAUCUUCUCAUGAUUACCUUUUUGAGUUAUUAAUACACUUCUAAUUUUUCGUUUAAUUUUUUUUAUUGUUAUACUCAAAGUAGUAUUGUGAUAUUUUAUAUUUCUUUUGCAAUCUUAUUAUUAUUUUACACAAAAUUAAAAAGUUUUCUAGGUGAUGAACUUUUGAGUUUUGAACAUUAAUCAUUGGCUUAAAUUUCAUAUAUUUUACAUUAUAAUUUGAAAUUAAGUACGAAAAUAUUUAAUAAAUUAUGAAAAGAUUAACAGAUUAUUCUAAAUUGAUACAACUUAUUUUAGUUAAAUAAAAAGUAACAGGUAAAAAAAAAAAGGAUUGGUUAUGAAAUUUGUUGGAAAAAAAUCUGUGUGUGUUUAAUUUUUAUUUGUCCUUAAUUGUAAUUUAUUUGAAGUGAGGUUUUAUAAGGAUAAUGAAGGGGUGCCAUAGUUUCACUCUAUUUCAUAUGGAGAGAGAAGUAAAAGGUACACCUGAGGUUAAUGGAAAGGACUUCGAAAGUUUCUUUUGAUUAUAAUACUGUUUGUUCUAAUUAACUUAAAAAAUUUUACUUUAAUAUUUUAUAAUAAAUUAAAUUUUAAUCUUAAAAUAAGUAUAAUCAUAUAUUUUAAAAUAAUCUUAAAAUAAAUACAAUCAUAUAUUUUAAAAUAAUCUUAAAAUAAAUACAAUCAUAUAUUUUAAAAUAAUCUUAAAAUAAAUACAAUCAUAUAUUUUAAAAUAAUCUUUAUAUUUAAAAUUUAUUUAUUUGUACAUAUUUUAUAAUAAAUAUAACACAUACUAUUAAAAUAAUAUAUAAAAAAUUAAAGUAUUUUGAAUAUUAUAUAAAAUAACUUUAAGAUUCUUAAUAUGUAAGAUAUAUUUUAUUAAUUUAAAAUUCUAUUUAAAAUUUUAUUAAUUUAAAAUUCUAUUUAACCCAAAGAUUUAUUUAAGAUAAAUUAAUAAUCAUAUUUUUUAAAUCAUUUCAAAUAUUAAAAAAUAUUUUGAUAUUACUAGUCUAUUAAAUAGAUUAAAUAUUUUUAUUAUUUUGUACUAAUCAAAAGUUACAGCUCGAAUGAUAUUAUGAGAACAGAAUUUUUAUGUCUUUAUUAAAAAUUUGGGUUUGUAUAAUUAUUUUUUCAAAUGUUAGGGGCAUAGCUGUCUUUUUACUUUUAUAUAUGUGAACCGCGGUGGUGAAAAAGUGUGAUUUAAUAUUAGUUAUUUAAAUAAUAUCUGAAUUAAAGAUGUACAGAGAAGAAAUUUCGGUGGGCAUUUUAGUCUUUUAACGAUUAUCAUGAUUAGGGAUUAGGUCCUGCUCUUGAAACGUUGGUCAGAAAAGUUCUAAAAUGCGUACAUUAUCUUUACUUUAAAAAAGUUAUUUUAUUUUAUUACAAAUUAAUGCCGACAAGAAAAAGCAAGAUCUUAAANNNNNNNNNNNNNNNNNNNNNNNNNNNNNNNNNNNNNNNNNNNNNNNNNNNNNNNNNNNNNNNNNNNNNNNNNNNNNNNNNNNNNNNNNNNNNNNNNNNNAUAAAGAUGAAGAAAAGGGCAAAAAAAUAUUAAUGAUUAACGAAAUCUCUAUCCAAAUUGAUUUUAGCAGGAAAAAAGUGAGCUAAAUGAUGUAGACGAUUAGUGGUAAUAUUUCAUAGAGUUAGACUAUUGGCACCCUUCCAAUCUUCUCACGAAUCCUCUUUUUGAGUUAUAUUUAUUUUAUUUUUAAAAUAUCUUUUUUCUCUUUUACUACACUUCUAAUUUUUCAUUUAAUUUUUUUAUUGUUAAACUCAAAGUAGUAUUGUGAUAUUUUUAAUUUCUUUUGCAAUCUUAUUAUUACUCUGCAUAUAAAUUAAAAAGUUUUUUAGGUGAUGAAUUUUUGAAUGUUAAUCAUUAGCUUAAAUUUCACAUAUUUUACAUUACAAUUUGAAAUUUAAUAUGAAAAUAUUUAAUCAAUAAGAAUUAUGAAAAGAUUAAUAAAUUAUUCUAAAUUUAUACAACUUAUUUUAGUUAGAUCAGAAGUAGCAGGUUAACAAAAGAAAGGAUUGGUUAUGAAAUUUGUUGGAAAAAAAUCUAUGUGUGUUUAAUUUUUAUUCGUUGUUAACUCUAAUUAAGUAGGUUAAAUAUUUUUGUUAUUUUUUACUUAUCAAAAAAUUUAAGAUCAAUAUUUUUAGUUACCAUUCGAAGGAUAUUAUGACAAAAACAGAAUUUUCACUUCUUUGUUAAAAAUUUGGGGGUUUGUGUAACUAUUUUUUCAAAUGUUAGGGGCAUAUCUGUCUUUUUACUCUAUAUAUAUGAACCAUGGUGGUGAAAAAGCGUGAUUUAAUGUUAUUUAUUUAAAUAAUAUCUCAAUUAAAAAUGUAAGGAGAAGAAAUUUCGGUGGGCAUUUUAGUCUUUUAACGAUUAUCAUGGUUAGGCCCUGGUCUUGAAACGUUGGUCAGAAAAGUUCUAAAAUGCGUUCAUUUGUCUUUACGCCAACAAUAAAAAGCAAGAUCUUAGUGUCCCACAAAAGCAAAUCGUAAUAUUCCGCAAUGGAGUUAGAUCCGCAAAAGCAAACAAAUUCUUUUAUUAAACUACAAAUUAAAGUGGAAUCAUUUACUAAACAACAAAUUAAAUUUGAAAUAUUUAAAUAGUCGUGCGUUAGACGAUUAGAGACUCUUAUUAAAGGCAAGUACAAAGUAGUGAAGAAUCGAAUAUUUCUAUUGUCUAGUCUUUUUUUAAAAAAAAUUUUCUUUUAUUAUUUUUCAGAAUAUGUUUUGGUGAUUACUAUUGGGUUAUUAUUCAGAGUUAUUGUUAUCUUCCGGGGCAGUUUCUGUUCAUCGAAUUCGUUAAUAAAAUUUUAAAACUCUUAUUGAAAGAAUGUUUUUCCGUUAUCUUUUUUAUAAUCUAAUUUUAAGUGUAAGAAGUAGUCAUUUUAGAAUUUGGGUCUUGAAUCGAAUUUCAAUGCAUGAAUUAAUAUUUAAAAAAAAUUUACUACAUGCAGUUUAGGUUACAAACUAUUUUUUGCAAAGUUGACUAUGAAAUUGGAGAAAUUAAGUAAUUUAUAAUGUUUGCAAAGAAAGAGACCAACAUACUUCCAAUUACACUAUAUCUCAAUUAUCAUAAUGUUAAGAUUAAACUAACUUAAAAUAAAAUUUAUUUAAAAAGUUUAUCAAACGCAGUCUAAUUUUAUUAACUUGAAGAGAUAAUAGUUAUAGAAAUUAUUAUUCUAACUUAAUUAGUAAAAGUGGUAUAAAGGUUAAGUGUGCACUAAAUCUAUUUAAAUUUUUUUCCAGUAUAACUAACAGAGGUCAUUACUAGAAUUAUAUUACUAGUCUAUUAGAUAGAAAAAAUUAUUUAUAUUGUUUUAUAUUUAUUAAAAAAAUUUAAAGUCAAUCUUUUUAAUUACUAUUUAAAGGAUAUUAUAAUUAAAAAAAUUUUAAUGUCUUCAUUAAAAAUUUAAAAUUUUAUAUGACCGUUAUCUAAAUAUUUAAAGUGUAACUGUCAUUUUCUCAUAUAUAUAUAUAAUUUCAUCAACCCCUUAUACUUUAUGUUAUUUAUAUUUUAUUCAUGAAUAUUAUAAAUUUUUUGAAAUAUAAAAUUUCGUUUAACCCUUUAUACUCAAUUUUAUUUUAUUAAAACCCUAGAGUAUGAAUUCGUCCCUAUAAUAUUAAAUUCUCAAAAUAACUUCCAUUUAAUUAAAAAAUAUAAUUAUUAUUAAAUGAAUUAUAAUUAUUAUUAUUAUGUUAUUAUAAUCAUAAAAAGCGAGAUCAUAUUCCACAAAAGCAUAAGUGACAAAACAACCAACUGGAUUCUUUUAUUAAUCAACAAAUUGUAUAGUCUUUUUCAAAUUGUUAUAAAUUGGUGGCCCCUACAAUCCUCAAUAAUUGUACCGAAAUUCACAAGUUGGUGGGCCCUACAAUUCUGUUCCGAUAAUUUAACUGUGCAAGUGCUCAUUCACAAUCUUCCAGGUCAUGCUCUUAACAAUUGUUUUUUCUUUUCUGCACGCCCUUUCAUGCUCUUAAUAAUUGAAGAGCAUACUUUUCAAAUGUGAAGCCGCAUCUAAUGUCGCUAAUUUAAUUUGGGAUUAAAUUACGGGACUAUUAUAUUGCAGUGUGCACUAAUUUUUAUGUUUAUCUAAACUCUUCAAAUUUAAAACAUAUUAUGGCAUAAAUAAGAAUGUAACAAUAACAAAAGAGUAAGAAAGUGUAGAGAAAAUCUUGCAGAAAUAUAAAUAAUAUUUAUUUUUAAAAUAAUAUUAAUAUUUAAAAUAAUUUUUAAUAUUUUAUGGUCCAUUAGAUAUAUUUUAUUAUAUUAAAAUAAAUUUUAUAAUAAAUAAAAACAUACUAUUAAAAUGAAUAUAUAUAGAAAAUUUAGAGUAUUUUAAGUAUUAUAUAAAAUAAUUUUAAUAAAAUAUGUGAGAUAUUCAUAUUUUAUUAAUUUAAGAUACCAUUUAACCUAAAGAUUUAUUUAUGAUAAAUUAAUAAUUAUAUUUUUGAAAUUACUUCAAAUAUUAAAAAAAUUAAUAUUACUAAUAUAUUAGAUAGAUUAAAUUAUAUAUAUUAUUUUUACUUAUUAAAAAAAUUUUAAAAUUAUUUUUAAUUACUAUUCAAAAAACGUAUUCAAAAAACAUAAUGAUAAAAAAAUCUUAACAUCUUUAUUAAAAAAUUAAAAACUUAUAUGAUAAAUUCUCUAAAUAUUUACGGUAUAUGUGAACCACGGUGGAUAAGCUUUAUUUAAUAUUAUUGAUUUAAAUAAUAUGUCAAUUAAAAAUGUACAGAGAAGAAAUUUCGGUGGGUAUUUUAGUCUUUUAAGCAAUUAUCAUGAUCAGAUCAGCCUUUAGCCUUCAAACGUCGGUCAGAAAAGUUUUAAAAUUAAUGCUAAAUUGUUUUUCACUUUUAACGUUGGUGGCCUUGAAAUUGCUUGUAUUUUAUUAAAAAUUAAUGCUAACAAGAAAAAGCUAGGUCAUAUUCCACAAAAUCAAAAGUGACAAAACAACCAGCUGGUUUCUUUUACUAAACUACAAAUUAAAAUAAAUUUUUUCGAUAAAUUACAAAUUAAAGUGGAUUCUUUUGAAUACAAAUGGGACAGACGAUUAGGCUCUUUUUAUUAGAGGCAAGUAAAAACUAGUCAAGAAUCGAACAGUCUUUUUCCAAUUCUUGUUUUAUUAUUUUUCAAAACUAGUUUUUGGUAAUUACAACCGGGUCAUUAAUCAUUAUUCAGAGUUAUCUUCCGGGGCAGUUUCUGUUCAUCGAAUUCGUUAAUAAAAUGUUAAAACUCUUAUUGAAAGAAUGUUUUUCCGUUAUCUUUUUUAUAAUCUAAUUUUAAGUGUAAGAAGUAGUCAUUUUAGAAUUUGGGUCUUGAAUCGAAUUUCAAUGCAUGAAUUAAUAUUUAAAAAAAAUUUACUACAUGCAGUUUAGGUUACAAACUAUUUUUUGCAAAGUUGACUAUGAAAUUGGAGAAAUUAAGUAAUUUAUAAUGUUUGCAAAGAAAGAGACCAACAUACUUCCAAUUACACUAUAUCUCAAUUAUCAUAAUGUUAAGAUUAAACUAACUUAAAAUAAAAUUUAUUUAAAAAGUUUAUCAAACGCAGUCUAAUUUUAUUAACUUGAAGAGAUAAUAGUUAUAGAAAUUAUUAUUCUAACUUAAUUAGUAAAAGUGGUAUAAAGGUUAAGUGUGCACUAAAUCUAUUUAAAUUUUUUUCCAGUAUAACUAACAGAGGUCAUUACUAGAAUUAUAUUACUAGUCUAUUAGAUAGAAAAAAUUAUUUAUAUUGUUUUAUAUUUAUUAAAAAAAUUUAAAGUCAAUCUUUUUAAUUACUAUUAAAGGAUAUUAUAAUUAAAAAAANNNNNNNNNNNNNNNNNNNNNNNNNNNNNNNNNNNNNNNNNNNNNNNNNNNNNNNNNNNNNNNNNNNNNNNNNNNNNNNNNNNNNNNNNNNNNNNNNNNNNNNNNNNNNNNNNNNNNNNNNNNNNNNNNNNNNNNNNNNNNNNNNNNNNNNNNNNNNNNNNNNNNNNNNNNNNNNNNNNNNNNNNNNNNNNNNNNNNNNNNNNNNNNNNNNNNNNNNNNNNNNNNNNNNNNNNNNNNNNNNNNNNNNNNNNNNNNNNNNNNNNNNNNNNNNNNNNNNNNNNNNNNNNNNNNNNNNNNNNNNNNNNNNNNNNNNNNNNNNNNNNNNNNNNNNNNNNNNNNNNNNNNNNNNNNNNNNNNNNNNNNNNNNNNNNNNNNNNNNNNNNNNNNNNNNNNNNNNNNNNNNNNNNNNNNNNNNNNNNNNNNNNNNNNNNNNNNNNNNNNNNNNNNNAUUGUGGGCACUCUUGUUCGUGCAUGUUUGCUAGAAGAGAUGGAAGAUGAUAAAGUAAAAAUGCAUGACGUUGUUCGUGAUAUGGCUUUAUGGAUAGCUUGUGAAAUUGAGAAGGAGAAGAGAAACUUUUUGGUUUGUGCAGGUGCUCGAUUAGAAGAGGCACCGGGUGUUAAAGAAUGGGAAAAUGUGAGAAGAUUGUCAUUGAUGCAAAACCAAAUUGAAACUGUGUCAGAGAUUCCCGCAUGCCCUCAUCUCCAUACUCUAUUUCUUGCCUCUAAUAGGAAUUUCAGGAUGAUCACGGAUGGCUUCUUUCAAUUUAUGCCUUCUCUCAAAGUUUUGAAGAUGUCACGCUGUGGGCAAUUCGAAGGUUUUCAAUUACCUGUUGGGAUGUCAGAGUUGGGUUCAUCACUAGAACUUCUUGAUAUUUCACAUACCACCAUAAGAGAGUUACCCGAAGAGUUAAAGUUGCUGGUAAAUCUGAAAUGUUUGAAUUUGAGGUGGACAGGUGCGUUAAUUAGAAUUCCACGGGGACUAAUAUCAAAAUUUUCAAGGUUACGUGUGUUGAGAAUGUUGGGUACUGGCGGGUUCAUUUUUUAUGAAGCACCAGAAGACAGCGUUUUAUUUGGUGGGGGUGAAGUUUUGAUACAGGAAUUGCUCGGUUUGAAAUAUUUAGAGGUAUUGGAGUUGACCUUGGGAAGUUAUCAUGCUCUCCAAAUUCUUUUGAGCUCAAAUAAGUUAAAAAGUUGUAUUCGAUCUCUUUACCUCUAUUUGACCGGAGAUAAAAAGUCGAUUAUUGAUGCUACGGCUUUCACAGACCUAAACCACCUCAAUGAAUUAUGGAUUGAUAAUGGAAUUGAGUUGGAAGAAUUGAAGAUUGAUUAUACGGAGAUAGUACGAAAAAGGCGGGAACCUUUUGUUUUCCACAGCCUUCACCUUGUUACGAUAUAUAGUUGCCAUAAAUUGAAAGAUUCGACAUUCCUCGCUUUUGCUCCAAACCUCAAGUCUCUUUCGCUAUUCAAAUGCCGUGCUAUGGAAGAAAUAAUCAGCGUCGGAAAAAUUGCUGAGAAUCCUGAGAUGAUGGGACAUAUAAGCCCUUUUGAAAAUCUCAAAAGUCUUGAUCUAUCAUAUUUGCCGGAGUUGAAGAGCAUUUUCUGGAAGCCAUUGCCUUUCACUCAUCUCAAAGAAAUGGGGGUAAGAGCAUGUGAUCAGCUUAGAAAGCUUCCACUCGAUUCCAACAGUGCAAAAGAGCGUAAAUUUGUAAUUCGUGGAGAAGAAGACUGGUGGAACCGACUUCAAUGGGAGGAUGAAGCCACUCAAAUUGCUUUUCGUUCCUGUUUCCAACCUGAUUCCUGAGCGGUGGUCGCAAAAUUUGAUUUCUGGUGAGUGCGUUUGUCUUUUAAAAGAAGAAUUUAAAAGAAAUUUAUUCUUGACGUUUUCUUCACUGUUUUUAUUUCAGUCUCUCUCUCUCUCUUUUUGUCUUCUGCUAAUCACAAUUAAAUGUUGAAUUAAUGGAAUUAAUGCUUCAUAAAUUUGCCGGCACUGCCAUUACUUUUUUUUUUUUUAAUACAAAUUGAUACUUUAUUUAUAUCUUCUUAGCGAUUUAAUUUCCUGUCAAUUGACGAACGAGAAGAACAUAUGACUUGAACCAAUGCUCGCAUAAACUUGCUGUAAAAAGAUAUAAUCUCACUGAAAUGCACACGCCUAGAAUGAAUAGAAUUAAAACAGGGAAAAUAUUAAGUAUAUUAGCCCUCUUUACCGAAAAUCAAAUGACAAUAAAUUUUUUGAAGUUUUGAUUUUCUAUGGUCAAUUCCACCUUUUGCAAUUUCUUCUGUUCUAACAAAAACCAAUUUCUUUGUUCAAGUAUUUUCGUUUGGGUAUUAAUAAUUCUCCACCGAAAGAGUGAACUCUUGCUCAAGGGAUCUCUAAUCAAUAGCCGGAAGGGCGCCGAGACCUGAUCGGACCUAGGCCCAAGUUUGGUCUUAAAGCCUGGGCUUGAGCCUGGCAAUUAAAUUAAAACAGUAAUUGAUUUCUUGAAUGAAUUGUCGUGUAAUUGAUUUAUGGGGGAUGACACAUCAACAUACUUGAAAAUACACUAAUCUCAGCAUCAUCCGUUAAUAACUUUUAGAUUUAUGGGCAAUCAAUAGUUAAAUUAGUUGUCAUUAAUACUAAAUAAUUUUUACUUUUUUUGUCUCUUCUAGAGGAUCUUCUAGAAAAAUGCAUCCACAAUUAAAUUUAAUACUUUACAUAAUAAAGAAAGCAUAAAUGUUAAAUUUAAGAAACUGCAUUGUAUUUCAGCUGAAGUUGACUUUAAUAUUUAGGGUAGAAAAAAAUUAAAUCCUUAAUGUGUUUAAUUUCUAUCACUUGUGUCAUUAAAAUUUUCUAGUCACCCUAACCAAUUACAUCUCAACCCACUUUUUUUUGGAUGAUUUUAUUUUUACACUAUUAUUUUCAACAUUUUUUUUUCCUUUUAACACCAACAUUAGUGUAUGUUACGUAACAUAAUCCAUAUUUGGAUAAUUUGAAAUUUGUUUGUGUUUUAUCUCAAAAUAGAGCUUCAAUCAAUUUGUACCUCAUAAAUUCACAAUAUCUGGCAUAUUGUCAAAUGUGCUUAUCCUUUUGCUUGACAUGUCAUUUUAAAAUUGUCAUUCAAUGUCAAAAAAUCACAUCAACUAAUGGCCGACUACUUUAAUUUGAAAGCAUGCGUGCGAUCGCCAAUAAUUAUAACUUAAUUGUUAUAUUGAAAUUUUUUUCUUUAUAAUUUAAGUUUAAUACUGCUACAUGUGUGGCACAUAAGUUGGAAAAUAUAACAUAAAAUUUGAAAAAUGUGUAGUUUUCGUUCCUUUUUUUUCUAAAAAAAUGGGAAAAAAGAAUGUAAUUUUGUUUAAAUUACUGUUGUCAUAACAAUUAUUAUUUUAUUGAUUAAUUGGCAGAGAAUCGUAAUGGUUUCGCAUGGUUGUUAAAACAUUGGAAAGUCCACUACAUCAUCGGUUAAUAACUUUCAGAUUUAUGGUUAAUUAAUAGCUGAGAUUUAUUAUCAUUAAUGCUAAAUAUUUUUUCUCUCUCCUGGAGGAUCAUCCACAGGCAGGUGCUUCCUGACGAUGACAAAAUUUUGGGCAGGCAGGUGCUUCCUGACUUUCACACGGUAAUUCUCAAAUUCUGAUUUCACCAUAUUUUAAUUACUGAUUAGCAUAUAUUCAAGUGCUCUCCAUUAUAAUGGAAGCCGCCGCCUCACUCGUAAUUCCAAACUUUAUCUUUUUUUCCUUUUUUAAAUUAAUGCAAGUAGCCGCUGUCCUUUCUAUUAAUUAAUUAAUUCGGCCGCCCACAUUUCUUUUCCUAAUGUCUUCUACUGUCGAGUUUAUUUUAUUUUCUCUUUAUUAUUAAAAUAUACUUAUAAUAAUAAAAAAAUAAAAAUUAACAUAUCAAAAUAUAAUUUAACAGAAAAUUAAGAUAAAAAAUUAAAAAUAAAUAAAUUAUGAGCAUAUCAAUCAAUAAAUGAAAAAUAAUAAUUUUUAUUUUUAUUAAAUAUAAAUUUUUCAGUAUUAAUCAAUUAUCUGAAUAAAUAAAAUCAUUUAAAAAUAAAUAAAUAAAUUAUUCUUAAAAAAAAAAAAAAAACUUUUUAUAACACUCACUAUGCUGGUUGUAGGGUUGACGCUUUGGGUACUGAAGCUAGUAACUUCUACAAGUAGUCUUAAGUUGACUGGCAACAACUAUAUUGGCAUUUAGAAAUAAUGUACUGCAACCAUAUUGGCAUGUUCAAAUGUUCUUAUUAUUGUAUUGGUGUGUCAAUAUUAUCUCUAACGGUUUUAUAAAUAAAAAAAUAAUCUAAAUUUAUAAUUUAACAUAAAAUAAAAUAAUUGGUAGAAAAACAAUUAUGGUUCAUUUACUUAUCAGUAAUCAGAAUAGACUGAAAUCGAAAUGAGUUGUAUUACUGUUGAUGUGUUUAUGUUGUACUCGAAUCGAAAUGAAUUAUUUUAAAUUACUAAAAUAUCCUUGGUCUGUUAUUCUAAUUAUUAUUAUUAUUUAAUAUUUAUUAUAAUAUUUUUCAUAUCAUUAAAAAAAAAUAAUAAUGAUGAUAAUAUUCUCAUUAUUGUUUGUUACAUUAUUAUUAUUCAAAAAAAUUAUUGUUAAUAACAAUAAUUACUUUAUUUCAAUAAUAAUAAUGAUAAAAUUAAUAAUAAUAAACAUGACAACAACAAUAAUUAUUUAUUAUGCCAAAAAAUAACAAUAAUAAUAAGAAUAAUAAUCAUCAUCAUUUUUUUGCCAAAGAAGCAUUAUCAUCAUCAUUUCAAAAAAAAAAUCAUCAUCAUCAUCAUCAUUUUUGUAGUGGCUACCUAUCGGCUGCUGCUUUCAUGUGAGAUUGACUUGCGACGCUUCAACGGCUAUUAUUUCUGACAAUGUCAGGUGUUGCUAUUUCAAUUUAGGAAGAAGUUGUUUCGGUGUGCUAGCGAUGGGAGAUGUUGUGGCUGCGAUUCGGGGAGCUACUAGUUUAUUGCACUAAUAACGGCAGGUGCUGUUGCUUGAUGCGAGGUCCAUGGCCAGUUGUCAGCAGUUCGACUUUGGUAUGGGUGCUGCUGGUUCGAUUUUAGGUGUUGUCCAAUUUCAUUUUCAGGAUUUUAAUUUUAUUUUUCUUUUAUAUUUUCAUUAAUUAAUCAGGGUAAAAUUGGAUUUUAGAAUUUAGAAUGAAGGUAAUUUUGUUAAUAAUGGAAAUGAGAUUCUGAUUGUCGAGAAUGAGCUUACACAAACAACUAUAAAUUAAGUGAAAACAAAACACUUUUUCUCUUUGUGUGAUUAAAACAUGAUAUGUACCAUAAAUAAAUAAGUAAAAAAUAAAUCAACACAAUCUAAAACAGUAAACAAAUUACAAGAGGCACAGAUUUUUAUGUGAAACACCGAAAAUGGAAAAAACCACAGCAUCUUAGUUUGAUAUAAUCUUCUACUAUAUUAAUGGGAUUAUAGCACAAAUUCUUUCCUAUAUAACACUAGAGAUUAACAACAUCAAGAAUCUCAAUAAUCUUGACUUACAAUACAGCCUAAUAUUUGUCUCUCUAAUAAGUAGAUAUCUAAAAUAACAGUCUCUAAUAAGUAUGUAUCUAAAAUAAUAGUCAACAAGAGGAUAAAACAAAAAUUAAGAUUAGUAGGAUGUGUAUAAGGUGAUGCUAUCAAUUUAUCUUCUAAAUUUGAGAAAAAUAGUUAAAUUCACUUUUUCGAUUGUCCGACCAAAAAUGGAAACCCUUGCCCCAAAACCAAAGGAAUCACCAUUAUGUUUUUCUCUCUCUCUCUCUCUAUCUCGUUCUUUUCUUCUUCUUUUCUUAAUGUUAGCCAUCACUUGCUUUUAUUCUUUAUAGCAUUCAAAAAGCUACUUUUAAUGGUAAAUUUCAUUUAAGUCUGCAACUUAGUGAUAAUUGCACACCAAACAAUCCUUACAUAGUGUUUUGGGCCCUCAAAUGAGAUGAAUACAACAAAUCUCCCCCUUUAAAUCAUGUGGGGGGCACCGCAAGCCCGCUAUUUGCAUAUAGCUUUUCAGCUUCUCCUUGAAUAAUGACUUUGUCAUCAUACAUAAUCCAUUCUUCGUUGUGUAAAUCUUCUCAAGCUGUAACUGUUCCUUCUCAAGCUGUAAUUAUUCCUUCUCAAGCACGUCUCGUAUCUAAUGAUACCUUACAUCAAUAUGCUUAGAUUUCGAAUAGUAUAACAGCACUCUGACUAUCGUAGUACAUAACAUAGCUGUCUUGUUUUACACCCAGCUCUUGUAGGAAAUUCUUCGUCCACAAUAUUUUUUUGCAACCUUCAAUAAUUGUAAUAUCAUUUGCUUUAGUGGUAGAAAAGGCAACUUAUUACUAAAGUUUAGAUUGCGAUGAGACUGUUCCCCCUGCAAAAGUGAGCAAACAUCCUAGUAGGAAUUUUUCGGAAUCAACAGCUCCUGCCAUAUCUACACACUUGUAACACAGGUUUGUCACCACCAAAAUAUAAACAUGCUCUGGAAAUGCAUCUAAGAUAUCUGAGAAUUUUUCACUGUUGUCCAGUGCUCUUUACCGAGGUUGAAGAGAAACCACUGACUACACUAACUGUAUAGGCAAUAUUUGGUCUUGUACAAAUUAUGGCGUACAAUAAACUGCCAACUGCUGAAGCAUAAGGAACUCCUCUCAUGGAGAAAUGGGUUUUACUCUUGAGAUUUUUGGGACCAUGAAGAAUAAAGAUGUAAUUUCUUAUACUGCCAUUGUUUCGGGAUAUAUAAAUAGAGAACAAGUCGAUAUAGCUCGACAGUGUUUUGAUCAGAUGCCAGAACGAGAUUAUGUCUUAUGGACUACCAUGAUUGAUGGGUACCUUCGAGUGAAUAGGUUCAGAGAGGCUUUGACACUUUUUCAGGAGAUACAAACUUCAAAUAUAAUGGGAGACGAGUUUACCAUUGUUAGCAUUCUUACAGCUCGUGCGAAUCUGGGGGCACUAGAACUGGGAGAAUGGAUAAAGACUUAUAUUGACAAAAACAAAGUCAAGAAUGAUAUAUUUGCGGGGAAUGCUUUGAUAGACAUGUACUGUAAAUGUACUGUAAAUGCGGAGAUGUUGAGAAAGCUCAAAAGGUAUUCAGGAAGAUGCUUUGAAAGGUCAAAUUCACAUGGACGACCAUGAUUGUUGGCCUUGCCAUCAGUGGAAAUGGUGAUAAAGCUCUUGAUAUGUUUUCCCAAAUGCUCAGGGCUUCGAUCAAACCAGAUGAGGUAGCUUAUGUUGGUGUUCUGUCUGCCCGUACUCACAAUGGUAACGAAACUUUUGUGAUAAAUAGUUGCAACUUAAGGUGAGAACUGGAGGAAGGGAAAUAGAUUGAAGUUGUUCAAUCAUCAGUAGUUGCUACUUGGUUUUAAGUUGUUCAAUCAUCGGUCGUCUCUAUUUGGUUUUCUCCAAUAUCUCAUCUUCAAUUUUGACUCAGAUUGUAUCUUACCACUAGUAAUUACAUAGACUUGCUGCCAAAGGUAAGAAUGGGAAUAAAUUAAAUAGAUUAUGUCGAAAACGAAAUAAAUUUACUAUUGUUCUGUUCAUUCUAUUUGUUUCCUACAAAAUAUUUCUCCUGCCUAAAAUUUUUUGAAUCAGUAAGUUUUUACCUUAUGGAUGAAUUGUGUUGAGAGUAAUUCCAUUUCUCAGUCUCUUUAUGUUUCAAUGAAGACGUAAAACUUGUGUUCUAGUGCACCAACGUUUAUGCUUCUUACAAUUUGACUUUAAUUUACUUUGUAAAAUUUUUGUCAAAAAGUACUAAAAAGUAGUGCACCAAACACCAACUUUAUUACAGAGAGGACUUUAGUUAAAUUUUAAGAAAACACUCAAAAGAAAGAGUUGUAAAUUAUUAUAAAAAUAUUUCACAUAAAUAAAAGCCAUCCCAUGCUGCAAAGAUCUUGCUAUAAUCACCAAAAACUAUCGGGAGCUUUUAGGGUUUCCAUAAAAAUGCCAUUUCGUUCCAUGUAUAUGAUUCUAUAGUCUCACUGGCAAGUAAACCACAGCCCAACAGCACUGACUGUCCAUGAUGAUUCACCCCAAUGAACGAAACCAGCGUUGCAUCAUAUCUUUCUGUCAAGCAUGUAAUAUCAAUUGAUUUGAGCUAUUAACAUCAUUUCCAAAUACUCCAUUGGCAUCUACAUUACCAUUUCCCUCGGCAUCAAUGAUAAGAGUUCGAAACAGUCUAAUCUUUUGAACUUCUUCAGCACCAUCUAAGAGCAAUGUUCUUUUGGUUCCAAUACCCAUGUGCUUAUGAUAUUUGUAAAAUAAUUAUUUGUAAAAUAAUUAGUUCAAUUUUGACAUAAUACGGAAUAAACACAACCUGCCAAUCUAAGUUACUAUCUUUUCCCGUCAUCAGGUACCUGUUUGAAAAAUAAUUAUAUACAAUUUUAUUUGCGUCGUCCCUCUAAAAAUUUGGGACUCAAAUGUUAUUUCUAAUUGCUAAAAGUACGAAAUUGCCCCCUUUCUCUUCAGCUAAAGGAGUGCAAAGUCAUCUGUAUAAUUGAAUCUGCAUCAUCAGUUUCUAUUGCUGGCUGGUGUUACUGCAUGCUUACAGUUGCUUGACAAAGUGAGCCAGUUUUUUGUUUAUUAAUUUUUUUUCUUGUCGAGACAGUCACAAAGUAUUACUUGUUCUAUUUGAGAAUGAUGUGAAUCAAUUUUUCAAUUAUGCAUUCUGUGGUAAUUAUUGUGAAUUUAGUUUCAUUUGUCUUGUCUCCUGCAAAUUUUGAAGAAAAUGCAGACAUACAAAUUUACAAUAUGUAUUUGCGUUAGUAUAAAAACAAUUGUUAGAUGAUUAAAGCGAUUUAUUUUUUUUUUUACAGCAUUUGAUUGUAUUAGUUAAAAUCAUUUUUUAAGGAUAAAAAUAAAUAGAAAAUUAUUCUCAUGUAGUGUGGAAAUCUUUUCUAAUUUCUUGUUGACUUGUACAUUUAUUUCAGAAUUUCCAUUCAUUAAUUCUACUGUUUUAAUCUUUGACUUAGCUACCGUAGUUGACUUUUUAUAUCAAAGGCUUAAACAGCAUGCAUUUUUGAAUUGACUGAGAAUAAUUUGGUGGACAAAUUACUAGUAAAGGACUUCAAAUGGUUGAAUUGACUGUGGGUUUUUCAUGCCCAAGUCACUCGUCACGUCGUUUCAUCGAAACAAAGUGCCCGGUGCAAAUGGUGUGAUGUAAAACACCUUUUUAAAUUGUCAUUUUUUUUCCUUUGCUUUUGCUUUAAUUUUCUAAAUGCUCAACGCCAUAAAUCCAUGUAUUCUUAAUUUUCGUUUGCUGUAUUGAUUCCCAACCCUCUAUGUCACAAGGUUUUGAAUGCCAGUAAUUAAGUUAAAUUAAACAUAUUUUAAGUCCUACUUUAAAUUAUUGAAAAAUGUAUUAUGGUUGAACUGAAUUUUAACUAAAAAAUAUAUACAAAAUAAAAGAUUAAUCAUAUCUUUUUAUGAGGAAGGUCAGUCAUCAUUCUGACCACAGACACUUAAAAUUAAUUGAGUGGAAUAUUGCAAAAUAUAUAUAAACCAUGCCAAAACUAGAUGUUUGAGUAAUGAAAACGAGAAUUCAUAUGACUCAGAAAUAUGGUCGCUUUCCUUUUUCUGAAAGGCAAAAAAAAAGGGGGAACCAAAAAGGACCAAAAUGAACAAAAAUGGAAGGCGAAGGUAAGCAGACAUGUUAUAUGUUUUACCUAAGAUGCCAAAUGCAACUCCCCAUUGAUGGUGAUCGAACAUUAUGGCCAUUUUCUUAGUAAACAAAAAAUGAAUUUUGAACACUCAACAACGAAACUUGAGCAGAAGAUCAAGCAAGGGCCUCGAUCUCAAAGAAGAUACUAUGAAACCCUACUUAAUGGUUAAAUAACUUUCAUUCAGCUUUGGACCCUAUUUCGUGAUACGGAAAGACAAACCUUUCUUGGCCGGCAGUGUCCCAGAUCUGGGCUUUGAUGAUCUAGAGGUUGAUGGUGACAGUUCUGGUUUGGAACUCGACGCCAAUGGUUUAUUUCGAUUCAAAGCAAAACUCAUUCUUGGUGAAUCUCGAAAGAAUCUGAGACUUGCCCACGGCCGAGUCACCGAUCACCACUACCUUGAAUACAUAGUCUAUUUUGUCAGGAAUCAUAUUCUCUCGUUGUUGAUGACGAUGAUCGGUGCCAUCACCACUCAUUUCUUCGUUCAUUCAUUCUAUGUCCAUUGAUCUUUUUGAAUUAUUGAAGACAAGUGGCUCACCGCUUUUAGUAUUGGUAAAAUUCAGAUAAUCUCUAUUCCGAAAUAAUAAUAUUAAAAAUAUCUCUUAAAUCAUUAUAAACUUCAAAUCUAUUUUAAUUUUAUUUAAAAGAUAAAAGAAAAAUAAGUUAUGUUGGUGAUUUUUUAUUAUCUUUUUAAUAAAAAUAGAAUAAAUUGAUGUUUAUAAUUAUUUAAAGUAUUUUAAAGAUUGCUAUUUUAUGAGAGAAUAAUAUUUCAUUUUUUUUUUCGUGUGAAAGACCGAAAAAGGACAAAGCAAGUUUCCCUAAUUUUUAUUUUAUGUGAAAUUGGUCAUCUCAUAUACUUUACCCUUCAACACUCUAAUUUUUUUGGUUAUAAUUUUAUUAUUUUUUCUCUUUUACACAUGCAUGUGAAUUACUUUUCUUUAAGCUCCUGAAUAUUUAAGACAAAUCAUGGAAGAGAUGAGAGUAUAACAAGAUGAUCAAAAUAUGUAACAAAAAAAUUUUAGAAGUGAAAAAUAUGUUAGAGUCGAAGUAAAACUCUGAGGUGAUGUUUGAUUUGAAGAAAAUGGAGGAGAGAAAAAGAGUGGAAUGGAGAGGAAAAGAGAGAAAAGGAGAGGAGAGGAGAGGAGAGUGAACUUUUUUUCUAAUGUUUGGUUUGUCACAUAAAUAUACAAAGAAAGGAAAUCUCCAAUUUUUUAUUUAGACAAUUUUAACCUUAAUAAGUAUUAAGCUUUCAAUAUUUAUCAUGUGUAUAAUUUAAAAAAAGUAAAUGGUAGAAAGCGGUUUCUGAUUCCGGCCACAUCGCCGGCAAUGGAAGGUACUUAUCAGAACAUCAAGAACCGGCCAUCAUUCCCUAGCCAUCACUGCUGUAGGAACACUGCUAAAAAGCUGCCGAUUGAACCGCGAAAAGUCGUGGAAAUCGUUGCCUCAAAUCGGUGAGUUUCGCCUUUUUCUGGUCAUGCCGUCGCCUUGGCUUUGUCCAUCAACGCUGCCACUUCCAUUUCAACCAUCCAUAGCCACUAUUAACCGCCAAAUCGCCGCCGAUCAGCGGGAUCUGUGGAAGUUAAAAAGUUUCUAAAAUUUUUUAAUUGGAUUUGAACAACAUACAACCAUUUUUUGAUCUCAAUAACGACAUAGUAAUGUUGAUCGUUGGUCGGCAAGUCGAAUGGUAGUGGCGGUGAGUAACACGCGCCAAUGACAUCGGCGGCGGCGGCGGCACUAUCCGGCUACUGUUAAAAUUAAUAUUUUAUAUUUGUAGAUUAAAUAAAUUUAUUUUAUUAAACUUUUUAAAUCAUUAUUUAAAUUUAAUUAAUUUAAAAUUAUCUAUGAUGUUGAAUUGAUAAAAUAAAUUUAUAAAUAAUAAUUAUGUGAUUACAUUAAAUAAGUUAAAAAGUUGAAGGGUUAUUUUUGGAAGAUUUAGUUUCCAACACAAAGGGAAUUUGAAUUCUUCACUUCUUAGUGUGGAAUUCAAAUUCUAUAUUGUAAUGGAUAUUAAAUUCCAAUAGAAAUUAAAUUCUUAUAAGUUAUGUCAAACCAAACAACGGAAAUAAAAAAAAAGAAUUUAAAUUACUUUCCUUUCCUCCACCCUCUCCUUCCAACCAAAUACAUCCUGAAAAUAGAGAUAUUGAUUAAUUUAGAAGAGAUGCAAGCAAAAGAUAUUCCACAAAAAAAAAAAAGCAAUAUGUCCCUUUGGAGGGCAAACUUGUCAGUUUUAAAAAAGUACAUGCUUUGGAUUGAUAGUUGUAGGAUAUUUGUUUUGUCACUAUGUGUUAGUUGGAGAAGUCAAGCCUUGUGAAGAAUGUUAUGAAAGAGCAAAGGAUAUUCCUGAUAGCUGAUAGAGCUCUAUUUGAUUAUGUAUCCAAUGAAUGGAUGUGUUGUUGGAAGAUAUUUGAGUGCAUUAGUUCAUAUGUGUCUAUCAAUGUGAUUUUAAUGAUUUUUCCACUUGUUUGUUGUAAAAGAUUAUUGUAAAUUGAAAUGAACUUGAUGUUGUAAUAUUUUCUCCUUAGUAGAAUUUCACCUAGUAUGUAUUUAGUUGUGUUGUCUAUAAUUUUGCAUUCGAAUAAGUUUCACCUAAAAUAUUAGCAUGAGUAGUGGCCCUUGAAACUUUGGUCAAAAUUAUUGUUAUUAUUUCCGACUAGAUGUAAAUUUUUUAUUAAAUCUCGCUAACACAAUUCUUAAUUAAAAGUAUAGGUUAGUGUUGGUGCAAGACUUGCCACACCAAAUUCUGCCUAACUGUCAAAAGUGCAAAAUAAAUGAAGAGAAAGCACAAAUACACGACUUGAAUAAGGAUACAACGAAACUUAAAUUCAAGAGAAAAUGAUAGCUAUAUCUCAAGAUUUGAAAAAACGGUCAUGUAGAUUUUUAAGAUUUCAAUAAGCGACUGAGAUUCAAAUAAUAUCCUUUAAUUCUAUUAACAAAAAACAAAGACUCAAAUAUUUUAUGAUAAAUAAAAAUAUAAUAUUAAAAUAUAUGUGAUAAUAUACACAUUUUAAAUACUUUCAAUCCAAAAAAAUAGUUAUGUUUUACAAUCUAUUAGACAUAUUUUAUUAAAUUAAUAUAAAUUUUCUAUAAAAUAAGAAUAUAAUAUUAAAAUAAAUUCACAAAAAUUUAAAGAAUUUUGAAUGUAAAAUAAUUUUAAUAUAUCAAUACGUGAGUUUUUUUAUUAAUAUAAAAUUUAUUUAACUUUAAGAUUUUUUAAAAUCUUUACAAUAAGUAUAACUAUAUUAUUUACAUUUAAAAAUAUUUAAAUAUUAUUAACCUACAAUUAUAUUUGCAUUUGUUAGAAAUUUUUUAAGUCAAAUAUUUUGCACUUCUAUAUUAUUAGAAUUAUUGCACAAAAAGAAAGAAACAUACACCUUUAGAAAUUGUUUUCUUUUAAAAUAGAGAUGAUGAUUAGUAUAAGGAUGAAAAAAAGGAUAAAGAAUAUUAAUGAUUAACGAAAUCUCUAUACAAAUUGAUUUUAGUAGGAAAAGAGUGAGAUGAAUGAUUUCUUUUACAGUUAGAAACAUAGAUGAUGAUUAUUAUAACGAAGAAAAAAAGAUAAAGAAUAUUAAUUAUUAAUGGAAUCUCUAUACAAAUUGAUUUUAGUAGGAAAAAAAUGAUUAAAUGAUUUAGAGUGCGUUUGGAAUUGAGAUUGGGCAGCCAUAGAUUUUAAGUUACAACACUGAAGUGUUUAGUAAAUACUAGUUGCUGCAGAUUGAAAGUUAUGUUGAUAUGAUUUUUCACAUGUAUCAUAGAAAAUAUAUUACAUCUUUAAUAUUUUUUAAAAAUUUAUAUUUGCUAUAUAUUAUUAAUUUUUUUUUAUAGUUAUAACUUUUUUUCCACAACAGUUGUAGCUUAAAAGUCACAGCACCUCAAUCUCAAACAAAUCCUUAGACAUUCAUAGUGUGUUUAUUUUUUGGAUUGGUGAAUCAAAAUUAUUGACAACGCUAACUUCAUCUUCACUGUUCGCAAUCCAACAGCAGCAAUUGUCGCCAAUAAUGAUAUCUCCAAUGAUGAUGACAAUUAUUAUUAUUAUUUUUAUUAUUAUUAUUAUUAUUAUUAUUAUUAUUAUUAAUUAAUUAAUUAAUUAAUUAAUUAAUUAAUUAAUAUAUUAAUGUUGAUAUUAUUAUUAUUAAGAUUAACAAUAAUUAUUAGUAAUACAAUUUUUUGAAUAAAAAUAAUCACAAUAAUUAAAAUACAAAUUAAUAAUUAUGACAAUAAUUAAUUAAUGUCUUUUUAGUAAUUUGUAAUAAUCUAACUCAUUUUGGUUCUGAUUAUUACAGCUUAAGUAAACAAAUUAUUAUGAUUCCUAUUCUCCUUUCCCAUUUUAACUCACUUUGAUUCCAGUCUAUUCCGAUUUCUAUUUAAUAAAUGCACCAUUAGUGCUAAAGUAAUAUUUCAUACAUAGAAAAAUAAAAACUACGCCUAAGGUUAAGGGAAAAGACUUCAAAAUUCUCUUUUGAUCAUAAUACAUUUUGUCCUAAUUAACUUAAAGAUUUUGAAUCUAAUAUUUUAUAAUAAAUAAAAAUAUAUUCCUAAAAUAAAUAUAAUAUCAAUAUUUAAAAUAUGUUUUAAUAUUUUACAAUCUAUCAUACACAUUUUAUUAUAUUAAAGUAGAUUUAUAAUAAAUAUAUAAAAAUUUAGAAUAUUUAGAAUAUUAUAUAAAAUAAUUUUAAUAUAAUGCGUGAUAUAUAUUUUAUUAAUUUAAAAUGUCAUUUUACCUAAAAAAUAUGAUAAAUUAAUAAUUACAUAUUUGAAGUUAUUUCAAAUAUUAAAAAAAUUUAAUAUUAUUAAUCUUUUAGAUAGAUUAAAUUAUUUUUUAUAAGAGAGAUUAAAUUAUUUUAAAAUGCCUUAAUUGUUUUUACUUUUAACGUUACGGGCCUUUCUUUUAUUUUAUUGCAAAUUAAUGCUAACUAGAAAAACAAAAACAAAAGUGACAAACACAACCAGCUGGAAUCUUUUAUAAAACUACAAAUUAAAAUGGAUUUUUUUUUUUUGUUGAUAAAUUACACAUGAAAGUGGAUUCUUUUGAAUAUAAGUGGGGUAGGCUCUUUUAUUUUUUUUUUAAUACCGUAUAACAGGACUGUAGACUCUUUUAUUAAGCACAAAUAUAGAGUUGUCGAGACAAUUAGGGUCUUUUAUUAAACUACAAAUUGUAUAGUCUUUUUUAAAUUGUUCAGAUAUUUAUAAAUUGGUGGCCCCUACAAUCCUCAAUAAUUGUACCGAUAUUCACAAGCUGGUGGCCCCUACAAUCCUUAAUAAUUGUUUUUUUUUUUUUCUGCAUUCCCUUUCAUGCUCUUAAUAAUUAAAGAGCAUACUUUUCAAAUGUGGAGCCGCGGCUAAUGUCGCUAAUUUAAUUUGGGAUUAAAUUAGGGGACUAUUAUAUUGCAGUGUGCACUAAUUUUUAUGUUUAUCUAAACUCCUUAAAUUUAAGAUAUAUUAUGGCAUAAAUAAGAAUAUAACAAUAGCAAAAGAGUUAGAAAGUGUAGAGAAGAUCUUGCAGAAAUAUAAAUAAUAUUUAUUUUAAAAUAAUAUCAAUAUUUAAAAUAAUUUUUAUUAUUUUAUGAUCCAUUAGAUAUAUUUUAUUAUAUUAAAGUAAAUUUUAUAAUAAAUAAAAACAUACUAUUAAAAUGAAUAUAUAGAAAAUUUAGAGUAUUUUAAGUAUUAUAUAAAAUAAUUUUAAUAAAAUAUGUGAGAUAUUCAUAUUUUAUUAAUUUAAAAUACCAUUUAACCUAAAGAUUUAUUUAUGAUAAAUUAAUAAUUAUAUUUUUGAAAUUACUUCAAAUAUUAAAAAAAUUAAUAUUACUAAUCUAUUAGAUAGAUUAAAUUAUAUAUAUUAUUUUCUAUUUAUUAAAAAAUUUCAAAUUAUUUUUAAUUACUAUUCAAAAAAUAUGAUGAUAAAAAAAUCUUAACAUCUUUAUUAAAAAAUUAAAAACUUACAUGAUCAAUUCUCUAAAUAUUUAGGGUAUAUGUGAACCACGGUGGACAGAGGUCAUUACUAAAAUUUCUCUUCCACAGGCAAUUACAGCAGCUCCAGUUUAUCAAACUCAACCAAUUUUCUUUCUUAACAAAAUUCCAAAGAUGUGUAGCUUUUUUCAGAUCACAUGCGAUGGUGCUUUUUUCAAUCGUUGCUUGGAUUGCUUUCUUGGAAAAGCAGCAUACAUACGUAACCUCCAAGAUAAUCUUGAUGCCUUGGACACUGAACUGGGAAGACUAAUCGCAGCAAAGAACGAUGUGAUGAUUAGGGUUGUCAAUGCUGAACGGCAAUAAAUGAGAAGGCUGGACGGAGUGCAAGUGUGGGUUUCGAGUGUGGAUGCUGUUAAAACUGGAGCCGAUGAACUUAUCACAGACGGCUCUGAAGAAAUUGGCAAAUUAUGUGUUGGAGGCUACUGUUCCAAGAACUGCAGGUCAAGCUACAAAUUCGGAAAACAAGUGGCUAGAAAGCUACGAGAUGUGGAGACUUUAAUCGCCGAAGGAGUUUUUGAGGCGGUGGCUACUGAGGUGGUGCCUGAGAGAGCUCCAGAGCCUGUAGCAGAUGAAAGACCUACCGAGCGAAAAGUAGUAGGCUUGCAAUCACAACUUGAACAAGUCUGGACGUGUCUUGUGGAAGAAUCAGCGGGAAUCAUUGGCCUAUACGGUAUGGGCGGUGUUGGUAAAACCACACUAUUGACCCAUAUCAACAAUAAAUUUCUCGAGAGUCCAACCAACUUUGAUUGUGUGAUUUGGGUAGUAGUUUCAAAAGACCUGCGACUUGAAAAACUUCAAGAAGAUAUUGGGAAAAAGAUAGGUUUGGUUGGUGAUUCAUGGAAGAGUAGAAGUGCAGAGGAGAAAGCUCUCGACAUCUUCCGGAGUCUAAGAGGGAAGAGAAUUGUAUUGUUGUUAGAUGAUAUAUGGGAGCGGGUUGAUUUAACAAAAGUGGGCGUUCCACUUCCUGGACCACAAAAUACUACCUCAAAAGUCGUAUUCACAACNNNNNNNNNNNNNNNNNNNNNNNNNNNNNNNNNNNNNNNNNNNNNNNNNNNNNNNNNNNNNNNNNNNNNNNNNNNNNNNNNNNNNNNNNNNNNNNNNNNNNNNNNNNNNNNNNNNNNNNNNNNNNNNNNNNNNNNNNNNNNNNNNNNNNNNNNNNNNNNNNNNNNNNNNNNNNNNNNNNNNNNNNNNNNNNNNNNNNNNNNNNNNNNNNNNNNNNNNNNNNNNNNNNNNNNNNNNNNNNNNNNNNNNNNNNNNNNNNNNNNNNNNNNNNNNNNNNNNNNNNNNNNNNNNNNNNNNNNNNNNNNNNNNNNNNNNNNNNNNNNNNNNNNNNNNNNNNNNNNNNNNNNNNNNNNNNNNNNNNNNNNNNNNNNNNNNNNNNNNNNNNNNNNNNNNNNNNNNNNNNNNNNNNNNNNNNNNNNNNNNNNNNNNNNNNNNNNNNNNNNNNNNNNNNNNNNNNNNNNNNNNNCAGGAAGUCCUAGUGCGUGCUAUCAGAAAAGAUGCUGGGAACUGUUUCGCGAAAAUGUUGGGGAAGAAACUCUUGAGAGUGAUCAUGAGAUCGUUGAGCUAGCCCAAACUGUGGCCAAAGAGUGUGGUGGUUUGCCACUCGCACUUAUUACUAUUGGUCGAGCUAUGGCCUACAGAAAGAAAGCGGAGCAGUGGAGACGUGCAAUUGAAGAGUUAAGAAGAUCAGCUUCAGAGUUUGCAGGUUUGGGAAAAGAGGUGUAUCCUCUUUUAAAGUUUAGCUAUGAUAGUUUGCAGAAUGAUACAAUUAGAUCUUGUUUCUUGUAUUGUUGUUUAUAUUCUGAAGAUUAUGGCAUUCUUAAAUGGGACUUGAUUGAUUGUUGGAUUGGUGAGGGAUUUUUGGGGGAAUCUGACAGGUUUGGUGCAGAAAACCAAGGAUAUGACAUUUUGGACACUCUUGUUCGUGCAUGUUUAUUAGAAGAGGUGGAAGAAGAUGAAGUAAAAAUGCAUGACGUUAUUCGUGAUAUGGCUAUAUGGAUAACCAGUGAAAUUGAGAAGGAGAAGAGAAACUUUUUGGUUUGUGCAGGUGCUGGAUUAGAAGAGGCACCGGAUGUUAAAGAAUGGG
rnacentral:lncRNA from 1 species